AGAAUGGGACCCAGAGCAUAUGUCCUUCAAAAUCGUCAACGUUAAGCCCGGAACCAUUCCCAUCUGCCAUUUCAUUUCCACUGAUGCUAUUGCCUGGGUUCCGAACCACAAAUCUGCAUGAUCAUCACUUAGCACUAGUACUGUGCGUAUAAUAUGCCUGUAUAAUUAUCUCCCUACUUAUUUCUGCCUGUUCAUCAUGUGGUGUAAGAUAUAUGUUGAGAUGAAGUUUUUGGGAUUAGUGGUCGAAAUUAACCCGAUCAUGUUUUCUCUUGUAACUAUAUAGACUUCAACUUGUACUCAUAAUAAAGCAUGCUAUAUUUAUGAAGAGAUAUUAAUCUUCAGGCAAAUAGAUAUUAUGAAAACAUAUAUAGCAAUUUAUCCAGAAGAAAUAUUAUGAAAUGAAAAGAAUAAAAAGUAAAAAAACAGAAGGAAAGGAAUUCGCACCUGCUAUGUAUGAAAGGACCAAGAUUGUUUUCCCUUUGGUUAAUGACUAGAAAAGCUCACUUGCAGAUUGCUUUCUCUGACCGUAGAUGCAACAGAAAUUUUCUCUUAAUAAUAGCACAAUGAUCGGGUAAUUGUAAGAACAAGUUGAUUUAAAAUUCCUUGACCCAAAAAAAAAAAAAAAAUCAUUUCAAAUUCAGGUCAACCCAUAGAUUUCUUGCCUUUUUCUUCUUCAUCACGUUGGGCUUGUCUUCUUCUUGAGGAUUGUAUAGGCCCAGGAAAUGCUUUGAGGUAGUUUUUGGCCUUGGAAGUUGGGACCCAACCCAACUUCACAAAAAGAAAACAGAUUUGCCAAAAAUCAAAUUUCAAGUCUCUCCUCAGAUCACUAAUACAGAUCAAAUUUUGGAUUUGAUGAACUAAAGUGGUUUUACUUUCUCUGUCAGUGUUUGAUGACUUAAUUUGUUAUUUACUUCUUUUUUUUUUUUUACUUGAUCUUUGUAGGGGUUUUUUUCUUCCGGUAACUUAAACGGGCUGGGCUGCCGUAAAGGGUAGAUUGAUGAAAUUGUCUCCUUUGUCUGAGUUCGAAAAUCAAGCCCCAAAAGCGCUUCGAAAGGGCAGUAGAGCCUUAGGAAGCGUUCUAGUCAUCUUCACCAACUAAAACAACAGCAACUUACAGAUGAUUUCUUAAGGCUUACAGAUAAAUUUUCUAGCUUGGCAUGAGAGGCUUGUGACAUGGAAGCAAAAUCAGCAUGAGUUUAGCACCAAAGAGGAAAAUAUGGCUUCCUAGGGAGAAAUGGGAGUGUUUAAGGUGAGGAAGAAGAGGUUUGCAGGCUGAUUUGGCUGAGGAGAGAGAAAGAAAGAACAAUGUUCUUCCAGUAGCUUGACAAAGCUUCUGACAGAUGUGAAAGUCGUCUGCCAUAAGAGGAAAAUGAAGAAGAAUGGUGAAUAGUGCAUGAAAUUGCUGGGUUUUUGCAGGUAAGAGAGAAAGCUUGCUCUCUGAAUUUGAGUUGGUUUUUGGUUGGGUAGAAGAGGCCCCCUUUUAUAGCUGCGGGAAACCAUCUUUUUUCAAGAAACCCUAAUGGUUUCUAUCCAUUUUGGCCAAGCUUUUCCCUUCAUUUCUCUUCUCCUCCCUUGACUUUUCCUAUCUUGGUGAAAUUUCCUCUGCCUAUUUGCACAAAAUUAGAGAUUUUGAGGAGCUCAAGACCCCUUUCCCGCAGCUGCCUCAGUGGAGAAUCCCCAUUUUCAGUCAUCUUUCUUCCUUCUUUUCUCCCAUCUUCCAAGGUUAGGUCUGAUGAGGGAAAGAAAUGGGUAUGCACACUGGUUUGAAGGGUAUUUUUGCUUGAAACUUGUUCUCUCCCAUGUGCUGGAGCUUCCCAGCAACUUACACACAUGGAUAUUUUGGCUUUCAUCGUGGCUUUUGUUUUCAGCUAGGUGCUGGAGAUUUCGCAGAUAUUUUCAUGAGUUGCUUGGGCCUUCUAGGACAAUAGGUUGGUUUAUCAAGUGAAUGGGCUAACUUCAUCAAUUGUUGGGCUAUUUUGGUUGAGUUAAUGGACUAUUUUGGUUGAAGUAAUGGGCUAUUUUGGUUGAAUUAAUGGGCUAUUUUUCUCUCUUUGUGCUCACCCACAUAUUUGGGCCUAAGAAAUGGGCUUGAGUUCCGGGGCUCCCAAGCAACCCCGGGACUUCCAUUUCUCGGCCCAUCAAUGGGCCUCAUAUCAACUUAUUACCAUCCAUAUCACAACCCACUCAAGCAAGCCCUGGGCAUCUUGCGUGGCUUGGGCCCACUUAAGCUUGUAGCGUGACGUGUUGCUUAUUUGCUUGGCAUGGCAUGUGUGCAAGCGCAUAUGACGAACUUUAGCGUGCCCAAAUUGGGUUUAUUCUCGGUAAGGUAUCGCAUUGGGCCGAGAAUUUAAUUGGGCAGAACUGUGGAUUUUUGGGCCUCAACAAUCUUAUAUAUAUUGGUUUUCUUUUUUUCCUUAAUAUUCACCACCUUUCUGUUGCAUAAGUAUUUCAGUCUUAACGGGUUUCCAUCUACCACUCAUCUUUGCUCUUUUAAGUGUAAGCUUUUUUUUUUUUUUUUUAAGCACAAGAUUAGAGGGGAGGGGGAUUUCUCAAUGUAAGCUUUGCAGUUUCAUAAUUAAUAUUUCCAAUAUCUCACUGUUAGUAAAAUAUGGAACAGGAAAAGUAUGAAUAAAAUACACACAUGUUUUAUUUAGCAAAAUUUUGACAAGAUACAACUGAAAAGUUUGGCCACUAUAUAAUAUUUUGAUAUAAUUUCUACACUUCUUCUCAAAAGAUUAGAUCACUUCACAUCUUGUGUAUGUGAAAACUAAUGUAAAAAGUUGAAACUUUAUCGUAAAACCUCGACAAAAAUGAGCUCUACUAGAAAAUGUUCAAUUUGGAUUCGUUGAUUUAAAUGGCAAUUUGACACUUGAUAGAAAUUUUUACAUACAUGUGUUAGUGUUUGAUCACUUCACAUGUUACUUACUAUAUUUAUUCCACUCAAGUUAGGUAAAUAUUAUUAUCAAACAUUUCAAUUAAUUUGUGAUUUUUUUAUUAUUUAAUCAAUUAUGAAUUAAUGGAUUCUUCUUGUUGUUUUGAAGACCAAUAAAAAAAAAAGGGUAAGGAUGGCUUAUAACUCUGAUAAAACAACAGUGACGUGGACAGCAGAUGUUACACCGUACUGAAGAUUUUUGAAGAUUCUUUAUUUGGGUUUCUUUCAAGAUGAAAACCAUAUUAUCCACAACCACAAUGAAGAAGACAGAAAAUGGAGUAAUUCAGAUGUUACCAGCCAUCCACGACAAACUGAAGUCUGCAAAGCAUUCGUAAUCUAAAGGGAGACUUUGGAAAAGCCCAAAGGAGAGAGAAAAUUUUUAAAAGAAGCAAAAAUGGACAAAAUUGCCCUUAUUUAUUUUUUGAUUUCCUAAGAAAUCCUUUACAUUUGCAUGUCUUUGGUUUGAAAGUUGAGAGGUUAUUCUGUCUUUUUUCAAAAAGCUUUGGCUUUUUCCAAAAGUGAAAGUUUUUUUAUGGGUAAAACCUAAAUUUACUUAAUCCCUAAAAAGGAUGGGGAGGCUGCGCAAUACUUAGCCACGUGUAGGCCAGGAGGCUUUCCAAUUUUAAUAUAUAUAUAAAUUGAAAAAAUAAAAUAAAAAUCAAUCUAUUAUCCUAUAUAAAAUAAAGAUUAUUGCUUCCAUGGGCAGUGCUAUGCACAGGACAGUGCCUGCCCAGCACAAAUUUUUUUUAAAUAAAAAAAAAAAAUCUACAUAUGUUAUAAGCUCAUCCAAAAAAAUAAAAUAAAAUAAAAGUAAAUUCUACAUAUAUGUUGCCCAUCUAGGUGGUUCCAUAUCUUCUCUCUCCUUCUCUUUUGGCUAUUAGACUUCUUGUUUCUCUCUCUCUCUUUGCUACCUCACAUCAGCAAGUUUCUCCCUCUCUUUUUUUGGGGUCAAAUUCUUCCUCUAUUGACAAAAUCUUCUAUUAUCUUGGGUGGGCAACUUGGCAACAACAUCUUCUCUUCUCCUUUUGUCAACAACAAGUAUUAUUCUCAUUCUCUCAUUUGCUAUAUAUCUUUAAUUAUAGUUUUAAUUUAAAAUUGAGUAUUCUAGGGUUUAAUUAGGGAUGAAUUAUAAUUUUAGAAUUUUGUUGAAAUUAAUUAAGGCUUCGAUUAGGGGUGAAUUAUUCUACUGCUUUGGUUUGGAAUUUUGUUAAAAUUGAGUAUUAUAGGGUUUAAUUAUGGAUGAAUUAUAAUUUUUGAUUUUGGUAUUAUUGAGAUGUUAUUAUGAGAAUUUGUUUCAUUUUUUUAUUGGUAUAUUUGAUUAAAAUUCUUUCUACAUAUUAUUCAUAGGCUAUCUUUUAUUAUGUCGGAUCACAAUCGGAAUCCCAAGAGAACAAAGAAUUUGAAUAGUGUUGUUUUGUAUUGCAUUGCAUUUACUUUUGGUUUUAGUUUUGCUUUUAGUGUAAAUUACUCAAAUGGUCCUCAAAUUUGUACCCGAUUUACAUUUUGGUCCAUAAACUAAAUUAUUCAUUCAAAUGGUGCACCAACUCUUUAUUAAUCAGUGCUUUGGUCCUACCGUUAUGUUUUCUAUUAAAUUUAGUCAUGUGAGCAGCACAUGCUACAUUUGUAGGGGUAAAUAAGACUUUUGACCACUUUAUCACCUAUGUAUCACCACUUUAUAACCUAUUUGGAGAACAUAGGUCAGUUAUGGACGGUUUUACAAUUAUAUUUGACGGCAACAUUAACAUAAUGUAACAGUGGGAUCAAUGGAGCGAUUAAUAUAGAGUUGAUGGACCGUUUGAACGAAUAAUUUAAUUGAGGGACCAAAACGUAAAUUGAGUAUAAGUUUGAGGACCAUUUGAGUAAUGUACCCUUCGCUUUUAUAUUUGUUGAACUUUUAUUUAUGGAUAGAUAUGCAUUUGAGGGUAAGACCCAUUAUGUUCCCCCUGACUUGGUGUAUCUUUUUAUGUUUAUUAAUGAAAUUCACUCGAACUGUUGAGUUUAGUAUGUAAGUUUUGCCUAACCGGCUUUUGAAUCCUAGAACCGCCACUGUUGCUCCAUCCUCCAUGCACUUGCAUGUGCUCUUACAAAGUGUGAAGUAGAUUUUGUGUGCUCCAAGUCAUUGACUAGAGCUGAAACAUGGUUAGCUAGAUUUAUAAGGACCCAUCUCUCUAUUUCCUAGACAUAUACCCAUCUCUCUAUAAAUCUAUAUGUAAAACUCAAUUUCAAACUUAAAUGACCAGUAAGAUAUAAGAGGUCAUAGUAUUCCUAUGUUUUUACAUCGUUGCCACCAGACUUCUUAUUUUAUUUAUAAUUUAUUUCAAGCAUUUCAUUAACUGCCAUAAUUGUAAUUAAUACUCCAUAUUAAUAGCAUAUCAAUCACCCCAUUUCUUUUGAUUGCCAUUCCCUCUAACAUAUCGCCCCUUAAAAUUGAAAACCAAAAAAAAAAAAAAUGUAAAUUACAUAUCCAAUAAUGUACCUAUGAAAAAUAUAAAUAUAAAUAUAUACGUAUAAAAAUAUAGGUUUAUUAUUUACCAAAUAAAAAAUAUAAAAAAACUAGGUCAGUUGCUUUGUAAUUGAAAUUUCUAUACAUUUUCCACAAAUUAAAAAUAGGUACACAAUAAUUUAUAGAAAAUAUAGGUGCAUUAUUUAUCCAUAGGUAAAAAUACCUAUAAAUGCACAUAGGUAAAUUAUUUACCCAUAUAUUAUUUUUUUGCUAAGGAUUUACCUUAGUUUUUAGUAGAUUAAUUUACCUACCUAGAGGCAUAGGUAGCUUAAAAAAAUUGUAGCACCUUAGUUGGUUGCAUACUAAUUUACCUACCUAGAGGCAUAGGUUGCUAAGAAAAAAUGUAGGUAAAUUCAUGUACCUAAACACAUAGGGGUCAAAUAGAGAAUAACAUGUUAUUUCCCUUCGAACAAAUUAAUUUCAAACCAUAACAAUAAUUGAAUUCGGAAAUUGGUAUAAAUAAAAGGAAAUAAAUAAGCUAUCAAUUUGAAAAUUAAAAUAAGAAAUGAUCAAGUAGUCAUAUUUGAAAAAAAAGAAAAGAAUAUAUUCUUGGUUUUUAUAGGAACAACGUGUAUAUUCAAACCAAAUGGCAGUAACUACACCAAGCUUUAAUUACUUUUUUUUAAGGCCAAAAGUCACUUUUGGUCUCUGUAGUUUGACACUUCUAUUACUUUUGACGCUGUAGUUUCAAUUCCGUCAAUUUUGCCAUUGUAGUUUCAUAUUUGUAGCAAUUCAAGGACAUGUUAAUAUUAAUGUCAAUUUGUUUAAUGAUGCAAGGGGUAAUUUCGUCAUCCCAAAAUCCUUGAGCAUAAAAGCUUGUCUGAAAUUCUCCCCAUUUCAUAUUAGGGCUCGAAAUUCAACCACUAAUCCCAAUUUUUGAAGAACCCUAUACCCAAAUGACCAAUUUCAAGCCCUAAUAACAAAUUAGGGAAGUUUUAGAUGAGCUUUUAUGCUCAAGGAUUUUGAGUUGAAGAAAUUGCCCCUUGCACUGUCAAAGAAAUUGAUAGGAAUACUGACUUGUCCUUGAAUUGCUACAAAUACAAAAAUACAGGGUCAAAAUUAACAGAAUUUAAACUAUAUGGUCAAAAGUGGUUAAAGUGCCAAACUACAAGGACCAAAAGUGACUUUUAGCCUUUUUGUUUAAAUAAGGAAAAAACUUACCUAUUAAAUCCUUGGAAUCUAUACAAAAUUGAAACACAGUUAAUCAGCAUUGAAUUGCAGCUAAUUUCUUAAACAAGGGUAUUAUAGGAAUUUAAAAAGUAUAACAUUUAAUCCAUUGAGCUUGAUUAGGAAUCUUGAUGAGUUGGAUCCUAGUUAUAUAGUUUCUCUUAUAAAAAUCGGGUUUUAUUUAUAGACAAAUAAAACAAUGGGUUGUAGGUAAGAAAAUAUUAAUUUGAAGGGAAAGUGUCACAUCCUGGGAUCGGCUCCGCCGUAGCACGAUAUUGUCCGCUUUGGGCCCCCCUCUCUGCCCGCACGGUUUUGUUUCUGGGAGCUCACGAGCAACUUCCCAGUGGGUCACCCAUCCUGGGAUUGCUCUGGCCCCCAACUCGCUUAACUUCGGAAUUCCUAUGACUCCGAAGCCAGUGAGCUCCCAAAAGGCCUCGUGCUAGAUGGAUGCGGGUGUGUACAUAUAAGACACAUCACCCCCUCUCCGUUGGUUGAUGUGGGAUCUUACAGAAAGAGUCAAAUUUACUAAAUUAAUAAAGCAUAAAUUGGAAAGGGAAAAGAUCUAGAGGAUGCAUUGUAGGAUUGCUCAUGCCAAUAAUUGCACCCUCUCGAUAUUGAAAAACCUAUUGUGUAUUAUUAUCUUCAAUCAUGAAUGAUGCACCUAAAACCCAAGUGUCCCAAGCCAACCAUUGCGCUCAUACCACUUGUUGCAGUACACAUUCACCCGUUUUUAAAGAAAGAAAUUCUACCAAUCGAUAUUGUCUCAAAUUUAAUCACAUAGGUCUAUUAUGGUUAACCAUAUGUACUUUUAUCGGCCAUAUAGAGGUACCUUUUUCCAACGUGCAACAAUUGUAUUUGAUUCACAAUUAUGUCUGAUAUACAUCACAUCAUGCCACUUGCCUCAAAUGAAUUUAAUUGAGUGAGGCAAUGGGAAGUAAUUAAGCUCUAUAUUGGUGGGUGGAGUGUUACUUCUGGAACCCUCAUCAUUCGUCCAUACAAGGGAACAAUUCCCUUCCUUCUAUAAAAUGGUGAAGCCAGUUGCUAUUGUUUGUUAGAGUUUUAGGAUCUGAGUGUUAGAUUUUGUGAGAAGAGAGAAGAGAAUUUAGUGAAAACUUCCAAUACUGCUCUGCUAUACGUGUAGCAGAGAGAACAUUCUGUUUUGUUAUAUAUUUUCAGUACAACAACACACACUUGGUGUGAGAAGAAAAAUGACUGUUAUGCACAGUACCAGCUGGAUGCUUUCCAUCAAAGUAAUCUCAGCCAUUCACUAUCUAACCAAUCAAGCUAUGACACCUGGACUAAGUAUAAAGAAAUACAACUAAGCAGAAAACAAGACUCUUAAUCCUGAAAUCAACUUAAGCACUUAUAAUUCAACACUCCCCUUUAAGUCUUGAGGUGAUUUCACUCCAAGCAUGCCUCUGAGAUAAUUGAAUCUGUCUUUGGCCAGAGGUUUGGUAAAAAUGUCAGCCAAUUGUUCAUUUGUAGGACAAUAUUCCAGAUUGAUUACCCCUUCUUGCAAUGCAUCCUUGAUGAAGUGAUACCUCCUGUCAAUAUGCUUUGUCUUCUGGUGGAAUACAGGGUUUUUAGUGAUUGCAAUUGCUGAGAUAUUAUCACAAUGCAAUGGAGUAGCUUCAGUUUGAAGCUCUCUAAAGUCUUCUAGCACAAAACGGAGCCAAAUAGCUUGAGUAGUAGCCUCAGCUGCACUGAUGUACUCAGCUUCUGCAGUAGACAGUGCAACACAGUUCUGUUUCACUGAGGCCCAAGAAAAUACUCCACUUCCAAAACUAAACGCAUACCCUGAUGUGCUCUUGCAAUCACCAACUGAUCCUCCCCAAUCACUGUCACAGUAACCAACUAGAAUUGAUCUUUUGCCUUUCACAUAUUCAAGACCAUAGUCCAGAGUUCCUUUGAUGUAUCUCAAAACCCUUUUAGCUGUUCCAUAGUGUCUAUUUGUAGGACAGUGCAUGAAUCUAGCUAGCAAGCUUGAGGCAUACAUGAUGUCUGGUCUUGUAGCAGUUAAGUACAGCAAGCUACCAACAAUGCUUCUGUAUUGUUCUUCAUUUGCAGCUCAACUCCCAUCAUCCUUAGCUAGUUUCUCAGUGGCAACAAGGGGUGUUGUCACAGGUUUGCACUCAGUCAAACCAAACUUGCUCAACAAGGUGCUAGCAUAUUUCUUUUGAUGUAGAAAUAUACUAGACUCAGUCUGAAUAACUCCCAUGCCAAGAAAGUGAUGAAGUAAGCCCAAAUCAGUCAUCUCAUACUUAGCCAUCAUGUCUUCUUUGAAUUCAGCCAACAAUGCUUGACUGCUCCCUGUAUACACAAUAUCGUCUACAUAGAUAGACACAAUUAGAAUCUCCUUAUCUCCCCUUACUUUGGUAUAUAAGGUUGUUUCACUUAAGCUUUUCACAAAACCACAUUGAGUGAAGUAGCUGUCUAUCUCUCCAUACCAAGCCCUUGGGGCUUGCUUCAGACCAUAAAGGGCUUUAUGCAAACGAUAAACCUUGUCUUCUUUACCUUUAAUUACAAAACCUUCAGGCUGACUGACAUAAACUUCCUCUUGCAGCACACCAUUAAGGAAAGCAGACUUCACAUCAAGCUGGAACAAUUUCCAAUCCUUUUGAGCAGCUAGAGCAAUAAGUGUUCUAAUGGUGUCCAAUCUGGCUAUAGGUGCAUAAGUCUCAUUAUAAUCCAGUCCAGGCUUCUGAGCAUACCCCUUAGCCACUAAUCUUGCUUUAUUCUUUUGCACUGAGCCAUCCAAAUUCAGCUUUGUCUUGUACACCCACUUAACUCCAAUCACUGGUUUUUCAGUUAGUCUAUCUACCAAUUCCCAUGUUUCAUUCUUUUCAAUCAUCUGCAGUUCAUCUUCCAUAGCCUUAAGCCAAGAUUCAUCCUGAGCAACAUCAGCAUAUUUUUCUGGUUCCAUGAUACACAAGUUACACUGAGCUAGAACAUCAUCUAGCCUUCUCCAUUUUAGAGGGGUGUGAUCAUAAGCUUGAGUUCUCCUUUCUUCACUGCUUAUAUCACCUGGAGUUGAUGAAAUGCUCUCUUGCAUAUCCAAAGUUUGAGGUGUACCAGUAGAAUUCUCAUUAGAACUGUCAGAUUUCAAGUCCAAAUCAACUUGGUUUUCAAUUGAGUAUGUUGUCAUAACUGAACCAUUUUUGUUUGUCCAAUGCCAAGCAUUUUCUUCAUCAAAUGUCACAUCCCUUGAUAGUAAAAGCUUGUUAGAAACAGGAUCAAAAACUCUAUAUCCUUUUUCACAAGUUGCAUAUCCCACAAACACUCCCUUUGUACUCUUAGGAUCCCGCUUGUGUCUCAAUUCAGUUGGCACAUGAACAUAACACAGAGAACCAAACACUUUCAGAUGUGCAAUUCCAGGCUUCCUUCCACUAUAUGCUUCGAAUGGAGUAAUGUUGUUGAGAGCUUUGGUAGGACAUCUGUUCAGCAAAUAGAUAGCUGUAUGCACAGCUUCUGCCCAUAGGAAAUAAGGCAUUCCCUUCUCAUGUAACAUUGAUUUUGCCAUCUCAAUGACAGUUCUAUUCUUCCUCUCAACUACUCCAUUCUGCUGAGGAGUAUAGGCCAUUGUAAGCUGCCUUUGAAUGCCAUUAGCUUCACAAAACUCCAAAAAAUCAGUAGACAUAAACUCUCCACCCCUGUCACUUCUUAUGCACUGAACCUUGUGUCCAGUUUGUAAUUCAGUCAUGGACUUGAACUUCUUGAAACAAAAGAAGGCUUUUGACUUGUUUCUCAAGAAGUAUACCCAAAUCAUUCUUGUGAAAUCAUCUAUAAUCAGCAUGAAAUAUCUGUUCCUUGCAACAGACUCAUUUCUCAUGGGACCACAGAGAUCCACAUGUAUUAGCACUAGUACUUUGCUUGCUCUUUGAGCUUGAUCUUUUGGAAAAACAUUUCUGUGCUGUUUUCCAAAUUGGCACCCGUCACACACACCACUUUGUUCUUCCAAUUUUGGUAAACCAUGUACCAUUUCUUUAUCACUUAGCUGCUUCAAUCCUCCAAAAUGCAGAUGACCAAAUCUCUUGUGCCAAAUCCAUGUGGAUUGAAGAAAACUAGUCUUCAUUAGUAACUGUUUUUCAGCUAGAAAAGAGACAGGAUAGCAUCUGUUACUCUUCAUUUGCACCUUUAUGAUGAGAUAAUCCAUGGAUGGGCUAUCAAAUACCCUGCACAUCCCUUCUCCAAACACUAGACAGUACCCAUGUUCAUCCAUCUGCCCAACACUUAGCAGAUUUUCUUUCAAUCCUGGCAGAUACAUUACUUCUCUGAUGUAUUUCCUGCCCUUUGCUGUAUCAAUACUCAGUGAGCCAAUACCAGCUACACUCACUAAUGCACCAGUUGGCAUUUGUACUCUCCCAGCUACAUUAGUUCUCACAUCAACCAGCAAAUCUAAAUUUCCUGUCAUAUGAUUGCUGCAGCCACUGUCAAUGUACCAUUCAUUGGUUUUGAUCUCAGUGGUUGAGCAAUUGGCAUAAAACAGGUUUCCUGUAACCUCCAUUUGAUUUACACAAUUAGCCUUCUGCACAUUUUUGCUCACUGUACAGUCUCUAGCAAGAUGUCCAACUCUGUCACAGUUAUAGCAUUUUGGUUUUCCCUUAUACCUGCACUCACCAAAAUGAUGCUUUGAACACACCUUGCAUUGAGGCUUUGUGUUUUCCUGAUUUGAGAACUGUGUUGAAGUGUGGUUCUGUGCAGAAUAAUUAUUCUGCUGUGUCUUGUCUUUUGCCUCCCAUGACUUCCCUUUAGAGUUCCAGCUUCUCUGUGACUUAGAUGAACCAGACUGAGAAGCAUUUUUGUUCUGACCCUUUGAAUUCACAGUGAAUGAGGCAAAUGCCUUCUCAGCUGUAUCAACACUAUGCAUUUCAAGCCUUUGCUCCCGACUCUUCAAAAUGGCAGUUACUUCCUGCAAAUCCACAGUUUCUAGUGUCUUUGUGUUUUCAAUCACAAUGCAUAUAGGGUCAUACUUCUUACUUAGACUAAUUAACACCUUCUGAACCUACCUCUCAUUUGACAGAACUUCACCAAAUGUUUUCAUUUGGUUAAUCAAUUCAGUUAGUCUAGUAAGAUAUUCAGAUAAGGUUUCACUAUCACGCAUCCUACUGUAUUCAAACUCACGUCUAAGGUUUUGAAGCUUUACCGAUCUAACAUGCUCUCCACCAUGAUAUUCUGAGUACAGCAGAUUCCAAGCCAUCUUUGCAGAGUCAGCAUUGGCAAUUCUGGGAAAAAUCUGAUCAGAAACAGCAUUUUGAAUGAUACCCAAGGCCUUCGCAUCCUUCAUGAGAAUCGCAGCUGUUUUCUCAUCAACUUCUUCUUCUGAACCAUCCUCAGAUUCCUGCUUCGUCUUUGAAUCUGGGAUUAAAAACCCCUUCUCUACCAAACCCCAUAAACCAUAUGAUCUGAAUAUGGUUACCAUCUUAAUCCUCCAAAAUUCAUAGUUCUCACCUGAGAAAAUGGGGAUUCUAGCCUCUGAACUUCCAGAUCCAGCCAUUACGAAUUUCAGAUUCGCCUGGAAACAAGAUGUUUUCAGAUUUGACCCUUGAUCGAGCUCAAUCAGCUUCGUGAGCUUAGAAUGAGCUCACCUCGAUCGAUUUUCUUCACAGAACAACGCCCAGCUUCAGAUAAUCAAACUUGGCUCUGAGGCCAUGUUAGAGUUUUAGGAUCUGAGUGUUAGAUAUUGUGAGAAGAGAGAAGAGAAUUUAGUGAAAAUUUCCAAUACUGCUCUGCUAUACGUGUAGCAGAGAGAACAUUCUCUUUUGCUAUAUAUUUUCAGUACAACAACACACACUUGGUGUGAGAAGAAAAAUGACUGUUAUGCACAGUACCAGCUGGAUGCUUUCCAUCAAAGUAAUCUCAGCCAUUCACUAUCUAACCAAUCAAGCUAUGACACCUGGACUAAGUAUAAAGAAAUACAACUAAGCAGAAAACAAGACUCUUAAUCCUGAAAUCAACUUAAGCACUUAUAAUUCAACAUUGUUACCAUAAGAGCCAGCUCCGACUUUCUUUAAUUUCAGUCCUAACGGGGUUUCAUCUUCCACUCAUCUUUGCUCUUCUCAGUGUAAGCUCUGCAAUUUGAUUAACUUUCCCAUUAUCUCUCACUGUACUCUAUAUAAAGGAAUAAGUGUCGUCCACUAAUUAAUUACACUUUGUGAGAUUUGAUUUUAAUUAGAGUUCGAAUUGAUGUUGCAGCUAGCAGCGGUGGCACUGGCAAACCAUGCUGCUCAACCAGCACCUCAACUUUACUGGAACUCCGUCCUGCCAAACACACAAAUGCCAAGAGCUAUCAGUGAACUUCUGCAUCCUGGUUUGUGUUGAAUAAAUAUAGUAUGUUACUGGAGUACGUAUGGCAACAUAUUCACAAAUGUGUCACGUAUUUUCCAAUAUGACGUUGAUAUAUAAUUGCAGACUCCACAAACGAAGAAAAGAGCACAAAUGUCAUGAAUGCUGUUGGGAAUGGAAAGCCAAUUGACCACAAGGGCAACCUGAAAAUACUGUACUACCACAGCUUGCACGACGCCCAUUUUCUUACAAGAGUGAUGAUCGUCCCACUGACAAUCAACUCCAUUAUAAAAACGUAGCUAUUUUCUUCUUGGAGAAGGACAUGCGCCCUGGCACAACAAUGAGCUUCCAAUUCCCUAGAAAUUCAAACACGGCUACUUUCCUGCCACCAGAAAGAGCUCAAUCGAUCCCCUUCUCCUCUAACAAACUACCAGAAAUUUUCAACCAUUUUUCAGUGAAGCCAACAUCUGUGGAAGCCAAAACAAUUAAGCAAACAAUCGAAGAGUGUGAGGCUCCAGGCAUUAAGGGAGAGGAAAUAUAUUGCGCCACAUCUUUAGAAUCAAUGGUUGAUUUUAGCACUUCGAAUUUUCGAACAAGAAACGUUCAAGCAAUCUCGACAGAGGUAUUGGAAAAAGGUGCCACCAUGUCCAUGCACAAGCAUACAACAAUGCCGGGACUGAAGAAGUUGGCAGGUGACAAAGUCGUUGUGUGUCAUAAGCAGAACUAUCCCUAUGCUGUGUUUUACUGCCAUGUAAUAAAACCAACAGCAGCUUAUGUUCUCUCCCUGAAAGGCGAUGAUGGGGUGAAGAUUAAAGCAGUAGCCAUCUGCCAUCUAGACACAUCAGAAUGGAACCCAAAGCAUUUGGCCUUCCAAAUCCUCAAAGUUAAGCCCGGAACAAUUCCCAUCUGCCAUUUCCUUCCCACUGAUCAUAGUGUCUGGGUUCCGAACCACAAAUCUGCAUGAUCAUCACUUAGCACUGUACGUAUAAUAAGCUUGCACCCCUGUAUAAUUAUCUCCCUACUCUACUUAUUUCUGCCUCUUCAUGUGGUGUAAGAUAUAUGAUGAGAUGAAGUUUUUGGGAUUAGUGGUCGGGUUGCCUUAAAAACACAGAUUACAGAAACUGCUUGAACUUAACCCGAUCAUGUUUUCUCUUGUACUCGUAAAGCAUGCUGUUGUGGUUCUACUUAAUUUCGUUCUCCCCAAUGUUUGAGUGUUUAAUUGUUACGUUGGAUAAUGCUUGUAGUUAGAGAAGCCUUCAUUUAUAUCAAAGUCCUCAACUUGUAAAGAUAUCAAUGGUCCUAGUGCUGCCACGUGUAAGAAGAUUGAAGAAUAAAGCUGUUGAGAUAUUGUUAGACCUGUUAUGCAGUUUAGGAAAACUGUUAGUAUUGAUAAGAGAAGGUUAGAGAUGUUAGAGAGGUUAGAAAACACGUGAACAAGGCUUUAACUCAGCUGAUAUAAAGUCUGUAGUUGUGCUCAGUUGAACUUAAUGAGAAAUACAACAAGUCUCUUCUCUAUCUCUGAAAUUCUCUCUGCUCUCUCUGCUUUACUUCUUUUGUCUCUGCUCUACAUUUUUUUUCAAUCUUCCUAUCUUAACAAAACUAUCAAGAAUUAAUGCAUCCAGAAACAUAUAUACCAAGACGCAAAACAACAUAUUUUUCAUGCUCUGUCUGUAACACCAAAGCAAACUUCCUUUAUCACAAAAGGAUCAAAUUCCAGUACUAAUCUAAUCCAUCAUGUAAAGCAUACAAUCUACAAGUGCCUCCCUUAAUUUGUCCAUUGGAUAUAUAUGUCACUUUUUGGUAAUUUGGUAUAGCAGCACCACGUAGUCUUGAAAUAGUAGUGCGGCUAUACCAAAUAUACCAUUUGCCCCUGCAUUUAACAGAAAAGUAAACAAAAUUGACGGUAGAACUAUUUGUCCUAACGAAACUGCAGUUGAAAGACCAUGAGAACGAUUUUGAAAAUUGAGGGACUCAAAUGAAAAUUGGGUCUAAGUUCAAGAACCAAUAAAACGAUUAACCCAUAGAUUUUGGAUCCAGUACCACAUCCCAAAGAGAAAACCACAAGUUUGCAAGCAAGUUUGUCCAUAAUAACACUACGUACAGUAUGGGCAGUGCGCUAGACUCAUCUCACUUUCUCAACCUAUCCUAUAGUUGUCUAAAAGAGUUUCUAAUUUAAUGUACUGAGAUUUACGAAAGAAAUAUCAGAGAAACAAUUUUCAGGCAAUAAAAAAAUGUCUUGGCAAGAAAAUGUACAAUUUGUUACAUAACUUAUUAAAUAUGAACAGUUGAAAGAAAAAAGAAUCUGGAUGAGGGAUUUGCAAAUUCCUAUGGCCCAAUUACCUUUUUUUCUUUGUUGUUUUUUUUUUUUUUUUUUUGGUUCUUUUGAUCCAGUAGCAUAUUCCAAAGAAUGAAAACCACAGGCAUGCAAUGCAAGCUCUUUUCCCACGUUUUCCUCUGUUUUUCUCCUAUCAUGGAAGUGAUUAAAACACACCUCUAAGCUUGUUUUGCGUUUGGUAGCCGAGUGUAAAAGCUCAAUGCAAGAUAGUUUGAGGUAGAAUUUUCUCCUAUUUUAUUAGGACAAUGAUAAUUAAAAAAAAGUGUGAUUCAUUGAAUAUUUGCGGGGUUUUGUUCAGACCUGACAAAGUUCUAAGUCAACACAUCAAAUUCCUUUUUCCAACAUGCAACAAUUGUAUUUGAUUCCCAAUUUUUUCUGAUAUACAUCACAUCAUGCCACUUGCAUCAAAUGAAUUUAAUUGAGUGAGGCAAUGGGAAGUAAUUAAGCUCUGUAUUCGUGGGUGGAGUGUUACUUCUGGAACCCUAAUAAUUCGUCCCUACAGGACUCUAGAACUCUCAAACUUCUUACAAGGACUACUUAACUCUAUAGCUUAAUGCAUAUAGCAUAUAUAUGCAAACACAAUUAGAAAUUCUACAACAGAAGCAAGAUCAAUCUCACUAUGCCUUCUAAACAAACAAACAAAUAAAACAAGCAUAUUAAUUGCUUUAAUCACUCUACUAACAUCAACACAGCACACUUAGUUUACUAACAGAUGAUAUAGAAAGGAAAAAAAAGGACCAAUAGGGAGAAAAUGGUGAACUAAGGAGAGACUAAUACUUCUGGUCCUUAGAAGGCAUAACAGAAAUAAUAGAGCACACUGCUUGAAUGCAAGUCAGUAUUAGGAGCAAAACAGCUGCAAUGAAAGAAAUAGUUGCCCAAGGUGUAUUGAAAUAAUGUUGCCUCAAAUUUGCCUUCCAUUUGUUCCAAGGCUUUCUGCAGUAGCUAUUAAGGCGCUCAGAAAGAAUAGCAAAGUAGAAGCUUUCACGAUACACUGCAAUUCCUUUUCCGAGGUUGUUAAUCAGAGUGCACACCUCAUUGUAGUCACCAAGCAUAUUUUUGACAAUCCCAUCCUUCAGAAGGAACUCCACAUCCUUUUCGGUGUUCACAAACUCAUCCAUGAGUGAAACAUAAUCACUUAUGUAAUUCUUACGGCAAUGGCACUAUUCAAAGGCAAUGAGGUUACGGAGUGUGAGCUCUGUGUAAUCGUGUAUUUUUAGUUUUGGAAUUUCUAGAAUCCCAUCGUUGAAUUGUGUUAACGCAGCUUUCCUUUCCUAGCCUACACGGAAGUCAACUUCACAAUCUCCUCCUAGCAAUUAGUCUUUCCUGCUGUAAAUCAGAUUUCCUACUGUAAAUCGGAUUGUAUUCAUGUCUAUAUUAUUUCCUACUUUAAGUAGAUAUCUUGUACUAGUAUAAAUAGGGACUUUGUGUAAUCUGUUAAAUACAAGGAAAUAUAUACUCUGCAUGGUAUCAGCCUAACCUAGGGUUCUCUCUCUCUCCCUUAUUCGAUCCUCUUCUCCUUUAGGUCCACCUCAUGGCUUUGUCUGAAUCCACCAUCUCCCUCCCAAGCCCCAACUCUUCUAUUUUAUCAAGCUUAUUGACUCCAACUAUCUUCUUUGGCUCCGCCAACUCAAACCCUUUUUAGUCGGCCAUGACCUCUGGAAAUUUAUCGAUGGCAUUCAUAAACAACCUUCUGCCCACACCUCCACCUCUACCACCGCAACACCCACAACCACCACCACUCUUACCCAAAUCAAUCAUGCCCAUGCUCAGUGGUACCAACAAGACCAACUCAUUGUUAGCUACAUCACCAAUACACUCUCUGAGUCCAUUCUCUUUCUCACUGUUGGUUGCACCUCUGCCCGGGAUCUCUGGGAGUGUCUCCAACGCCACUUCUCUCAAUCCAGUAUGGCCAGUGAAUCUACUCUUCGUUUUAAACUCAUGGAUUUGCAAAAAGGCUCUGAACCCACUUAUGCUUACAUUCGUCAUGCUAAGUCCUUUGCCGAUUCACUGGCUGCCAUCAAUGAACCUGUCUCCCCAAAAGAACUUGUCACUACUGUGCUUUGGGGUUUAAGACCCUAUUGCAACAUCCUCGUCACAGCAAUUCUCAAUUUCCCUCUGCUUCCUAACUUUGCUAAUCUUCGUGCUCGUUUGUUAGCAUUUGACGCACAGACUCCUUGAAUCUCUCCUGAUCAAAACACAGCGCAAAUGGCCACCCAAUCCUCUCCUCACACCACCGGUCAUACUUCCUUCCCUUCUCACCGUGGUGGUGGCUCUUCCAACAACAGGCGUGGUGGCCUCGGUGGCUGGCGCAAUAGCGGCCGGGGUGGCUGGCGCAGCUUCUCAUCUUCCUGGAGCAACCCGUGGAAUGGCUUCCAGCAGCUCCAAUGACCUAAUCAACCAUGGCCUCCUUUUGCUCCAAGUUCUGGAUCUCAAAGCAACUGGCCUUCCUUUCAGCCUCCUUGGGCCUAAUCUGCCGCUUCUAUCAAACACUUUGCCCGGCCCAACUCAGCUCCUGGUGUCUUGGGACCCGCUUGGUGCACUACCUGCAAUACCAAUCACAUACUACUACAAUAUGUCCUCAUCGCUACAAUGGCCCAGAAUCCUUUCUUUGCUAGGGCUCAAUUCAUGUAGCCACCUGACUCUACUUGGUACCCUGACACAAGUACCACUCAUCAUAUGAUUGGUAGUCCUUCUAAUCUCCAAAAUCAAUCCUUCUAAUCUCCAAAAUCAACAGCCAUAUCAGGUUCAUAAUUCUGUAUUUCUUGGUAAUGGAGAUUCUCUCCCUAUCUCUCAUACUAGCUCUCUCUUUUGUCUUCCAUCUCUUCGUACUAAUCUUCUUUUUGUUGCCCAUUUUACUUGUGAUAAUUUAGUUUUCUUUGUCUUUACUCUUGACUUUUAUCAAAUCUAUGACUUAUGUACUGGUUCGUUACUCUUUCAGGGCCCUUCUAAAGAUGGUCUUUACCCACUUUCCAUCUCCUCUCACUCAUCCAUAGUCCCCCAUGCCCUUACCACCGUGCACUCUCCUGCUUGGCAUCAUUGCCUUGGCCAUCCAUUCCAUCGUGUGCUCUCUCAUUUAGCGCCAUCUCUAGGCUUUAAAGUUUCUCAUGCUUUCUGUAAGGAUUGUGCACUUAGCAAAUCCACCAAACUGUCAUUUCUUAGUAAUAAAACCUUUGCCCCAUCUCCCUUUUAUUUAAUUCACUCUGAUGUAUGGAUGUCCUCGGUCAUUUCUGUCACUGGUUAUCGCUAUUAUGUCUUGUUUACAGAUGACUUUUCUCGUUACUCCUGGAUCUAUCAUAUGCACCGUAAAAAUGAGGUCUUUUCUCACUUUCAAACCUUUCUUGCUAUGGUUAAAAAUCAAUUUCACACCACUGUACAAAUUCUUUAAAGUGACAAUGGCACUGAAUAUGUUAAUAAUGCUUUCUCUGAUCUUUGCAGUCAACUAGGCAUCCACCAACGUUUCACAUGUCCCCACACUCCCCAACAAAAUGGCCUAGCUGAACAUAAACACAGACACAUUGCCACCAUGAUCUGUCCCCGGUCAUUUAUUCAACCAUCUUGACCUUUUGCUUGAUCAUUUUCCACAAGCAACCGUCCACGUACCCCAAUAAUUUAAAAGGGCUGAUGAUCUUUAAUUUGGUGAAAGCUUCUAUCUACCUACCGUGCUAUAUAUGAGCUAUGCAAUCGUGACCGUGUUACAUGACGUCCCAAUGUCGUAGGGAUAAAAAAAUAAUAGUCAUGGUUUUCUUAUUAAUGUCAAUACAUUCAUAGCAAAGAGCUUGUAGCUCUAGUGGUUAAGAGCAAUUACCCAUGCACUUGAGAUAUUUUGUGUUUAAAUCCCCUCUUCCCCAAUAUUUCUUGUAUAAAAAUAAAAAUAACAAUAAUAAUGACAUUAAUGUUGUAUUCUAUAAAGUGUUGGACAUGUUUUAUACCCCUUUCUUGCAAAUUACAGUUUGCCACGUGUACAAAAAUAAUAGAUAAGUGUUGGACAUCAAGAGCACUUACAUAUAGGUUUAAUAGGUAAGUUUUGAAUAUUUCUGUAUUUAGCUUUAAAUAUUGAAAAUCAACCUAUUAGCAUAUUAAAGAUUUGUCCAUAUUCGACGUACAUUCUCUUAUUUUUCUCUCAUUGAAGUAAAUACAAAACUAAGCACAUAGUGGGAAAGUGCGUCACGAUUAGGGGUGGGUUUAGUCUAGGUUGGUUCAUUUUUGGGCUCAAUUUGAACACCGAACUGUAAGCUUCGGUUUGGCUAUUUUGGAAACCGAAACCAAACCAUAAUUGAUGAAAACCGACCACUUCGAUUACCUUCUGGUCUUCCAACCAGAAGAAAACUCAAAACUUUAACCAUACCAAGUGCAACAGAAUUACACCAGGCUGGAUUCAAGUUUAUGAUGGUUAAAGAUAAAAACUUAUUUGACAUACAAUUUGAGAAUGGAAUCCUCAAAAUUCCACACCUGCGAAUACGGGGUUUAACAGAAAUUUUCUUCCGCAAUCUUAUUGCCUAUGAGCAGUGUGAGCUUCAUGAUCAUUACAUCAACGACUAUGUCUUCAUCAUGGACCGCCUGGUCGACAGUGCCAGGGAUGUGGAAUUGCUUGUGAAGAGUGGAAUUCUUGAAUCUAUGCUACCGGACAGCGAGGCAGCAGGGGAAUUUAUUAAUUCUCUUGACUUGGGGCCUAUUUUAGGCAAGCUUGAAACAAGACUAUUUCAGUUCACCAUGGGCUGGCCUGUCUAUUAUUGUAGCCGCUAUACUAGUUGUGCUCACAUUUAUUCAAACAGUGUGCUCCGUAAUGGCGCUGUAGGUUCUUCAUUUCCUCAAUUUCAUGUUUAGUGGUUGCAGAUUUGUUGCUCAUGUACGUGUUUAUCUAAAGUUAAAUAAGAGUGAUUGACUGGAUUGACUGUUAGUCUGUUAGUUUGUUUUUCUGGGGUUUUUCCCCCCUGUUCGUCAAAAAAAAAAAUAAAAGAGUGAUGGCUUGUGCCUAUGAAAAUUACUUAGGAGUAUGCUCCACAGAGCCAAAAUAAAUAAACUAGGGAAGUGGAGGUUCUUCUGUUUGUAUAUAAAUGAGCAAUUCAAACUCUCAGUGCCAAGGGAGUUACCCUUGAUACAUUUGUUAAAAAUUAUAUAUUUGGUCUUACAUCAAACAAAUAAUUUGAAGGGCUUUUUUGACAACUGCUGACAGCGUUUGGCAGAAAAGUUUAGAAGCGCUUCUACGCUUCUAGAUCAUAAAAGUGCUUUACCAAAAAGCACUUAGAUUUCUUAUGAAAAUUUCAACAUUUUUAUAAUAAAAGCGCUUGCUAGAAGCACUUAUAAGCAGAAGUGCUUCAUAGAGAAGCAGUCCCAAACGAGCUUGAUUUUCAAAUGUGCUGCUUAAGAAGAAAUUUAAUACGUUUUGAAAACAAAAAAAAAUACGAAAUUUAAUACGUUUGUUUUACAAAUUGUAUUAAUUGUUAUCAAUAAUACUUGUGCACACCCACAACAUACUUCUUUCUUUCUUUAUUUUCCUUCAGUACAGUUCUGCCUUUCUUUAAUUAUUUUUAACGAAUGCAAAGAGUUUGUCACAAAAUCAAGGAUUGAAAAAAAAAGAGAGUAAAUUAUGUGCUAGAGAAACUUUCCUGCAGAAAUUGAAGAACAACUCUAGUUUCUCUCUUUCGCCUUGUACUCCCGCACUGAGGUUAGUAUUGUUAUAAUGUGCAGAUUAUACGGUCACUCUUGUAUAAUGGCGAGAAGGCUCUAAUUAUAUUUUUGAACCUCUUUGACAGGACCCGCCCCGAAUUUCCCGAAACCCAAGACGAAUUCUGUGGAAAUUCCCUACAUCACCCCGAUGUUGGGCCCACUUCUAAAACUAUAUCAUUUUUCCUAAAAAGGAAUAAGGGCACGAGACUUUCUACCGAAAUUUCGGCAGAGUCUCUCCUGUAAAUUGAACAUUUCCCAAAAUUUCAACCUGCAUAAAACACAUUUUAUAUUACCCAACUGGCAGCAUGCACAAAAUAAUAACAUGCAAUUCACAUAAACGGCCUCUGGCCCUCCGGUAAUUCAGAGCAAUGCAAACUAGCAACUCUAAACCUAAUAAAACAACAUAAGUAACAUUUAGCCAGCGGCUGCACCCAGGCACUACCCUAGGCUACCUACGUACCCUUACUAAGGGAUCAAGCCACACGUAGUUCUUUCAUACAAAAUUUCCAAAUCCAUCAACAUGCAAUCAAUUACAGAAUCCCAAACAAAAUCUUUCUCAAACAUCAUUAGUUCCCAACUCAGUAUAAUAAUCCUUAAUUCAUCUCUGUAAUAAUCACAAUAUCUCCCCAUACGCCGGAACUACCAACACCACGUAUGGAGCCUGCCUGUACGCCAGAUAACCAACGACACGUGGGACCUCAUCAUCAUAUCACAUAAUCUCCCCAUACGCCGAAACUACCAACACCACGUAUGGGGUCUGUCAACACGCCGGAUAACCUACGACGUGUGACCUCAACAUCAAAUCACAAUAUCUCCCCAUACACCGGAACUACCUACGCCACGUAUGGGGUCUGUCCACAUGCCGGAUAACCUACGACACGUGGGACCUCAUCAUCAUAUCACAUAAUAUAUUAACGAUCAAGAAAUAUCACUACGGUCAUUUAAUCCUCCUGGGAAGGUAAAACUAUCUCAGGAGACUCACGGUCAACCAAGGGUCAAACUACCUCAUACUUGGACAAACGAGCCCACGGAGCCCACAACCUCCGUUUUACUAUCCAAGAGUUCCUAUAGGUUCUACAAGGUUUAGGAUACACGGCUUGCAAGUUUGGUCAAGAUCAGACGGUCGGAUCGCUCACGAUAGGACGGUUACUGCAAACCUAGCCCUAGGGUUGGCAUUUUCGGAGUAUCCGAAACUCCGUUUUACGAUCUGUCGAAUCAUAGACGAUCCUAAGGAUUUGCAGACUAACUAUAAUAAAUUCAAGACCAUCCAACGGUCUAAACCUAUCGAACCCGGAUAACGCGCAAUAGGCAAUAUCCAAAUUGAAAUCCGAGCACACCUACGCACUCGUGAGGACUAGGAGAUUACAUCGGGACAUAGUGCCCUUUUUCUACAGUGCCCAUGAGCCGCCGCACGCACCAGCAACGCGUGGGUGCCCAAAGCGAUUAUGCAUCGCCAAAAAAUCUCAAAACCACGGCUCAAGACUCCUACCCUAGGUAUAACACCCUAUUUGGAACCACUUUUGUUCUUGGACCUACCCCAAAAACUGAUCAGAAGUGGCCGGAAUGGCUGAAAUGUAAUUCAAAAAUCAAGCUACCAACGCUCAAAAUCGAUGCAAUCCUACCCAACCAUCAACUAGAUUAUGAAGAAUGGAUAAAUUUCCAUACCUUGAUCGCCAACAAUGGCGGCCGGAGGAGAGAGAUCUGAUCCGGCGAAGUUCGAGUGAAAACGGCCAAAAAUCAUCUUUUUCAGGCGGCUGGAGGGCGACCGAUGUCAGGGAAGGGCAGGGUCGUGACGCUAAGGCUGAGCCUGUCCUUUUGGCACCGGUCCCUUCCGCAGCCGUGUCCGGUGGCUGGAGUUUCGAAGAGAGAGAGAGAGAGAGAGAGAGAGAGAGAGAGAGAAAUCUGAUUUUUAUCAAACCUUUUUGCCAAAAUUACGGUUAUGCCACUGAGGGUAUUUUGAUAGUAUCUCUCUCGUUACAACUUCGAUUCGAGCCCACCACGUGUGUACGGACUCAUCUAACUGUGUUGUACGCAACGGUAUAGUCGAAAUUCCCAAAUUAUUUCCUUGUCAAAAAGUCAACUUUAAACAUUAUAAAAUAUUUUAGGGAAAAAAUGGUAUUUUCUCUCAAUAAAUUAGUAACUAAUUUAUUUAGGACUGGGUCAUUAUACUCUUUUUCGCUUCAAUGGAUGGGAAAAAAUUUUAUGUAAUAUCCCACAUCGACCAACGAAGAGGGGGCGAUGUGUCUUAUAUGUACAUGCCCGCCUCCAUCUAGCAUAAGGCCUUUUGGAAGCUCACUGGCUUCAGAGUCAUGGGAACUCCGAAGUUAAGCGAGUUGGGGGCUAGAGCAAUCCCAGGAUGAGUAACCCACUGGGAAGUUGCUCGUGAGCUUCGAGAAACAAAACCGUGAGGGCAGAGAGAGGGGCCCAAAGCGGACAAUAAGGCCUCGUGCUAGAUGGAGGCGGGCAUGUACAUAUAAGGCACAUCACUCUCUCUCCGUUGGUCGAUGUGGAAUGUUAGAAUGGAAUUGUUACCUUUGGUGUGGAGGUGUUCUAUCAUUUGAGCAAGAAAUUCCCACAUAUUCUUCAACUAUUUUUCAAGCAUGCAUAUUCCUCCCUAUCAAUCUUUGGUUUCUUCCUUUACUGUGCAUAGUAAGGAUCCAGUCAGGGACGGACCGUCGCUAUGACUAUCCUGGGCUAUAGCCCAGGCAAAUUAUUUUUUUUUCUAGUCUAAAAUAGCAAUCCCACCGCUUGCUGUAGUACUUGUUCAGUUCGUCACAAACAUGAGCAUAAUAGAAGUUAUCAACAUCUAUAUAGGAACCCCAAUGAAAAGGCUGUUAACUAAUAAUGAAGUUAACCCGUCAAUUUUUCCGCAUAUCAGAUAUCUCUCAGAAUAUGCGAUUCCAUAUUCAAUAAGCCACUCCACAUGCCCUGAGGUUUUCAUCAAACCACCCAUUAAGGAAACAUACUGACUCAUGUAAUUAUCAUUACUCAUCGGGUAAUGCAAUUGUUCAAAGGCAAGGACAUUUCUCAUUAUUUAUGUAGCGAACCCCAAUGGAAAUGGUGGGAUCUUCAGAACCCCAUCGGUGCUACUGAAUUGUAUGUCAAAUAUGUUUUCACCUUGUCACGCCUCAAACUUGACUCCAGCGUGCUGUAAUUCUGUCAAGCUGGGUAUGGAUGAUGGGAGUUUGAUGCAGGAGCAUAGGGGUGGAUCAAGAUAGAUAUUUACUAUUUAAUUAGUUAUUUCAUGAUAUAUUGUUAUUUUCUUAUUUAGGUAGUUUUAUGAUAUCUUUUAUUAUUUAUGUGUGAUUUUAUAAUUAAUUAGUAUACUUUUGGACCAAGUAGCCUUGGUGCUCAAGUCUUGUAAAGCCUAUAAAUAAGGCUAAUGUAAUAGUUGUAGAAUAGAUGUCGAUGAUUAAUAAAAUCGUUUAUUUGUGGCAUGGAUUUGCUACGAUAUAUGUGAGUUUGCACUAGCCCUAGAUUUCAGUGCUCGUGUAUGUGGUUGGUGACCUGUGUCCGGAUCCCGAUCCCCAUCAAUUGGUAUCAGAGCUAUGGCUCAAGAUCUGCUAUAUCGGGGAGGUUUUUGGAUGGAGGGUCGUUUUAACAACUACAACGACAUGGAGGAAAUUAGGAGGAUGCUACGGCAACUUAUGGAACACAUUGCUCGCAUUGAAGCUCGAACCCAGAUAGGUAAGAGUUCUGACGGGGAGGGAUGUGUGAACCCUUAUCUGAACCGAGUAGCUCGCAUCGACACUCUAAGCCGUGAGAGUCUCGACGGGGAGUACGAGGGAGAUAGCCCUUUUCAUUAUUGUGCUCCGCUGUGUGAGUCAAGUGAAGAGGGGCACGGUUAUUCUCAUUGUGUCUUUGAAGGUAUAAAUGAAUUUAGUAAUUUUGGUGCAUCUUGUUAUUCAUCAAAGUUAUUAAAUUUGGAUUUACCUCCAUUAUUUGAUCCUUGCAAUUGUGAAAAUUGCAAUAAAAAUUGUUUGGGUGUUCAAAGCAAUUUUGAUAAGCAAUUUAUUGACCAGAACAGUGAAGAGAUGAGAAUUGAGAAAACUUUCGAAGAUAUUAUUGAUUUUAUGGGCAUUAAUAUUUUCACUUGGAAGGUUGCCAAAAAUCUGGUUGAUUUUGUCAAUCGGUUGAAGAUUCUAGAGAGAAACAUUUGCAUUGCUAGAGGGAGUAAGAAGUCAAGAAUAACGAAAUAUUCCAAAUAUCUUUUUAUUUGGAAAGGAAGGUUUCAAUUGGAUGCUAAAAGAUCCAAAAUUAAUAUGCAGCAAUUGAAGAUUCUACUCGGAUUUUCCUUAAUCAAAGGCUUGAAUUCGAGGACGAAUUCUUUCCAACUAUGGGAGUCUGAUGCAGGAGCAUAGGGGUGGAUCAAGAUAGAUAUUUACUAUUUAAUUUGUUAUUUCAUGAUAUAUUGUUAUUUUCUUAUUUAGGUAGUUUUAUGAUAUCUUUUAUUAUUUAUGUGUGAUUUUAUAAUUAAUUAGUUUACUUUUGGACCAAGUAGCCUUGGUGCUCAAGUCUUGUAAAGCCUAUAAAUAAGGCUAAUGUAAUAGUUGUAGAAUAGAUGUCGAUGAUUAAUAAAAUCGUUUAUUUGUGGCAUGGAUUUGCUACAAUAUAUGUGAGUUUGCACUAACCCUUGAUUUCGGUGCUCGUGUAUGUGGUUGGUGACCUGUGUCCGGAUCCCGAUCCCCAUCAGAGUUCCCCUCCAGCUUUUGAUUCCAACGGUUGAUAGAGUUUAAAUAUUUUCCUGAAAAGAUCAAUAAUAUGUGCCACUGAUCUAAAAGUCUCCAAAUUGUCUUCCAAUUUGUCAACAGGCAAUAGAUGUUCGAAGAAACUGAAAGAAAUACAAAUUAUUGAAAGCCCCUCAGUAAUGCUGUUAUUGUCAGCAUUAGCAGGGAGUGUAAUUUUCUGUGGGUCGAAAAGAUCCUCGAGAAUGAAGAAUGGCAACUGAUUUUCAAGCAACCACGUAUCUGUCCAUGCAUCUUGCAACAUACCUGGUUUGUCAAAUAUGCGGUCAUUUUCGUCCCAAAAUUUGAAGUAGUCCUUCAAUAAGGGCUCAAUAACGAAGGCGGCGCCCACUAGAAUGAUUGUUACAAAUUCAUCACUGCUAAACUUGAUGGGUUCUCCAUAACAACGUCUCAAUCUUGCUUCGUGGUCCUUUAUUUUCUUAAUAUAAUCCUCCAAACUCACAUUGGUCCGACCUAUAAAAUCUUGCAGGUAUCUCUGUUUGUUCUCUUCCAAUACGACAUUCAAGCCUUCCUUUCCAUGGUGAAGUGGACCUAUAGAGACCGACUGCCUGAGGUGUGCAGAGCUUUUCAUUCACACAUACGUAGAUAAAAUGUCUGGGGGCUCAGAGAGUGAUGAAUGUGCAACAGCUAAUGGGAGGGUUUAUAUUCCUGAAGUAAGAAAUGAGGAAACACCAGCAGUUGGGAUGAAGUUUGACUCGCUUGACCUCGUUUACAAUUUCUAUAAUAGAUAUGCAUUCUUGGCUGGCUUUGGUAUUCGACUUCAUUCUAGCUUUUGGGGGAAAAAUAAGAAAGAGAUUUUGAGGAAAGAAUUUGUAUGUUGCAAACAAGGUGCAUACAAGAAGGAUGAAACUCGGGAGAGAAAAAGACAACGGGGAAUAAGUAGAUGCAAUUGCAAAGCAAAGAUUGUGGUUGUGAAGACAAAUGGGAGCAAGAAGUAUACCAUUUCUCUUUUUGCAGAGGGACACAAUCAUAAGAUGACACCCUCAGAAAGAAUGCAUUUAUUGAGAUCACACCGUCAUAUUUCAGAUUCUACAAAAGUACUCACAAAACAGUUGGGUUCAGUUAAUAUUCCCAUUCAUCAGAAGGUAAGUAUAUUCGAGGUGCAAUCCGGAGGAAUGGAUAAAAUCGGUUUUAUCAAAAAAGAUAUCUACAAUCUUGAAUGUAGUGUGAAUGGGAAGCUGAGGAACCACGAUGUUGAACUAGUGACCGAGUAUUUUAUGGCUGAACAGAAAAAAAAUGAGGCUUUUUAUUUCAAGAUUGAGGGAGAUGGGCAUGACAGGUUUAGUCGAUGUUUUUGGGCAGAUGCAACUUCUAGACGGGCGUAUGGGUUUUAUGGAGAUGUUGUUGUAUUCGAUACCACAUUCAACACGAAUCGAUACGACUUGACAUUUGCACCAAUGUUGGGAGUUAAUAACCAUGGUCAGACAAUUGUCUUAGCAUGCGCAUUUUUGAGCAAGGAAACGACUGAGUCGUUUGUUUGGAUGUUUGAGGAGUUUAAGAAAGCCAUGCCAGGUGGGGAACCUAAAACGAUCAUUACAGAUCAAGAUGCGGCAAUGGCCAUAGCGAUUUCAAUAGCCUUCCCGAGUACAUUUCAUCGACUUUGCAUAUGGCACAUCACAUCAAAGUUCUCUGUUAAGUUACCACGUGACGCUUAUAAGGAGUAUUGGCCUGAAUUUCAGAAAGCCAUAUGGGAUACUGACAAUAAGGAUGAGUUUGAUGCAAAAUGGAAUAUUGUGGUUAUAAAGGCUGGUUUGACUGACCAUCCAUGGCUAAGUUCAAUGUUUGAUUUAAGGGAAUCUUGGGUUCCAGCCUACGCACGACAAUUUUUUGCCGCUGGAAUGUCAAGCAGCCAAAGAGCGGAAGGUUCUCAUGGUUUUUUCAAGCAAUACAUAUCAAGGAGAAAUUCGUUGAUGGAUUUCAUAAUACGAUUUGAGAGGGCAUUUUCUCAUCAACGUGAAAAAGAGUUAGUUGCUGAUCACGUAGAUGCAUUUGAAGUGGCUCAAUGUCUUCUACCGAUGCCAAUGAACAAACAAAUGGCUACCUUGUACACAAGGACAAUGUUUCAAAAGUUUGAGCAAGAACUAAUACAAAGUACAGCAUGUUUCCUAGAGCUCAAAACAGAGGAUGCAUGUAAAGUUGUGUUCAACGUGAGCGAAAGGAAAAAUUGGGAAACAAGAGUGGCAGAAGUCGUAUAUGUCAAAGAUUCUGACCACGCAUCGUGUAGCUGCAAAAGAUUUGAAUUUGUUGGAAUUAUUUGCAAGCACAUCCUAGCAUUGUUCAGAAGGGACCAGAUUGAAUAUAUGCCCGAUAAAUAUAUUUUGAAGAGGUGGAAGAAAACUGCGAAAUGUGGAUUGGUGUCAGAUGCAAAUGGCAACGAAAUUAAAGACUGUGCAGAUCCUGGCCUUCUAAUAAAGCGGAGUACAAUGUCUCGACUUGCUUCAAAUGUGGUUGAGGAUGCAUUAAUGAGUGAAGAAGGAUGUGAGCUACUGUCAGAGACUCUAAAAAGUUUGCAGGUGAAGUUGAAGUUGCUGAAGGAUGGACCAAGUAAUAACGAAGUUGGAGGGUCCAGCUCUCAAACACAAUAUAUGAAAGACCCUAAGAGAGUGAGGUGCAAAGGAAGGUCGAAAGGAAUAACGGGAGCAAAGGAAAAGGCAAUGAAGCGAGGGAUUAGACACUGUCGGGAGUGUGGACACAUUGGUCAUGAUAGAAGACAAUGCCCAGCCUUGAACACACCGUAAGAUGCUACCACUAUUUGUAAUAAUAUCUAAAAUAUGAAAAGGUAAAAUUUUUAUGUGCUUGUGUUUGAUGUUUAUGCAGGACAUCACCGUCGAACAAUGACAAAUCAACUCCAAUACAUCGUAGUGACCCAUUAUUCGACGAUUUUGACAAGAUGCACAGACCAACUGAAUGAUUGAUAUUUGUAUUAGACGAAAUGUGGUUGUUAUGAAGAUUAAUGAUCAAGUGAAGUUUUAUAGAUUCAGUUUUUGAAUGUUAUUGUGUUUUUGUUCAUGUCCACCGAUGAGCUCUUACUAUGUCCACUGGUAAUUGAAAUGAAAAUUUUCUUGGUUUCAUUCUUCCAAGACAUUUGGAGACAUGUUAAUUUUACGUCUUCUCCCUAUUUAUAAAUUUUCAUAGACAUUUGAUCAAGUUUGAAAUUUGUAGUUAUGUGAAGAAGCAAUGACUCUUACCAUGUAAAAUGGGCAGUUUAGGGUGAAAUUUGUUUUAACAGAGAUUCAUUUUUCAAUUCCUCAGGGUAAUGCAGCAAUUACAGCAGCCAGCUGUUGUUUCCAUUACCAGUAAUCAUUUCCAGCAGCAGCCACUUUUUCCGACUGGUUAUUAGGGGCACGAUUUUGUACACUUUUGUAAGUGAAGGAUACUCGAAGCACUUUGUUGGAACAGAGCAAAUAGAAACCAGCGGGUAAAAAAAAAACAUAACAUUGCAGCUAAUUACAUUUCGAUACAUAGGUGAAAAAUAUUAAAGGGUACACUAACUUACAUAAAUACUCAUAAUUCCACACACAAAAGAACAUUUGAUUGCAAAACAUAUUAUGUGCUUCCUCAUAGCAAUACCACGAUCUCCCCAACCAACUGAACAACGGUAGCCACAAUCACUGGGUCGUACUCGUCAGCUUCUUCUUAGCAGGUCUCACAUGCUUAUGGCCACUCAUAUCCCUAGUGAUAUACACGAAAUAAAUCUUCAGCAAUAUUUGGAAUUUUAUUAUAUAUAAAUAAACCAUAAACCAUUCAGUAAACAAUGUAUAGCACAUGUUAUGUAACUUAUGACUCACGUGUCAGUUUUUUUUUUAACACAUUAGUACUCCAGCUCUUUAAUGUAAAUGGACAUGAUAAGGAGCAUUUACUGAUUCCCGGCUUUCUAUGAUAUUGACUGCUUCUUGAAUAAUAUUUCCAUAUUUGCAAAAUAUAAUGUUAGACAUUAUAACACAUGAUGACUUGCAAUACAUAGUCCCAAUAAUUAUAUAUCAAGCAAAUGAAACUGAUAUUUGUGUUAUUUUAAGUUAGAUAAUGACAUUAAGGGAGUAUAUGUGCAAUACCACGGUCACCCUCAACCAACUGAACAGCGGUAGCCGCAAUCACUUAGUCGUAUCGGUCGGCUUCUUCCGAGCAGCUUUGACGUGCUUAUGCUCAUUCAUGUCACCCCCAUCGUCUAGUAUCUCUCUCACAGCAUCAGGGGACACAUAGUUCCAAUCAUAACUUGUAUGAGUAGUUGCCGCAAAUGCUCGGAAUUUGUCGAAUCCUUCGUUGAAUGCCAACUCCAGUUCAGUAUGGUGCUCUUCGCAUCGCAUAUGGUUCAUCAAACAACCUUUGAUUUCAUCAUUCAUUACUGUAUCCAACUCCUCAGCUUUCAGCUUCCUGCUAUGACUCAGCUUCAAGUACUUGUUCUUUUGGGAUAACGCUUUGUUCACCCUAAUGUUAAGAUCAGCCAAAAUUGCCUCGUCUUCAACACAUUUCUCGUGCCAUGAAUUGAUCAGUCUGGAAUUAUAAUCCAGCUUGCCACUGACUGCAUGUAUUGCCUGUAAUGGAUCAUCGGAGUCCCCCUCACUCCCAAAUGAUGUUGAAAAAGGAAGGGGUCGGCGAGUACAAUGUGGAAAUAGAACCUGCCACUCCAAUUUGUCAUCUUCGAUUGUGUUGUUGGCGCCUGAAGAGGUUGACAUGCUUGAAUAAUCCUCUUUGUUUUGGGAGGAUGAGGAUUGCAUAUGCAAUUUCGUUUGAGAAAGGGAACAUAGGUUUAUAGACCAACAUACCAAAGCUUGUGUGUAGUCAACAUAUGUACUUUUUGGCGGGAAUUUUUUAAAAAUAGGUGUUAGGUUUUGCUUUUCAAGCAUGUCAACCUCACACUCUCCUGACACCACUGCUAGUGGUUGAAACAAAGUCAAUGGAAGUGACAUCUACUUAGUUAACUCAACCAAACUAGUUAGGAUUAAACUUAGAUUGUAUCAGACCAAAAAAUAAUUUCUACUUUGUCAACCAAAUAUUUUUUGGCGGGAACCCUUUUCUUGGUAUUACUAUCACCCCUUUCAUAUAAAAUCUCCUUCCACACAAAACUCACUCCUCCACCGAAUCUGUCUCCAUCUACCGAUACUCUCUCAAGCAAACAAACUCAUUCCCCCCAAAGAAUGAGCAUAAGCACAACCAAGUUUGAUGUGAGCAUAAUAAACACCCCUCCAAACAAAGACCGGCUUCGACACGCAAGUGAGUCACCGGACAAGCAAUGUCACAUUGCUAGACAGAAUGACCAUUUUGUUGGAAGUUUUGAGUCUGAAAGAGUUGUUGCUUUUUGGAAGGAGAGGCAUCUUCAACUUGGUGAUGAAAUCCAAAGGGCAAGGGCACGUUUGGAAUUUGUGGAAGGCCAAAUUGAAGAUGACAAAAGGCAGGCCAAUCUGGAUAGGGCGAAGUUGUAGCGCAUGAAGCGUAGACACAAACGACUUCGGAGUGUAGCUGUUCAAAAAUACAAGAACUCAUCUAAUGUAGUGGAGUCAAAGAAGCGUGUGAUGCAAGCUGGAUUCGACUACUUCCGAUCCUAUGCAAAACUCGUCGUACCCGGGUUUGAUUGGUCAUCUAUUACCGUUUCCGACGUCACCAAAUAUACUCAGCAAGGGAAGUAACCAUUUUGGUUCUCGUGUUUUAGCAGAGGCAAAUAAGUGGAAUUGGAAUUUUGGUUACACUCUGCUUCAAAGCUAUUUUGAUGCUAACUACUAUGGAAGAUUUAAACCUUAAUAUUUUGAUGUCUUUAAUUACGAAAACAGAAGAUGCAAAGAGCUCAUCUACUUCAGCCAUAUGUUGCUGCCAUGUCCAUUUGUUUUUGAUCACUUAUCAGAUUUGGACAUGGUUGCAUCAUAUGCAAUGUUGCCUUUAUUUAUUAUAUGUUAGGACAAGGUUUAUGGAAAAGCUUUUGUGAGUGCGUUUGUGACAAGGUUAUGGAAUUAUUAUGUACACUUUAUAUAUUGUUUUUUGUACUGGUUCAUUUCCUACUAUUUCUUGCUUUCUUUAUAUUUUAUGUUUGUGGAAUCCCUCUCAAAGUUAACAUAUACUGUGAAAAAAAUAUUAUGCAACUGAUUAUAUAAUCACUCAUAUAGACUAGGACAAAUAUUCACUAAGGGUUUUAAACUUGCUUCACUUGUGUGAUGUUAUUGACAAAAAGUAUGGCAUUAUUUAUGUGAUUUGACAUGAUUGAAAAUAUAUUACUGAUUCCCAAUGCGGCGUCAUAUGGACAACGUAUUGAAUACCUGUGACGUGUUAAUAACUCAAGGUGCAGUUGCAUGUGGACAACUUCUUGAAUACCUCUGACGUGUUGAAAACUCUAGGUGCAGUUGCAUGUGGACAACUUAUUGAAUACGAACUGACGUCUUCAAAGCUCUAGGCGUAGUUGCAAUGAUGGCUUCAAAGCAUGUGCAAUUAUUUUUUAUGUACAUUAUUAUAACAAAACAUAUUAUUGUAUAUAGUGAAACUAAAUAUUGUAUUAUUAGAAAUUAUAUUUCGAAUAUUAUCCGAAAUAUACGUGUUAACGUGAAUUUGGGUUAAGAGGAAAGUGAGUUAUGUACAAAUAAUUUUCAUUUUCUCAUUUUCCGGGCAUUUUUUGGAUUUUCGUAGAAUUUAUUACCUAUGUCCACAGAUUGUUGCACUAAAAAAGCCAAAAUAAUAGCAAGAGGACACCUGGAGCGAUCUCAGCCCGUCACUGAUGACUACUUGCACAAGUGUACGUCAGUCAACAUGGCCACACCCUCCCAUUUUACCCUAAAUUAUUAUUUUAUUACUUUUCCUUACAAAAAUCAGAACUAAUUACACACAAAAUAAAAAAAUUAUCCGAAAAUUGCUACGAACUCAUUGACACUCCAUCUCCGUUGCUGAAUUCUCCGAUUCAUUGUUACGUAUUUGUAAAAUUAAUUCCCAACAUUAACGGGAGAUGCUUGUUGAAGUAGGUUAUUCAAGUUGAAGUUAACAAACAUCAAUACUUAGGGUUAAGAGGAAAGUGAGUUAUGUAACACAAUUUGGAUUAUUUCAUUGCGAGACGAAUGAUUUAUAGGUUCUCCUAGUUUUAUGACGUCACAAGUAGGCCGGAGUAAUUUUUGGGGCAUUUUUACGAUUUUCCUACUAUUUUUUACCUAGUUUCAAAGAUUUUUGAACAAAAGAAUCCAAAAUGUAAAAGAAGAUGACACCUGGCGCGAUCUCAGCCCGUCACUUUUCACUACUUGCACAAGUGUACGUCAGUCAACAUGGCCACAUCCUCUCAUUUUACCCUAAAUUAUUAUUUUAUUACGUUUUGUCUUGGAAAAUUCAUAACUAAAUACACAAAAAUUCAAAAUUAUUUCUGAAAAUUGCUACGAACUCAUUGACACUCCAUCUCCGUUGCUGAAUUCUCCGAUUCAUUGUUACGCAUUUUUAAAAUUAAUUCCCAACAUUAACGGGAGAUGCUUGUUGAAGUAGGUUAUUCAAGUUGAAGUUAACAAACAUCAAUACUUAGGGUUAAGAGGAAAGUGAGUUAUGUAACACAAUUUGGAUUAUUUCAUUGUGAGACGAAUGAUUUAUAGGUUCUCCUAGUUUUAUGACGUCACAAGUAGGCCGGAGUAAUUUUUGGGCCAUUUUUACGAUUUUCCUACUAUUUAUUACCUAGUUUCAAAGAUUUUUGAACAAAAGAAUCCAAAAUUAACAAGAAUAUGACACCUGGCGCGAUCUCAGCCAGUCACUUUUGACUACUUGCACAAGUGUACGUUACCGAACAUGGCCACAUCCUCCCAUUUUACCCUAAAUUAUUAUUUUAUUACCUUUUUUCUUGGAAAAUUCAUAACUAAAUACACAAAAAUUAGAAAAACGAUCCGAAAAUUUCUACGAACUUAUUGCGAUUUCAUCUUCCUACUGCAUUCCCUGUUUAAUGGUUAUGCUACAUUAGUAUUUUAUUAUUAUUUAUCCACAAUUAUUAUAAUUAUUAUGAUAUUACUUUUUAGGCUGUCCAUUUGUUAAUUAUACCACAUCCAACUUGUUGAAAACAAUUUUAUUUUCCGUGCGAAUAGGCCAUUUGUAGUGCUUAUCGGUUUCUCUGUUCUUCAAUUUGUUAAUUUUUUUAUUUUUUAGGUUGAAGGGAUGUUUUGAAACAUAAUAUGGAAAUAUACAAGUCAUCCAUUGUACUCCUUCCACACAAAAAAAUAGUCUACGUCAUUCACUGUUCAACACCCUAGGUUAAGACACGUGUAACCAAAUCCGUUCGGAUAUGCUAAGUGGGAAAAUGUCAUUCCCAAGCACUGGUGAAAAGACACUUAUUUACUCCAUGCAUGACUUUUGGUUUACCAAAUAUGAAGAUUGGGGUCGGUGAGCAAAAUAUCUGUGUCAGUAAAAUGUCAUUCCUAGCCAUCUAUGAUGUAAGUAAUAAUUCCGCUAUAUAAUAAAUAUUAUACAUUUAUAUAUAAAACGGUUUAUGACAAAAUACCAACAUUUGAACAACAUUUAAACUGAGAUAGGUAUAACGUAGCCAGCCAACCUAGAAGUGAAGAGAAGCAAGUCCACAAUGCAUCAAAACUGUAAAUUCGUACUAAAACUAAUGCAAAAAUACGUGAUUCCCUCGCACAACUUACUCACGCAGGAUUUUGCACCAAAAAAUACUCUCACGGUGCCAUUUGCAUCGGUUGCAGCAAGUCCAAAACGCAGGAUUUAUCUUGUCUUCACUAGGCCACCCUGGAAUAACAAAAUACCAUUCAUUGUUGUUACAAGCGCUGCACCGAUUGAACUUAAUCUUCCCAUAGUCAAACAUAUCUACGAUAUGUCUUGCAACAAAUGCUCCGCGACAUCUUCCUGUUAAAGCAUCCCUGGUUCCUUUCAUAUCAAUGUUGUUACGUUGAUUCAAAGAACACAAGAAUUGUAAUGCAUCCUCUUUUGACUGACCAAUUCCGGACAUACCAAGUAGUCCAACUACAUAUGCCGCUUCCAUAUGGCCUGCCGUGGCUGCAAUGCGCAUCCCAUACAACGCUUCCACCUUACCGUCUGUGAAAAAACCUUCGAAUGCUUCUCUAAAUAUGGACUCAGGGUUAUCGCAAGCCCUGCAUUGUUGCAAGAAAUGCUGGACUGCAGGUUUGGCACGGUAGCAGAUAGGAUGGUGUGGGUACUUUGCCAUUGAAAUGGUGUUCCACACUUGUGGACUGUUUGCCAAAAUGUUGAACAAUCGGCACACACAUGCCAUACGGAAGAGAUCUUCCGAUGAUUCGGUUGCCACGUAUAACAUCACUUGAAACCAAGCGGACUCCGGGAUAAAGGCUUCGGGCAUAUCGAAAUGGAGAUGCUUCCUUCUCUUUCCUCCGACUGUAGUGAAGUGUUUCGAAUUCAUUGAAAAGUUUUUGGAAUGGAACGAUUUGAGGAGUGGCAGAGGGGAUAAAUGAUAAUAUUUGGGGUACACGUUCUACUUCCGAGCCUCUGUUUAUAGUGUUUUGAAAAGGUGUUUCCAGUUGGGGUUUUUCCAAGUUGACCCUUUUGAAAGAAACUGAAUCCAAGUGAAUUAAAACUUAAGACAAAAGAAGGGAAAACGUCAUAACGGUGCAUACAGAGUCAGACAGUUAAAAAGUUAAUUAAAUGGCUAUUUGCAUAGCCAUUUUUGGGUUUAUCCCACUAUCAAAUUCAUUGAUACAAAUGUGAUGGAUUACUGACUAGUGACAGAAGGUCCCAUCAUAUACUUUUUCAUUUUCGCACACCCAACUAUCCCUAGUAAUGUUAUUAAAAUGGAACCAAUAAUGACGGAUUCUUAUCCAACUAGUUGCCUUAAUGAAAUAUAAAUAAAUUAAUAAAAUUGAAGCAGUGUCCCGUCAUUAGUCAGAAAAUAUAUUUGGUAGUGAAGUAGUUUCUAUUGCUUUUCGGGCUAAAAGAUGUCACAAUGCUGACGGUACAGGUGUCGACAUCGUGACCAACCCACCAAAUGAUCCCAAAAAAAAGUAAUAUAACUCGAUUUGGGCAGAGAUGAGAGAGAGCUGAGUGACAAGUUUAGGGUUAUGAGUGAAGGGGUAUGAAUGACAACUAUGAGUGAGAAGGUAUGAGUCCGAAGAGGUUUCAGUGAGAAGAUUUGAGUGAGAAGAGGUACAACUGAGAAGAUUCAACAUGUCUUCGUCUUCAUCUCCUGCUCAAACAAAGAGGUGUCAGUAUUGUGGAGCUACAAUGGUGCUUCGGGUUUCAAAAUCUGAAAAAAAAUCGAGGGAAGCCAUUCUGGAAGUGUCUAACCUCCUAUGUAAGUUUUAAUUUAAAGAAUAUGUAUGUGGGUGAAAAAAAACCUAUGUCUAACUCUGACAGAAUUAUAUUCCAUAUAUGAUGCCUGCAAUUAGGGAGCCACCAGUUGCAAUGGAUUCGAAUGGGUUGAUGUAACCUCCGCUGAAGCAGAACAUCAAGAUGACACGUAUGAUGUUAGAGUGCUGAACAUGCUGAAGUCCAUUAAGGACUUGGUAUUAGUUUUAUUAGUUGUAUUAAUUGUCAUUUUAUUUGUUCUUUUAAUGAUCAUUUAACUGCACGGUUUAAAAGAUUGUGAAAGUUCUCUCGCACAAGACAUAUUGCACGCACCACCAAUGAGACCCUAAACCCAUUUUGUAAUAUUUGGUAACUGCAUGUAUUUCGCAUGUUAUUGAAUGUUUAUUGAAGGUUUAUUGAUAGUUUGCUGCAUGUAUAUGGAAUAUCAUUGCCCCAAAAUUGGAUGUUUAUUGGGGCCACAAGUAUCACUCAAGUAAGAAUGAAGGGGAGAAACGGACCUUAUUCUUUCUUAUAGUAGGAAGAACAACUGUUAAGUUUAAUAUCCUAUUCAAUACGACUUCCCUAUGGUUGGUGUACUUGGGGACUGAAGUAUAUUGCAUCAUUAUUGUGGGCAAGGGCAUGUCUAUUGUGUGUGUUAAGGGAGUAUUGUGUGGGCAAGGGCAUGUCUACUGUGUGUAUAUUGCAUGUCUACUGUGUGUAUAUUGCAUAUCUAUUCUCUGUAUAUGGCAGGCCAAGUUUGUGUAUAUUGUUUGUCUGUUGUGUGUGUAUUGCUUGUCGGUGCGUUUGUGAAUUGUGGUUCAUUUUGUGUAUAUUGUCUUUGUUUCUACUUUUAUGCUACUGAGCUGCGGAAAACCUCGCAUGUUUAGACACCUAUUAUGAUGCAACACAUUGCGAUUAAUGGUGGCUUGCAUCAACAAUGACAUAUCACUUUGCAAUGAUGUAAUACACUUAAAAAGCCGUCUUCAAAUCCCAAUUCACAUAUGCAGUCUUAAAAUUCUAAUUCAAUGCAGUUUGGUUAACAAACAUGUAAAUGUCAUGAAGGAGUUAGCGGUAGAAUUCGAUAAGGACCCGUACGUCUCUAUUGUGUAUUUACAUUAGUUUGAGAAUGGACAUUCCCAAAACCUUCUCAUGUACCAUUUGUCAUCUUCAACCAAUAUCAUGGGAAGUAAGCAUCUCCCCUUGUUAUCUCCGCAGCCAAUUUCAACCGAAAAAAAGGCAUGUUGUGCGAGGUGCAAGUAGCUAACGGAAGCUUAGCGCUGAAAAGCUCAAUGUACUUUAACACAAACAUGCCACAAUCGCCUCUGAAGCAAAACAAGAACUCGAUCAAUUCAACUAAUGACAUUCUAAUGUAAUUGACAAUUGAAAGUAAUAAAAUUAAAUUGCAAGUUGUGCUUACUCAUUAGACUGUUGUGGAACAUCCACACGCUCUAUUGGCCACGGACACCACCAAUCUCGGCUGCAAUUGUUUGCAUAAACACCUUCUUCAUAAAAGUCGAUGGUGUUGAGAAGAUUUGGAAGCGUAAUUGAUAGCGGGCCGAGUUCUUCCUUUACGAUGUCAUCUGGAAUUAGUGAAACCUUUGAAUCGUACACUUUGAUUCACACAAUACCAGAUCAAACANNNNNNNNNNNNNNNNNNNNNNNNNNNNNNNNNNNNNNNNNNNNNNNNNNNNNNNNNNNNNNNNNNNNNNNNNNNNNNNNNNNNNNNNNNNNNNNNNNNNNNNNNNNNNNNNNNNNNNNNNNNNNNNNNNNNNNNNNNNNNNNNNNNNNNNNNNNNNNNNNNNNNNNNNNNNNNNNNNNNNNNNNNNNNNNNNNNNNNNNNNNNNNNNNNNNNNNNNNNNNNNNNNNNNNNNNNNNNNNNNNNNNNNNNNNNNNNNNNNNNNNNNNNNNNNNNNNNNNNNNNNNNNNNNNNNNNNNNNNNNNNNNNNNNNNNNNNNNNNNNNNNNNNNNNNNNNNNNNNNNNNNNNNNNNNNNNNNNNNNNNNNNNNNNNNNNNNNNNNNNNNNNNNNNNNNNNNNNNNNNNNNNNNNNNNNNNNNNNNNNNNNNNNNNNNNNNNNNNNNNNNNNNNNNNNNNNNNNNNNNNNNNNNNNNNNNNNNNNNNNNNNNNNNNNNNNNNNNNNNNNNNNNNNNNNNNNNNNNNNNNNNNNNNNNNNNNNNNNNNNNNNNNNNNNNNNNNNNNNNNNNNNNNNNNNNNNNNNNNNNNNNNNNNNNNNNNNNNNNNNNNNNNNNNNNNNNNNNNNNNNNNNNNNNNNNNNNNNNNNNNNNNNNNNNNNNNNNNNNNNNNNNNNNNNNNNNNNNNNNNNNNNNNNNNNNNNNNNNNNNNNNNNNNNNNNNNNNNNNNNNNNNNNNNNNNNNNNNNNNNNNNNNNNNNNNNNNNNNNNNNNNNNNNNNNNNNNNNNNNNNNNNNNNNNNNNNNNNNNNNNNNNNNNNNNNNNNNNNNNNNNNNNNNNNNNNNNNNNNNNNNNNNNNNNNNNNNNNNNNNNNNNNNNNNNNNNNNNNNNNNNNNNNNNNNNNNNNNNNNNNNNNNNNNNNNNNNNNNNNNNNNNNNNNNNNNNNNNNNNNNNNNNNNNNNNNNNNNNNNNNNNNNNNNNNNNNNNNNNNNNNNNNNNNNNNNNNNNNNNNNNNNNNNNNNNNNNNNNNNNNNNNNNNNNNNNNNNNNNNNNNNNNNNNNNNNNNNNNNNNNNNNNNNNNNNNNNNNNNNNNNNNNNNNNNNNNNNNNNNNNNNNNNNNNNNNNNNNNNNNNNNNNNNNNNNNNNNNNNNNNNNNNNNNNNNNNNNNNNNNNNNNNNNNNNNNNNNNNNNNNNNNNNNNNNNNNNNNUUUUCCUCUCCCUCAUCUCUAUUAUUUGGCCCUUCACCCCCUUCAAUCCCUUCAUCUUCUUUUUCCUCUCCCUCAUUUCUGUUACUUGGCCCUUCAUCCCAUUGAAUGUCAUCCAUUUCCCCAUAUCCCUUAAAUAGAUGUGAGACGACACAACGAUUCGUCCUCUGUUUCAGUAAAGCUAGGUCCCUCCUUACUUCCUGCUCAAACUGAGGACCUAAACAUUGGUCCAAUAGUUUUUCCAUCCGUAUGACCUUUAAGUGAAGGACGUCUUUUUCCCGCUUUUCUUGAAACAACUCGGACCUCAACAAGCUUACCACCUUGUUCAACUCAUCAAGAUCACCACAUGAAGAAGGAAUUGACUCUGCCGAGACAACAGCAGGGCGAUCCUGUGGCCAACUCCAAUAUGGCUGUCUCAUUUCCUCUUCACUUAGACAUAGCGCCCGCAACUGAACUGACUGUUUCAGAAUACAGACAAGAGUCAUAUUAAAUCAUUCUACUUCAUAAUUUCAUUCAAUCUUAUCAAUAGUUCUAAGGGCUGCAAACCAAACCUCUUUGCUCUGGAAAAAAUAAUUGUUCAACUUUCUCAUCUCUGGAACAGACGUAGUAGUUCUCCAUCGCAAAAUACGCGGGACAGCGGUCGGAUCAACAACCUUGCAGUAAUUCAGGUCCGCCAUUCUAGGAAUUAAUUCAUAUACCCAAAUCUACACAAUUCACAGGACAAAAGUCAUUAUUUAUGUUUUAAAGAAAAACAAAACAUAACUGACAUGAACAUUAUUACCAUGUACCUGGAAAGCAUACGUGAAACCUUUAAAACUCCAGCCACUCCUUUGCGCUUCACUAUGCUUAUCCUUCUUGCCCUUCUCAUUUCUCCGGCUUGUUCCCGUUACCUUACUUUUCCCCUUCCCUCUUCCCUCUUCAUUUUCCAAGCUUUUCACAUACUUUGUUGGUGCAGAAAAUAGACUGUCUUGGGUUUUGUCAAAGGACACCGAACCCCACGGAUACCUGUUGAACGCAUCCAAGUCCUCUACAAGGGUCAGGUAAUUUAGAUUGAUGUUCAAAUGUUUGUCCCUUCCCAAAACCACUAACUCAGCAAAGUAAACAAGAGGUAGCUUGAAGAUGUCAUCUUCCUCUGUGCACCUCACAAAUGCUUCUUCUAAAGCAUUGCAUGUAAUUCCUUCGUCUAUAAAAUAUCUUUUCUGAAGUCUGAUUUCAUUACUCUCUCCACUGGAAACUUCAGGCACUUCCCCAAAACGAAGCCCUGUGAUCAAACAGAAAUCCUGACGAGUGAACUGAGCAACGUCACACCCUAAUAAGAAACUCAGUCCAUCCAAGUCUUUCACACCCUGCCCCGCUACUCUACGCAACACAACCCCAUGCACAAUCUGUCCGCUAAACUGAAUCUUAUCUAUAUUCAGAAGAUGGCCAAAGCAUGAUGUCUUGAAUUGUUCUAAUUGUUCCGCACUCAACUUCGCUCGAAUUGCAGCUAGAGAUGAAUUUGCAUGUGAGCAGUUGUUCACCCGUGAUGAAUAUACCUCUGCCUCUGGCCAUACCAGCUCCACGUUGGAUCCCAUUUCCUCAAAUACAAUGUGAAAUAACGUGAACAUAUAUACUACCACGUAUUUGCACAAUCACAACUAGUCAACCAGGCACAUUACAACUUUUACAAAGUACAUGAGCAUAUGGAUUACUCAUCACAGGCUUUAACAUCAUCAAAGCAAUAUGACAAUUUUUGUGCAAAUACCUGUUAAUGCAAUGAUUAUGUGAAUUACAAACAAUUUCACGUGUUUUAUUUAUGGAUCCAUACUCGUGUGAGUGCAAUGUAGGCAAGUUCUGCACUUCACACACAUGACAAUUAUUGUCAUCUCAUACACAACCCAAAAUAAAUAAAUAAGAAAUAUAGUGGAAGGAAGCAAAGCAAAGCAUGUACUCUGCUAUCUGCUUGCUAAGCAAUUGCCACAUCCUUCUUUCUUUCUACCUUUUUCUUCAGUCACCCACAAUCGUCAUAGAUCAACCUUCAUUUCAAAUGCUUUGCACUUUUAUUCAUGAGUUUAUUAUUAUCUGUUCUCAUUUCUCAUAGGCAAAUUUAGUAACAAAUGAAAUAAUAUUUAUUUCACAAAAUAUAUAAAUUCUAGUGCCAGAGAGGUACUCUUCACUCUGCACUGCUUCAAAUGUGGAAGGUUUUGAGAUGUUAUUGACAUGUGAUUGACUUUAUUUUCAUUCGUUUUUUAACAUAUACCCAAGCAAAAAUUAACAUGCAAUUGAAGCACAAAUAAGAGAUGCCAAAUCCAACAACAUUGAUGGUACAAAUUGGGGAAAACCAUUACUCUAACCCUAAACUCAAAUUCCUUACAUUACUCAUCAAAUGCUUUGCAGUUCUAUUCAUGAGUUUAUUAUUAUCUGUUCAAAUGUUUCUCAGGCAAAUUUAGUAACAAAGGAAAUCAUAUUUACUUCAUAAAAUAUAUAUAUAUAUAUAUAUAUUCUAGCGCCUCUUCUUAAUCUGCACUAUGCACUGCUUCAAAUGUGGAAGGUUUUGAGGGCCUCCUCCAAUUCAACACCAUUAUCUUAUUCAUAUCAUUAUUGACAUGUUAUUCACUUGUUAUUGACUUCAUUUUCAUUCUUUUUUUAACAUAUACCUAAGCAAAAAUUAACAUGCAACUGAAGCACAACGAAGAGAUGCCAAAUCCAACAAAAUUUAUGGUACAAAUUGGGGAAAACCAUUACUCUAACCCUAAACUCAAAUUCCAUAAAUUACUCACCAAAUGCUGGUUAUUGCAAGGUGUCUGUGUGGGGUCUUUCUGUUUCUUUGCUCCACAAAUGGAACCUACCACUUCCAACGAAUACAGCUUUUCCCCUUCCCCUUCCACUGCUUCGCCUCUUCACUGAUUUGGAAUCCACACCUUUGCCCCUUCUACUCCAAAUAAAUACUUUCUCGGGGUCUGGAGAACGGAGUGGCGAAUCGUUGCCUUCAACUGUCGUUAGCCGUUGCCUUCAUUGGGUAUCUCAGACCUCUGUGUUUUAGAGAGAUGAGUUCUUUCUGUUCAAACUUCGAACUUGCCUCUUCUUCUUCUUUUUCGGACGUGUUUCCCUCUUCUUCUUCUUUUUGGACGUGCUGGAUAUUCAAUUCGGGUUUGGGUUCCUUACCUACCCAAUUGUGAAACUUUAACUCAAUUCUCCCCAGCCCUUGGAUUAAUCUGAUGGCUAUAAAGUGAACCCCUUAUAACUUACCCCUUAUAACUUUCCACUCAUUAUAGUCUUGGCCAGGUAUGGCGGCCAUGCUAGUAAGUGUUGGGUCUUUGACCCAACUUAAGCUAAAUGGGUCAUAAGAUGACCGAUCAUCUUAUCUCAUAAGGAUAUAUAAGUCAUGUUAUGAUUUAGGAUUUUAUAGGGUUUCCUUUGUAAGAGGUAAGAGAGAAACAAGCUCUCUCUCUCUCUACACAAGGAGGUCAGCCAUAGCAAGGGAAAGGCUCCUAGCACUCUCCUCUCUCUUAUUAUAUCAUCCUUCCAAGGACAGCUUUGGUAUGGUAAAGUUGGAGGUUGCACACUUUGUGCACUUUGGUAAGAACUCAUCCAAGGGAGCCAAGAUUAAAUUGGUUAGCUGUUGGAUUAAAUUGGUUAGCACGAUUCAACGGUUAAUAGAUAAAACUUCACAUAAAAGUCAUAUAUAAGGCCCUCACUAUAGAAUGACUCGUUAGUUUAGUCUCUUGUUACAUAUCAAAUGUUAGAGAUAUUUUUUAAUAAGGAUCUGCCAUACCACAUAGUUGGAUAAGACAUUAUACACGGCUUUUGUAAGAGCAUCUCCAGCGCUCCAAACUAGCCCAAGCAGCAGGGGGGCCUAAGUCUAGGAAGCAGCUCCAGCUCGCAAGAUUCAACCCAGGCAAGGUGUGGAACCCACGAGGAGAUCUAGCCCGUCACCUUGCCUUUGGGUUUCAGUCAAGCUGAUGUCAACGAAAGAAUUUCAAAUUUUUUUUACCGUUACAAUGUACGCGCCAACGAUAAAUUUUCUUUGGAUUUCUUGCAUUGAUCCACAGCUACCAAAAACCAACAGCUACAAGCCACGUGGCUUCUCCAGGAGCCUCCGAUCCAAAAAUCAUGUCAAAUCUAACGGCAGUCCAUUUUUUGGCUAAAAAUAUCAAAAAAUUAUGGAAACAUGUUCUAUAAAUUCCUACAAAUAUUAUUCACUUCCCACACCAAAUCUUCAUACAAAUUCAUAUCCUUUCAAUAUUUUUCACUUUCCAUACAAGAUUUUCUACUACUAAGUUUCGUUUGUGUAAAAAUACAAAUGACCUCUUCUAUCGAAGCCGGAGGCGCGUGUACAACCGUGGAAGAUAUUUUGUUGCGUGAGUGUUGGGUCAAAGUUGGUCAUUCCCUGAUCACGGGCAAUGAGAUGAAGUCCUCUCGUAGGAGUUUCUGACAUCGCAACGAAAGUAAGAUGUGAUAUGAAAAUGUAAGGAAUUUGAUGAGAGGAAUGGGAUUUGAGGAGUUUGAUGUAGGAAUUGAUGUAGGAAUUGAAUUUGGGAGGUAUGUAUAUAAGAUUUGAGGGUAUGUGUUUAGGGAUUUUGAUAAGAGGAUUUGAGGAAUUUAGAUUUGAAGGAUUUGGAUUUGGGGAAUUUAAAUAUGAGGAAUUUGAUUAGGGUUUGGGUUUGAAUAUGUGAAAUUUGAUAUGAGAGUUUAGAGACAACAGAUGAUCGAUUGCUCUGAUACCAUGCUAAAAUAUGAUAUGGUUUGAAUACUUUAGGUUGAGUUUUAUUCUUUUCCAUAAAAAGGUAUAUAUAGGAGUUUACAUGAGUGCUUUACAAAGAAAUAGAUACAAUAAUCAAUUAGGAUAAUAUCUCCUAAUUAUACAAUAAUUUGUCAACUAUAUAGAAUAGGAAAGUAAAUUCCUUAAUUAAUCAAGAAAAUAAAUCUCAUUGAUUAAUUAGGAGACUAACGUCAACAUUUAUAAGCCAUAAAAGAGCAGAAAAAGAGGUACUUAGGAGAUUUUAUACGUCGGACUAAGGUAAGCUUAAAGGACUAUAUCAAAAAAAUAAGGGACCAAGAAGCAAGACAGAGAAGUUGUUAUGCAAACCCAUUAAGUUUAGCAGUGAUGAAUUUGUAAAAAUCAUUCUAGUGGAUUCUGCCUUCACUAUUGAGUUCUUAUUGAGGUUCUAUCUGAAAGGAUCUGGACAUGAAGGAGACCGCUUAUUAAACAAACCGUGGAUGUUUACAGCCUGACAUGUGGUUGCUUGAAAAUCAGCUCCCAUUCUUUAUUCUUGAGGAUCUUUAUCACACAUACAUAAUAACCGACUCUUUUAGGAAUUAUUACAGUACUCAUGAUCAUGAGAGGCUUUCAAUAAUUAAUAUUUCUAAGAAUUUCUUCACAGCCGGAAUAUUGAAUUUGGAGGGGAAGGGAGACAAAUGGAACAGAAUAUCAUCUUCUUCUAGUGUUGGAAAUUUUAUAUUAUUUAAUAAUAUUUAAUUUCUAUUGUGAAUGAAAAAUAAGUUUCUUUAAGAAACGUGUGUCUUAGGCCAGUUUUUCUAACUGGUCGGCUUCCUUAGAUUUGUGCCUAUUGCUUUUCAAAGUAUAAUGAUGCAAUGGUUGUAUCUCGUUCAGGCAAAUGGAAGGUAUAUAGCAAUUUAUAGAACAAUACAGUAAUCCAGAAGAAAUAUUAUGAAAUGAAAAGAAUAAAAAGUAAAAAAAGAGAAAGAAAGGAAUUCCCACCUGCAAUGUAUAUGUAUGAAAGGAAGGACCAAGUUUGUUUUAAAAUGGUAAGAACAAGUUGAUUUUAAAUUGGGUUCAGAUCAACUCAUAGAUUUCUUGCCUUUUCUGUUCUCCUUCCUUGGACAUGAACUGUUUAAUCUUGGACUCUUCCCCAUCAUGUUGGGCCUGUCUUCUUCUUGAGGAUUGUAUAGGCCUAGGAAAUGCUUCGGGGUAGUUUUUGUGUUUUGGGCAUUGGGACCCAACUUCACAAAAAGAAAACAAAUUUGACCAAAACACAAAUUUGAAGGACAUUGAAAUUGUACCCGUAGGAUAGAUUAAAACACUAUAAGGGAGGUAAAUAGUACGUUUACAGAGUUUAAGUGUAAUAAAGGAAUAAAAACAUGCCCAGAGAAUUGAUAAGUGAUAUCAAUUCUUGAAUAUACGUGAAAAUUAUUUUAUGUGGUUAAACCCCACCUCUGGGGAAAAUCCACGGAACUUCUUAGUCCAACUUCUAUCACUUAUCCUAGACACAUUCUAGAUAAUGUUUGCCAACCUCUUCGUAACUCAACUUCUGUCACGAGAUGAUCUUUCAACACUUUAUGUCGAACGCAAUACUGGUCACGAUUUCUUCAAGCUCGCCGGAGUUCUUCCAAUUCUCCUUAUAUUGAAUCUGAUACUAGUCACGAUCGAUUCAAGCUCAUCGGAGAAAAAUCGCCACAACAAUCUUGGUGCCCUCAACCGUAUGAGUCACUGAACAUGCAAAUGAAUACAAUAUGAAUGAUAAAAGUGUUUGAUAAAUCACCAAGUUAUGGAACACUUGAUGAUUUAUCUCAAAUAAAAAUUCAGCUUUCCAAAGUUUAUGAAUUGAAAAUAUGACCGUUAAAGCUCUCUAAACAAAGAAGACGAAGGUCUUAUUUUAUAGACUUUUACUUUACAAGAAAGAAAACACGUUGAAAACCAAAUCUCCAAUUUCCAAGGCUUGACAGAAAAUCACAAAAUUAUCUUUCCUAUUCUAGAGAUUGGUCACAUGAAGUCCAACCAAUAGGAAAUGAGAUAUUUAAGAAAGGAAGAUUUUGAUCAAUAUCAAUAUCAAAUGAAUUCUUAUACGCCUAGUCAAUUGUUAUGGGUAUCUUGACUCCUUGAUAUUGUGAUAUGAUUGAAACAUGAUUUCCACGUUAGAAAAUUAAGGGGAUGUUAAAACAUGAAGGUAAUAGGAGAAUCAAAUUGAUUUGGGCCAAAAUUGCCUAAAAAGAAAACACUCCUUAAUAAACUUCAAUUUACUUUUAAAAAUAGUAAAACGUGAUUGAAUCGUUCUUUAAAACAAUUCCCUAAUAUACAUGCAUGAUAGUGAUAUCACUUACCUUUGAAUCAGAUGGCUUUCACGGGUCAAGCCACAAGUUUUUGUCUUGGGGAUUGCUGAGCUUCAUCAAUCCUGCCAAUGUCAAUUUUGCCCCUAAGCUCUCUCAAAGCACGUUUACAACCUAUGCUAACAUAUAUUAGAGUUUAUGUUAGUAUCAAGAAAAUGCCAACACUAAUUUCGUAACACGUAGAAAUUGUUAGAGAUUGAAGUUUUUAUCAUUUUUUCUUCCAGACUCUCCACCACUCACUAAUAUAGUUUACUCAUGUGAUGAGUUUACAAAACCUAUUUCUCUACUCUCACAAAGACUAUACUUAGGGGGGUGUAUUCAAUUAGGAUUCUAAAGCGUUUAAAAAGAUUUUGUUUAAGUGCCAGCUUUCAUAGAACUUGAUGGAACUUUAUAAUUCGUAUAGAACUUGAUAGACUUUCAGAAGACUUCUGUAUAAUUUUUUAAUAAAACUUUCUUAAGCUUUCAUAGAACUUGAUAGGCUUUCAUUCCAAACUUAUGUAGAUGGUAUAUUUCAUUUUAUCCCCAUCCUUGACAUUUAAAGAAAGAAACUUGAAUUUUUUCAAUCAAAUUUGUUUUUGUUACCAAAGCAGCAAAAACAAAAAGUACUUGUUUGCGAUGGAAGAACAUAUGCACAGUUCAAAAUGAAAAGAAUAAGAAGCAAAGUACCUAUUUGACCAAUGAAUGCUGUGUCAACUAGAGAAGCAAUUGGAUCGGCUGUCAAAGCCAAUGCUGCAGGCAAUGCAUCGAUGGUCCAAAUUGCAAUAAAAAAAUAUUUUGAAUAAUGGCUCUUGCAGACAAAGACCACAUAAAUUCUGAACUGGUCUAGCUUGAAUAAUAAGGUUAGAUUAGCCAAUUGAUGAGAUUAAAAGCAAAGCAAGUUGAUGAAUUUAUCAUCAACUAUUUAAUAACCACAGUCCUGAUCUCUUGGACCCCUGUAGUCCAAGAGAUUUAUGGUCACCCACCGUUGGAUGUAAAUUCAACGGUUGACUUGAAUCGGGUAAUAAUCAUUUAUGUCAUAUUGCAUUUAUAUAUAUCAUUUUGAACCAUUGGAUUAAUAUCCAACGGUGGGUGACCACAAUCUCUUGGACUCCUGUGGUCCAAGAGAUCGGGACUGUUAAUAACCAAUAGAGUAUUUAAACAUAAACAACAAUGUUUGAUCAACAAAACAAAUAGUCCAAAUAUCAUCCAAAAAACAAUAACAAAAAAUCAAUCAUUCCAAACAAACUAGUCAUUCUCAAAAACUCUCAAAAAACCCACUCAUUCCAAAUUGUAGGAUAUCCAAUUUGAGCACUCCUCAGGAGACAUUUUCAAAAAUGCAUCCUUUUUUGUGUUACUAUGCAACAAAGAGAGUGCUUUAUAACGAGCAUGUUCAUCCAAAUUUGGGGUCUCCUUAAUGGCAUCCCAUAUAUAACUCCGCUGCUCUCUCUCUUUUUCCCUUUUUGCCAAUAGGUUAUGGACCUCCCGGAAGUCGAUGACAAUUGAAUCAAUGCUAAGGCUAAUUCUUCCCAUAGCUUGCUGGGUGGUCACAUUUGAGAUAGCAUUCCCUUCCAAAUAUGUUCUAGUUCGUUUCCUCUAGUAACAAGCAUAAAUCCUAGUAACAAGCAUAAACCCUAACCCCAACCUAUAACCUAAUAACAAGAAGAAAACCCAACGAGGUAUUGAUCAAAGAAAAAUUAGGGAGCAUACCUUCACAGAUGGAGGAAGGAAGCUGUUCGUCUUCGCAGAGAGAAAAUCUAGGGAAAGAGAAAAACGUCUUAUGAAAUACUUGGGGGGGAGGUUGGAUUUAUUUUGGUCUUUUUUAUUUAUAACUCUCCCCUUAAAACCUACGUAAAUUUAUCACUUAAUGAAAUCCUUCCAAAUAUAUGACCUUUCGAAUACACCUAGAUUUGAUUCAACUUUUUUAUAAUCAUAAUUGAAUACACCCAUAUUUGAAUGGACUUUUUAAAAGUUCAUAUAGGUCCGAAAUGAAUAUACUCAAACUUGUAAAACCUCUUUUAAAGUUUGUAUAAAUCCAAAUUGAAUACACCUGGAUUUUUAAAAUCUUUUUAAACACUUUAUAAUCCUAAUUGAAUACACCCCCCUUAUUCUCAAAAGACUAUAUUACUUUACCUCUAUCUCUGUGAAAUGUAAAAAGUUGAAACUUUAAUGUCAAACCUCAACAAAAGAUGAACUUUCAUCAGUUACGUUGAAUUUGGAUUUGUUGAACUUAAGUGGUUUUAUUUUCUUUGUCAGUGUUUGAUGACUUAAUUUGGUAUUUAUUUCUUCUUUUUUUUCCUUGGAAAUGUGUUCCACCAACGUGAGGAAGAAAAAUAUGCACAAAUUAAUAUAUUUAAUAGAAGCCCAAGAUUUCGGAUGCAUAUAAUUUCUACAAAAAUCUACAAAGUUUUUUACUUUACAAACUUCUUAUGUCUACCAAUUUCUACUAAAAUUAAUUUCUCUGUGGUGCUCAAAUUCAUCAUAUGUGUGUCGUUAAUUUUAUUGAAAAUUGGAAGUUCCCAUCAUUUUUGUUUUUUGGGAAUUUUCUGAACCAAGGAAAAUCAAGUAAAAUUAAUAAAGCCUAAAUUGGAAAGGGAAAAUAUCUAGAGGAUGCAUUGUAGGAUUGCUCAUGCCAAUAAUUGUACCCUCUAAAUAUAUAGAGACAUAUUUUUUUUGUUUUCAUGACAUGUGGUCCUAAAAUUAUUGUGUAAAUCUUCAAUCCUGAACGAUGCACCUAAAACUCAUCCACCCAUUCUCAGGCCAAUUAUUGCACCUAGUGGGCUCUCGACCCCCUCUCAAAUUUAACCACAUAUUUUAUGGACCAUCCAGCUGUGAGGUACAUUCCCCCCACAUGCCACAAUUGUAUAUUCACAAUUACGUCUGAUACAUCACAUCAUGCCACUUGCCUCAAAUGAAUUUAAGUGAGUGAGGCAGUUGGAAGUAAUUAAGCUCUAUAUUGGUGGGUGGAGUGUUACUUCUCGGUUCCCCUCAUCAUUCGUCUAUAAAAUGGUGAAGGCAGUUGCUAUUGUUACCAUAAGAGCCAGCUCCGACUUCCUUUAAUUUCUUGCUUCAUAUCCACUAGCUACAUCUGUUACCAAGUUAAUUUCAGUUCUAAUGGGGUUUCAUCUCCCACUCAUCUUUGCUCUUCUCAGUGUAAGCUCUGCAAUUUGAUUAACUUUUCCAUUCUCUCUCAUUGUACUCUAUAUAAACGAAAGUUUUGUGUUCCUAUUGUUCUCUCCGAUUUUAUUUAGUACGUACUUAAGUGUCGUCCACUAAUUAAUUAUACUUUGUGAUUUGAUUUUAAUUUGAGUUUGAAUUAAUGUUGCAGCUAGCAGCAGUGGCACUGGCAAACCAUGCUGCUCAACCAGCACCUCAACUUUACUGGAGCUCCGUCCUGCCAAACACACAGAUGCCAAGAUCUAUCAGUGAACUUCUGCAUCCUGGUUUGUGUUGAGCUCUUUAGAAUCUUAGAUAUCUCUUCUACCUGCCAUUUUACUAAAAUAUGUUCCACCACAUAUUUAUCAGUUAACCAUUGUCAUUACAUGAGUGACACAUAUUCACAAAUCGGCUGAUCACUUAUUUUCCAUUAUGACUUGAUAUAUAAUUUGCAGACUCCACAAAUGAAGAAAAGAGCACAAAUGACGUUGGCAAACCUGAAACUUUCCCAUUGGGCAAUCAACAUUACUCCAGUCAAAAACAUUAUGGAGGCAUACCUGAAACUUCCCCAUUGGGCAAUAAACAUUACUCCAGUCAAAAACAUUAUGGAAGAGGCAAACCUGAAACUUUCCCAUUGGGCAAUCAGCAUUACUCCAGUCAAAGACAUUAUGGAAGAGGCAAACCUGAAACUUUCCCAUUGGGCAAUAAACAUUACUCCAGUCAAAAACAUUAUGGAAGAGGCAAACCUGAAACUUUCCCAUUGGGCAAUCAGCAUUACUCCAGUCAAAAAAAGUAUGGAAGAGGUGCUUCUCCAUCCGACAAUCAACAACUCCAUUAUAAAGACUUAGCUAUUUUCUUCUUGGAGAAGGACAUGCGCCCUGGCACAACAAUGAAGUUCCAAUUCCCUAUAAAUUCAAACACGGCUACUUUCUUGCCACGAGAAAGCGCUCAAUCGAUCCCCUUCUCCUCUAACAAACUGCCAGAAAUUUUCAACCAUUUUUCAGUGAAGCCAACAUCUGAGGAAGCCAAAACAAUUAAGCAAACAAUCGAAGAGUGUGAAGCUCCAGACCUUAAGGGAGAGGAAAUAUAUUGCGCCACAUCUUUAGAAUCAAUGGUUGAUUUUAGCACUUCGAAGCUUGGAACAAGAAACGUUGAAGCAAUCUCGACGGAGGUAUUGGAAAAAGGAGCCACCAUGUCCAUCCAAAACUAUACAACAAUGCCGGGACUGAAGAAGUUGGCAGGUGACAAAGUCGUUGUGUGUCAUAAGCAGAACUAUCCCUAUGCUGUGUUUUUCUGCCAUGCAAUAAAACAUACAGCAGCUUAUGCUCUCUCCCUGAAAGGCGAUGAUGGGGAGAAGGUUAAAGCAGUAACCAUCUGCCAUCUAGACACAUCAGAAUGGGACCCAGAGCAUAUGUCCUUCCAAAUCGUCAACGUUAAGCCCGGAACCAUUCCCAUCUGCCAUUUCAUUUCCACUGAUGCUAUUGCCUGGGUUCCGAACCACAAAUCUGCAUGAUCAUCACUUAGCACUAGUACUGUGCGUAUAAUAUGCCUGUAUAAUUAUCUCCCUACUUAUUUCUGCCUCUUCAUCAUGUGGUGUAAGAUAUAUGUUGAGAUGAAGUUUUUGGGAUUUGUGGUCGAAAUUAACCCGAUCAUGUUUUCUCUUGCAACCAUAUAGACUUCAACUUGUACUCAUAAUAAAGCAUGCUAUAUUUAUGAAGAGAUAUUAAUCUUCAGGCAAAUAGAUAUUAUGAAAACAUAUAUAGCAAUUUAUCCAGAAGAAACAUUAUGAAAUGAAAAGAAUAAAAAGUAGAAAAACAGAAGGAAAGGAAUUCGCACGUGCUAUGCUAUGUAUGAAAGGACCAAGAUUGUUUUCCCUUUGGUUAAUGACUAGAAAAGCUCACUUGCAGAGUGCUUUCUCCGACCAUAGAUGGAAGAGAAAUUUUCUCUUAAUAAUAGCACAAUGAUCGGGUAAUUGUAAGAACAAGUUGAUUUAAAAUUCCUUGACCCAAAAAAAAAAAAAAAGUUCUUUUCAAAUUCAGGUCAACCCAUAGAUUUCUUGCCUUCGUCUUCUUCAUCACGUUGGGCUUGUCUUCUUUUUGCGUUUUGGGCCUUGGAAGUUGGGACCCAACCCAACUUCACAAAAAGAAAACAGAUUUGCCAAAAAUCAAAUUUCAAGUCUCUCCUCCGAUCACUAAUACAGAUCAAAUUUUGGAUUUGAUGAACUAAAGUGGUUUUACUUUCUCUGUCAGUGUUUGAUGACUUAAUUUGUUAUUUACUUUUUUUUUUUUACUUGAUCUUUGUAGGGGCUUUUUUUUUUCCGGCAGCUUAAACGGGCUGGGCUGCCGUAAAGGGUAGAUUGAUGAAAUUGUCCCCUUUGUCUGAAUUCGAAAAUCAAGCCCCAAAAGCGCUUCGAAAGGGCAGUAGAGCCUUAGGAAGCGUUCUGGUUACCUUCACUAAUUAAAACAACAGCAACUUACAGAUGAUUUCUUGAGGCUUACAGAUAAAUUUUCUAGCUUGGCAUGACAUGGAAGCAAAAUCAGCAUGAGUUUAGCACCAAAGAGGAAAAUAUGGCUUCCUAGGGAGAAAUGAGAGUGUUUAAGGUGAGGAAGAAGAGGUUUGCAGGCUGAUUUGGCUGAGAAAAGAGAAAGAAAGAACAAUGUUCUUCCGGCAGCUUGACAAAGCUUCUGACAGAUGUGAAAGUCGUCCGCCAGAAGAGGAAAAUGGAGAAGAAGGAUGAAUAGUGCACGAAAUUGGUGGGUUCUUGCAGGUAAGAGAGAAAGCUUGCUCUCUGAAUCUGAGUUGGUUUUGGUUGGGUAGAAGAAGCCCCCUUUUAUAGCUGCGGGAAACCAUCUUUUUCCAAGAAACCCUAAUGGUUUCUAUCCUUUUUGGCCAAGCUUUUCCCUUCCUUUCUCUUCUCCUCCCUUGACUUUUCCUAUCUUGGUGAAAUUUCCUCUGCCUAUUUGCACAAAAUUAGAGAUUUUGAGGAGCUCAAGGCCCCUUUCCCGCAGCUGCCUUAGUGGAGAAUCCCCAUUUUCAGUCAUCUUUCUUCCUUCUUUUCUCCCAUCUUCCAAGGCUAGGUUUGAUGAGAGAAAGAAAUGGAUAUGCACACUGGUUUGAAGGGUGUUUUUCCUUGAAACUUGUUCUCUCCCAUGUGCUGGAGCUUCCCAGCAGCUUACACACAUAGAUAUUUUGGCUUUCAUCGUGGCUUUUGUUUUCAGCUAGGUGCUGGAGAUUUUGCAUAUAUUUUCUUGAGUUGCUUGGGCCUUCUAGGACAAUACGUUGGUUUAUCAAGUGAAUGGGCUAACUUCAUCAAUUGUUGGGCAAUUUUGGUUGAGUUAAUGGACUAUUUUGGUUCAAGUAAUGGACUAUUUUGGUUGAAAUAAUAGGCUAUUUUUCUCUCUUUGUGCUCACCCACAUAUUUGGGCCUAAAAAAUGGGCUUGAGUUUCGGGGCUCCCAAGCAACCCCGGGACUUCCAUUUCUCGGCCCAUCAAUGAGCCUCAUGUCAACUUAUUACCAUCCAUACCACAACCCACUCAAGCAAGCCUCAGGCAUCUUGCGUGGCUUGGGCCCACGUAAGCUCGUAGUGGCAAUGUUGCUUAUUUGCUUGACGUGGCAUGUGUGCAAGUGCAUAUGACGAACUUUCGCGUGCCCAAAUUGAGUUUCUUCUCGGUAGGGUAUCGCAUUGGGCCGAGAAUUUAAUUGGGUAGAACCGUGGAUUUUUUGGGCCUCAACAAUCUUAUAUAUAUUAGUUUUCUUUUUUUCCUUAAUAUUCACCACCUUUCUGUUGCAUAAGUAUUCCAGUCUUAGCGGGUUUCCAUCUACCACUCAUCUUUGCUCUUUUAAGUGCAAGCUUUUUUAUUUUUAUUUUUUUAUGCACAAGAUUAGAGGGGAGGGAGAUUUCUCAAUGUAAGCUUUGCAGUUUCAUAAUUAAUAUUUCCAAUAUCUCACUGUUAGUAAAAUAUGGAACGGGAAAAGUACGAAUAAAAUACACACAUGUUUUAUUUAGCAAAAUUUUGACAAGAUACAACUGAAAAGUUUGGCCACUAUAUAAUAUUUUGAUUUAAUUUUUUUUAUUUUUUUAAUAUAUAUUAUUUUUAUUCAAUAAUAUGUGAAAAAUAGGUGUACAAUAUAUGAAAUUUGUAUGUAUUAUUGAAAAAUUCGUAAAAAAAAAACAUGUUAUUAAAUGUGAAAAAUAUGUACGUAUAUGUAUAAAACAUGUAUUGUACAUUACUUUUUAACAAACUUGUAUUUUACCUAGUCUUUAAACCGUAUAUGGAAAACGGAAGUAUUAUUGAAAAAUACAUAUGUACGUAUAUGUAUAAAACAUGUAUUGUACAUUACUUUUUAACAAACUUGUAUUUUACCUAGUCUUUAAACCGUAUAUGGAAAACGGAAGUAUUAUUAAAAAAUACAUAUGUACGUGUAUAAUAUGAGUAUUAAACAAAAAAAUGUGCUAAGUACUUAUCUUUUAAUUUAAUAAUUCAUUUCAUUUUGUGAUCUCAUACGUAGUAAUGAGAGUUCAAAUUAAUGUUGCAGCUGACAAUGGUGGCUCUGGCAAGCCAUGCUUGAUGCAGGAGUAUAGGGGUGGAUCAAGAUAGAUAUUUACCAUGUAAUUAGUUAUUUCAUGAUAUAUUGUUAUUUUCUUAUUUAGGUAGUUUUAUGAUAUCUUUUAUUAUUUAUGUGGGAUUUUAUAAUUAAUUAGUUUACUUUUGGACCAAGUAGCCUUGGUGCUCAAGUCUUGUAAAGCUUAUAAAUAAGGCUAAUGUAAUAGUUGUAGGAAAAGAGAUGUCGAUGAUUAAUAAAAUCGUUUAUUUGUGGCAUGGAUUUGCUACGAUAUAUGUGAGUUUGCACUAGCCCUAGAUUUCGGUGCUCGUGUAUGUGGUUGGUGACCUGUGUCCGGAUCCCGAUCCCCAUCAAUGCUGUUCUCCCAGUACCUCAACUUUACUGGAACUCUUUCCUGCCAAACACAAAUGCCAAGAGCUAUCAGUCAACUUCUGCAUCCUGGUUUCUAUUAAGGGACUUUUCGUGAGCUUAUCAUCUACCCAAAUUUUACUCAUCCGACGUAAUUUUAAAAGUGAUUUGAUCCUUUGGCAAAGUAAUCUUGAACUACAAAAAAGGAGGGCACUCGAAUAGGCAUGCCAUUUGGUAUUACCCACCUCUAAUUUCUUUUAAAAUUUUAGUAAUUGAUUUUUAAGAUUAGAAAAUGGGAAAGUUCAAAACCGAAAAAGUUGUUUCAGUUUUGGCAAGUAUCGGAAAAGACUAAAAUUUUCCGACUUUAUUAUUACUAGAAACAAAGUCGAAGUAUUCACCAAUCAUGUGGCCUUCCAAGUGCUCAAGGUUAAGCCAGGAACCGUUCCUAUCAGCCAUUUCCUUCCCAAGUAUGAUCAUGUUGUCUGGGUUCCAACCCACAAAUCUACAUCAGUACCUGAACUAAUCAGUUCUACAUGAAUAUUCAUUCAUGGCAACCUUGGGCUAAGUAUUUGAAUUUAUGCUCAUAAAGCUUUAAUGCUUUUGAGGGCCAAUCGUUGUCUACAUAUGGUAUUGUAGCAUCUUUAGAUGGAAGAGGUCAGGGGUUCAAUUCUUGUUUUCCACUUCUUUAUUUGUUGGUUUAUCGAGUGUAGAGUGGAGUUGCACCUAUAUGUUCGUCUCUCACCCCAUCAUUUACCAUUGAUAUAUAUUUAAUAGAAGCCUAAGAUUUCGGAAGCACAUAAUUUCUACUUUACAAACUUCCUGUGUCUACCAAUUUCUACUAAAAUUAAUUUAUCUGCGGUGCUGAGAUUCAUCAUAAUUUUAAUAGAAAUUGGAAGUUUUCAUCAUUUUUGCUUUAAGUCUCUACUCCACUCACUAAUAAAGAUUACUCAUGUGAGUUUACAAAACAUUUUUUUUUUCUACUCUCUCCUGAAGACUACACUUCUUCUCAAAAAAUUAGAUCACUUCACAUCUUGUGUAUGUGAAAACUAAUGUAAAAAGUUGAAACUUUAUCGUAAAACCUCGACAAAAAUGAGCUCUACUACAAAAUGUUAAAUUUGGAUUCGUUGAUUUAAAUGGCAAUUUGACACUUGAUAGAAAUUUUUACAUACAUGUGUUAGUGUUUGAUCACUUCACAUGUCACUUACUAUAUUUAUUCCACUCAAGUUAGGUAAAUAUUAUUAUCAAACAUUUCAAUUAAUUUGUGAUUUUUUUAUUAUUUAAUCAAUUAUGAAUUAAUGGAUUCUUCUUGUUGUUUUGAAGACCAACAAAAAAAAAAAAAAGGGUAGUGAUGGCUUAUAAUUCUGGUAAAACAACAGUGACGUGGACAACAGAUGUUACGCUGUACUAAAGAUUUUUGAAGAUUCUUUAUUUGAGUUUCUUUCAAGAUAAAAACCAUAUUAUCCACAACCACAAGCACAUCCGGCAGACAAUCUUUGGCUAUUCAUCACAAUUGGGAGACAAUGAAGAAGACAGAAAAUGGAGUAAUUCAGAUGUUACCAGCCAUCCACGACAAACUGAAGUCUGCAAAGCAUUCGUAAUCUAAAAAGGAUGGGGAGGCUGCGCAAUACUUAGCCACGUGUAGGCCAGGAGGCUUUCCAAUUUUAAUAUAUAUAUAGAUUGAAAAAAUAAAAUAAAAAUCAAUCUAUUAUCAUAUAUAUUAUAAAAUAAAGAUUAUUGCUCCCAUGGGCGGUGCUAUGCACAGGACAGUGCCUGCCUAGUCCAAAUUUUUUUUAAAUAAAAAUAAAAAUCUACAUAUGUUAUAAGCUCAUCCAAAAAAAAAAAAAAAAAUAAAAGUGUUGUAAAUUAUAAGGUGGAGCCCACAUGUUGGAAGGCUUUGCCUACAAAAGGGUUCACACCCUCCCUUUGUAAUUAGACAUUGAGAAUACUAAGGAAGACAGAAAUGAAUAGAGAGAAAACAUUCCCUUCUCUCCAUCUCAAUUCCCUCUCCAAUUCCUCUAGAUUUAUAACACGUUAUCAGCAGCACGAAUCGCUUUCAAACAAUACCAGCUGAAUUUUAUGAUGAAACCCAGAUCUCUCAUCCAUCUCUGCUGCUCCACUACUUCAAAAUAAAUCCCACAGAAAAAGAAAAAGCCUCAAUGCUCUCUCUCUCUCUCUGUCUCGCUUGGGAGACUUGGACAAUUCCUCAUCCCCGUUACUGACAAUUUCAACAGCUUCAGGGGAAGCUAGUUUAUCUUCCUCUGCUCACGAAACCAUGACUCUUUCAGAGCCAAACAACAACACAAUAGACAACGCAUGGAGACCAGACUGGAGCUCGUCGGCUAAGGCACCGACGAUCCGACCCUACCCGUAUGGACCUUCCGGAUGUGGUUCCUGGGUCUUGUCUCAUGUGCCCUCCUCUCAUUUCUCAACCAAUUCUACAAGCAGCAGAGCUUCAAAUCAAACAGAUCAUGGCAUCGCUUUCACACCUCCCCAUCUUCCUCUUCCUCCUGUUCACCGCUUUCUAUUCUACAGCUUCGCAGUCCUUCAUCGGCGCAUCCAAAGGCGACAUACCGGCGCUCGCCUCAGAUCCGAACGCGGCGGCUCAGUGGGUGAACUCGAAUGUCCUCGCCUUCUACUCGGCCAGCAACAUCGACCUCAUCAACGUCGGCAACGAGGUCCUUUUUCUCCAACGACCAGGGCCUCAUCUCGCAGCUCCUCCCCGCCAUGCGAAAUGUCCAAUCUGCCCUCUCCGCCGCGUCCCUCGGCGGCAAGGUCCGUGUCUCCACGGUCCACUGCCUCGCCGGAUCGGGAUCCUUCCUUCAAGUGUUUCUCUGUCUUCGACUUGAAAAAGAAGGUCAUGGCAGGCCUAUGUAAAAAUUGCGAAAAGGAAGGCAAUCUUCAACCUUUUCUCCUGUCUCUCUCUUGAUCAAUUCAUGGAAGGCACAUUUGGGUCUUCCGGGGGCUCAUCAAAUGAGUCAGCAAUGUCAAAGGUGGAGGUGGUGGAGCAAGACUACGUGGGGAUGUCAUAUGAGGCAACCUCAUACCCAGCUGAGGCAGAGCUUGUGCUGGGCCUGGGCCUUGGCCUGAGCCUUCGUGGUGGUGGUGCAGGGAAGCAGCCAAAGCCAUGUGCAUGGGGUGAGCGUGGUAGAAUCUUGACUGCUAAAGUUAGGUGCUGAGUUACACUGUGUUCUCUGCUACUGACCCUAAGAGGAGUGCUAGAAACUUCCAUGUUCCGCCAUCAUUUCGCUUUCACUGUUACAAGGCACUGGAGUAUGUUUAAUUGAAAAGUGAGAUACACAGCAAGUUGAUCAGCCUAGUGGAAAGCAAAGGAUUAUUGCCAGGGAUAUGAACACCCACCGAAAUAAAGGGAUAAGUACUCUUUUUCCCUUCGACCAGUUUUUUUUUGUCCCACUGGGUUUUUACUGGCAAGGUUUUUCACGAAACAUAUUCCGUAUCAUUUGUGGUCUCUAAGAGGGAGUGUUGUAAAUUAUAAGGUGGAGCCCACAUGUUGGAAGGCUUUGCCUACAAAAGGGUUCACACCCUCCCUUUGUAAUUAGACAUUGAGAAUACUAAGGAAGACAGAAAUGAAUAGAGAGAAAACAUUCCCUUCUCUCCAUCUCAAUUCCCUCUCCAAUUCCUCUAGAUUUAUAACAAAAAGUAAAUUCUACACAUAUGUUGCCCAUCCAGGUGGUCCCAUAUCUUCUCUUUCCUUUUCUUUUGGCUAUUAGACUUCUUGUUUCUCUCUCUCUCUUUGCUACCCCACAUCAGCAAGUUUCUCCCUCUCUUUUUUUGGGAUCAAAUUCUUCUUCUAUUGACAAAAUCUUCUAUUAUAUUGGGUGGGCAACUUGGCAACAACAUCUUCUCCUCUCCUUUUGUCAACAGCAAGUAUUAUUCUCAUUCUCUCAUUUGCUAUAUAUCUUUAAUUAUAGUUUUAAUUUAAAAUUGAGUAUUCUAGGGUUUAAUUAGGGAUGAAUUAUAAUUUUGGGAUUUUGUUGAAAUUAAUUAGGGCUUCGAUUAGGGGUGAAUUAUUCUACUGCUUUGAUUUGGAAUUUUGUUAAAAUUGAGUAUUAUAGGUUUAAUUAUGGAUGAAUUACAAUUUUUGGUUUUGGUAUUGUUGAGAUGUUAUUAUGAGAAUUUGUUUGAUUUUUUGUUGGUAUAUUUGAUUAAAAUUCUUUCUACAUAUUAUUCAUAGGCUAUCUUUUAUUAUGUCGGAUCACAAUCGGAAUCCCAAGAAAACAAAAAAUUUGAAUAGUGUUGUUUUGUAUUGCAUUGCAUUUACUUUUGGUUUUAGUUUUGCUUUUAGUGUAAAUUACUCAAAUGGUCCUCAAAUUUGUACCCAAUUUACAUUUUGGUCCAUAAACUAAAUUAUUCAUUCAAAUGGUCCACCAACUCUUUAUUAAUCGGUGCUUUGGUCCUAUCGUUAUGUUUUCUAUUAAAUUUAGUCAUGUGAGCAGCACAUGCUACAUUUGUAUGGGUAAAUAAGACUUUUGACCAGUGGCGGAUCCACGUUGGGACAAGAGGGGUCGGACGACCCCUUGGAAGGCUGGAAAUUUGGCAAGGGAGUCCAUGAAAGCCCCCUUGGACAGCUGCUGGAAGCCCCCUUGUAUGCACACAAUGUGCUCGACGAAAUGCCCCAACGAAAUGUCCUGCGCAGCUGUGCUGCGCCUUGCGCGUAAUUUUUUUUUAAAACCAGCCUUGCCAAACGACGUCGUUUGGUCAAGGCUCAGUCAAAUUUUUUUUUAAUUAACCUGGCCUCAAAACGACGUCGUUUUGGGCCAGGUUUAAAAAAAAAAAAACAGAACAGUACACACGCACAGCAGCUCUGCACAGAUUCAUUUUCUCCAAACCUUUCAUUCCCAAUUCCACAGCCCCUCUUCCCAUCCUCUCAAACCCUAACCUCCCAACCUCCCAACCUUGGACAACCUCCAUCAACUCUUCACCGGUGGCCCAAUGCCGAUCACCACCACCUUCUACCGCCGUCCGCCGCCCAUUUUUUAAACUACAAGUAAGUAAGCAUGGAAAAUCUGAUAUUAAUAAUUAUAGUGAUAAUAUAUAUUGUUGAUAUUGAUAUUUUUUUUUUAUGUAAUGAAAUUUAUGGAUAUGAAUCAUAUUGAUUGAUUGAGUUUAUGCUUGAAAUUUAUGGAUAUGAAUCAUAUUGAUAUUUUUUUUUAUGUAAUUAAAUUUAUGGAUAUGAAUCAUAGUGAUAAUCAUAUUAAUGUAGAUUGAUUGAGUUUAUGCUUGAUUGAUAAUAUGAAUUGAUUGGGUAUAUUAAAUAUUGAUUGCUAUUUGAUAUGAUAAUUUGGUAUAUUGAAUAUUGAUUGAUAUGGGUUUAGGGAGUAUAUUGAAUAUUGAGAGUGGGUUAUUGAAAUUUUCAUAUUCAUAUGAUAAUUAGGAUAAAAAUUAAUGAUUGAUUGAAUUAAUUGAUUUGUAGAUUUAUGGAACGAUUCUUUAAAAGAAAAUUAUCUACGGAUAGUUCUUCUCUGUCUAAUCCGGGUAGUUCAAAUGCAAGACCAAUUGAAGUAGAUGAGAUCUUAGCUAAUCUUCAAGCAGACCCUGGACUAAGAACUCGAAUGGCGGAUUAUAGUCCUAAUAUUAGGGAUGAGAUCCGAAGAGCAUAUCUACAAAAGGGACCUUGUCAACCUAGAAGUUAUAAAUUCCCACAAACUAAUCAAUCAGGAAUUAAUAGACGCUUCAUUGCUCAUUGGUUUGAUGAUCAUGAUUGGUUGGAAUAUAGUAUUGCUAAAGAUGCUACGUUUUGUCUUCAUUGUUAUCUCUUCAAAUCUAAUUUUGAUCAAGUGGGUGGUGAUGCAUUCACUGGGGUAGGCUUCAAUAAUUGGAAGAAGGCGAAAGAAAGAUUUAACCUUCAUAUUGGACCGGUUGGUAGUGUUCACAACCAAGCUAGAGAAGUUGCUUACAAUUUGAUGCAUCAAACUACACACAUUGAAACAAUUGUGCUCAAGCAAACAAGCCAAGCUCGCACGGCUUAUCGCACUUGCUUGAAUGCAUCACUUAAGUGCACUAGGUAUUUGUUGCGGCAAGGGCUUUCUUUUCGUGGUCAUGAUGAAAGUGCACAAUCAAGUAAUAAAGGGAAUUAUUUAGAGCUCUUGCAAUUUCUUGCGGAUCAUGAUGAAAAAGUUAAGGCCGUUGUAUUGGAAAAUGCUCCGGGAAAUUUAAAGUUAAUAGCUCCUUCAAUUCAAAAAGAUCUUGUCAAUUCUUGUGCCAAAGAAACCAUUGAUCUUAUCUUGAGUGAUGUAAAAGAUAGAUAUUUUUCAAUAAUGGUGGAUGAAGCACGUGAUGUUUCAAUAAAGGAGCAAAUGGCAAUGGUGUUGCGUUAUGUGAAUGACAAAGGACAAAUAAUUGAAAGGUUUGUGGGGGUUCAACAUGUAACCGACACUACUUCAAGUGCACUAAAGGAAACAAUUGAUGAAUUCUUUUCUUCCGCGAAUUUGAGCUUUUCCAAGCUACGAGGACAAGGUUAUGAUGGAGCUAGCAAUAUGAGAGGUGAGUUCAAUGGCCUUAAGAGAAAGAUUUUGAGAGAACAACCUUGUGCAUUUUAUGUUCAUUGCUUUGCUCAUCAACUUCAACUAGCUCUUGUUGCGGUAGCAAAGAAAAACAUUGAUGUCAACUCUUUUUUCACAACGGCUAAUAGUUUGGUUAAUGUGGUUGGAGCAUCUUGUAAGCGUCGCGAUGCACUUAGAGCACAAUACCAAGAAGAGCUUGUGAGAGCUUUUGAAGAUGAUUGUCUUAUAACGGGGCGGGGCUUAAAUCAAGAAAGGACUCUCAAACGUGCCGGCAAUACACGAUGGAACUCACAUUAUGGUACGUUGAUUAGUAUCAUUUCUAUGUUCCCAUCUGUGGUGAAUGUGCUUCAAAUGAUUGUUGAUGAUAAUCUUAAUGAUAGUUCGGGUGAAGCCUAUAAGUUAAGGAGAGAAAUACAAUCUUUUGAGUUUGUGUUUCACUUAUUUGUAAUGAAAGCUAUAUUGGGAAUAACAAACACUUUGUCUCUAGCAUUGCAAAAGAAAGAUCAAGACAUUGUGAGUACAAUGAAUUUAGUGAAAACAUGCAAGGAAAACCUGCAGUUGAUGAGGGAUAAUGAGUUUGAAGAAUUGGUUGGGCAAGCAUCCUCGUUUUGUUACAAAUAUGAUAUUAUAGUUCCUACCAUGGAUGAGGAAUAUGUAAUUCCAGGGAGAUCAUGGCGUAAUGCUCCAAUGAAGACAAAUUAUCAUCGUUAUCGUGUGGAGAUCUUUAUUCAUGUAAUUGAUGGGCAACUUGCGGAAUUAAAUGAUCGCUUCAACGAGGUAAGUACUGAGUUACUUACUUGUUUGGCAUGCUUGAGUCCAAAAAAUAACUUUGUGACUUUUGACAAACGAAAGCUAGUUCGUCUUGCUCAAUUUUAUCCUUAUGAUUUUUCGGAUAGAGACUUAUUGAUGCUUGAAGAUCAACUUGGUGUUUAUGUUCAUCAUAUGCGUUCGAGUAGUGAUUUUUCUCAAUUGGAAGGGAUUAGUAGUCUUGCGGAAAAAAUGGUGGAGAAAGGAAUGCAUGAAAUAUUUCCUUUUGUAUUUGCUUCUUACAUUGGCUUUGGUUUUACCGGUUGCAACUGCAUCAGUGGAGAGGGCAUUUUCCGCUAUGAAUAUUAUUAAAAAUCCACUUCGCAACAGAAUGGGAGAUCAAUGGUUGAAUGAUAGCUUGCUUGUUUACAUUGAGAGAGAUGUUUUUGCUUGUAUUGAUAACGAAAUUAUAAUGCAAUGUUUUCAGAAUAUGAAAACUCGUCGUGGACAAUUGUAACUUGUAUUAUUGGUUUUGUUAUGAAUUAUGAAUGAAAGUACUAUCUUUCUAUCUUUUUAGCAUUAUUUUCUUUGUAGAAAAAUUUCAGAACUUUUACACUAAGCCCCCUUGGCUACAUAAUCCUGGAUCCGCCACUGCUUUUGACCACUUUAUCACCUAUGUAUCACCACUUUAUAACCUAUUUGGGGAACAUAGGUCAGUUAUGGACGGUUUUACCCUUACAUUUGACGGCAACAUUAACAUAAUGUAACAGUGGGAUCAAUGGAGUGAUUAAUAUAAAGUUGAUGGACCAUUUGAAUGAAUAAUUUAAUUGAGAGACCAAAAUGUAAAUCAAGUAUAAGUUUGAGGACCAUUUGAGUAAUUUACCCUUCGCUUUUAUAUUUGUUGAACUUUUAUUUAUGAUAGAUAUGCAUUUAAGGGUAAGACCCAUUAUGUUCCCCUGGCUAGGUGUAUCUUUUUAUGUUUAUUAAUGAAAUUCACUCGAACUGUUGAGUUUAGUAUGUAAGUUUUGCCUAACUGGCUUUUGAAUCCUAGAACCGCCACUGUUGCUCCAUCCUCCAUGCACUUGCAUGUGCUCUUACAAAGUGUGAAGUAGAUUUUGUGUGCUCCAAGUCAUUGACUAGAGCUGAAACAUGGUUAGCUAGAUUUAUAAGGACCCAUCUCUUUAUUUCCUAGACAUAUACCCAUCUCUCUAUAAAUCUAUAUGUAAAACCUAAUUUCAAACUUAAAUGACCAGUAGGAUAUAAAAGGUCAUAGUAUUCCUAUGUUUUUAUAUCGUUGCCACCAGACUUCUUAUUUUAUUUAUAAUUUAUUUCAAGCAUUUCAUUAACUGCCAUAAUUGUAAUUAAUACUCCAUAUUAAUAGCAUAUCAAUCACCCCAUUUCUUUUGGUUGCCAUUCCCUCUAACAUAUCGCCCCUUAAAUUUGAAAACCAAAAAAAAAAAAUGUAAAUUACAUAUCCAAUAAUGUACCUAUGAAAAAUAUAAAUAUAAAUAUAUACAUAUAAAAAUAUAGGUAUAUUAUUUACCAAAUAGAAAAUAUAAAAACCUAGGUCAGUUGCUUUGUAAUUGAAAUUUCUGUACAUUUUCCACAAAUUAAAAAUAGGUACAUAAUAAUUUAUAGAAAAUAUAUGUACAUUAUUUAUCCAUAGGUAAAAAUACCGAUAAAUGCACAUAGGUGAAUUAUUUACCAAUAUAUUAUUUUUUUGCUAAGGAUUUACCUUAGUUUUUAGUAGAUUAAUUUACCUACCUAGAGGCAUAGGUAGCUUAAAAAAAAUGUACCACCUUAGUUGGUUGCAUACUAAUUUACCUACCUAGAGGCAUAGGUUGCUAAGAAAAAAUGUAGGUAAAUUCAUGUACCUAAACACAUAGGGGUCAAAUAGAGAAUAACAUGUUAUUUCCCUUUGAACAAAUUAAUUUCAAACCAUAACAAUUAUUGAAUUUGGAAAUUGGUAUAAAUAAAAGGAAAUAAAUAAACUAUCAAUUUGAAAAUUAAAAUAAGAAAUGAUCAAGUAGUCAUAUUUGAAAAAAAAGGAAAGAAUAUAUUCUUGGUUUUUAUAGGAACAACGAGUAUAUUCAAACCAAACGGCGAUAACUACACCAAGCUUUAAUUACUUUUUUUUAAGGCCAAAAGUCACUUUUGGUCCCUGUAGUUCGGCAUUUCUACCACUUUUGAUGUUGUAGUUUCAAUUCCGUCAAUUUUGCCAUUGUAGUUUCGUAUUUGUAGCAAUUCAAGGACCUGUUAAUAUUAAUGUCAAUUUGUUUAAUGAUGCAAGAGGUAAUUUCGUCAUCCCAAAAUCCUUGAGCAUAAAAGAUUGUCUGAAAUUCUCCCCAUUUCAUAUUAGGGCUCGAAAUUCAACCACUAAUCCUAAUUUUUGAAGAACCCUAGACCCAAAUGACCAAUUUCAAGCCCUAAUAUGAAAUUACGGAAGUUUUAGAUGAGCUUUUAUGCUCAAGGAUUUUGAGUUGAAGAAACUGCCCCUUGCACUGUCAAAUAAAUUGACAGGAAUACUGACUUGUCCUUGAAUUGCUACAAAUACAAAACUACAGUGUCAAAAUUAACAGAAUUUAAACUAUAGGGUCAAAAGUAGUUGAAGUGUCAAACUAUAAGGACCAAAAGUGACUUUUAGCCUUUUUGUUUCAAUAAGGAAAAAACUGACCUAUUAAAUCCUUGGAAUCUAUACAAAAUUGAAACACAAUUAAUCAACAUUGAAUUGCAGCUAAUUUCUUAAACAAGGGUAUUAUAGGAAUUUAAAAAGUAUAACAUUUAAUCCAUUGAAUUUGAUUAGGAAACUUGAUGAAUUGAAUCCUAGUUAUAUAGUUUUUCUUAUAAAAAUCAGGUUUUAUUUAUAGACAAAUAAAACAAUGGGUUGUAGGUAAGAAAAUAUUAAUUUGAAGGGAAAGAGUCAAAUUUACUAAAUUAAUAAAGCAUAAAUUGGAAAGGGAAAAGAUCUAGAGGAUGCAUUGUAGGAUUGCUCAUGCCAAUAAUUGCACCCUCUCGAUAUUGAAAAACCUAUUGUUUAUUAUUAUCUUCAAUCCUGAAUGAUGCACCUAAAACCCAAGUGUCUCAGGCCAACCAUUGCGCUCAUACCACUUGUUGCAGUACACAUUCACCUGUUUUUAAAGAAAGAAAUUCUACCAAUCGAUAUUUUCUCAAAUUUAAUCACAUAGAUCUAUUAUGGUUAACCAUAUGUACUUUUAUCUGCCAUCCAGAGGUACCUUUUUCCAACGUGCAACAAUUGUAUUUGAUUCACAAUUAUGUCUGAUAUACAUCACAUCAUGCCACUUGCCUCAAAUGAAUUUAAUUGAGUGAGGCAAUGGGAAGUAAUUAAGCUCUAUAUUGGUGGGUGGAGUGUUACUUCUGGAACCCUCAUCAUUCGUCCAUACAGGGGAACAAUUCCCUUCCUUCUAUAAAAUGGGAGCAAUUCUCUCACUGUACUCUAUAUAAAGGAAUAAGUGUCGUCCACUAAUUAAUUACACUUUGUGAGAUUUGAUUUUAAUUAGAGUUCGAAUUAAUGUUGCAGCUAGCAGCGGUGGCACUGGCAAACCAUGCUGCUCAACCAGCACCUCCACUUUACUGGAAUUCCAUCCUGCCAAACACACAAAUGCCAAGAGCUAUCAGUGAACUUCUGCAUCCUGAUUUGUGUUGAAUAGAUAUAGUAUGUUACUGGAGUACGUAUGGCAACAUAUUCACAAAUGUGUCACGUAUUUUCCAUUAUGACGUUGAUAUAUAAUUGCAGACUCCACAAACGAAGAAAAGAGCACAAAUGUCAUGAAUGCUGUUGGGAAUGGAAAGCCAAUUGACCACAAGGGCAAACCUGAAAAUACUGUACUACCACAGCUUGCACGACGCCCAUUUUCUUACAAGAGUGAUGAUCGUCCCACUGACAAUCAACUCCAUUAUAAAAACGUAGCUAUUUUCUUCUUGGAGAAGGACAUGCGCCCUGGCACAACAAUGAGCUUCCAAUUCCCUAGAAAUUCAAACACGGCUACUUUCCUGCCACGAGAAAGAGCUCAAUCGAUCCCCUUCUCCUCUAACAAACUACCAGAAAUUUUCAACCAUUUUUCAGUGAAGCCAACAUCUGUGGAAGCCAAAACAAUUAAGCAAACAAUCGAAGAGUGUGAGGCUCCAGGCAUUAAGGGAGAGGAAAUAUAUUGCGCCACAUCUUUAGAAUCAAUGGUUGAUUUUAGCACUUCGAAGCUUCGAACAAGAAACGUUCAAGCAAUCUCGACGGAGGUAUUGGAAAAAGGUGCCACCAUGUCCAUGCACAAGCACACAACAAUGCCGGGACUGAAGAAGUUGGCAGGUGUCAAAGUCGUUUUGUGUCAUAAGCAGAACUAUCCCUAUGCUGUGUUUUACUGCCAUGUAAUAAAACCAACAGCAGCUUAUGUUCUCUCCCUGAAAGGCGAUGAUGGGGUGAAAGUUAAAGCAGUAGCCAUCUGCCAUCUAGACACAUCAGAAUGGAACCCAAAGCAUUUGGCCUUCCAAAUCCUCAAAGUUAAGCCCGGAACAAUUCCCAUCUGCCAUUUCCUUCCCACUGAUCAUAUUGUCUGGGUUCCGAACCACAAAUCUGCAUGAUCAUCACUUAGCACUGUACGUAUAAUAACCUUUACCCCUGUAUAAUUAUCUCCCUACUCUACUUAUUUCUGCCUCUUCAUGUGGUGUAAGAUAUAUGAUGAGAUGAAGUUUUUGGGAUUAGUGGUCGGGUUGCCUUAAAAACACAGAUUACAGAAACUGCUUGAACUUAACCCGAUCAUGUUUUCUCUUGUACUCGUAAAGCAUGCUGUUGUGGUUCUACUUAAUUUCGUCCUCCCCAAUGUUUGAGUGUUUAAUUGUUACGUUGGAAUAGGCUGCUAAUGCAUGUAGUUAGAGAAGCUUUCAUUUAUAUCAAAGUCCUCAAACUAUCAAGAAUUAAUGCAUCCAGAAACAUAUAUACCAAGACGCAAAACAACAUAUUUUCCAUGCUGUGUCGGUAACACCAAAGCAAACUUCCUUUAUCACAAAAGGACCAAAUUCCAAUACUAAUCUAAUCCAUCAUGUAAAGCAUACAAUCUACAACUGCCUCCCUAAAUUUGUCCAUUGGAUAUAUAUGUCACUUUUUGGUAAUUUGGUAUAGCAGCACCACGUAGUAUGCAUUUAACAGAAAAGUAAACAAAAUUGACAGUAGAACUAUUUGUCCUAACGAAACUGAAGUUGAAAGACCAUGAGAACGAUUUUGAAAAUUAAGGGACUCAAAUGAAAAUUGGGUCUAAGUUCAGGGACCAAUAAAACGAUUAACCCAUAGAUUUUGGAUCCAGUACCACAUCCCAAAGAGAAAACCACAAGUUUGCAAGCAAGUUUGUCCAUACUAACACUACGUACAGUAUGGGCAAUGUGCUAGACUCAUCUCACUUUCUCAACCUAUCCUAUACUUGUCUAAAAGAGUUUCUAAUUUAAUGUACUGAGAUUUACGAAAGAAAUAUCAGAGAAACAAUUUUCAGGCAAUAAAAAAAUGUCUUGGCAAGAAAAUGCACAAUUUGUUACAUAACUUAUUAAAUAUGAACAGUUGAAAGAAAAAAGAAUUUGGAUGAGGGAUUUGCAAAUUCCUAUGGCCCAAUUACCUUUUUUUCUUUGUUUUUUUUUGGUUCUUUUGAUCCAGUAGCAUAUUCCAAAGAAUGAAAACCACAGGCAUGCAAUGCAAGCUCUUUUCCCAUGUUUUCCUCUGUUUUUCUCCUAUCAUGGAAGUGAUUAAAACACACCUCUAAGCUUGUUUUGCGUUUGGUAGCCGAGUGUAAAAGCUCAAUGCAAGAUAGUUUGAGGUAGAAUUUUCUCCUGUUUUAUUAGGACAAUGAUGAGCUAUAUGUGACAACAAAUUGCUUUAAUAAUGAAAAUUAAAAAAGUGUGAUUCAUUGAAUAUUUGCGGGGUUUUGUUCAGAGCUGACAAAGUUCUAAGUCAACACAUCAAAUUCCUUUUUCCAACAAUCGUAUUUGAUUCACAAUUUUGUCUGAUAUACAUCACAUCAUGACACUUGCAUCAAAUGAAUUUAAUUGAGUGAGGCAAUGGGAAGUAAUUAAGCUCUAUAUUGGUGGGUGGAGUGUUACUUCUGGAAUCCUAAUCAUUCGUCCCUACAGGACUCUAGAACUCUCACACUUCUUACAAGGACUACUUAACUCUAUAGCUUAUUGCAUAUAGCAUAUAUAUGCAAACCCAAUUAGAAAUUCUACAACAGAAGCAAGAUCAAUCUCACUAUGCCUUCUAAACAAACAAACAAAUAAAACAAGCAUAUUAAUUGCUUUAAUCACUCUACUAACAUCAACACAGCACACUUAGUUUACUAACAGAUGAUAUAGAAAGGAAAAAAAAGGACCAAUAGGGAGAAAAUGGUGAACUAAGGAGAGACUAAUACUUCUGGUCCUUAGAAGGCAUAACAGAAAUAAUAGAGCACACUGCUUGAAUGCAAGUCAGUAUUAGGAGCAAAACAGCUGCAAUGAAAGAAAUAGUUGCCCAAGGUGUAUUGAAAUAAUGUUGCCUCAAAUUUGCCUUCCAUUUGUUCCAAGGCUUUCUGCAGUAGCUAUUAAGGCGCUCAGAAAGAGUAGCAAAGUAGAAGCUUUCACGAUACACUGCAAUUCCUUUUCCGAGGUUGUUAAUCAGAGUGCACACCUCAUUGUAGUCACCAAGCAUAUUUUUGACAAUCCCAUACUUCAGAAGGAACUCCACAUCCUUUUCGGUGUUCACAAACUCAUCCAUGAGUGAAACAUAAUCACUUAUGUAAUUCUUACGGCAAUGGCACUAUUCAAAGGCAAUGAGGUUAUGGAGUGUGAGCUCUGUGUAAUCGUUUAUUUUUAGUUUUGGAAUUUCUAGAAUCCCAUCGUUGAAUCGUGUUAACGCAGCUUUCCUUUCCUAGCCUACGCGGAAGUCAACUUCACAAUCUCCUCCUAGCAAUUAGCCUUUCCUACUGUAAAUCGGAUUGUAUUCAUGUCUAUAUUAUUUCCUACCUUAAAUAGAUAUCCUGUACUAGUAUACAUAGGGACUUUGUGUAAUCUGUUAAAUACAAGGAAAUAUAUACUCUACAUGGUAUCAACCUAACCUAGGGUUCUCUCUCUCCCCCUUAUUCGAUCCUCUUCUCCUUUAGGUCCACCUCAUGGCUUCGUUUGAAUCCACCAUCUCCCUCCCAAGCCCUAACUCUUCUCAUUUUAUCAAGCUUACUAACUCCAACUAUCUUCUUUGGCUCCGCCAACUCAAACCCUUUUAGUUGGCCAUGACCUCUGGAAAUUUAUCGAUGGCAUUCAUAAACAACCUUCUGCCCACACCUCCACCUCUACCACCACAACACCCACAACCACCACCACUCUUACCGAAAUCAAUCCUACCUAUGCUCAGUGGUACCAACAAGACCAACUCAUUGUUAGCUACAUCACCAGUACACUCUCUGAGUCCAUUUUCUCUCUCACUGUCGGUUGCAUCUCUGCCCGGGAUCUCUGGGAGUGUCUCCAAUGCCACUUCUCUUAAUCCAAUAUGGCCAGUGAAUCUGCUCUUCGUUUUCAACUCAUGGAUUUGCAAAAAGGCUCUCAACCCAUUGAUGCUUACCUUCGUCAUGCUAAGUCUCUUGCCGAUUCACUAGCUGCCAUCAAUUAACCUGUCUCCCCAAAAGAACUUGUCACUGCUGUGCUUCGGGGUUUAGGACCCGAUCACAAAAUGCUCAUCACAGCAAUUCUCAAUUUCUCUCCGCUUCCAGACUUUGCUGAUCUUCGUGCUCGUUUGUUAGCUUUUGAUGCACAGACUCCUCGAAUCUUUCCUGAUCAAAACACAACGCUAAUGGCCACCCAAUCUUCUCCUUACACCACCGGUCAUACUUCCUUCCCUUCUCACCGUGGUUGUGGCUCUUCCAGCAAUAGGCGCGGUGGCUGGUGCAGUAUUGGCCGUGGUGGCUGGCACAACUUCUCAUCUUCCUAGAGCAACCCGUGGAAUGGCUUCCAGCAGCCCUAAUGACCUAAUCAACUGUGGCCUCCUUUUGCUCUAAGUUUUGGAUCUCAAAGCAACUGGCCUUCCUUUCAACCUCUUUGGGCCCAAUCUGCCGCUUCUAGCAAACACUCUGCCCGACCCAACUCAGCUCCUGGUGUCUUGGGACCCGCUUGGUGCACCACAUGCAAUACCAAUCGACAUACUACUACAACAUGUCCUUAUUGCUACAAUGGCCCAGAAUUCUUCCUUUGCUGGGGCUCAAUUCAUGCAGCCACCUAACUCUACAUGGUACCCUGACACAAGUGCCACUCAUCAUAUGACUGGUAGUUCUUCUAAUCUCCAAAGGAAAUUAAAUGAAGGAGUCCUACGAAGGCUCAAGGCUCGAAAGCACACGAUCCGGCUCUGCUGCGGAGCUCACUCAACUACUGGCUGAGGGGGCGCAAAACAGAAAAUUGUGAGUGGACAAAAAUAAAAAUUCAGUUCAGUGUAAACCAACGUAAUAUAACCCCACCGUUUAGAAAACCAUGCAAGAAAUCCAAAUGCAUCUCAAAACCAUCAUAAUCAUCAAAUCAAAAUCAAAUACUGGAUGCCAAGUCCGAAAUCCAUAAAGAAAGCUUUACAAACCCACCAUCCAAAUCUUACAAUCCCACAACUAAACUCUCGAAAGCGUACCCAUUGGCAGUACCAGCAAGGAAGUAUCCUCACCGAGAAACAAGAACAAAAGAAUAGCUAUAUAUAUAAUUAUAUAAUAUAACCACACCUAGUUGUACCGGGAAAACAAUCCAACCGGGGGAUUGUUUGACUAGUCACCAUGGCAGAGUCAAAGUAAACAAAUUCCUCAAUUCACCAUGUGACUAGGGAACGAGCUGUCCAACUGGGGGACCAACUCUCAGCCAGCAUGUACCGUCGAUAGCCUCAAAACCCGUACGUCUGUGACCAGUCCUACGCGUGCAGACUACCCAAUCAAGGGUUUACAGCAACAUCCCAUCAAGGAUGCCCUAGGUUCCCACAAUUCCAAGUAUCUCAAGUUUGCGUAUCCAAGUUCCAAAUCCGGGGAGGUACAUAGGGUAGUGCUUAUAGCACUCCAAAUUGACAUUCUAUACUCAUCACUUUCCACAAUCUCAUCUCAACAACCUAAGUACCCCACACAUAGCCAAACAUAUAUAGAAAUUCUCAAAAUCCAUAUAUACAUACUCAAGAUACUCAAAUAUGUCAAAAUCCAAAAUAUAUUUCCAAUGCAUCAUAAAAAUAUCACUUUUAACAAUUGAAUAAAUAAUAUAUAUCCAAUAUACCAAUUAAAACAUCAUGCAUAAUAUUUCCCAUCAUAAAAUCAUGCAUAAGAUUUGAAAACAAAGUCCACUCACAAGUAGUCCCACACUGCUUGACCUUGAGAGGGUCCCGCCUACUGCGUAUGCGUGGUUGGAGUACCUAUUUCAGAAUACGUAUACGAGAUUAAUAAGAAGCGUUUCGAACGAGAACUUUGAAUUAAAUAUCCUAAUUUCCCAGGUUUCUAGUAAGUGUACUAGGAACGAGACGUUCUAAGGUUCCACUACCCAAUUCGAACCAUGGAAGAGCUUCGGGAGACACUCGGUCAACCGGCGGUCAAAUUCCCAAAUCGGGUCAACUGGCCCACGGGACCCACGACCUCCGUUUUUAAAAUCCGUAAGUUCCUAAAGGUUUCACAAUGUCUAAGAUACUACUAUCACAAGUUUGGUCCGAAACGGACUGUUAGAUCGCUUACGAUCGCACGAUCAGACGGUUAUUGUAAAACGUAAACUUUAAGUUAUUGAAUCAGAACAUCCGGGGCUCCGAUUCACGAUCCGCGAAUUCCUACACGAUCCUAGGAAGGUCUAGAGUAACAUAUAUUGGAAUGGAGUCGAUCCAAAGGUCCGAACAUAUCGAACCUAGACCGGAUAACUCCUAAUAUGUGAGAUUCGUUCGGGGUUCGAACAUCAACCAAAUUGGAAUCCUAAGGUACCUACGUGCUCGUGACAUUAAGGGGAUCAAUUGGGACAAAAAUGCCCCUCUGCUACAGUGCCCACGUGCCACCACACGCGGCGGUAGAGAGUGGGUGUCCAAAGCGAUUUCUCUUCGCCGGAAAAUCUCCAAAUUACAAGCCACUCUCCUGGCUACAGGUUCUACUCAACGAGUGGAACACUUUAUUCAACUACAGCCAAGUCCAAUUCGGACGGCAAGUGGCCGGAAACUCACGGUUUAACCCGGAACUUCAUGGCUUGGAUUGGGCGACCAUCGUCACCAUUGUCGUGGCACAACCUAGGAAAUAGCUAAAAGGAGAGGAGGGCUACCUAUUCCAAGCGAUGGCGCAGCUCGCGGUAGCCGAAAAUGUAGCCGAUGACGUUGGCAGUUUUGGCCGGUUUUUCACGUCGUUGCCAUCGCCGUUUGUCGAGUUUUCGAUUGGAGAAAAGGGGUGGGGUGAGUAGAGGAGGAAGAGAGGAAGCUUUUGCAAGAAAUGACACUUGUCAGGGAGGGGGGGGUUGGGGGAAGAGAGAGAGAGAGAGAGAGAGAGAGAGAGAAAAAAAAAAAAUUUCAGAUUUUCAUCCAAACCCUUUUCGAAAUAUUUACAAGUUUGCCACUAAACUACUUUUGGUUGCCAAAUCUUCGUUAUAACUCCGAUUCAAGCCUACCACGUGUCUACGGAUUCGUCUCAAUACAACCUACCCAAAAAUACCAGUCACUGCCCCAAACUCUUUUUGGGUAAGAAAAUGACCAAAAUACCCCUACCCCAAGGGUAAAUUCAUAAUUUCACUUCAAUAAUUUAAUAAAGAAUUAAAUUUGGAGUCGGGGUGUUACAUUAACUACCUGUUUAGUAGGUGUGGGGUUUUAUACAAAAAGCAUCGAUGUUAUUGGGAGUGGAACCACUUAUUAUAAGUUGUGAUUUAUUUAGUCAAGUUUCCUAUGUGGGAUUUUCUAUUCUUCAACAAGCCCCCUCAUGUGGGACCACCACAUAGUGGGCCACAUGUAAAGCUAAGUCCACAUCGGAGUCAAUCAUUCAAGCCCAAUACCUAAACACCACGUAUUGUGUGAGGGGUAGGGGUAAACAUUCAAGCCCAACAUGUGAACCACCAAAUAUUAAGUAAGGGUAAAGGCUCAAUUCAGGCCCAAUCAAUGAACCCAUUAUGAUAUCAUGUUAAAUUUCAGAUAGACGGGACUGUGGCCCACCACUAGCAACAUUGAUAUUGUCCCCAACUUAACUACAUGUUUAGUAGGUGUGGAGUUCUAUACAUAAGGUCUCGAUGUUUUUAGGAGUGGAACCACUUAUUAUAAGUUAUAAUUUAUUUAGUCAAGUUUCCAGUCAACCUGACUUUGAUACCAUGUUAAGAUUUUAAAGGGACGAACUCUUGGCACUAUUAGUAACAUCGACAUUGUCCCCAACUUAACCACCUGUUUAGCAAGUGUGGGGUUUUAUCCUAAAGGCCUCGAUCUUAUUAAGAGUUGAGUCAUUUAUUAUAUGGAACUUUCUAUUUUGUUAACUCUGUGUAUUCUUCAUCAAUGUGAACACCCCUAAACCAAUCAUACCUGAUACGAAUUGAAACACAAGUUUGUUUUUUGCCUUUGGUAGAUGAGUAGCUAGAAAAGCUCAAUGCACUUGCUCUUCUGCUACAUUUCAAUAUAAGAACAAGGUUUGGAAGUCAGGUCAACUCCUCAUAGCUUCCUUGCCUUUGCUUUGACAUGUCUAUGCACUUCUUGGGGAAGUUUGAAUAAUCCAUUGCAGGCCCCAUGACAACUAAGGAACCAACAUUUUGUAGAAGGUUUUGUCUAUACCUUUUGACUAUAAGUAAAAUCUUUUGUAUCUGCUCUUAUGUUUCGGUGAAGUUUCUAUGUGUCCUUUGUGCCGAGUUUCUAUGCGUCCUUUGUUGAACCAAAAAAUGAGGUUGUUUCUUACUAGAUUCAAAUACUUAAAAGAAAAAAAGAAAUUGUUGUUUCUUAAUGGAUUUUAUGAUGAACAAUAUCAAACUCUCCUCUUAUACGUCUGUUGGUAAAUUUUAACAACAAUAUUAAAACCUUGCAAGUGCACAAAUCAAAUGAUAGUAUAGUAAGCAAGCAAGGGUCGAUCCCACGGAGAUUGUGAUCUAAAGAGAUGUUUAUCAAUGUCACGCAAUGAAAAUCAAAACAAAGGACUUCCAAACACACGCCAACACCAAGGGGGGUUUUGAUUUGUUUUUGUGAAUCAAACAAAAUAAGGAAAAGGAAACAAAAGAGAAUUUAAAUUAGAGUUUAAGAGAAAUUGGUUUAAAAUCAAUCAAGAUCAAUAGCUAGGACUUACUAUCCACCUCCAAACAAUCAAUCAAUCCAUAAACAACAAUAGAUAAUCAAUUUCUAGUAAGCACACUACUACAAAAAAGCAAAAAGACGACGGUAAAUCACCGUCGUGUAUUCGGUUUUUCAAUGGUCGUGGAAUCCACCGUCAUCUUUUCCCUCAUAAACCACGACGCUAAAUCACCGUCGUUGUUACAAUAUACAACGUCAUCAACAAAUACAAAACGACGUCUUUGUACUGCAAAAAGAUCUAAAAAAGCAAUCGAUGAUGAGAAAAGACGACCAACUCUCUAAACAAACCGUCGUUAAAAAGAAAAAAUAUGACACAUAUUAACAGAACAUGGCCGCAAGAUAGACAUACAACGACGAAAAUUAAAAUAAGACGCCGUUAAAUAUCAUUUUCACGACAAUAAAAAAUAUGUCGUCUUUAAAUACAUUAGAAGACGACGUUAUUGAUACCUACUACGUCGCCUAUAUAAAAAUAACCGUCGUAAAAUAAAUUUUCCACUUCGAUUUUUCUAUAAAAGAUGACGUGGAAAUAGUUGUCAGUGUCAUUAUUUACGACGUAUGUAUUUAUAGAGUAGACGUUGAACAACGAAACAACGUCGGUUACAAAUAUAUGAGAGUCGUAUUACAAAAUUUAUACGUCCUAUUUUCAGAAACAAACAACGACGAUAAAUAUUAGACGUUGUUAAAUAAAACAACGUCGAAAACAAAUAAAAACAGACGUGUUUAGUCUGCUAAAGUUCUAAAAAAUAGUCGAGGAUGAGAAUAGACGACCAACUCAAACAAAUCACCGUCGUUAAAAAGGAAAAAUAUGACACAUAUUAAAAGAACAAGGCCGCAAGAUAGACAUACAACGACGACAACUAAAACACUACGCCGUCAAAUAUAAUUUUCACGACAAGAAAAAAUAUGACGUCUUUAAAUACAUGAGAAGACGACGUUAUUGAAAUAUACUACGUUUCUUAUUUACAAACAACCGUCGUGAAAUAAAUUUUCCACUUCGAUUUUUCUAAAAAAGAUGAUGUGGAAAUAGUUGUCAGUGUCAUUAUUUACGACGUAUGUAUUUAUAUAGUUGACGUUGAAAUGCGAAACAACGUCGGUGGCAUUUAUAUAGUCGACGUUGUAUUUAUAUGUAUUCAUUACUCACGACGCACUUAUUAAUAUAGACGACGUUGAACUUCUAAACAACGUCGGUUCCAAAUAAAUGAGAGCCGUAUUACAGAAAAUAUAGAUGGCGUUGAUUAUGAUGAGAGCCGUAUUACAAAUAACGUCGUUUAAUUGAUAUUAGACGGCGGUUAUAAUGAAUUACCGUCGGAAUUCAUUUCGUUCCUCUUCGUUUAUAAAAGAACUUGCGACGUGGAAAAUGUAUGAUGACGUCGUAUUUUUUAACGUUCAGAUUAUAUAUCUCGUUUUUUAGACGUCGGUAUUAUGGGAUUGGAGUCGUGUUAUUUUGAAUUACAUGGCGGUUCUUAAUCCUUCCCCGACGUGAUAUCCUGAAUAAUUGCUUCAUAAUAGCGUCGUGGUUCUUCAUUGUUACGUUGCUUUAAGACGUCGGUAAAUAUGCUGAAUAACUGGUUCACAAUAACGUCGUGUUUUAUUUGAACGUAGAAAGUGAAGAAAUCACAUUACAAUAUAUUACAAAAUUAAUGUCAUACACUGCCAAUUACAUAAGCAUCAUUCAAUCCAUAUAUCUUCACACCCAUCUCGAAUAUUUUGACCGCCUAACUCACCCACCAGUUCAUCAAAUGUGUCAACAUUUGGCAUCCCUCUAGUAAAUGGCUCACACUCAAUUAUCACAUCACCUAAGACUUCAUCACCAAUAACAUUAUUAUAUUCUCUAUUAGGCAUUGAUAACACUACCGACCAACCACGAUGCAUCGGGUCGUCAACAAAAAAUAUUUGUUUGACUUGAGAAGCCAAAACAAAUUGGUCAUUCCUAUGUCCAAUUUUACUCAAAUCUACAAGGGUAAAUCCAAGUUCGUCGACUACAAGACCAGAACUAUCUAUCCAAUCACACCUAAAGACUGGGAUUGUAAACUUUUGGUAGUCAAGGUCCCAAAUUUCUUGAAUGACACCAUAGAAACCCAUAUUUGAGAGAAUUGAGUUUUUAUCCUUGGCACUAGCAACUUGCAUGGUAUGUGCAAGUAAAUAAACUCCACUAUUUUGAGUUGUCCGCACAUCAUCUUGUGCCUUGAUAUUGAAUUUAAUACCUUUAAUAAGAUAGCUCCUAUAUAAUGGCACAGCCAUGUUUGGACCAGCUGCUAGCCACCUUAAAUUUUCUGAUACGCCAUGAUUGUCUUCCUCAAGUUCACUUUGAACCUGCAAAUUAAUCAUAUAUCUUAAUGCAAUCUAACAUAGAAAUAAGAAGAAAAUUAAAAGAGAAAUAUGUUAUUCAACAACAUAUACCUUGAAGCGUAGCCAUUGAAUGAAAGUGUUAUUGUGCUUAUCCUGCAGCCACUUUGUGAUUUAAGGUAUGACAAUCAUGUGAUUUAAGGCCAAGAAGUCUUGAAUCUUGUAAAGAUACAAGAUUUUUAAUAUUUGAAGAAUAACCUUCAGGGACCUUCAUACCAUAGAAAGAAUUGCAAACCUCUCUCUUCUCUGCUCUUGACAAAUUCCAAGGCCCAGGAGGCAAACGAGUACGUCUUUCUCCAUACUCGGGUUGCAAAUCAGUUUUGACCCCCAUGUUCAAUAAAUCUAAUCGAGCAGCAAUCCCAUCUUUAUUUUUUCCAGGGAUCUCCAGCAAUGUACCAAUGAUACUAUCGCAAACAUUCUUCUCAAUGUGCAUAACAUCUAGGGCAUGCCUCACAGGAAGGUAUUUCCAAUACUCGAGAUCAAAGAAUAUUGAUUUCUUCUUCCAACAAACUCUGUCACCAUUUUCAACCAUGUGCAGCACUUCUUCUCCGGUUAAUGGCUCGGGAGGUAUGCCAUAUUCAGGUUUCCCAUUAAAAGCUGCACGUUGCCUCCUAUAUGGAUGAUUGAUUGGUAACCAUUUUCUAUGCCCAAUGUAACAAAUUUUGUGGCCAUUUUCAACCUGUGACUAGGUGUAUCAUCGCCGCAUAUUGGACAAGCUUUAUAUCCUUUAACAACACAACCAGAUAAGUUUCCAUAGGCGGGGAAAUCAUUAAUUGUCCACAUUAAUGCAGCUCUGAGUGUAAAGUAUUCUCCAUUAUGUGCAUCAUACACUCCUCUAAUCCCAUCCCACAAAGAUUUUAAAUCAUCAAUCAAAGGCUCCAAGUAGACGUCUAUAUCAUUUUCGGGUUGUUUAGGACCGGAAAUCAAUAAGGUUAACAUCAUGAACUUUCGUUUCAUGCACAGCCAUGGAGGGAGAUUAUAUGUAACUAAGAUAACCGGCCAACAACUAUAUCUGCUACUUAGAGAACUGUGGGGAUUGAAUCCAUCAGAUGAAAGAGCCAAUCUCAAGUUUCUCGGCUCAUUACCAAACUCAGGCCAUUUAUCAUCAAGAAGUUUCCAAGACGGGGAAUCCGCCGGAUGAGACAUCUGACCGUCAAUUGAUUUUCUAGCAGCAUGCCAAGUCAAACUCUUAGCUGUCUCAUGUGAUUGAAACAUCCUUUUAAACCUUGGAAUUGGAGGAAAAUACCACACCACCUUCGCUGGCACAUCCUCUUUCAAGAUUGAAUCUUUGCCUUCCUUCCACCUUGAGAUACCACAAGUAGGACAAUUAGUUGAAUCCUCAUACUCCUUCCUAUACAAGAUGCAAUCAUUGGGGCAUGCGUGCAUUUUCUCAUAACUCAGCCCCAAUGCACACAAAGUCUUUUUUGCCUCAUACAUAGAGGUUGGUAUUGUAUUUCCUUCUGGAAGCAAAUCGCCUUGAAGUAUCAAUAAUUCUGUAAAACAGACAUCACUCAUCCCAUGUUUUGCCUUCAAAUUAUACAACUUCACUAAUGCCGAUAACUUCGUGUACUUUCUACAACCAGGGUACACUGGUUGAUCUCCAUCCCCAAUCACAUUGGCAAACUCAUACGGAUCGGAACCAAAAUCACCAAAAUCAUUAUCAUCCAUAUCAAUUUCUUCAGACACAAAACUGUACCUACUAUGGCCAUCAUCUUCUUCAACAUUUCUACUAGCAUUAGUAGUUGCUUCCCAAGGUUCUCCGUGAAAUGUCCAAUUCUUAUAGCUUUGGUCAAUUCCAUUAAAGUAUAAGUGAUCCCUUAUAAUUCCAACCCCAAACAACUUCAAAUUAACACAUUUAACACAUGGACAACGGAUAUGUGUUGUAGUUAGAAGAUUUUCUACAGCAAAGUUCAAAAAUGCUUCCACCCCAAACUCAUAUGCCUUCGAUCUUCUAUCCGAGUGCAUCCAUGACUUAUUCAUCUCCGACACUAUAACCUAUUAUCUAUAAUAAAGUGAAAAUACAGGCAAUGACCAUCACUAUAGCAGAUUAUACAAAGAUCUAAUAGCAAGUAAUACAUAACAGAGACGACGGGUUUUAAACAAAAACAGACGUAUUUGGCAUAUAUAGACGACGGAUUUUCAACAGACGUCGUCUAAUAUAAGUAAUACAAACGACGGUUUAUGAAAAAACCGUCGUGUAUAAGUAAUACAACGACGGUUUUUUCAUAAACCGUCGUGUAAUCGUCGUCGUAUGCCUAAAAAGGCGUCGUGUCUCAGUUUAUUUUCAAGAACCCAAAACCCAUUAAGAACACAACAUAUAUAUGAAACCAAGCAAGAAACCAACAUAUACAUGAAGCCAAGCAUGAAAACAAUAAAUCCAUUCCCAAUUCAACAUAACAUAGGGUGAUUAAAAGAUCCGACAAAAUUAAAACCAUUCCCAAUUCAACAUAACAGAUAAUGUAAUCCAUGAACCCAUUAAACAGAAAAUCCAUGAACCUAUACCUAUAAGCACAUUAUUAACAGAUCGCAAAGCAUAUACCUAAAACCCUUUAACAAAACAACCUAAUAUCAUUCAAUGAAUUUACAAAGGGAAGAUAGGGUUUGUACUUACAGGUUGGACGAGCUCACAGAUUCGACGAAGCCUGGAGAGUGCAACUUUUAAUUAGAGCAGAAGUGAGAGAGCGAAUGUUAUGUUGCGCGAAAUCUGAAAAUUUUAGGGUUCAGGGUUAGAAGUAUAAGAAUAAGAGCCAAAUAUAAAAAAAUUUAGGGCGCGCGAAAAUUUUUAGAGCGCGCGCUCUUUAAAACGUCGAAAGAAAAACCAUGGCGAAAGUUCUACAAGAACCGACGUAAAUGUAAUAUUCCACGACGAAAACACUUAACGUAACGCCGUUUAUUUUGACGUUCAUUUUUCGGAUUAAUUUUAAAUUUAUUUUGAAUAUUUUGAUAUAAAGACGACUGAAAAACCACGUCGAAGUUAAGAAAUUGAAAACGUUGUAAAUUAUAAUAGACGACUUACAUAUUAAAAUGACGUCGUUUAAAGUGGAAACCAUGUCGGAUAUUUUACUGCACGACGUAACAUAUGUAUUCCACGACUCAACCACCGUCGUUAACAAUUAAUACCCUAAACCCUUAAAACUAAAUUAUAUAAUUUUAAAAAUUAAGUUUAUAAAAGGGUUUAUGGUUUUACAGCCUAAUAUAUACCCUAUACUACCCAAAAAUUAUACUUUAAAAAUAAACCCCAAUAAAUAACAACCCUAAUCUCUAAACCCUAGACUCUAAACCCUAAACCAUAAAACUAGAAGUGAUUUUAUGACUCAUCAAAACAAUUUUGUUUUGGAUGGUCAUUUUAAAUUUUUUUUAUUCAAAAUGAAUUUUUUCAAGGUUUAGGGGGAAGAAAAUAUAUCAAUGACUUCAUAGGAGUUGACUUUUCAUUUUUCUGAUUUAUUUUAAAUUUAUUUUGAAUAUUUUGAUAUAAAAAUAAUAAAAUAUUCUUAUCACAAUAACAAACCACGUCGGUGUUAAUAAAUUUUAGACGUUGUAAAUUGUAAUAGACGACUAAGUUGUUAAAAUGACGUCGUUUAAAUGAGAAACCAUGGCGGAUAUUUAACUAUCCGACAUAAAAUAUAUAUUCCACGACUUAACCGCUGUCGUUACAAAGUACUACCCUGAACCCUUAAGAAAUUGAAGACGUUGUAAACCAUAAACGACUCAAUUGUUCAAAGAACGUCGUCUAAAUAUCCUUUUACGUCGGAUUUGGUUAAAACGAAACAACAAAAAACGACGGCUUUUGACUUUAUUACGUCGUUGGAAAAGUAUUACACGUCGGUUACGCAAUUUGUAUGUUUGUUUUUUUUUUUAAUUUAAGAAAACCUCAACAAAUUUUUACAUUAUAUAUUAUAGACAAAAUUUGUACAUUAUACAUAAAUAUCAAGUGUUCAAUAAUUCCCCUAUUCCAGGUGAAGGCAAACAAACUCUGACCAUUCAUUCCGGACUUCAUCAAUUGCUUCUUGGGGGUAUGGCGCUUCCUGUUUUCCCUUGGCAUACUGCAUAAACAAUGACUAUUAGGGUUUAUAAAUAAAAAGAAAUUCAAUCACAGACGACGAUAUUUUUCAUAACCGACGUACUAUAUCUAUUCAACGACGGUAAUUUUACAUGACCGUCGUUGAUAAUACAAAAAACGACGUAAAAUGUAUGAAGGUAAUUUCUUCUUACCUUCUUCUCAAACCCCAAGGAAGGAUCCAUGAUGAUGUCCCUCAUGAAGCGCAUCACAUAAUACCCGCAUUCGACAUUGCUGGGUUGCUUUGGUGUCCCUGACAGAGUUUUCCAAAUGGCUGCCUUACGGCCUGGUCUGGCUAUGUGAGAAUUAUAAAUUUUUAUAGCACUGUUCACAAUGUUUUUGGCCUCUUCAUCGACCACACGAUUUCCUGGCAGAGGAUCCAGAAAAUAGACGGUUUCUCUCUUUGCUCUUACAAUCAGCAAGAUCCAAUGACGGCUGCACAAAAUUAAUAUAAAAACGACGGUUAUUUACAAUAACGACGUAUUAUAAUGUUUCACACGACGAAAUAAAGUAGCAAUCGACGACAUUUUACAUUUAUCACGACGAUAAAUAACUACCGACGUGGUUAGUAGUUUCAAACGACUCAAUAAAAUAAAACACCGACGUGGUUAGUUUAUACGCUGUAAUUUAUUGAAAAUCAUAAAAACAAAAUCCUGUUAAGGAGACUAACCCUGGAUUGUAAGGCAUCAGGAAAAUCUGUUCACCGUCAGUCUUUUGAAGUCGAGCUGCUAGUAAGCGUGAUCUGUCAGCUAUUGUGCCAGAGUUGGCACUAACUGUAGCAAGGUCGAUAAAGCCAACCAUAUUGCACAUAUUUGCUCGUUUCAAAACAUCGUGCAAGUGCCUAAAUAUAUAAAAUAAUAUAAACAAGUCAGCACAAAAAAACACACGACGGUUAUGUAUAACAAAACGACGUAUUAUAAAAUUUCACACGACGUACUGAAAUAGACAACGACGUUAUAAUAUAUUUAUCACGACGGUAAAUACUAACGACGUGGUUAGUUAGUUAAGACGACGUAAUAAAUAAACCAACGACGUAUUAUUUUAGAAUGACAAACCUCAUAUAUACAAAAAAACACGACGGUUAUGUAUAACAAAACGACGUAUUAUAAAAUUUCACACGACAUACUGAAAUAGACAACGACGUUAUGAUAUACUAACGACGUGGUUAGUUGGUUAAGACGACGCAAUAAAUACACCAACGACGUAUUAUUUUAGAAUGACAAACCUCAUAUAUACAGCAAUGACAGUGGCUCCUAUUUCUUCCAUGCCUGCAAAUUGUGUAAUAUCUUCAGGCAGGAGGAAGGUAUCGCGCUCUAGACCAAACACCUCCUUAUCAAUUGUAAAGUGCAGGGUCUUAUCCUGAGGCACGAGUGUCGUUUCCACAUAACGACAAAGGGAGUUUAAAGAAGAUGGCGCCUCCAUAUUUGAAUAAUCAACAACUUUAAUAACCUGUUUAAAGAAAUAUAAAAAAUGACGUGGUAAUUCAAUAAAAACGACGGUUUAAGGAAUAAAACGUCGUCUGAAAAGAAUUUAAACGUCGUCUGAAGAAACCGUCGUGGUGAAUAAUUUAUUACGUCUUAAAAAAAAUUCCGCCGUCUAAGUUGUAAACAAACGACGGUUUAAAGAAAAAUAUCGACGUCUGGAAUUUUGAAAAACAAAUAAAAAAGGCAAAGUUAUGUGAACAUACCUGGUCGUCAUCUUCUUUCUCCUUUUCAUCAUGUUUUUCUUCUGUCUUCCCUUCAUCUAUUACGUCGAGAAUGACUAACUCCGUCGUCUAAAAACCACAAAGUUUUAAAAUAACGACGUUUAAUGGCGUGUAAAACAAGUAAACUAAAUACGACGUGGUAUUGAAAUACAAACGACGGUUUAUGUUUAAAAUCGUGGUGGUAUGUAUUUCAAACGACGGUUUUAUUAAUAAUAACGACAUCUAAUGGUUUUUAAAAAAACAGAGAAUUCAAAGUUCAGAUAUGUUACCUUUUCUUCCUGAUGUUUCCCAUUUUUGGCAGUAUCAUCCUCAAAAUGCUGGGAUCUCACAUCACCUCCAGAGCAGCUUGCUUUGUCAGACAUUGGAUUUUUGGGACUUUGGCUAAUUCUGGGUUUAAGCAUGCUUGGAUCAAAAUUGGGAAUUAAUUGGGAAAGCUGACUCAGGAAAUGCUCCCUCUCAGCCUCUACCAAUUGUUUCGUUCUAGCCUCCAUCCUUAAAGCCUCUUCCCUUGCCUUAGCUUCCAUCUUUUUAGUCUCUUCUUGAAGGAGAACUCUUAAACUGUCCUUCAAACGGUCGUCAAAGCUCACUCUCUGUGGUUUGGGUAAAUUGAAAUAUUGCCUUGGUGAGAUCCCAGCACCUACUCCUCUCACUCUGCCUGGAUGCUCGGGGCCCAAAGCCAUGGUCAGCACAUCAUUGCUGCCAGAAACAGUGACUUUGCCUUCCGAGACUUGUUUUUGCAAUUCAUCCUAAAACAAAGAUAUAUAAAAAAGUAAGAACAAAAACACACGACGGUUAUUUAUAUACAAACGACGUAUUAUAUAAUUUCACACGACGCAAUAACAUAUAAAUCGACGUUAUUAUAAUUUAUCACGACGGUAGUUUUUAAACCGACGUGGUUAGUUUUUAAAACGACGAAAUGAAUAAACCACCGACGUCUUAUGCUUUAUUUACAGAUAACAGAGGGAUGAUUCAAUAUUCACACCUUUAACGACCUUGUUUAAAAUAUUUCGACGUAGUAAUUCAAUACAAACGACGCGAAAAUGAACCACCGACAUCUUAUGCUAUAAUUACAGAAAACAGAGUAGUGAUUCCUGAUUUAGACCUUUAACGAUGUGGUAAUAUCAUUCACACGACGCAAAAUAUAACAUAAGACGUAAUAAGAAUUAUUCACAGUUUAAUAAAAAUUUAAAACAGAGUGAGUAGGCUUACAAUUAAUUUUGCUUUCUCUGCCACCUUUGGAUCCGGGAUGUUACCAUGUUUGUCCUGUCUAGCUCUCUUCCAUAAGGUAGAUCGAUCAAUUUCUACCCCAGGCAUGGUUUCCUCCAAUUGAUCCUCCAAACCAGCAUAUCCUUUUCGAGACAAUCGAUGAUUGUACUCAAGUUUCUCCCUAAUCUGUGCAUGUUGAGAAUGCACAGACUCAAAAUCUUUGGAUAACCUUGAAGCUACAAAGGCAUCCCAUUGUGCUUUCUCUAUGAAUUUAUAUAUUUCAGGGGGUUGGCUUAAUCUCUCCCUGUCAUUAGUGUAUGGAAGGAUAUAUUGCCUCGUUAGUGUAGACUUGAAAUCCUUCCAUUUCUUGGCAGCAGAAGCUAACACAGAGCUCUUGCCCCCUUGACCUACCACAAAAGCAAUGUCAACUGCUUCCCAAAUCUGCUCCUUUAUAUCCUUGGAGAUUUGAGCCUAUUUCAUGUCCACAAGUGGAACUCUGGAGCGUGCCAACACACCAAUGUAGGACUGCAUCUCACUAUGUGCUUGGCCAAUUCCUUUCCCCCUUUUAUUGUACUCAACAAUUGGCCUCAGUUUCUGAAGUUUUCUCUUCACAACAUGAGGCAUUGUGCUCAUACCUCGACCAGACUUUGAAUCAUCAGAGAUUGUUGUCGUGCUGGUUCGUUCUGUCUCAGCAGAUGAUGAAGCAAACUUCAUCUUCUUCGAAGGCUUCACUUGAGGAGGUACCAUUCCAAGGUCCUUACCUCCAUUUUUCUUGGAGCCAGAAUCCUUACUUUGGUCUUAGUGAGAAACCAUUUUUACAGACAAAACUGCAAGUGAAAAUAUUUCAGGAAAAGAUUAAGAACACAAACGACAGUUAUUAAUAAAAUACGACGUAUGAUAUGAUUUUAAACGACGCAAUGAAAUAAUCUCAGACGUAAUAAAUGUUUAAAACCAAGGUAAUUAAACAACGACGAAAUAAUUAACUAUAAACGACGUGAUAAUUAACUAUAAACGACGAAAUAUUUAUAUAACGUCGUGGUAUUGAUGUUCACACGACGUCAGUCGUAAUAUACCGUCGUCUAUAUAAGGAUCCAAAACCCUUCUUUCUUUCUCUGUGAAUGUUUGAUUGCAGAUUUGAUUUUUCUGAACCAUGGUUUUUGUUUUCUAAUUUGAUAAAAUACAAGGCCAAGAAAGAAAGUUUUGGAAUCUUAUAUAGACGACGGUAUUUUAAUAUGACGUCGUGGUAUUAACAUUCACACGACGUAAAACAAUAAGAUACUGUCGUCUAUAUUAGAUACCAACCCUACUUUCUUUUUCUUUAUAUUUUAUCAAAUUAGGGAAAAACAAAAACCAUUGUUCAGAGAAAUCAAACCUGCAAUUAAACAAGCAAAUAAAAAAAAGACUAUAAUUUUAAAAACAACUUUGUCAAUUUUCAGACGACGCUAGAACGACUGACGAACCGUCGUGGUCUACAUAUUUAACCACGUACAUAAGAAGCUACCGUCGUCUUAUUUAGUUGAGGUAGUUGUCUUCAAAGUUGGAAACUUUCCCUCUUUGUCUGUAUAUUUUAUUGAACUUGGAAAGAAGUAAAAUGAUUUUGGCCAGAAAAAAGGUAAAAAGAUUUUUCAAACAAAAAACGUAUGAGCAUGCAAAACAACAACCAAAAUAGUGAAAAUGAAAGCUUACCUUUUGCGUGCAAUGAAAGCAAGAGGAAGAUUAUGUUUAAGUUCAGAGACGACGAAGAAGAAGAGAGGAAGACGAUGAGAUACUCUGACAGUGCUCUGACAAGGAAAAAAGUCUAAAAGUUUUCUCUGGGAGAUUGAACUUUUUAAUCGGGUUUGAAAACGGCGCAUGUGUAUGUCAGGUAGACGAAAAGUUGCUUACAUAUAAAACCAUUUCAAAAAAAUAAUACGGCGGUUACAUAUAACUACGACGUAUAAAUUACAAAAUACGACGGUACAUUUAACUUCGGACGUGGUAAAUAAAUACGACAGUAGUGUUGUAGGUACCGUCGUAGUAAACUCAAAAAUUAAAGUACAUAAGUAAUAACUCGCGUCAUGGUAGAUUAUUUAACACGUCGUUUUUAUUAAUUUACCGACGUGGAUUUCUGUAAUAUACGUCGAUAAUACCGACGUUGAUUUUACAAUUUAAACGGCGGUUUUUUUGUAAGGACCGCCGUUGGUUUUAAAAAUUUAUUCUAUAAAUUUGUCGCUUUCAUUCAUUUUCGGUUUACAUUUAAGGUUCCAAGUUCUUCCUCUCUCAGUCUCUCACGUCUCAAAGACAAUAAUUUGGAUGUCUUUCUCAAAGAGAAAUUGAGCUUACUCGCAUCAAAUAUAUGUCCACAAGAAGAAGCUUGUCAACUAGCCUUCUCACUUCCUUGAUCAAGCCUGAUAGGACACUUAGUGCUUCUGAAUACUCCUUGCUUUCCAUCAAAAGAGAUGCAAGCCUGGCCUCCACUCGCUGUCGAAGGAAAGUUCGCUUCUCAGGGAAAUCUUCUUGAUUUUCUUGGCUAAGAAGAUCCGUCAGAUUUGUGAUAGCCUCUUCCUUUAUCCGUAGAGCUUCAGAAGAAGAAGAUGGGUUUCAAGAAUGCGAUAAAGAAUAGAAAUGGCUUCAGAUGGCCUCUAAAGCAUGAGCAAUCGAAUCAGUAGUUGUUGGGAGAUAUGAUGAAGACAUUGUCAAUGCUUUGAACUAUACAAGUCCUGCAGAAAGAUAAAGGACCAAACUGUUAAAGAAACUGAAACAAUGGCGGUUUUCUGUUCUACCGUCGUCUUUUCUCGUCGUCUAUAUUAAGGUAAGAUGGCGGUAGAUUUAUAAUUACCGACGUAGAUUAUUUUGUUAAACGUCGUUAAGUGUACUACAACCGACGUGGAUUUUAUUUUUAAAUUAUAAAUAGAGUUUUUUUUCCCCUAUUCUUUCAGUUUUAGUUUUCAAUUACAAAGCGUGAUAAAUAGAUUUUUCUUUCCCGAGGAAAUUUAAAAUGAGGGAAAUUAAUGUUCUAGAAUUUGUAAACUAACACGACGCAAUAUUUGCAAAUCUGUGUCAUCUGUUAAGAUUAUGAUGUGGAACAGAGUUCCAUCUGGUAAGAUUUCGUAACCCUUGGGAUCUCAGACAAAUCUGAUUAUGUCGGCGGUUUUCUAUAUAAAUCGUCGUGGUUAUUUCAAUUCUUGUCAUUAAGUAGAUCUACCGACGUAGGAUAAGAAAAUCAAAGAAAAAAAUUGUUAACAAAAAUUCUUAUUAAGACGACGGUUAAAAUUAAAGGUACGACGUAUAAAAUGAAUAAAUACGACGUUAAAUUUUAUUGUACGAUUUAAAGAUAACGUCGUAGAACUAUAAGAGAAUGACGUCGAUAUAUUUAUAUUUUCCGUCGUUGUACAUUAAUUUAAUACGGCGAUAUUUUGUAUUUUAAAGCCGUGGAUUUGUUUGUAAUUAUACGGCGUCUUAUACGAAAACCUCGUCGUGUUAUUUUAUGAGUAAAAACGGCAGUUUUUAUUGAAAUCGUCGUCUUUACUUUCUACGUCGGUCGAUUCAUAACUUCUGCCGUUCUUUGUUGGCAUUGAUUUUACACUGCGAAAAUCUGUUUCAAAUAGACGUCGGUUGUUUAAUUAUGUACGUUGUUGUUUUUGAACAGCCAUUUGAAUCUCCAUUUUUUAGUUGUCUAAGGUUGUAUUACACGACGGUGUUUUUAGAACCGUCGUCUUUUUAAAAACCACGACGGUUUUCACUUAGACCGUCGUUGUUUUCUGGUCGUCUUUUUCACUUUUUGUAGUAGUGGCAUAUGAUGACGACACUCACAACAAGAUCAUGGCAUUUGACUCGAGUUGUAUGAUUCUCUCUUAAGUGUAUGUAAAGUGUAUGACAUUUACAUCAAUACGUGUAUUCUUAAUUGAAAUCUACUAUGGCAUUUACUCAAAUUAACAAUCAAGAAUCCAUUAAGAUCAAAGAGAAUAUGAGUGUCACAAAAACCCUAAAACAUGGCAUUUGUUAUUAGGAAUUCAAGAAUCGAUUUCUCAUAACUAGUUCUUAACCCAAUUAUUCGUUGCAAAUAAGAACACAUUCAAUAUGGCAAUUGACCUAUGUUCUACAACAAUUUAAUUCCAAUACAUGCUUCUAAGUUAGCUACUCAAAGAAACAAAAUAUCAGAAUUCACAUAACAUAUAGAAACCGAAAACAUCACGCUUGUAGAAACUAAAAAUCCAUUAACCUUGUUUAUAAAAUUGAAAUCAUGUUUAGGGCUUCAAGAUUAAGCCCUAACUAACAAGAAAUUAGUUACUCAUGGUCUUGGAUGAACUCAAAAAUAAAUACAUAAGAACUGAAAAUUAAAGAAGGAAGGAAAAGAAAGAACUCGUUCGCAGCUUUCUCCUCUUGCGCUGUUGAUCUCUUUAGGACGUGAAUCCUUUUUAUCAGCCUUGCCUCGUCUUUUAUAUCACUUAUAUCAGAGUUCUAAACCCUAAAAUUGACUGAAAAGUCGUCCAAGAAGUCUUGGUAAACAAGGAAUCCAAAUAGGAAAGUAAAAAUCACAAUUCCUAACUCCACUGGGAAAUACAGCUCAGCCCAAUGUUCACACGAUUUUGGGAUCUUCGACCUUGUAGAAAAAUCAUUAAAAAUAUAUUUUAGAAAGAUAAAUGUCUUAUCUUUCCAACCAUAUAUAGCACGUAACUUGAAAAAUUCGGAAAGGCUUCCGUUUCUUCACAUUCACGUAGCAUGUACGAAACUGUCCUGUCUGCACGUGGGCUAACUUUACUUGUAAUACUGUACCAAUUGGCUCGGUAGAAAAUUCUAGAAAAAUCAUAGAUUGAACUUCAAGAUGUUAGCUUUCAUCUCCAAUCAGGGGCGGCCUUGGGGAGGUGCAAGUGGCGCCACCGCACAGGGCCCCCGAAAAAAAAAAUAUUUAUAUUAUAUAUAUAUAUUAAUAUUAUAUGAAUCGUAUAUAUAAUAUAGCGUCUGGAUAUUUGCACAACAGCGUGUUCAGGGGAGUUGGAUGGAGCACAUCUCUCUUUGGCAAAAGGGCCCGAGUUCGAUGCUCCUUGAUGUCGUUCUACUGGCUAGCCUUUUGUGAUAUUAUUUUUGCAUUCAAACUUUACAUAAUUAUUGAACCAUUGGAUUAAUAUGCAACGAUGGGUGACCACAAUCUCUUGGACUCCUGUGGUCCAUGAGAUCGGGACUGAUAUUACAUGACUUAUUUUAUUAAAUUAUUAUCAUGUUGAUGAUUGGUUGUAUGAGAAUAUAGUUUGUAGAAAUAUUUAUCUAUUUCUUGUUGGGGUUUUCUUCCAGGUUAUAGGGUUUUGGAAUUUUUCUUUGUAAUCUAAACAUGCCACCUACUAGAAAAUACGUUUAUGGAUAUACAAAACGGCUUAGAAAAAGAAAAUUCGAGGAAUUGACUCAAUCUCAAAGAGGAGCUCUUGAUAGAUUCAUUGUUAGAGAAUCACAUGCUACAAUUGAUGAAAAUAUUUAAAUUUUUAUGAAUUUAAUUUCUGAUUUUCAUUGCAUAUUUAUUGAUGGUGAAUUUUAGUUAUAAAAAAAAAUUGUUUAUGACAUUAAGUUAUGGCAAAUUUUUAUAGUAUUUUCGUAUUAGAUUAUGCAAGGCCCCAAUUUAAGUUUCGCACAGGGCCCUCAAAAUCUCAGGGACGGCCCUGUCUCCAAUUGGUCUUGUGCUAAAAUUCCUCCGAAAAGUUGAUUUUCCCUUAAAAACCUUCUAAGAGUGCAGAAAAGCUGAAAAUCAGAAAAAUAAAGUAAUAAGCCAUUUUUAAAUCUAAUUCUCUUACAAAACCAAAGUAAAAAGAGUACAUAAAUGAGUAUAUUUAUGGACUUAUCAACGUCUUCUUCGUUGGACUUGGGGUUGUUUUCCUUAUAUGUCCCCUAUAUAUAUAUAUGGCCUUUAGUUGAGCCCACAAAUACCUUCAGUUAGUUUUUGGGUUUAGGGGCCUACAGAACCUGCACUAAACAAUAAAAGAAAAUACCUAAUUAGUUUAGUACGAAUUUAUAAUGAAGGCUUUAUUAGGUGAAGUUUUAUUUCUUAAUCGUUAGAUCAAAUUGGUUAGCAUCUGAAGUCGCCCAAAGAUUUGAGAGGGAUUCCACAAACAUAUAAUAUAAAGAAAGAAAGCAAUAGUAGGAGAUGAACCAGUACAAAAAACAAUAUAUAAAUAGUACAUAAUAAUUCCAUAACCUUGUCACAAACGCACUCACAAAUGCUUUCCAUAAACCUUGCCCUAACAUAUAACAAAUAAAGGCAACAUUGCAUAUGAUGCAACCAUGUCCAAAUCUGAUACGUGAUAAAAAAAAAAGGACAUGGCAGCAACAUAUGACUGAAGUAGAUGGGCUCUUUGCAUCUCGUGUUAUCGUAAUUAAAGACAUCAAAAUAUUAAGGUUGAAAUCUUCUAUAGUAGCAAGCAUUAAAAUAGGUUUGAAGCAGAGUUUAAAGAAAAUUCCAAUUCCACUGAUUUGCCUCUGCUCAAAGACGAGAACCAAAAUGGUUACUUCCCUUGCUGAGUAUAUUUGUUAACGUCGGAAACGGUAAUAGAUGACCAAUCAAACCCAAGUACGACGAGUUUUGCAUAGGAUCAGAAGUAGUUGAAUCCAGCUUGCAUCACACGCUUCUUUGACUCCAUUGCAUUAGAUGAGUUUUUGUAUUUUUGAACAGCUACACUCCGAAGUCGUUUGUGUCUACGCUUCAUGCGCUGCAACUUCGCCCUAUCCAGAUUGGCCUGCCUUUUGUCAUCUUCAAUUUGGCCUUCAACAAAUUCCAAACGUGCCCUUGCCCUUUGGAUUUCAUCACCAAGUUGAAGAUGCCUCUCCUUCCAAAAAGCAAGAACUCUUUCAGACUCAAAACUUCCAACAAAAUGGUCAUUCUAUCUAGGAAUGUGACAUUGCUUGUCUGGUGACUCACCUGCGUUUCAAAGGCGGUCUUUGUUUGGAGGGGUGUUUAUUAUGCUCACAUCAAACUUGGUUAGUAAAUCCAUUCUAUGGGGGGAGUGAGUUUCUGUGGAGGAGAGAGUUUCAGUAGAUGGAGACAGAUUCGGUGGAGGAGUGAGAUUUUUGUGGAGGGAGAAUUUCUAUGAAAUGGGUGAUAGUAAUACCAAUAAAAGGGUUCCCGCCAAAAAGUAUUUGGUUGACAAUGUAUAAAUUAAUUUUUGGUCUGAUACAAUCUAAGUUUAAUCCUAACUAGUUUGGUUAGUUUGGUUGAAUUCACUAACUAGAUGUCACUUCCAUUGAGUUUCUUUCAACCACUAUCAGUGGUGUAAGGAGAGUGUGAGGUUGACAUGCUUGAAAAGCAAAACCUAACACCUCUUUUUUUUAAAAUUGAAAGAAAGUACAUAUGUUGACUACACACAAGCUUUGGUAUGUUGGUCUAUAAAGCUAUGUUCCCUUUCUCAAACGAAAUUGCAUAUGCAAUCCUCGUCCUCCCAAAACAAAUAGAAUUAUUCAAGCAUGUCAACCUCUUCAGGCGCCAACAACACAAUCAAAGAUGACAAAUUGGAGUCGCAGGUUCUAUUUCCACAUUGUACUCGCCGACCCCUUCCAUUUUCAACAUCAUUUGGGAGUGAGGGGGACUCCGAUGAUCCAUUAGAGCUAAUACAUGCAGUCAAUAGCAAGCUGGAUUAUAAUUCCAGACUGAUCAAUUCAUGGCGCGAGAAAUAUGUUGAAGACGAAGCCAUUUUGGCUGAUCUUAACAUUAGAGUGAACAAAGCGUUCUCCCAAAAGAACAAGUACUUGAAGCUGAGUCAUAAAAGGAAGCUGAAAGCUGAGGAGUUAGAUACAGUAAUGAAUGAUGAAAUUAAAGGUUGUUUGAUGAAUCAUAUGCGAUGCGAAGAGCACCACAGUGAACUGGAGUUGGCAUUCAACGAAGGAUUCGAAAAAUUACGAGCAUUUGCAGCAACUACUCAUACAAGUUAUAAUUGGGACUAUGUGUCCCCUGAUGUUGUGAGAGAGAUACUAGACGAUGGUGGUGACAUGAAUGAGCAUAAGCACGUCAAAGCUGCUUGGAAGAAGCCGACCGAUACGACUAAGUGAUUGCGGCUACAGUUGUUCAGUUGGUUGAGAGUGAUCGUGGUAUUGCACAAAUUAGAAGUAUAUUCCCAUAAUGUCAUUAUCUAAUUUAAAAUAACACAAAUAUCAGUUUCAUUUGCUUCAUAUUGUAACACCCCGACCCCAAAUUUCCCCAAAAUUUACCCUCAUUUAAUUAAUUAAUUAUUUAAGGGUAUUUUAGUCAUAUUUUUAACCGGAGAGAGUUUGGGACCAUGACUUGUAUUUUUGGAUAGGUCGUACUGAGACGAGUUCAUAGACACGUAGUGGGCUCGAAUCAGAGUUGUAACGAGAGAGAUAUGGUCAAAAGAAACCCAGUGGCACAAUCGUAAAUAUUUCAAAAUGGGAUUUUUAUAAAAAUCUGGUUUUUCUCUCUCUCUCUCUCUCUCUCUCUCUCUCUCCCGCGACUUCUCUCUCUCUCCCGUCGGCUCUCUCUCUUUCUCUCCUUGUAUCUCCGGCCACCGACCACGGCUGUGGGCGGGGCCGGUACCAAACUGACCGGGACGACGUCCCCUUCCUUCCCCGACCAUUCCCCGCCGGCAACGCGGCCGUUGCUGGCCGGAAAAUGCAGAAAACCGCCGGGAGGUCGUCGAAACUUCAACGCCGUCGAUCUCCCUCCUCCGGCCACCAUUUUCGUCGACCCAGGUAUGGAUCUUGAACCUCUCGAGCUGUUCUAGCUGUUUGUUGGUUGGGUUUUGAUCGAUUCGAUCUCUAGAUCACUCGAUUUUCGAAUUGAAAAUUGGCCGAAACUUCGGCCGCCGUGAUCGGCCAUUUUCGGCCACUUUUUGUGGUAGGUCCAAGAACAAAAGUGGCUCCAAAUAGGGUGUUAUACCUAGGGUAGAAGUUUGGAGCCGAGAUGUUGAGAUUUUCCGGCGAAGCGUUAUCGCUUUGGGCACCCACGCGUGCGGCGGCGCGUGGGCACUGUAGAAAAAGUAGAUGUGUUCCGAUGAGAUCCUUAGGUUGUCACGAGUGCGUAGGAUUUGGCGGAUCUCAAUUCGGACGUCGUUUGACUAUCGAACGGAUAAUCGCAUAUUAUGCGUUAUCCGGGUUCGAUAGGUUGAGACCGUCGGAUGGUCCCAAAUUUAAUAUAUGUUGAUCUAGGUAUUUCUAGGAUCGUGUAGGAUUUCACGGAUCGUGAAUCGGAGCCCCGGAUGUUCCGAAUAAUAAUUUAAAGUUUAUAUUUUAUAUUAACCAUCAGAUUAUGCGAUCGUGAGAAAUCCGACCGUCUGAUCUGAACCAAACUGGCAGGAAAAGUGUCCUGUACCUGGUAGAACCCAUAGGGACCUUCGGAUCGGAAAUUGGAGGUCGUGGGUUCCGCAAGUCUGUUUGACCAGGGUUAGAGUAGUUUGACCCUUGGUUGACCGUGAGUCUCCCGGAGUAAUCUCACCCUUCCAGGGGGAAUUAUCGGGAGCUAGACUAUUGUGGAGGGUUACACAAUAUUAGAAUUAUUUAUAUAAUUAUAUAUGGUUGUACAAGGGUACAACAAAGUCUAGAAUGUCAGUUUGGAGUGCUAUACGCACUACUUUAGGUACCUCCUCGGAUUUUGGAUUCGCUACAAGCACCACCAAGUGAAAGUUAGGUCCCGCGUGGCGUAGGUUAUCCGGCGUUGGGACAGACCCCAUACGUGGCGUUGGUUGUACCGGCGUAUGGGGAGAUUUGCAAUAUGAUGUUCAGGUCUCACGUGGCGUAGGUUAUCCGGCGUUGAGACAGGCCCCGUACGUGGCGUUGGUUGUACCAGCGUACGGGGAGAUUAUGUGAUAUGAUGUUGAGGUCCCGCGUGGCGUAGGUUAUCCGGCGUUGGGACAGGCCCCAUACGUGGCGUUGGUUGUACCGGCGUAUGGGGAGUUAUAUGAUAUGAUAGUAUGGCAUGGUCGCACAUGGCGUAGGUUAUCCGGCGUGUUGACAGGCCCCAUACGUGGCGUUGGUUGUAUCGGCGUAUGGGGAGAAUAUGUGAAAUGCAGAGAAAGGAAAUAAGGUAUCACCGAUGUGUGGAAUUGGGUUUUAGGGAAGAACUACGUGUGGCUUGAUCCCUCAAGGAGGGUACGUAGGCAGCCUAAGGUUAUUGGGUGCAGCCGCAGACUAAAUAUUAGUCAUAUUUGGUAUUUGAAUUGUAUGGUAGUUGUUUGAGAAUUAUUGGAAGGCCAAAGGCCAUUUAUGAGAAUUUGCAUGAAAUUAUAUUGUGCAUGCUGCUAGUUGUGGAUAUUAAAUGUGUUUUUAUGCAGGUUGAAAUUUUGGGAAAUGUCCAAUUUAUAGGGGAGACUCUGCUGAAAUUUCGGCAGGAAGUCUCGGUUUUUAGUAAGUGGGCCUGGCAUCGGGGUGAUGUCAGGAAUUCCAAAGGGUUCGUCUCGGGUUUUGAGAAAAUUCGGGGCGGGUCCUUAAACAUAUAUAAUUAUUGGGACUAUGUAUUGCAAGUCAUCAUGUGUUCCUUCUGUCUAACAUUAUAUUUUGCAAAUAUCAAAAUAUUAUUCAAUAAGCAGUCAAUAUCACAGCAAGUUGGGAAUUAGUAAAGCCCCAUUAUCAUGUCCGUUCACAUUAAAGAGCUGGCGUACUUUUUCUCAAAAAACUGACACGUGAGUCAUAAGUAACAUAACAUGUGCUAUACAUUGUUUAGUGAAUGGUUUAUGGUUUAUUUAUAUAUAAUAAAAUUCCAAAUAUUGCUGAAUAUUUGUUUUUUCUAUAUCCCUGGGAACAUGAGUGACCAUAAGCAUGUAAGACCUGUUAAGAAGAAGCUGACUAAUACGACCGAGUGAUUGUGGCUACCGUUGUUUAGUUGGUUGGGGAGAUCGUGGUAUUGCUAAGAGGGAGCACAUAAUGUGCUUUGCAAUCAAAUUUUCUUUUGUGUGUGGAAUUAUGAGUAGUUCAAAUGUUAGUGUACCCUUUAAUAUUCUUCAACCGUUUGAAAUGUGAUUAGCUGCAAUGUACUUUUUUACACGCUGCUUUCUAAUCACUCUGUUCCAACAAAGUGCUUUAAGUAUCCUUCAGUUACAAAUGUUUACAAAAUCGUGCAUCUAAUAACCAGUCGAGCUCAGAUCUUAAUAACAAGUAAAACACUAGAACAUAACAUUCGGAAAAAGUGGGUGCUGCUGGAAAUCAUUACUGGUAAUGGAAGCAAGAGCUGGCUGCUGGAAAUGCUGCAUUAGCCUGUGAUAUAAUCAAUGAAUCUCUGUUAAAACAUAAUUCACCAUAAACUACCCAUUUUACAUGGUAAAAGUCAUUGCUUCUUCACAUAACUCAAAAUUUGAUACUUUAUCAAAUGUCUAUGAAAAUUUCUAAAUAGGGGAAAGACGUAAAAUUAACAUGUGUCCAAAUUUCAUGCAAGAAUGAAACCAAGCAAAUUUUUAUUUCAAUUAUCAGUGGACAUAGUAAGAACUCAUCGGUGGACAUGAACAAAAAAAUAAUAAUAUUAAAAACUGAAUCUAGAAAACUUCACCUGAUCAUUAGUCUUCAUAACAACCGAAUUUCGUCUAAUAGAAACAUAAAUCAUUCAGUUGGUCCGUGCAUCGUGUCAAAUUCAUAGAAUAAUGGGUCACUACGAUCUAUUGGAGUUGAUUCGUCAUUGUUCGACGGUGAUGUCCUGCAUAGACAUCAAACACAAGCACAGAAAAAAUUUACCUAUUCAAAUUUUAGGUGUUAUUAUAAAUAGUGUUAGCAUCUUACGGUGUGUUCAAAUUUCUUGCGCAUUGUCUUCUAUCAUGACCAAUGUGUCCACACUCCAGACAGUGUCUAAUCCCUCGCUUCAUUGCCUUUUCUUUUGCUCCCGUUACUCGUUUCGACCUUCUUUUGCACCUCACUCUCUUAGGGUCUUUCAUAUAUUGUGUUUGAGAGCUGGACCCUCCAACUUCGUUAUUACUUGGUCCAUCCUUCAACAACUUCAACUUCACCUGCAAACUUUUUAGAGUCUCUGACAGUAGCUCACAUCCUUCUUCACUCAUUAAUGCACCCUCAACCACAUCUUAAGCAAGUCGAGACAUUGUACUCCGCCUUAUUAAAAGACCAGGAUCUGCAGAGUCUUUAAUUUCGUUGCCAUUUGCAUCUGACACCAAUUCAGAUUUUGCAGUUUUCUUCCACCUCUUUAAAAUAUAUUUAUCGGGCAUAUAUUCAAUCUGGUCCCUUCUGAACAAUGCUAGGAUGUGCUUGCAAAUAAUUCCAACAAAUUCAAAUCUUUUGCACCCACACGAUGCGUGGUCAGAAUCUUUAACAUAUACGACGUCUGCCACUCUUGUUUCCCAAUUUUUCCUUUUGCUCACGCGAAAGACAACUUUAGAAGCACCCUCUGUUUUGAGCUCUAGGAAACAUGUUGUACUUUGUAUUAGUUCUUGGUCAAACUUUUGAAACAUUGUCCUUGUGUACAAGGUAGCCAUUUGUUUGUUCAUUGGCAUCGGUAGAAUACAUUGAGCCACUUCAAAUGCAUCUACGUGAUCAGCAACUAACUCUUUUUGACGUUGAUGAGAAAGUGCCCUCUCAAAUCGUAUUAUGAAAUCCAUCAACGAAUUUCUCCUUGAUAUGUAUUGCUUGAAAAAACCAUGAGAACCUUCCACUCUUUGGCUGCUUGACAUUCCAGCGGCAAAAAAUUGUUGUGCGUAGGCUGGAACCCAAGAUUCUCUUAAAUCAAACAUUGAACUUAGCCAUGGAUGGUCAGUCAAACCAGCCUUUGUAACCACAAUAUUCCAUUUUGUAACAAACUUAUCCUUAUUGUCAGUAUCCCAUACGGCUUUCUGAAAUUCACGCCAAUACUCCUUAUAAGCAGAAUGUGGUAACUUAACAGAGAACUUUGAUGUGAUGUGCAAUAUGCAAAGUCGAUGAAAUGUAGUCGGGAAGGGUAUUGAAAUCGCUCUGGUCAUUGCCGCAUCUUGAUCUGUAAUGAUCGUUUUAGGUCCGCCACUUGGCAUGGCUUUCUUAAACUCCUCAAACAUCCAAAUAAACGACUCAGUCGUUUCCUUGCUCAAAAAUGCGCAUGCUUAGACAAUUGUCUGACCAUGGUUAUUAACUCCCAACAUUGGUGCAAAUGUCAAGUCGUAUCGAUUCGUGUUGAAUGUGGUAUCGAAUACAACAACAUCUCCAUAAAACCCGUACGCCCAUCUAGAAGUUGCAUCUGCCCAAAAACAUUGACUAAACCUGUCAUGGCCAUCUCUCUCAAUCUUGAAAUAAAAAGCCUCAUUUUUUUUUUCUGUUCAGCCAUAAAAUACUCGGUCACUAGUUCAACAUCGUGGUUCCUCAACUUCCCAUUCACACUACAUUCAAAAUUGUAGAUAUCUUUUUUGAUAAAACCGAUUUUAUCCAUUCCUCCGGAUUGCACCUCGAAAAUACUUACCUUCUGAUGAAUGAGAAUAUUAACCGAACCCAACUGUUUUGUGAGUACUUUUGUAGAAUCUGAACUAUGACGGUGUGAUCUCAAUAAAUGCAUUCUUUCUGAGGGUGUCAUCUUAUGAUUGUGUCCCUCUGCAAAAAGAGAGAUGGUAUACUUCUUGCUCCCAUUUGUCUUCACAACCACAAUCUUAGCUUUGCAAUUGCAUCUACUUAUUCCCCGCUGUCUUUUUCUCUCCCGAGUUUCAUCUCUCCUGUAUUCACCUUGUUUGCAACAUACAAAUUCUUUCCUCAAAAUCUCUUUCUUAUUUCCCCCCCAAAAGCUGGAAUGAAGUCGAAUACCAAAGCCAGCCAAGAAUGCAUAUCUAUUAUAGAAAUUGUAAACGAGGUCAAGCAAGUCGAACUUCAUCCCAACUGCUGGUGUUUCCUCAUUUCUUACUUCAAGAAUGUAAACCCUCCCAUUAGCUGUUACACAGUCAUCACUCUCUGAGCCCCCAGACAUUUUAUCCACGUAUAUUAUUGAUCCACUUCUAUAUUAUUGCAUAGCAAAUAUUAAUUCAUUAAUAAAUCAUUACUGCAUCACAACAUAUCAAUGCAUUCCACUUACACAAAACAUUGCCCAAAUUGACACAAAACACGCAUAGCCUAACUUGUUGGAUUCCGAUUACACAAAACGCAAGCAAAAUUUAAUAAUAGUUACGUCAUCUCUUGUGAAAUAAUCUAGAAAAAAUAACAUUAGAACCAACAUGUUCAACUAAGAACACAAAUGCAAUUCAAACCAGCAAUCACAUAACUUCACCCAAUAUCCUCUCCAAAUGCUUACUCCUAAUGUCAUUAAGCCUAAGUUUAGGAUCUUUUACCUACAUUUCAUAAUUUUUCACCCCCACCAAAAAUAAUCAACUAAGUAUACUGAAUAUUCAUAAGGAAAUGACGCAUUAUUGAUGCCACAAAUGACGAAUUUCCUACCCUCACAAAAAACAAAUCAAACCCAAUUAAAUCAAUCCAGCAAGAGUGAACUUACCUCUCAAAAUCAAUCGGGAGCUCCGAAGUCAGUAAGCUUGAGAGAAUGUGGUGGACAUUAGAGAAGACUCUUUGGUAUUGGAGACUCCAUCUCUACCAAAAUCGAGGAACGAACUGCUGCUACGGCGUCUAGCUACAGAAAAAGAUAUGCUACUUUACUUUCAUCUGGAAUCUUGUUUGCUGAACGAAAAAGAGAAAGGGUUUUCACUUGAGCCAUAGAAUCAAAACAAGGCAACAUCUAGGUAAGAGCCAUUAAUCGUCAUAUCGAGGAUACCAUAGAUCGCAGGCCUCCCAAGGAGCUGAUGACAAUGGAGCGACUAUAGGGUUUGGGAGCUUUGGAUCCUUCUAAUUGUGGGUUUGCGUUACAUUCAAAAAAAGAGGAGUGUGUUGUUGAGUUUUUCACAUAGAGGGAAAGAGGGAAAGAUCUUCAACUGAAGUUGGGUUUCCAACGGGUCAAAUUUCAACCCGGUUCUACAUGCACCCUCUUUUAAAAACUCACCGUUGGAUUUCAUCCAACGGCUCGUACAUACCCCUCAAAAACACCCCUUAUAACUUUCCACUCACUAUAGAAGCUCUCCCCAGGAAAUGCUUCGAGGUAGAUUUUAUGUUUUGGGCCUUGGGACCCAACUUCACAAAAAGAAAACAAAUUUGACCAAAAAACAAAGUUGAAGGACAUUGAUAUUGUACCUGUAGGAUAGGUUAAAACACUAAAAGGAAGGUAAAUAGUACGUUUACAGAGUUUAAGUGUAAUAAAGGAAUAAAAACAUGCCCAGAGAAUUGAUAAGUGAUAUCAAUUCUUGAAUAUAUAGAACGUAAAAUAAAGGAAUACGUAGAAAAUUAUUUUAUGUGGUAAAACUCAAUCUAUGGGGCCACGGGACUUCUUAGUCCAAAAAAAAUCCAUUGAACGAUGAUUACAAGAAGUACUCACACACUUAUCCUAGACACAUUCUAGAUAAUUUUUACUAACAUCUUUGUAACUCAACUUCUGUCAUAGGAUGAUUUUUUGACACUCCUUAUGUUGAACGCAAUACUGGUCACGAUUUCUUCAAGCUCGCAGGAACUCUCCUUAUAUUGAAUAUGAUACUAGUCACGAUAGAUUCAAGCUCAUCGGAGAAAAACAGCCACAACGGUCUUGGUGCCCUCAAUGGUAUGAGUCACUGAACAUGCAAAUAAAUACAAUAUGAAUGAUAAAAGUGUUUGAUAAAUCACCAAGUUAUGGAACACUUGAUGAUUUAUCUCAAAUAAAAACUCAGCUUUCCAAAGUUUAUGAAUUGAAAAUAUGAUCGUUAAAGCUCUCUAAACAAAGAAGACGAAGAUCUUAUUUUAUAGAAUUUUUCUUUAUAAGAAAGAAAACACAUUGAAAACCAAAUCUCCAAGGCUUGACAGAAAAUCACAAAAGUAUCUUUCCUAUUCUAGAGAUUGGUCACAUGUAGUCCAACCAAUAGGACAUGAGAUAUUUAAGAAAUGAAGAUUUUGAUCAAUAUCAAUAUCAAAUGAAUUCUUAUACGCCUAGUCAACUAUUAAGGGUAUCUUGACUCCUUGAUAUUGUGAUAUGAUUGAAACAUGAUUUCCACGUUAGAAAAUUAAGGGGAUGUUAAAACAUGAAAGUAAUAGGAGAAUCAAAUUGAUUUCGGCCAAAAUUGCCUAAAAAGAAAACACUCCUAAAUAAACUCAAUUCACUUUUAAAAACAGUAAAACGUGAUUGAAUUGUUCUUUAAAACAAUUCCCUAAUAUACAUGCAUGAUAAUGACAUCACUUACCUCUGAAUCAAAUGCCUUUCAUAGGUCAAGCCACAAGUCUGUGUUUUGGGGAUUGCUGAGCUGCAUCAAUCCUGCCAAUGUCAAUGCUGCCCCUAUGCUCUCUCAAAGCACGUUUACAACCUAUGCUAACAUAUACCCUAAACCCUAGUAUCAAGAAAAUGCCAACACUAAUUUCGUAACACGUAGAAAUUGUUAGAGAUUGGAAGUUUUUUUUCUUCAAGUCUCUCCACCACUCACUAAUACAGAUUGCUCAUGUGAUGAGUUUACAAAACCUAUUUCUCUACUCUCACAAAGACUAUACUUCUUCUCAAAAGACUAUAUCACUUUACCUCUAUCUCUGUGAAAUGUAAAAAGUUGAAACUUUAAUGUCAAACCUCGACAAAAGAUGAACUUCCAUAAGUUACGUUGAAUUUGGAUUUGUUGAACUUAAGUGGUUUUACUUUUCUGUCAGUGUUUGAUGACUUAAUUUGGUAUUUACUUCUUCUUUUUUUCCUUGGAAAUGUGUUCCACCAACGUGAGGAAGAAAAAUAUGCACAAAUUAAUAUAUUUAAUAGAAGCCCAAGAUUUCGGAAGCACAUAAUUUCUACAAAAUUCUACAAAGUGUUCUACUUUACAAACUUCAUAUGUCUACCAAUUUUUACUAAAAUUAAUUUAUCUGCAGUGCUCAAAUUCAUCAUAUGUGUGUCCUUAAUUUUAGUGAAAAUUGGAAGUUUCCAUUAUUUUUGUUUUACGGGAAUUUUUUGAACCAAGGAAAAUCAAGUAAAAUUAAUAAAGCAUAAAUUGGAAAGGGAAAAUAUCUAGAGGAUGCAUUGUAGGAUUGCUCAUGCCAAUAAUUGUACCCUCUAAAUAUAUAGGGACAUAUUUUUUUUGCUCAUACCACUUGUUGCAGUACACAUUCACCCGUUUUCAAAGAAAGAAAUUCUACCAAUCGAUAAUGUCUCAAAUUUAAUCACAUAUUUUAUGGACCAUCCAGCUAUGAGGUUUUAUCUCAAAAACCUUCGGUACAUUUCUCCCACAUGCCACAAUUGUAUAUUCACAAUUACGUCUGAUACAUCACAUCAUGCCACUUGCCUCAAAUGAAUUUAAGUGAGUGAGGCAGUUGGAAGUAAUUAAGCUCUAUAUUGGUGGGUGGAGUGUUAGUUCUGGGUACCCCUCAUCAUUCGUCUAUAAAAUGGUGAAGCCAGUUGCUACUGUUACCAUAAGAGCCAGCUCCGACUUUCUUUAAUUUCUUGCUUCAUAUCCACUAGCUACAUCUGUUGCUCUUCUCAGUGUAAGCUCUGCAAUUUGAUUAACUUUCCCAUUAUCUCUCACUGUACUCUAUAUAAAGGAAUAAGUGUCGUCCAUUAAUUCUCUCCGAAAGUGUCGUCCUGAUUUUAAUUAGAGUUCGAAUUAAUGUUGCAGCUAGCAGCGGUUGCACUGGCAAACCAUGCUGCUCAACCGGUACCUCAACUUUACUGGAACUCCGUCCUGCCAAACACACAGAUGCCAAGAUCUAUCAGUGAACUUCUGCAUCCUGGUUUGUGUUUGAGCACUUUAGAAUCUUAGAUAUCUCUUCUACCUGCCAUUUUACUAAAAUAUGUUCAACCACAUAUUUAUCAGUUAACUACUGUCAUUACAUGAGUGACACAUAUUCACAAAUCGGCUGAUCACUUAUUUUCCAUUAUGACGUUGAUAUAUAAUGUUGGGAAUGGAAAGCCAAUUGACCACAAGGGAAAACCUGAAAAUACUGUACUACCACAGCUAGCACGAAGCCCAUUUUCUUACAAGAGUGAUGUGGGGACCAAAUCUCAUGUAUCAUAGCUUAACCCAUAUGCCACAACUAAAAGACGUGGGAUGAUCGAACAGCAUACCCACAUGGUCAUGGAUCUCUUCAGAUAAUCAAUAUUAAACAACCCAUAAACUUCUCCCUUUGAAGAACAAAUUAAAACCAAUUUCUAGAGGAAGGUUACAAAACAUUUUAGCCCGUGAAGAACAAAUCAAGACAAUAUAACCCAUUUGAUAACAAAAUCAAAAUGAGAUUUACCAAUACUAGAUGACCACGGCGCCAGUAUAAUGGUACGACGGCGGCGUUAUUGUAACGGUGGAGAAGUGGAUGGUAUGACGACGGUGUUAGUGUGACGGUGGAGGAAACGAUAUUAUGAAGGAGGCGUUGCUAUGUUCGGUGGAGGAGUCGUGUGUUUCACAGUUCAAUAUAUCCUUUUUAGUCAUUUUAUAUUAGGGUAAAUCAGUAAUUCAAUAAAUAAUUUGAUAGUAUGGUGUACUCAGUUAAUAUUAGGGUUCAUUUAACAGCACUCAAAUUAACUAGUGUAGAGUCUAUCUAUAUUAUUAAUACUAAAAAUAAAUAUAUGACUAAAUAACUCAAAAAAAAAAUAAAUCUACAAUCUUUUUUUUAAAAAAUUUUUUUUAUAGAAUUUUAUUAGAUUAAUAGGCACUACUAAAAAAUCUCCUUAUAAACUACAAAUACACGCAUAACUUAUACUAAUGUGAGCUACUGACACCACCUGCCACAUGACAGUUGUCCAAGCAUAGUGUUGUCAUUCAUUAUUCCCCACAGCAACUAACAUCCAAUAAAGGGUUGGGGCCCACCCAUACUCCACCUCUCUGUAUGUAGCUCUUUGAGAAUACAGAAGAAAUAUUUUUUAGGGAAAUAGCUUAAAAUGAUACCCAUUUCAUAAUUUUAAUUAAAAAUACCACCCCUUUCCAAUUUUUGUACAACUAUCACCUAUAAAUAUAAAAUUAUUGUCCACUUAUUGCUGAUUUUUCACAAGUUCAGAAAUUUUGGAAAGAAGAAGCUCACACAGCUCUCUCUCUCUCUCUCUCUCUCUCUCUCUCUCUCUAGCACAACUCUCUUUCUUUGGUAUCUGUCUAUCACAGCUCUCUGUGUCUCUCUUGGCUCUCUCUAUCUUGGCUCUCUCUCUCUCUAGCACAACUCUCUGUCUCUCUCUUUGCUCUCUUUCUCAUAGCGCAGCUGUUUCUCUCUCUAGCUUCGUUAUGUCUCUUUCUCCCCUAUUCGAUCUCUUGCUUUCUGUUUGGAAUCGCGAACCCCUCCCUUUAGCUAUGUCUUCUGAAUAGCUGCUUGCAACCUUGAAGCUCUAGUGGAUUGCCGACCUCGAAAAGGUAGUGUUGAUGGUUAUUUUCUUAAUAUCAGUGGGAUUAUGUGAAAUGGGUUAUAGUUUGAUUGUUUGGGUUUGUGUUAAAUUCGUUUUGGCUUUAAUUUCUUUGGGUUAGGUUUUGUUGAAUAUUCAUACUCAUUCAUCUGGGUUUGUACCAAUUGCAUUUAGAUUGGUCUGGAUAUGUGAAUCUUGAAACUUGGGAUUUUCUAUUUGAUGUAGUAGAUCUGUAUAGUGUGAUUCUGUUGUGUUCCUCUUAUUUUACAGUCGUAUUGCUGUUAUAUUGUCAUUAUAUUGCUUAUAUAUUGCUGUUAUAUUGUGGUUAUAUUGCUAUUGUAUUGUUUGGUUAUUGUGGUUAUAUUGUGUUAAUGAAAUGUUGUUUUGUCAUGGUCAGAAAUGGAGACAAUUGUUAUUCUCGUGUGCUACAAUGGAAAAUGGGUCACCUCGAAGAAGAUGUGCAAAUACGAAGGGGGUGACUCAAAAGGCUUAAUAGUUCCACGGACCAUCAAAUUUGUUGAACUGUUGGACCGUGUGCAUUAGAUUGGUAAUACAAACAGCAGGGAAGACAAGGUUUGCUUAAAAUUCUCAGUUUUGGUGGCCUCGAAUGAGUGGAAGCACAUAAAUAUUGAGGACGAUGAUGAUAUCAAUUUUUUUAUGAAGUACAAUUCCGAGGUAACACCUUCAAAACUAGCUCCCUUACUCGUGAGUAUAGAAGAUAAAGGAUUGACAAAUGAUGUAGUUCAUAGUAUGCAUAUCACGACAGAUAGUAGUCGGAUGGGUCAUUCUUCAGUUGCCAUUGUUGAAAGCAAUGAAGUAACUUGGAAUAAUACGAAUGUCACUGAUGUGGGAGGUGAAGUAGGGACAGAUUUUGUGGAUAUGAUUGAUUUUAGCGAGGUGUAGGAGAUGCAUGGUGGUGAUAAUAGUACUGAAAGAAAUGAAGUGUCAGUGUACUCUGCCCCUCCUAAUUUGGGCUGCUUCAACAUAGCUGCCCAGUUGCCAAUAAUGCGUUUAGGAGGAGAAUCUGAACCCACUCGUCAACAUUAUUGGAGUCAAAUAGGUGAACAAAAUCGGUACAAUGCAGCCGGUGUAAAUGAUGAAGAAGCAUAUUUGGACAGCGGGUUUUCACGAAGUGAUUGGAAUCCGAAAAUUACAGUUGGGCAAAUUUUCUCUAGUAAGAAAGCAUUGUUGACGGAGUUACGGUUGACGGCAUUAAGAGGCCACUUUGAAUUUAAGGUGCAAUUCUCUUGCACUAAAAGGUUGCUUGUGGUUUGUUGUCAACGUCCAUGCCCAUGGCGGGUCCGAGCAUCGAGAAUUGGAGAAUACAGCUUCAUGAUUGUGAGGUGUACAACUGUCCAUGAAUGUGAUUUGAGGUUCGUAAGUGACAAGCAUCGUCAAGCAACCGCAGCACUUGUAGCCACUUCACUUAAAAGGAAGUGACAUUAUGAGAGAUGUGAAACACAACUUUGGUUGCACCAUCCAUUAUUCGAAAGCUUGGAAAGCAAAGGAGUUAGCUCUAUUGUCCAUUAGAGGAUCAGCGGAGGAGGCAUAUUAUAUCCUUCCAGCUUAUUGCUAUGAAUUGGAGCGUAUGAAUCCCGGCACAAAAACACACAUCCAAACUGAUGAGAACAAUCACUUUGUGUAUUUAUUUAUGGCGGUUGGCGCAUGUAUUAGAGGGUUCCGUUCUUCCAUGCGCCCAGUGAUAGCCGUGGAUGCCACUCAUUUAAAAUCCAAGUACAAGGGUGUUAUGUUUGUAGCAAAUGCAUUCGAUGGUAAUUGAAAUAUAUAUCCUCUUGCUUUUGGGAUCGGGGAUUUGGAGACGGAUGCAUCAUGGCAUUGGUUUUUCACUAAACUUCAUGAAGCCAUUGGUGAGUGUCCCAAUCUUGUUAUUAUUUCUGAUCGCAAUGUUAGCAUAGAGAAUGUGUGGAACAAAAUUUUUCCAACUGCACAACGUGGCAUAUGCUUUUAUCAUAUGAAGGGGAACAUGAAACGCACUUGCUAGUUGAAAAAGCGUGAUCACAUACUUAUGCACUUUGAGCAGGCUGCGAAAUCUUAUUCCAUUGCUGAAUUUGAUUGUCAUUUUUGCAAGAUCAAGCGAAAGGAACAUGUUGCUCAAUAUCUUGAAGAGACAGGGUUACAUAAGUGGUCUAGAGCUCACAUGGAUGGACGCCGCUACAAUGUAAUGACAACAAAUAUUGCAGAGUCAAUCAACUCAGUCCUUAGGUUUGCAAGGAUGCUGCCAGUGGUUCAUUUGAUAGGGGAAAUUGUUAAUCUCCUUGUGAAAUGGUUCACCGAACGUUGUGAGUUGGUUUUGAAUUGCACAACAACAUUGUGCCCCAAUUUUGGAGAGAAGAAGUUGAGGAACAGGUUGGAGGAUGCUGCAAGGAUGAAUGUGGUUAAAGUAAAUAAUGCACAGUUUAAUGUUUUGGACGGUGAUAUGGACGGCCUCGUAGAUUUGGCGAACAGCAGUUGUAGUUGUAGAAAGUUUCAGCUUGAGCAGCUACCUUGCAAGCAUGUAGUUGCAGUUUGCCGCUUCUUGAAAGUAAAUGUAUACGCAAAGGCUUCUCGGUAUUACACUCAGAAAACCUGGAUGAUGCUUAUUCGGAUAGCAUCUACCCGGCACAACCUCACGGAAUGUGGGAUAUUCCUGAAGAUGUUCGAAGUCGAGUUGUGCUGCCUCCCAUGGCAAGGGUCAUGCCAGGCAGACGAAAGAAGAUCAGAAUUCCCUCGCAAGGAGAGGGCACCAUUAGAAGAAAGUGCUCAAGGUGCGGUUCCGCAGGCCACAAUAAAAGCACAUGUAAAAACAAUAUUCCAUUGCGCAAUGUAUCUUAGACAAUAUGAUUUGUGUUGCUUUGGUAGGUCAUGUAAACUCUACUUUUAUUUGUGGUGGGUUUCGUGUUAUGUUGAAUGGGAAUUCUUUUAAAUUUGCAUAAUUUGGGUUGCAUUGCUACAGCAUGCUGUAUUGCUGACAGAUUGCUAUUAUAUUGGACUUUUAUUGUACUGGUAUUGCUUCCAGAUUGCUAUUAUAAUUUGAGUGCGAAAUUAAAGGGACUGGAAUGUAAUUCCAAAUGGAUCCAAAUCAUUAAAGUUCUUAGAAUUCCUAUAUUACACAGUUACUGUGAUACUCCGACUAUACCUUCUUUUAUGAUUACAAAUUCGGCCAAUGCAUAGGCCAGAUGUGGGGCAAAUACAAGGUGAAAUGUCCUAUGUGUUUGACUACAUAUACUUGUUGAAGGAGCAUUACGAAUGCUAACCUCAAUAGAUUGCUCAUGUCUUGCCAAGAACACUCUUGAAUUUAUGCAAUGUGCCCAAGCCAGUCCCAAAGCUGGACUCACCCGUCUGCCUGAUGUGUCCAGGGACUCCAAGUUUCCCAACCUCACCUCAUUCACUUUAUCAUGUGGCCCAAUAAAAUCCACCACUUGGUUGGUGACAACCACCGCCAACCCAAACUUAUUUGCUAAACCCUUCAAUGUCCCAGAUAUGUUGAAAAAUAUUUCAAACCGCCAUUUCAAAUCUGCUGGUGUUGUCUGAUACUGUGAUCGGAACAAUGCAGCAAUGGAAUCAAUGACAAUGAGUUUCACAGGUAGGUGGGUGUGAUCAAUGGCAAUAAAUGCUUCUAUGUCUCCAAGGACAUGGAUGAGUUGUUGAGCAUCAUGAACACCAUGAACAUAUAUGUCUUCCAAUGGCUCCAACCUUAUUAAGUUGGGGUAUGAUGCAUGAUAAAGGUUGCCUAGUUGUUGCAAUCGACGAAAUGGGAAGCUGAAUUCUGUGAAUAUGUAGACGGUGGAGCCCUCUAGUCCGCCAUGUGAGGGUGGGAGCUGAGCUGGUACCGUAAGUUGGAGACAAAGUUGCGUCUUCCCAGAACCACUCUCCCCUACCAAUUCUGUUAUAGAGUUGCAGGGUAUCCCACCCCCCAAGCAGUCAUCUAGUAUUGGGCAUCCAAUGGAUAAUUGAGGGGUUGAAAGAGGAAGGAGCAUGAGGUUUUAGGGUGUCAUAUUUGUGUAAUUUAGGGGGGGAUGUGAUGGUGCUACAAGGCAUGCAUUAUAUAUAUAUAUAUAUGUAGAGUUCAUUUUGAAGGUCUGUAUUGUAGGCCAUAUGUCUUUUAAGGGAUGUAUAAUCCAUCCUUUUUUCAGGUUGUAAUUAAUUUUUUGUUUAUUUAUUAGUAUUUUUUUGGACCAAAUAAUUUAAAAAACAUUAUGAUGCAGUACGUACUGUAAUAGGAUCAUAUUGUAACUCUAUCAUCACUCUAUUGUACUCUUAUUGACAUAAUAUUGCCGUUAUAUGCAUGUUUAUUAUAUAGUUAUUACUGCUAUAUCGCCACUGAACUGGACACCGAUAAACUGUAUACGCACAAAUACAAAAAGAGGCUUCAUCAUUCCAUAAAAUCCUAUUUCCAAACUUACAUAAUACAACAACAGGCCACCCCAUCGUUACAUAAUACAAAAAUACGCCACCUCAUAGUUCCAUUUCCCUACUGUUGACAAAUUCGAAGUUGCAUACUCUUCAAGUGCGGUGACCGCGACGCAUGAAAUUCAUGACCCCGGCCACAGUGAUGUUGGCCUAGUUUCCUGCCGGAUCCACUAUUUUUGCAAACUUACGAAAUAGUUCGAAUCCGCUUUCCACUUCUUCUUGCUUCAACUUGGCCGUUGCUUCUGAUUCCUUGAAUACCAUAAUUGCAGUGGUAGGGGCAAUUUCAAUUUUUGCUUUCAUUGUCUUUAUAUGUAGGAGAUGCAUGCGCGCAUGAUAACGAGAGCGAAUUGUGCGGUUUUUUAUGACACCCCAUCUAGUUUGGCCCUCCACAAUUUUGAAACUAUGUCUGCAUGAAGAUUUUUCCAAAACAUGGUAUUGCCUCGACAUUGCUGCAUGCCAUGGACCAAGUCUGCAGGGAGUGAAUUGGGUGACUUGGCUUGUGUUUCAGUCUUCUCUCCUUCAGUAAUUGAAAGUGUUGGGUGUGGUGUGAGGUUAUGGUCCAUGGUCUUCGAUAUUUAUUGUAGCCUAGUGUACAACUUAAUUGGAAAAAAAGGGGACUAAAUGCGAUGGGAGUGAAAUCAGUGGGGAAGGUAGUGGCUGUAAGCAGGAGUUAAUGUGAUGGAAGUUUUCAUUUCAAACAACUGGGUUGAUUAAUAUAGGCAAGUUUUAAUGACCUGGAGUAACUCAGAGAGUUAUUGGUGGGAGGGAUUAGAGGGAGUAAUUGGCGGGAGGGAUUGGCGGGAGUCUUAGGCGGGAUAGUAUUGGGCGGGAGUUAUUACCCAGUUGACUGUAUGCCUUUUUGUAAUAUAUUUGUAUGUUGGACGUUCCAAACUUGGUAAUUUUCCCAUUAUGUAAUUCAAAUAAGGGAUUUGCCUAUUUGCCUAAUUGACCAACUCAUUCAAAUUGACCAAUAUGGUUAUUGUCUUAUUUCUCAUUUCAGCAAUCUCAAUUCGUUUCCAUUUUUCCAUUCUUCAUAUUUUCCUAUUUUCCAUGUGUCAUCCAAUUUUCCAAUUUUCCAAUUUUUCAUUAUUUUUGCCUAUUUUUUCCUAUUCCCUAUUUUCCUAUUGUGCAAUUUCCCAAGUUUCCUUUUGUUGUAUUUCUAGUUUUCCAAUUUUUCAAUGUUCCCAUUUUCCCAUUAUGUAAUUUAAAAAAAGUUGCCUGCUUUGCCUAAUUCAGAAAGUAAUUAAAAUGGUCCAAUAUGGUAAUUGUCUUAUUUUCCAUUUCCACAAUUUCAAUUCGUUUCCAAUUUUCUUAUUUUCCAUGUGUCCCUAUUUCCUAUUUCCAUUUUUCAAAUUUUAAGUUUUUGUCCAAUUAUCCAAUUAUCUUUUUUCCAAUUGGACUAUUUUCUAAGUUUCCUUUUUUUCCUAUUUCCAAUUUUCCAAUUUUUCAAUUUGCUAACUUUCCUUUUGUUCUAUUUCCAAUUUUGCUAUUUUCCAAGUUGCCUUAUUUCCUAUUUUUCAAUUAUCCAGUUAUCCAAUAUUCCAAUUUUCCAAUUAUCCAAUUUUCAAUUUUCCAAUUUGCGAAUUUGCCUAUUUUCCAAGUGUCCUUUUUUCCUAUUUCCUAUUUCAAAUUUUCCAAUUUUCAUGUUUUCAGAGUUUCCUUUUUUUUUCCUAUUUUCCAAGUUUCCUUUUGUCCAAUUUCAAAUUUUCCAAUUUUCCAAGUUGCUUUAUUUUCCAAUUACCCAAAUUUCCUAUUUUCCAAGUGUCCUUUUUUCCUUUUUCCAAUUUUCCAAUUUUCCAAGUGUCAUGUAAUCCUAUUGCCUAGUUUCCUCUUUCCAAUUUUUCCUUUUUUCCUAUUUCCAAUUUUCAAUUUUCCAAAUUUCCCAAAUUUCCAACUUUCCAUUUUUUCGUAUUUCCGAUUUGCCAAUUUUCCUUUUGUUCUAUUUCCAAUUUUCCAAGUUUCCUUAUUUCCCAUUCUCCAAGUUUUCACUUUUCCUAUUUUUCAAUUUCGCUAUUUUCCAAUUUUCUGUUCUGAAAUUCGCAAUAAAUGCUUAGUUACACAGUCCUAUUUUGGGUUGAAAUCCACAAUUUUCAAUUUCCCAUUAAGGUUUGCUUUUUUGUCGUUUGGAAGCCAAUUUUAUUGUUGUUAAUGUAAUGUUGUACUGUUGUAAAUUACAGCCAAUGAGUUAAUGAUGUAGUUUGCAAUCCCAUCAAUUGAAUGCACCAACUAAAUACCCAAUAUACUUCAUAUAAGUUCGUACAUAUAACUCAACCUUCCUAUACAGAACUGCAACAGAGGCACCUUCUUAACGGGAAAGGUAAUUAGUCUUACUAAAACGCAAAUAUUCUCCACUACAGCUAACCAAUUGUCGUUUACAACUGGAGACUGAAUCUACCUUUAUUUGUUUUGUUGCAGGCAACAGCUGUGAAUUGUCCCCGGCAAUACUUAAAGAUGUCGGAUGUACGCCCUCCAAAUGAGCAUGUCACAGUUACCCGGGGGACCAGCCGUGGCAUGUGCCAUUCCCAUCUCCACCUCGGACUCCCAAUCAUGAUCCCACUUCAUCUGGAAGUGAGGCUGAGAGCAAUGAUCCGCUUGACAAAAUCUCUGCCGUCAAGCACCACCUCCAAUAUAUGUCAAAGGCAACGGAUUGGUGGGAGAGUAAGUGCGAUAUUCAUGGCCAAGUUAUGGGAAACUUGGCCAACAAGUUGAACAAAGCAUACGCUGGAGAGGUGAAGCAAACUCUAAAAGCAAAAAGUCGGAGCAAAGAGUUAGAGUCCUUGAAGUUGAAAUUGGAAGAGAGAAAGAAAAAUGCUGUCGAAAAAUUCACACAAUCUGAAGAAUAUAACCAUGAAAUGGUUGAAUGUUUCAACAACGGCUUUGAAAUGUUCCGAGAUUAUGCUUCGGUCAUCUCACCAGACUACAAUUGGAGUGAAAUUGAUGUAGCUGGUGUUUGGCAGGUGCUGAAUAUGGGUGCUGAGGGAAUGGCUCAUCAUAGCCUCGUGCAUGCAGCAAGGAGAAAGGACAAAGACUUGGAUCUUUUGAUGGACCUGUAGUAACAGUGAGUGCUGCUUCAGUUCAACUCACCUGAGUACAUGGAUCUUUUGUUGCCUUCAUUUUCCCUUCGCAGGCUAGUAUUGUUAAGGUUCGGUGGCGAUUUCUUUUGCAUGUGUAAAAUGUUGUCUGUAAUGUGUAUGUAUUGUAUGUAGAUUGACUUAAUAUUGUAGUUCUAUUGUAUGUAUAUUGCCUUAAUAUUGCCUUUGUAUAGCAUAGAUAGUGUAUGCAUAUUGCCACCGUAUUGGAUGUAUAUUGUAAAACUAUUGGUAUCGUAUUGCCCUUAUAUUGCUCUAAUAUUGCCUCUAUAGUGCACCUAUAUUGACCUAAUAUUGCUCUUAUAUCGUAUGUCAAUGGCAUGUGCUCUAAUAAGUCUCCAGUUCGUUGAAAGUAAUCCUGAAUUCAAAUAUGAUGGACAAGACAAUUGUUAUCCAUCCUUAUAUUACCAUGAAUUGAUUUGGACCUUUCAAAUGAUAGUUGGAGUUGCACAUGGAUUCAUAUUCAAAAGGAAAGUAAUUCUCUCCCUCAAUGAAUUGUCGUUCAAAAGAAGGCAGCUAUCAAAUUUUGGGUACAAAAAGGCAACAUCCACGGUAAAUUAAUUGGGCACAAACCACAUAUUACAAAACCAGGAUGAUUUUUGGCAUGCUUCAAAAGAGAAGGGCCAAAUACAACAGAAAAGAAAAUCCAUUCAAGCUUGUACAAUAGAAUGCACAAUAACCCUUUUACAUGUCCUUCCAACACCAGUGUUUUGCCUACUUUAGAGUCGCAGGAGGAGAGCUUAUUGCCAUUGUGCAAUUCGAGGGGGCAGUCAAUUUGGAAUGGUGGCAUAAACAUGUUUACUCCACGGAUCACCUAUAUGGGACAGAGCUUCCUUCUUCCCUUGUCGUCUGUAGGUUUCAACUUCACACUUUUUAUAUACAUGUAUGAGAACUUGUGGCUAUUUAUUUAUGGCCUUCUAACACUUGUUCUGCCAUUCCAAAGUGGGUUGGAGACUUUUUGAGUUGAAUGACUGGAAAGACUUCAGAUGACAGAAACUAGAGAGUUUGAAGAAAAAGGGUUACCAAGAACAGCAGUCAUGCCCACGACAUAAACUAAACAUGCUAUAAGCUCCACAGUAAUAUUUACUUCAUCUCCAUAAUCAGAAUAUUGGGAAAAAAAUACCACGGAGAAAUACGUGAAAUGAAAAACAACUCGGCAGUUACUGUGAGAUUGUGUACAUAAAACUUGGAACAACCAAACCAAUUAAAGCUAAGCCAUCUCAUACGUAUACCUACAUCAAAUAACAGUGUAUGGUCAUCUUGUUUAGAAUAUUGCAAUCAACACUUGGUUGAGACCGACCUGCAAAAACAACUGGGUUAAGUACAGAUGAAGCCAUUUAUGAAGGGCAGUUCCAGAAUUAAGACCUACGUUAAUUUGUAACUGCCACCGAAUCAGUUCAUAGUGCCAAAUGCAUCUACCAAGCACACAGAUAUGACCAGCCAAAAGAAAAAAAAGCAAAGUAAAAAAGAUAAAAGAGGCAUGCCAUAAAUGGGAACCUCAGCAGAAAUCAUCAGAUAUGCAUACAAGCAGAUUGAGUAACAUCUCACUAAGUAGAGGUCAUGUUGGUAAUCGCAUGUUGUGUUUGCACACAGACAUUUGGUUUUUGCAAACACAACAUGCAAUUGCAUUCCAUGAUGUGUGUGUUGUGUUUGCACACAGACAUUUGGUUUUUGCAAACACAACAUGCAAUUGCAUGAUGUGUGUGUUGUGUUUGCACACAGACAUAUGGUUUUUGCAAACACAACAUGCAAUUGCAUAUUGUGUGUGUUGUGUUUGCACACAGACAUAUGGUUUUUGCAAACACAACAUGCAAUUGCAUAUUGUGUGUGUUGUGUUUGCACACAGACAUUUGGUUUUUACACACACGAUAUGUAACAUUUAGUUUUACCCUUUUAUUCUUAUUUUCUUCGUUCAAACAUGGUGGUGAGAAAAGCACCAAACCAUCCCAUCAUAUAAAGCAAAACUCAUACAAUAUUUUAGAUGCAAAAGUUAUAUAUUUUAUAUAAAUGCAUCAUCCGCAUGGCUUGAAAUUACAAAUUCACGUUCACAUAUUACUUUUCACAAGCGCACAGACUAACAAUAAUAAUAAUCAACCAAGUAGUUGCGACAUUCAUCCUAUUACGUCCAUAUUGAUAAUGUCAGAAGUUUCAUCGAUAAGCCUCAUCAAACUACAAGUUUUUUAAUUUGAAUUAUGAAUUCAGAACUAAAAGCUCAUGAUAUGCAGAAAAUGACAUACAUUGUCCACAAUCGACUUUUCGAUAUAUUUCUGCUCUAGCAAUUUAUCGUCCAAAUUCUGGACUCUCUGUGUCAGGUGCUUCUUUGUGUUCUAUCCAGCAUAAGAAUAUUUAAUAGUGUGAUUUCAAUUGUUUAUACAAAUUCUAUAAGUAAUAUUGAUGAGUGCUGUAAAUCUAUUUGAUAUUGGGAACAAACAUGGUCCCACUAACAGAAACUCAAACAAAACAGGAAUUUUUUUUUAUUUUUUUUGGCAUAGACAGCCGAAAAGAAACUUACAGCAAUAGCCUCUGUCACGCUCUCCAGACGUUUAUGCAAUUUUGAAACAGCAGCAUUCAUACUACGCUUUGUCACAUACAGAAGAUCUGAGAAUUUUAGACCCUAACCAUUUGUGAAGAGCAAAUAUUAGAUUUGCUUAAAGAAGACAACAACUCACAGAACCAAUGGAUGAAAUAAUAUGAACAUAAAUAUAUCAUUUGGAUACCUUCCACCACAUGUAACCAUAACCCAAUGCCCCCAAGGUAGCUGUUGGCAUUAUUAGUGAUGUCAAACCUAUUAAAAAAAUCAAAAAAAAAAAUAUAACCAAGUAUAAAAUGUUUCUAUUGCAUUAUGAAAUACAUACGUGUAAGGAAUUAAUCGUUUUACAACUUAACCAAAAAGUCAAGGCAGGAGCAUGCAUUCAUUGAGUGGUUAUAAGCAAGAGGAAAAAGCACAAAGCAUGCUAAGAAUUCAUUUGAACACAGAAGAGAAAGUAAGCUACCUUGGAAUUUGGCUGUCAUUCCCCUUCAGGACGGCUCUCUGUAGUGACGAGUCUAGUUGUCGGACCUCAGCUGCCAGUCGGCGCACCUAAAACAAAGUAACACAGGAAAAUUGAUAUCCAUUACAAAAAACAAAAAUUGAACACGAGAAAGCAUCCUUCGACACUAAAUUUAUAGCAGUUUUUCCAAUACCUGUGAUGCGAUCGCAUAAAAGUCACCUUCUGAUUGUUCUCCGGUUCCAUUGAACAAAGGCUGCAAACAAAACAGAAAUAGACACAAAUCCAUCAAUUUUUUGAGCAACAAGACACAAGCUCCGAAAUAAAUAAACUAUCUAACUGAUCAAAACCCUAGUUUACCAAAUGCAUUACAAAAUUAAAAACUCAUACAAAAAUAACACCAAAUACAAAUGUUCUGCGAGUUCCACUAGCAAAGCAGAGUACAAAUCAUGAAAAUGGUACCUGAAGUUCACCGAUCAAUUCAGAUAAUUGACCAUUCUUACGCAGGAUGGUGCUCGUAUACCCUGUAGAAAGAGAACAAUCACUCAGAUCAAAUGUAGCUAAAUACACAAGGAAACUAAUCCAGUAUGCAAGAUGAAAGAGGAGUGAUUGGUACCUACUCCAGCGAAGAUCAGCAAACACAGUAUGAGGUUCCAAAUUCAAAUAACAACAUAAUGCUAAGCAGAGAAGUAGAAUUGCUGCCGAAAUUAUUUAAAACGAACUAAGUCAAAACUAAAUGGAGAAAUGUUAACAAAGUUGUAUGCUUCAGUAAGUCCAGUAACAGAUUCCCAAAACCACAGAGACAAAAUGUGAACAAUGGCUACAAAAGCAUCCAUAAAGAGCAACUAUGUUUAUAUAUGGAGGUGUACAAAAUAGUUAACCUUCAAAAUCGAAACAGUGUGUGUGCCAUGUAAGGCAAUUAGCCACUGCUUCUAGACUAUACAAUAUUACACCUCACAAUAAUAACUAAACCAACUAGCUCUAGCAAAAAGGCAGGAUGACCAUAUAAAGUACCCCCAGCAAAGCAUCUACGUCUGCAUCUUCAUAUCAAGGAGUUCCUGACAUAAGUAAUGAGCAAAGUGAAUUCCCAAGUCAUAAGUCCAGAAUGAGGUGAAUUCACGGACAUUAAAACAUUUACCUCAUAAAUAUGCCUCCCCCCUUAAACCCUCAAUUGCAAGCCUCAGCCGGUAAUAUUUGAUCUUCAAAGGGUCAACUUUAUCUACCGAAAUCCCAGCACUGAGAUGCUCGAUGAAUUUGACGGUCAUGAUUCCGCAAGACGUACUGUGAGACCAAUAAGUUGGGAAAUUAGAACUGCAGUUAUGUAAGAUUUGGAUAAACUGCACUAAAUUCACAAAGCUUACCCAUCUCGUUGUUGUGGCACAUCUGCAAUGCUGCAAACUGAGAAUGGCGUAAACGUCAACAUCUUCAGCCCCUUUUGCUUAACCUUUUCAACCUCAGAAUCUUCAUAAAAGUGCAUAUCGUACAGCACUCGUGCCAGCGUAUCGCUAAUAGGGUGCAGAAGUGUAACCAGCUUCGAACAUUUGGUAAAAGCAACAUAUGAGUCAUACACAGUUGCAGUAUGUCAGACGAAAUCAAUUUCGAUUGCAACCCAGUAAGACCCUUUAAGAUUAUAUGGAAUAUAGACCUUCCGGACUUUUGUCCAAGCUUGGCCAUACCCGUGUUGCCACGUACCGCGUACAAAGUAAUGUAUAUUCUGCAGCUUGCUGGGUGGAAGGUCAACGGUGUUUGAAGCAACUGCCUUCUUCGAUCCACGUUUCUUGGCAGUCGGUUUGAACGGAUCUAGAAAUUGCUGCAUAAAUUGAAAUGAAGGCAUAUUAGAAAAUCACAACCGAAAGCAAAUGAAGCAGCGAAUGUAACAUGGUAACAUGUUUACCUGCAAGCAACAAUCUGCUGUUGUCCAGUCAGUUCCAAAUACCAACGGAUGAGAGAGUUGCCUUUUCCAGAUAAGAAAGGUUGCCAUGUCCAGGUGCUGAAAGUUGACACACAUAAUAUCAGCACAAUUUCAUACAACUGUACACUUAAAAAAGGUGAGAAAACAAUUUAAUUAUCGCAAUAAAGUAGAGCUUUGUGUAUUCUUACCCUUGAGCUAAUCCAUUCCGUUUCAUCGAUAAGUCUGUAGAAAAAAUCAGCGCCCACUGAAAAUAAUUCCAGCUGCACCUCCGCACUACAAAAGGCAAACUUGCAAUGGUUACUUUUAUAGUCAUCUCAUAAUUCUGACUUUGUUGAUGACAAAAAUACACAUGUAUAUUAAAGCAAACUCUACGUUUUCUCAUUAGUCUAUGACUACAUACUAGAAUAGGAUGAAGAUUGGAAUUCAAAGGUAAAGAAUCCUAACCUGAUAUCGUUUUUCCAGGCAGUACAAAACUCUAUUACUGCCUUCACAUCUUCAAUGGGCACGGAUUUUGAUGGAUCAAAACAUGGCGGGGUUGCAGUCGCAGCCAACACACUCAUCGUCCUCUUCUUCCUCAAAGGAUCAGUAAAUGGGCUCAACAAUGUCUGCGCCGGGCGCUUCUGUCUGCACCCUUUACCUUCCACUUCUUUUUUUUCCACACUCGAACUACCUUCUUCAUCACCAGCCAUACUAACUGUGGGUAGACUUGGAGGAUUCAUCGGACCUCCCGAUGGCAUACUCUUAGUCACUUUCCAAUCUUCUAACAGAGACAACACUUUUUGGCAGAUUUCGUCACACCCGGCCACAUCUUCCGGGGUAGGCAGCUUCUCGGAUUGUGCCUGCUCAGCUGCUUCAUGCACUUGUAAGUGAGGAACUGAAGCGGCCAUUUCUGCCUCUUCGACUACCAUGGCUGCGGAAGGUUCGGCUCCAUCACCGGGAACUUGUGUUUCCAUUACCGCCGGUUCUGUAGGCGGACUAACAUGGUCAUGUAAUGGCGACAAGUGAUUGUCGCCUCCUUCAUUCAUAUGAGGACUACUGAGGUCCUCAUGUCCUUUCCCACCUUCAUUCACCCCACCAUUUCGUUUUUUCAGCUGCUCUAUCUCCACAUUAAAAUAAUGCUCCAUUAAAGCCAGGGUGUUGCGGAAAUCCUCCACACACUUUUUAUUUUUUUCGAACUCUCUUUCAACUUUCAAUGACUCCUUCCGUACCAUGUCUUCCAACUGAUGCACUCUGUUGCGAAGCGCUCGAUUUGAUAUGGCAACUUUGGCCAAUUCAUCCUUUGUCCUUUGAAAGUCACGCUUCAAAGUGCGUAACUCUCUGGACGCGACUGUACCCUGCAUUCAGUUAUAAUGCAAGUGUUACAAUAUUUUCAAAAUAUAUUGCAACAAUACAGCAGUUAUUUUCCUAUUGUAUUAUGACGUAUAUCUUGGAAAAAAAUGUAAUGCUUGCCUUAGAAGACGACGGAAGGCUAGCAGUUUCGUCAAUGUCCUUAUCUUUUUCUUCUACAGAGGCAGAAGUGCUGGUUUUUUGUUCAGCGUCAUCGCCAAACAACUGAACAAGUUCUUCAGUGUCGUCAACACUGUCACCCCAAGUCCAAUACGGCUGCUGCUUGUCGAUUACAGAUGGCCGGAGAAGUUGCACAUCAACCUGCAAUUUACACAUACAAUAUACAUAUCAGUAAACUUAUUAUAUUAUAUUUUCAUAUGCCUAACAUUAUCAUUAAAAACUUAACUAACCUCACGGUUCUCGAAUACUUGGCUCAUUAGCUCAUAAAAACACGGCGAACUAUUGCUCCUCCAAUGUAGUAAACGAGGGAUGUAGGCAUUAUCUUCGUGCACCACCAAAUGUAGUGCAGCCAACGCUGGAAAAACCUCAUAAGCCCAAAUCUGGUUUGAGGAAUAAAACGUGAGUCACUGUAAACAAAUGAAAUUUAACUUCAACAUGAAUGGAAAUUUGCUCACCUGAAGUGCAUAGGCAAAACCUUUGAGGUGGUACUCUCUUGGUCUACCAGUUGCCGUUGUUUUUGCUUUCUUUUCAGAUUUUUUUGUUUUUGCAGCUUUUUUGGGCACUUUCACUCGCUGGUAAUCUGUACAAAGUGCCCUCAGAAGUGACACAAUUGUCUUGGCAUAACACACAGCACCCCAUGGAUACUUCCCAAACUCUUCAAGGUCUUCCACCAACUUCAAAUAUCGCAUGUCAAUCUGGACAUGUUUUUCACUGCCCAACAGCACAAACACAGCAAAGUAUACAAAUCUGAGCUUCAAUACAUCGUCCGCAUCAACGCAUUUGAGGAAGGCCUUUUCUAAUUCCAAAACAUUGACAGUUUUAUAGUUGCCAAAGUACUUCCUUUUCAAUGAGCAGUUCUCAUUAGUGGGAAUCGGAAUAAAGGGAAGGUUUCCAAACCUUAGCCCUGUCACGAUGCAAAAUUGCUGCGCCGUGAAUUGGAUCACCUUAUUGCCAACGAUGAAUUUGAUCCCGUUGAGUUGGGAAACUGUCUUUGGAUCAGCUUUCCUCAGCAGCAAGCCGUGGACAAUUGGCGAAGUCCACUUGAGGUCCUCAAUCAGUAGGAGAUGCCCAAAACAACUCUCUUCAAACCUUUGUAGCUGUUGUUCACUGAAUUUCUCCUUUAUCGUGCUGAUUGCAGUCUUCGUAUGGGAUAGGGACAAUGCUUUUCCUUGGAACUUUUCUUCCUCUGCAAUCAUCAACUUCAUUUGAGCAACCAUCUUUCCCUGCAUGCCAAUAUUAUAAAAAAAAAUUCAGUCCGUUGCAAUCUAGACAAUAACAAGCAAUAAACAAUCAGCACUUAUCUACAGCCUAUUAUAGGAUAUUAAGUGAAAACAAAAAAACAAAAAAUACAGGGCAUAAACAAAACCCCAGCUAUUUACAACUGACCUACUAAUUCAAUAGCUCAAAGCCACAUCCCAAGACACCCAGUACUCUACCACUCUUGCAUAAUAUAAUAUCUAAAGACACAUCUCAACACACCAGAUAAUCAUGACACAGCUUCAGCUAGAAUGGGAAUGUGCGGUAGCACAAGCCUAAUUGAGAACAAUUCAAGACUAACGAUAGAAAUCUAUCUGACUAGAAAGAGUUUUAAAAAAACAAGAAGACAUCGGGAAAGAAUUGAUUGACUUCAAGGUAUAAUGUAAUGGAACAUCCUAUGAAUUAGUGGCAACCAUAAUAAUGACUCCACUAUGGCCCUCCUUUCAAAUGUAAGAAAAUGAAUGAAAUUGGCACCAUCCCUUCAGUUUUUUCUUAACAAAAUAAGAGAUUUGUAUGUAUUCUCUGCUUUAUCGAUAUCAAAGAUAAAUUAAUAAAUAAACCAUCAAAACUGUAUAAAAUGUUUGUUAGACAUGUACAAUUACAAAAUUAUAAGUUCUCCUCAGAAACAAAGUUCUCUAAGUACGCAAACAAGAAAAGCAAAAGCUUAAAGAGUUAGCUUAUAGCAAAAUCAAUGUCCCCAUUUCUCUAAACCACACCUGCUGGUGGUAGGUUCCCAUCUUCACUCAUUUCCCGCUUUCUUUUAAACAGACAAUGAUCAAGCACAAAAGAGCAAACUUUUAAAUAACUCAUAUUACACCACAAAUAGUUCUAAAGAAAACUUAUUCAUAUCCAAUAUGCAACCCCUAAAGUUAGUAAACAGAGUUAUAAAAAAAUAUGUCAAAUUAACAAGCAUUAUUCUCAAACAAAAAGUAUGAUAUGGUUGGGAGUUUACAAGUUCAAAAUGAUAUACACAGGUUAAUUGUCUUAGACUUUAGAUAUCAUCUUCAACAAAGAAAAUAGAUACCGAUUAGACUUGUAAGAAGGUUAAAUGCAAUGGUCAUAAAGACCCAUAGUAAGCCACCAAAUACCAAUCAAUAACUGCUAUAAAAACCAUAAUAAAACCAUAAUAAACUAAAAAUACAACAGCACUAAAAUGCCAACACAACAUCACUACAUUAGCAAUAUAGUAGCAACAAAACCACAAUACGACAUCAAUAGCAACAGCAAAACAACAGCAGUGCAAGCAUCAGUCCACAAAGAACAAACCCAUUCACUGUUUCAAACAAGGAAUCAUCAUACUAAGAUCAUUUCAGAGAAACCCCAAAACCAAUUUCAGUGAAACCCCUAAACCAAUUUCAGAGAAACCCCUAAACCAAUUUCAGAGAAACCCCUAAACCUUCAACCAAUUUCGAACAAAUCCCUGAACCAAUUUCAUAGAAAUGCAUAAACCCUAAACCAACUUCAAAGAAACCCUAAACUGUAAGAAAAUGACGAUGAACAGUACCUGUUCAAGGUGAACGAUGGAGUUGAGCUUCGAUGAACAAAUUUCGCUCGGAGAGGAAGAGAGAAGAGAGAGUCAGAGCUGAGCGACGAGAGAUUAAGGGCUGAGCGACGAGAGAGUGAGAGCUGAUCGACGAGAGAUGAGAGAGUGAGAGCAAAGUGACGACAGAGUGAAGAGAAAUUGAGAGAAGGAGCCAAGAGAGAGAGCUGAGAGAGAACUUCAGCAAAACUGAUAGAGAACUUCAGCAAAAGUGAUAUGUGUACAAUAAGGGGACAAUAAAUAUAUAUUUAUAGGUUAUAGUUCCAAAUUUUUUUAAAAAGAGUGGUAUUUUCAGUUACAAUUAUAAAAAUGGUGGCAUUUUGAGCUAUUUCCUUAUUUUUUAUUCAACAUGGACGCAGAAACUGUUGCUAAACUGCAAACUUCUUAAAAUAUUUGUCUCACUUUCUCAACCCUAUAUUUGUCUAACUUUCUAGAUCCAUGUACUGAGAUUUAUUAGGGAAAUAUUGUAGAAACUGAUUAUUUUGAAAUAUUAAAUGUGAAAAACUGAACAAAAAUUUGAUGGGUUACAUAUUUCAACUCAUUUCAGCAGCUUAGAUUUUGAAGACCUCGGAAGAGGCCAUGCAGUGAGCCUAGCUAGUGCACUGUUGAUCACUUCAGUGUCUACCGAUCUGUAAUUUUUCCAGAUUGGUUAUAUUUUCCUUUACAUAUUCUUAUAUUAUUCCCAGCUGUAAGUGUUUUACACACUUGUCUAUUAGAAAAGGGGAGACUUAUAAAUAAAUCCAAAAUGGGUACAGUAUUUAUAAAGAAUGACAAAAUUAAAGUGUUUGGGCAAUAAUGCCCUUAUUCAUUUUGAGAUUGCCUAAGGAAUAUUUUUUCUGAUUUUCAGAAGAUGCCAAAGGACCGUUGUUUGAUGAUUGCCGUAAGGAGCUAAGAAAACUUGCUUUGAUAGUUUUGGACAGAUGCAUGCUACUGUUGCUGGGAUGAUCUCUUCACGUGAAAUGAGGAUGAUGAUGCUUCUACACUACACAAUCCAACGAAUUCACAUGUCUAUUUCAGAUACAAGUAUAAACUAACAAGGCUUUAAAAUAUGGGCUGAUGCACUGUUGUUGAUGUUGCUGACACUGUUACUGUGUUGUUGAUACUGUCACUGCGUUGCUGUUGGAAAAAGCACAAGGACUUCACAUGUUGCUUUCGUCUUUUGUGGAGGAGAGAGACCUAGGACUUGCAUGUCUUAGAUAUUUAAGAUAAGGGGCUUUCGUUCCAUUUUGAAAAUACUUUGGGUGUUUUUGAAAGGUGAUUGUUUCUUUUGGGUUUCUCACUAAAUUUCGCUUUAGAAGGGAAAAUAAUAAUAAUAAUGUCAAACAAAGUAGGGUAAAUAUUCAGAUAUGCUCAUAUUAUUAUUCUUCUCCAAUAUUGAGGUAUUUAUACAAGUACAAAGAUGUGUUAACCCUAAAUAAAAUAGGAAAUAUAUCUAAAUUAUAAUAGGCAGUAAAUCUCUAUUACAAUAGGACUAAAUAAUAAUUGGUAAGUAACCAAAAUUCUAAUGAAAUAAGGAAUCAAAAUCCUAACUAAGUAAGGACUCGCCAACACUCCCCCUCAAGUUAGGGCAAACAUAUUUCGCAUGCCUAACUUGACAAGCGAGUCAUAGAACACCAUACUUGAGAAGCACCAAUUGUAGAGAAGGUCUUUUCGUCAACCACGAGUGAAACAAGUGACAAACUAAAGCAAAGUUCGCAGCGGAAACACAAGAGCGAAUCCUAAAAAAUAGGGCACAUAGCAGAACACAAAAAUCCUGGAGCACGACAGUAGAUAAGGCAGAACACAGAAACCCUGUUAGCACGGCAAUAGGUAAGGCAGAAAAAGUCAAGAGCAAAGGCAAGGUCAACAGGCGUGACCACAACGAAAACACACCAGCAAAGACAUGAGCAACAAUAUUAGCACCAUAAUAGACAUGAGCAACAAUACUGGUACCAACAACAGCAAUACAAGGCACUGGCACCAGCAAGAGCAACAAGGCAUGGACAUAACAUGCAUAAUCAAUAGUAAUCAACAUUGUCCCCAACAAGAGUCAUAAUAGGCAUGAGCAAUAACAUUGUCCCCACUAAGAGACUUAACAGGUAUGAGUAACAGUACUGGCACCAGCAAAGGGCAUAGUAGUCAGCAGCAAUAACAAUGACAAAUACUUCUAUUAUUGCAGAGACAACUUCUCUUCACUCCCCAUCUCCCCUUGAAGAGAAGGGGUCAUCGGAACCAUAAGAAAAGUGGCACUUAAGAAACAGAAGUUGACUGACGCUCAAAUGUAGAAGAAUCAGCCAUGGCAAAUAGGUAGCUGAAUUGCAGCGGAAUAGAUGAGCAGCGGUGUCACUCCCCCUCAUAUCUGAUAAUGUAUGAGAGUCGAGAUUUGGAGAAAGCAAUAUCGAAAAAUAAAGUUGCAGAACCCAAAUAAAGUUGCAUCUAUCUCCCCAUCAAAUCCGACACUGGUAAAGGGUCGAGAUUUGAAAGAGGAGAAAUUGAAAUAAUAGUAAAGAGACUCAAACAUGCAGUCUCAUGGCAGAAACAAAUGCAAGAGGGGAAGAUGGUAGCAUACGGUUGUCCCAUGAAGAAAAAACUUCAGAAAAGGAGAAUAGUAAGGGAGGAAACCUAGCAAAUCAUGAACAGAGACAAAGACAAAGAUGCUCAAACUGAGAAGCGGAAAGGCAACUCAAGAGAGCAACCGAAGAAGACAGAGGCCCGCAGAACAGUCAAAGUUAAGGCUCGGCGAGUGGUGACGAUGCUCGCGGAGGAAAGCAACGGCUCGGUGAGCGGUGAUGAGGCUCACGGAGUAAAGAGACUUGUUAUGAAGUUUCAAAGAUAGAGAAGCUGAGACAUCAAGAAAGACCAUCUGGCAUACAAAGAUGAAAAAUAAAAAUUUUGGAACAGUAGCAAAGAAGCAUGUGAAGGCUGGUGCGGUGAAAACACAUAUGAAAGGAUGAACAAAAGAAGAUGACUAUACAAGAUGAAGACCCAUGAUGGGUUAGGAAUGAGGAGUGCCAACGACUCUCAAUUUGGCAGAGGUUAUCGCAGGUUAGGAACCUGGCUCUGAUACCAUGUCAAACAAAGUAGGGUAAAUAUUCAGUUAUGCUCAGAUAUGCUCAUAUUAUUAUUUUUCUCCAAUAUGGAGAUAAUUAUACAAGUACAAAGAUGUGUUAACCCUAAAUAAAAUAGAAAAUAUAUCUAAAUUACAAUUGGAAGUAAAUCUAUAUUACAAUAGGACUAAAUAAUAAUUGGUAAGUAACUAAAAUUCUAAUGAAAUAAGGAACCAAAAUCCUAACUAAGUUAGGACUCGCCAACAAAUAAUAGUACAACUCUUAUUAGCAACAGGUUACAAACUUCUUCUACAACACACCAACAUGAAUCUAGCCCUGAUCCACUCUUUUACAUACUUGAAAACAAAACAAAACACGAAAAACAAAAAACAAGAAACAAGAUAGGGAGAAAAUGGCUACGGAGAGACUUCCUGCUAAUCAGGGGCGGCCCUGGGGUGGUGCAAGUGGCGUCACCGCACAGGGCCCCCGAUUCUUAAGGGCCCCCAAAAAAUAAUUCUUUAUAUUAUAUAUAUAUAUAUUAAUAUUAUAUGAAUCGUAUAUAAAGUAUAGCGUCUGGAUGAUAAAGAGACUCAUUAUCAUUAUCUUAGUCAUAAGAUUCAAAAUGAAUUGAUACUUUUGUUAGCUUCUGAGCUCAAAAGUGCAAUCAUUAAAAAGAUUGAAGAAGCUAAAUAUUUUUCUGUGAUUCUUGAUUGUACUCCAGAUGCUAGAAACCAAGAACAAAUGAGUUUGAUAGUAAGAUGUGUGGAUGUCUCUACUAAUUCAAUAAAGGUUGAAGAAUUCUUUUUGGAAUUUUUGAUUGUGAAUGAUACAACAGGACAAGGACUUUUUGAAGAGUUGCAAACGGUGUUGCAAAAACUUAAGCUUGAUAUUGAUAAUGUGAGAGGACAAGGCUAUGACAAUGGAUCAAAUAUGAGUGGGAAAUAUCAAGGUGUCCAAAGAAAAUUUUUGGAUGUAAAUCCUAGAGCAUUGUACACACCUUGUGGUUGUCAUAGUCUUAAUUUAACACUUUGCGAUAUUGCAAACUCUUGUGGAAAAGCAAAAGAUUUUUUUGGAAUCAUACAACGUAUUUAUACAUUGUUUGCUAAUUCUACAAAGCGGUGGAAGAUAUUGAAAGAUAAUGUUAAACACUUAACUCUGAAAUCAUUGUCAGUUACACGUUGGGAAAGUCGUAUUGAAAGUGUGAGAGCAAUAAGAUUCCAAGCUGCAGAUUUAAGAGAAGCUUUACUUCAGUUAGCAGAAAGUGACGGUGACUCCAAAAUAACAAGUGAAGCUAAUUCUUUGGCAACAUAUGAACUUGGAAAUUUUGAGUUCUUAUUGGGCAUGGUUAUUUGGUAUGAUAUAUUAGGUGGUGUCAAUGUAGUGAGCAAAAACUUACAAUCUGAAGACAUGCUUAUUGAUGUUGCUAUUGAUAAAGUGAAAGGGUUGAUUACUUUUUUUUUGAAAAGUAUAGAGAAAAUGGGUUUACAGAAGCUAUGUGUACUGCUAAAAAAAUUGCUACUGACAUGGGAAUUGACCCGGUGUUUCCUGAGAAGCGAAAAAUUCGUAGAAAAAAACAUUUUGAUGAGAAUACUUGUGAGCUAUCCCAAUCAGUUCCUGAAUCAACUGAAGAAAAGUUUAGAAUUGAUUAUUUCUUGUAUUUAGUGGACCAAGCUAUUGGUUCUUUACGAAGAAGGUUUCGACAAUAUCAAGAGUAUGAGAAUUUUUGGGUUUUUGUUUACUUCAGAGAAGUUAAAUUCAUUGGAUGAUUGCGAUUUGAAGAAUAGUUGCAGUCAUCUGGAAAGCAUUUUGAAAAAUGACAAGUUUUCUGAUGUCGAUGGGGAGGAUUUAUUUGUUGAGUUGAAAGUUUUACAAGAGCUUUUACCAAAAGUAAAUACCACAGCUACUGCAAUAUUAAAUUUCUUGAAAAGAUUAAAUUGUUUUCCAAAUGCAUUCAUUGCAUAUAGAAUCCUAUUGACUAUUCCUGUUACUGUUGCAUCUGCGGAAAGAAGUUUUUCAAAAUUAAAAUUGUUAAAAUCAUACUUGAGAUCAACUAUGUCGCAAGAAAGAUUAAAUGGACUAGCUUUGAUUUCAAUUGAAAGUGAACUUCUUGAAAAACUUGAUUAUGAACAUUUGAUUGAUGAUUUCUCUUCUAAAAAUUCAAGAAGAUCAAUUUUCAGACAUUAGUAUUGUACUAGCUGUGUUUUUUUUUUUCUUCUAGGGUAAAAGCUCUCAUAAUAAUUUUAAUUCUUCAAAUAAGACAGCAAAUACAAUGUGAUGAAUUUUGGAUAAUCAGGUAUGUUUUUGUUGUUGCUUUUGUGUUUAAUGCAAUAUAAUCUAAUUUUUUUAAUGACAUUUGUGUGCAACUACUCUUUGAUUUGUGAUUGCCAAUUUUUUUUUCUUUCUAUUAAACACAGAUUGCUUAUUGGAGGCAGCAAGAGACCUUAUAGGGGCACAAGGAGCUUAUUUUUGUACAAAACAUUUAACUUUAUCAAAUGGAAACAUUUAAAUUUUUAUGAAUUUGAUUUCUGAUUGUCAUUGCAUAUUUAUUGAUGGUGAAUUUUAGUUAUAAAAAAAAAAUUGUUUAUGACAUUAAGUUAUGGCAAAUUUUUAUAGUAUUUUCGUAUUAGAUUAUGCGAGGUCCCAAUUUAAGUUUCGCACAGGGCCCUCAAAAUCUCAGGAACGGCCCUGCUGCUAAUACUUGAUCAAUAACAGAGAUAAUAGAGCACACUGUUUGUAUGACAAUGAGUAUCAGAAGAAUAAUAGCUGCAAAGAGAGAAAUAGCUGCCCAAGGUGUGUUGAAAUACUUUUGUCUCAAAUUUGCCUUCCGUCUGUUCGUGGUCUUCUUGCAGUACUCGUUUAGUUUGCCAGCAAGAUCACCAAAAUAGUAGUUUCCGUGGUUCGGAGCAACUUUACUGCAAAGCUUGUUAAUCAUAAUGGAAACCUUAUUGUUGUCACCUAGCGUGUUUACAACAAUUCCAUUGUCAACAAGCAACUCUACAUCCUUUGGGGUGUUUACAAAUUUAUCCAGGAUGAAAACAUAAUCGCUUAUGUAUUUAUCCACGCAAUGGCCUUGUUCAAAGGCAAUGAGAUUUCUAUGUGUAAGCUGUGUAAUCAUGUAUUUCAAUUUUUGGAAUUUCCAAGGUGUUUUUCUUGAACUGUAUAUCGAAUAAGUUCUUGCUUGAUCCCACGUUAAACUUAACUCCGGCCUGGUGUAGUUUUGUCAUGCUGGGUGUACUUUGGAGCCCUCCAUUUUUUUUUCUUUUGGCAGAUGUAAAGUUCUAAUAAAAUCAACAAAAUGUAAAGGUUUUUUAGGAUCAGGAGGCAUAAAAGACUUACGGAAGGCUGGUGAGUUCUCCAAGUUUUCUAAACGCAGUGCCUGUUGGAAGAACUUGUAAGAGAGUUCAAUUAUUGAAGGCUCCCCAGUCUGAGCACCUGUGAGAUUGUAAAGAUCCUCGAGAAUGAAAAAUGGCAGCUGAUUUACGAGCAUAAGCAUGUCAGGCAAUAUAUUUUGUAGCACCCAUGGUUUUUUAAAUAUCCAAGCAUCAUCAUCCUGCAAUUUUUCUUCCUGAAAUUUUUCUUCGGAUUUAUUCCUCAACAAUAGCUCAAUGACAAAGGCGGCAUCAACUAGAAUGAUAUUCACAAAAGUAGCAAUGUUAAACUUCUUAGGGCUAGUUUGGCGGCGUUGUGCUUUUAAAAAAAUAUGCUUCUGCUGUGCUGUGAAAAUAAUUAGCUGUGAAAAAAAGCUACUAGGCGUUUGGUAAACUGUUUUUGAAAAACUGCUGUGAGUAGUCAAAGUGUUUGGUAAAUUUUUAUCAGAAGUACUUUUAGUGUGUAUAAUGACCAAAAAGGACAUGAUGAUGAAAUUGUUUGUUAUUUUCUUCAUUCUUUUUCUACUUUAAAAAAAAAAAAAACCCAAUUUCACUACAUAAAUUUUUAUUCUUUUUUAAUUCACACCUUUUUAUCAAAAAAUUUAAUCUACAAUUAACAUACAUAUUUUACCAUAAAUUAUAAAUUACUAUUAUAACAAAAGUAAUUCUAAAUAUUGUUAUAUUAAUAUGGGCUUCGGACAUGACAAAAAUACAAAAAUUGUUCAAUUUUAAAAUGCCCCAAUAGAUCACUACAAUAUAAAAGAAGCUAAUUAGAUGCAUUCAUUAAACUUGUAGCGAUGCUAUUUCUUAAUGCAUUCAUUAGCUUCUUUUUUUGGUUUCCAAUGGUUCUCUAACAAUUUUAACUAAAAAAACAACCAUAAUGCUUUGUGAACAAUAAAUUCAAGUCCAAAUCUGCUAUUGCCCACACCAUACAUAUAUACAUAAUUGUUCCUUUCAUAAAACUUGAAGAUUCAAUAGUAAUUACACAGUUUACCAAUCUUGAUUCCAACUAUAUCCAUAAAAUUAAACUAUAAUUAGAAAUAGAGGAGCUACAUGUGAUUACUCAUAAAUGCUUCCCACUCUCAUCAUCAUCAUCAUCAUCAUCUUCCUCCUCUGUACUUUGCCUUUCACAAAUGGACAAGACCAGAUGGUAACGUACACGACAUGGUCCACAUAUAGAUAAAUUUUGGGUUCACUGGAGAACAUAAAAGAGUUUUUACACGAAUACAAAGUUAGUUAAGUAGUGAAUAAAGUAAAACUAUUCUGUACAAUUCUAGCUGAUGCAGUCCAAAAAGAAUAUAUGUCUAAUAACUUAAAUAACAAUAAAGAGAAACAAAAGCCUCAUGAAAAAUGCUAGAGUAAAAGUUACAUAACUGAAUCGAUGGACAGAGAACUCCACAGGCAGAGAAACAGCAACAAAAAUUGUCAAAACAGUAGCAAGACCAUGUUGGAGUCAAGGCCAAAGAUCAUAUUUCCUGUGUAUCUUCUUCCAUUCUGAAUUAUUCUCGUAUUCAAAUACUGUAACUCUAUUUCAAGUGCACCCCAAAAUACUUAUCUAAGGCCAGUACAUAGGACUUCAUAAAGGGUGCGAUAAAAAAUAUUGCCCCUUAAUUGAUAAACAGAACCAAGAUCCCAACAGCACACCAAAACUAUACCAACCACACCUACAUAAUAUGGACAGAAAAUCCUGUUGUUCCGAUCUCUAACCACACCAAUGACAUUCAUUAGGAAAAUACAAAAGAUGGGUACCCUGCAUUUCUAACAUUUAAGAUAAAAUUCACUGCCAGCUAAUCACAAAUUUGAAAAGAUGGCAAGAAAAUUGGCUAAGCUUUAACAAAAACCAGAGCAGUCCUUGCAUAGACCUGACUUUUUGCUCCAAGCUUUAGCAGAUCACUUACUGGUAGAGAGCAGAGAACAUGUAUGUGAAUAUCUGAAGUUGGAAGGGUAAGCCAUCACAAACACCAAGAGAUCUGAUUCUCAUCUCUUGUUACAACAACAAAUCACAAACACCAAUACAUCUGAUUCAGAAUCUCAUAAACAAUGGAGGAACAAACACAUAUUCACACACAUAUAAAUCCCUAAACAGAAAAAAUAAAAAAUAAAAAAAAAACCAUGAAAGUCAUAGGAGAAUCAAAUUGAUUUGGGCCAAAAUUGCCUAAAAAGAAAACACUCCUAAAUAAACUUCAAUUCACUUUUAAAAACAGUAAAACAUGAUUGAAUCAUUCUUUAAAACAAUUCCCUAAUAUACAUGCAUGAUAAUGACAUCAUUUACCCCUGAAUCAAAUGCCUUUCACUGGUCAAGCCACAAGUCUGUGUUUUGGGAAUUGCUGAGCUGCAUCAAUCCUGCCAAUGUAAAUUCUGCCCCUAGGCUCUCUCAAAGUGCGUUUACAACCUAUGCUAACAUAUACUAGAGUUUGUUUUAGUAUCUAGAAAAUGCCAACACUAAUUUCGUAACACGUAGAAAUUGUUACAUAUUGGAAGUUUUUAUCAUUUUUUCUUCCAGUCUCUCCACCACUCACUAAUACAGAUUACUCAUGUGAUGAGUUUACAAAACAUAUUUCUCUACUCCCACAAAGACCAUACUUUUUCUCAAAAGACUAUAUCACUUUAUCUCUAUCUUUGUGAAAUGUAAAAAGUUGAAACUUUAAUGUCAAACCUCGACAAAAGAUGAACAUCCAUCAUCAAUUACAUUGAAUUUGAAUUUGUUGAACUUAAGUAGUUUUACUUCUCUGUCAGCGUUUGAUGACUUGAUUUGUUAUUUACUUCUUCUUUUUUCCUUGGAAAUGUGUUCCAUCAACGUGAGGAAGAAAAAUAUGCACAAAUUAAUAUAUUUAAUAGAAGCAAAAAUUAAUAUUUACAAAAAUAUGCACAAAUCAAGUAAAAUUAAUAAAGCAUAAAUUGGAAAGGGAAAAUAUGUAGAGGAUGCAUUGUAGGAUUGCUCAUGCCAAUAAUUGUACCCUCUAAAUAUAUAGGGACAUAUUUUUUUUUGUUUUCAUGACAUGUGGUCCUAAAAUUAUUGUUCUUAGCGGGCUCUCCACCCCUCUCGACUGAAAACCUAUUGUGUAAAUCUUCAAUCCUGAAUGAUGCACCUAAAACUCAUGUUGCAAUACACAUCCACCCAUUCUCAGGCCAAUUAUUACUCCUAGUGGGCUCUCCACCCCCUCUCAAAUUUAAGUGGUCCAUUAUUAUUAACCGUAUAUUUUAUGGACCAGCCAGCUGUGAGGUUUUAUCUCAAAAACCUUUCUCCCACAUGCCACAAUUUAUGUCUGAUACAUCACAUCAUGCCAGUUGUCUCAAAUGAAUUUAAGUGAGUGAGGCAGUGUUACUUCUGGGUACCCCUCAUUAUUCGUCUAUAAAUUGGUGAAGCCAGUUGCUACUGUUACCAUAAGAGCCAGCUCCGACUUUCAAAAUAAAAAUUCCAACAACGGUCUUAGUGCCUUCAAUUGUAUGAGUCAUUGAACAUGCAAAUGAAUAAAAUAUGAAUGAUAAAAGUGUUUGAUAAAUCACCAAGUUAUAGAACACUUGAUGAUUUAUCUCAAAUAAAAAUUCAGCUUUCUAAAGUUUGUGAAUUGAAAAUAUAAUCGUUAAAGCUCUCUAAACAAAGAAGACGAAAGUCUUAUUUUAUAGAAUUUUUCUUUACAAGAAAGAAAACAUGUUGAAAACCAAAUCUCCAAUUUCCAAGGCUUGACAGAAAAUCAAAAAAAUAUCUUUCCUAUUCUAGAGAUUGGUCACAUGUAGUUCAACCAAUAGGAAAUGAGAUAUUUAAGAAAGCAAGAUUUUGAUCAAUACCAAUAUCAAAUGAAUUCUUAUACGCCUAGUCAACUAUUAAGGGUAUCUUGACUCCUUGAUAUUGUGAUAUGAUUGAAACAUGAUUUCCAUGUUAGAAAAUUAAGGGGAUGUUAAAACAUGAAAGUAAUAGGAGAAUCAAAUUGAUUUGGACUAAAAUUGCCUAAAAAGAAAACACUCUUAAAUAAACUUCAAUUCACUUUUAAAAACAGUAAAACAUGAUUGAAUCAUUUUUUAAAACAAUUCCCUAAUAUACAUGCAUGAUAAUGACAUCACUUACCCCUAAAUCAAAUUGUCACGCCCCGGACCUGGGGGUCAGUGGAAACCCCACGUUCGGUGCGUGAGAAAAUAAAAAGUAAAAUAAAAUAAAAAGAAUGCCGAAACAAGGGUUUAAAAUAAACUUCUCUUAUAAAAAUAACUCCAAAAUCUUACAACUUUACAAGAAAUAAAUAAAGCCCUAUCAUUCUUAUCUAAUUCAGCCUCAACUGGUUUAGUCCUUGUCUUGCCCACUAAUUCAUCUAAAAAAUGAAGAGUGUUGCUAAACGAACCCUAAAAUUAAUUGAGUACACCCUACUACCAAACGAUUUAUUGAAUUUGUCACAUCUCGGGAUCAACUCCGCCGUAGCACGAUAUUGUUCGCUUUGGGCCCUCCCUCUCUGGCUCGCAUGGUUUUGUUUCUGGGAACUCACGAGUAACUUCCCAGUGGGUCACCAAUCCUGGGAUUGCUCUAGCCCACAACUCGCUUAACUUCGGAGUUCCUACGACUCCGAAGCCUGUGAGCUCCCAAAAGGUCUCGUGCUAGAUGGAUGCGGGUGUGCACAUAUAAGGCACAUCACCCCCUCUCCGUUGGUUGAUGUGGGAUCUUAUAGAAUUACUAAUUUAUCCUAAUAUAAAAUGACCAAAGAAGAUAAAAUAAUAUUGGUAUCUAUUGCUUUGAAUCCAUGCCUUCAAACAAAUUGACUUAAUUUUUAACAAACAACACGGAGUCCAGGAGAAGUGUAUUGAUCCAAGUUGAUUUUUGUAUGCGUAAAACUUAAACAAUCAAUAACACAAAGCAGUUCAUGCUGAAAUAUUGGAAACCCACACCCAAAGAGUUCUCCGCUGCGAGGUUGAAGGCAGGAGAGAUGGGUGACAGAUUUUACUUCCACUGCGAAGUUGGAGGCUAGGAGAGUCUGUGACUGCCAUGGUUGAGGGAGAAGAUGCGUUCAAAAUGCCUAUUGAUAUUUUACAUUAUUGGCUUUUUUCAAAAGUGAAAGUUUUUUUAUGGGUAAAACCUAAAUUUACUUUUUCUAUACAAGUUAACAGUGUUUGUGUAUUGUGAAAAGGUGGAGAGACGUGUCAAAAUUUUAGACAAAGGACAGGAGGAGAUAGGGAAUUUGGGGACAGCAGAUCUCAACUCCCUUGAGACCCUAUUCUCUACGCCACCCCUCCCCCUCAACAACCCUAGUCACCAUUUCUCCUUCAACUCCAACGGCAACUCAUUAAAACCCAAUUCUCAAAUGCAACAAUCUAAUCCCAAUCCCAAUUCAGAUGUUUCUAAAAAACCCAUUGUCGUGGUGGAGAACUGCAAUUCCAGGUGGUGGUGGUGGUACCACAUGGGAGAGAGAAAAAAGAAGAAGAAGAAGCAGGAGAGAGAGAGUUUUUUAUUUUAUUAUUAUUUUACUGUAAUUUUUUAAUUUAAAUAAUUAAAAAAAUUAAAAGUUAAAGAGGAUGUACCAUGGGUAUUUUUGGUAGUUAAAUAAGGUGUACUUAGGGUCAGUUUGGCAUUGCUGUGCUGUGAAAAUAAUAGCUGUCAGAUUUGCUGUGAGAGAAAUCAGCUGUGAGAGAAAUCAGUUUGGCGUUUGAUAAAAUUUUUGUUAAAAGUGUGUUGAUAUUGAUUUUAUGCUUAAUCCGAAAAUGAUUGCUGCAUAAUCAUUAAACCCAGCGCCUCUUCGAAACUGAUUCCUAUAUAAUCAGAAAAUGAAAGCACCUCAUUAGCUGCUUUCCUUUAUAGCUUUCUCUCACAGCAAUUUUUAACAAUAAGUGAUUUUCUCACAGUUUACCAAACGGGUUGGGCUUCUCAAAAUUUUUUAAAAAUCACUUAUUACCCCAAAUAAGCAAUACCAAACGGGCACUUAGUUAAUUUUACAUUUUAAUUUAAACAUUAGGGUGUACUCAGUUAAUUUUAGGGUUCGUUCAGCAGCACUCAAAAUUAAACAAGGUGAGGGAUGAGCAAGUAGGGACAUGAGACAUUGCCACAGUAGAUUGAUAUAACUAAAUAUUAUUAUAAACAUAGAAAUAUAUAAGUAUUAUUAUAAUAGGAUUCAUAAUAAUUAAUAUAAAAGUAUAACAACAAUAUUUACAUUUAUGUACCAAGAUAAUUACACAUAUAAAUAUAACCAAUAUAUAUUUUUAUAUAUUUUAAAAUAUAAGUCUUUACGUAAAUGCCUUUCACGGGUCAAGCCACAAGUCUGUGUUUUGGGGAUUGCUGAGCUGCAUCAAUCCUGCCAAUGUCAAUUCUGCCCCUGAGCUCUCUCAAAGCACGUUUAAAACCUAUGCUAACAUAUACUAGAGUUUAUGCUGUAUCUAGAAAAUGCCAACACUAAUUUCGUAACACGUAGAAAUUGUUAGAGAUUGGAAGUUUUUAUCAUUUUUUCUUCCAGUCUCUCCACUACUUAUUAAUACAGAUUACUCAUGUGAUGAGUUUACAAAACCUAUUUCUCUACUCUCGCAAAGACUAAACUUCUUCUCAAAAGACUAGAUCACUUUACCUCUAUCUCUGUGAAAUGUAAAAAGUUGAAACUUUAAUGUCAAACCUCGACAAAGUGUUCUACUUUACAAACUUCUUGUGUCUACCAAUUUGUACUAAAAUUAAUUUCUCUACAGUGCUCAGAUUCAUCAUAUGUGUGUCCUUAAUUUUAGUGGAAAUUGGAAGUUUCCAUAAUUUUUGCUUUAAGUCACUCUUCUGAAGGAAGUUGAGGUUCCACUUCAUAAUCCAAAAUGUCAGGUUGACUUAUGGCAAACAAUGUAAAUAUGUAGGAGUACUAUGACCUUUUAUAGCAUUUUUAGUUUGAAUUUGGGUUUUAUACAUAGAUUUCAAAAUUAAUAGGUUGAUGCCUAGGAAAUAGAAAUUGUAAGGGCCUAUAUUAGAGUAGCCCUCUUAAAAAUAAUAUUAAUUAAUGAAUAUUUGUUCUUCUUGUUGUUUUGAAGUAGUGGUGGGAGGCAGACCAACAAAAAAAAAAUAUAGUGAAGGCUUAUAAGAGCAUUUACAAUCAUGCUCCCUAUUUUUUAGUUAAAAUUUAGCUAAAAAUAGAAAAAAAGUUAUUAUAGGAGCUCUUUAUAAAGCUCCUUUAUAAAAUUUGAACUCCAAUCAUACUCCCUAGUUUAGGGAGUCAAAAAUACUAUAGUUAUUUUUUAAUUCAAUUUGAUUUUGGUUAAUCUCUAUAAAUAUGAAAAAAUAGUUAGCAUUAAUUAAAAGUUUAAACUAUGCAUAAAACAAAGAAACAUUAAAUUAUAGGGAGCCACUAUGAGUCAUUACUCUCUCCUCAGAUUUAGGAGCUCCUAAAGGUCUCCCUAUUUUAUGAGGUGGAUAAGGAGCAUGGUUGGAGUUGUAUUUCUUCAAUUUCCUCCCUAAAAUUUGUCUAAGGAUGUGGUUUAGGGAGCCCAUUGUGAAUGCUCUAACUCUGGUAAAACACGAGUGACAUGGACAACAUAUGUUACGUCGUACUGAAGAUUUUUGGGUUUCUUUAAUUGGUUAAGUAGCAUCCACACAGCUUCCUAAAUCAUCUCCUUAGACAAAUUUUAGGGAGGAAUUGGAAAAGUACAACUCCAACUAUGCUCCCUAUCCACCAACUAAAAUAGGGAGACUUCUAGGAGCUCCUAAAUCUGAUGAGAGAGAAAGGACUCUUAAUGACUCCCUAUAAUUUAAUGUUGCUUUAUAUUAUUUUGUAUACAGACGGGUCAAUUAUAUUAAAUUAAAAAAUAAUUAAAGUAUUUAUGACUCUCUAAACUAGUGAGCAUAAUUGUAGAUCAUCUUAUAUACCUUAAUUUGAAGAUUCUUUAUUUGGGUUUCUUUCAAGACUUAUCACCUUAGCCACGCCACCUACACGUCUGCAAGCUUUCCUAACAAGGAAGGGGAGGCUGCGCAAUACUUAUCACCUUAGCCACACUACACCAAAUUGACGUCUGCAAGCUUUCGUAAUCUAACAAGGAAGGGGAGGCUGCGCAAUACUUAUCACCUUAGCCACACCAACACCACAAGACCAAUAUGUGUAGUCCAGGAGGCUUUCCCAUUUUAAUAUAUAUUAUCAAAUAAAAUAAAAAUCAAUCUAUUAUCAUAUAUAUUAUAAAAUAAAGAUUAUUGCUCCAUCCUCCAUGCACUUGCAUGCCUCUUACAAAGUGUGAAGUAGAUUUUGUGUGCUCCAAGUCAUUGACGAGAGCUGUAACAUGGUUAGCUGGAUUUAUAAGAUCUUUUCUUUUCUGGGAAUUUUCUGAAUCAAGAAAAAUUAAGUAAAAUUAAUAAAGCAUAAAUUAGAAAGGAAAAAUAUCUAGAGGAUGCAUUGUAGGAUUGCACAUGCCAAUAAUUGUAUCCUCUAAAUAUAUAGGGACAUAUUUUUUUGUUUUCAUGACAUGUGGCCCUAAAAUUAUUGUUCCUAGCGGGCUCUCCACCCCCUCUCGAUUGAAAACUAAUUGUGUAAAUCUUCAAUCUUGAAUGAUGCACCUAAAACUCAAGUGUCCCAGGCCAAUUAUUGCUCUCAUACCACUUGUUGUAAUAAACAUCCAUCCAUUCUAAAGGAAAGAUAACCAUCGAUAUUAUCUCAAAUUUAACCACUUAAGUUCAUUAUGAUUAACUAUGUAUCUUAUGGACCAAUCCAAUCAUGAGGUUUUAUACCCAAUUAGAUCGACUAAUACAAAGUUCACACGUGGAUUGAAAAGCGCUAUCAGUAGGGGAGUGUUCGGCACCCUUUACUGCCGAACGCAACACAAGACCCCUUGCAUGCCUUCACUAAGUUGAGCCUAUCUAUUUUUUAGCAUUAACAAUAUAUAUAGAUUGAAAAAAUAAAAUAAAAAUCAAUCUAUUAUCAUAUAAAAUAAAUAUUAUUGCUCCAUCCUCCAUACACUUGCAUGCCCUCUUACAAAGUGUGAAGUAGAUUUUUUGUGCUCCAACUCAUUGACUAGGGCUGAAACAUGGUUAGUUGGAUUUAUAAGAUCUUUUCUUUUCUGGGAAUUUUCUGAAGCACGGAAAAUCAAAUAAAAUUAAUAAAGCAGAAACUGUACCCUUUAAUUAUAUAUGGACGUAUGUUUUUUUGUUUUCAAGUCUUAGAUGACAUGGGGACCUAAAAUUAUUGCUCCUAGUGGACUCUCGACCCCUCUCAAAUUUAAGUGGUCCAUUAUUAUUAACCACAUAUUUUAUGGACCAUGCAGCUGUGAGGUUUUAUCUCAAAAACCUUCGGUACAUUUCUCCCACAUGCCACAAUUGUAUAUUCACAAUUACGGCUGUUACGUCACAUCAUGCCACUUGCCUCACAUGCAACAAGUCUGUGUUUUGGGGAUUGCCGAGCUGCAUCAAUUCUGCCAAUGUCAAUUCUGCCCCUGGACUCUCUCAAAGCACAUUUAAAACCUAUGCGAACAUAUAUUAGAGUUUAUGAUGUAUGUAUCUAGAAAAUGCCAACACUAAUUUCGUAACAUGUAAAAAUUAUUAGAGAUUGGAAGUUUUUAUCAUUUUUUCUUCCAGUCUCUCCACCACUUAUUAAUACAGAUUACUCAUGUGAUGAGUUUACAAAACCUAUUUCUCUACUCUCGCAAAGACUAAACUUCUUCUCAAAAGACUAGAUCACUUUACCUCUAUCUCUGUGAAAUGUAAAAAGUUGAAACUUUAAUGUCAAACCUCGACAAAGUGUUCUACUUUACAAACUUCUUGUGUCUACCAAUUUGUACUAAAAUUAAUUUAUCUACGGUGCUCAGCUUCAUCGUAUGUGUGUCCUUAAUUUUAGUGGAAAUUGGAAGUUUCCAUAAUUUUUGCUUUAAGUCACUCUUCUGAAGGAAGUUGAGGUUCCACUCCAUAAUCCCAAAUGUCAGGUUGACUUAUGGCAAACAAUGUAAAUAUGUAGGAGUACUAUGACCUUUUAUAGCAUUUUUAGUUUGAAUUUGGGUUUUAUACAUAGAUUUCAAAAUUAAUAGGUUGAUGCCUAGGAAAUAGAAAUUGUAAGGGCCUAUAUUAGAGUAGCCCUCUUAAAAAUAAUAUUAAUUAAUGAAUAUUUGUUCUUCUUGUUGUUUUGAAGUAGUGGUGGGAGGCAGACCAACAAAAAAAAUAUAGUGAAGGCUUAUAAGAGCAUUUACAAUCAUGCUCCCUAUUUUUUAGUUAAAAUUUAGCUAAAAAUAGAAAAAAGUUAUUAUAGGAGCUCUUUAUAAAAUUUGAAUUCCAAUCGUACUCCCUAAUUUAGGGAGUCAUAAAUAUUAUAGUUAUUUUUUAAUUCAAUUUGAUUUUGGUUAAUCUCUAUAAAUAAAUAAAAAUAUGAAAAAAUAGUUAGCAUUAAUUAAAAGUUUAAACUAUGCAUAAAACAAAGAAACAUUAAAUUAUAGGGAGCCACUAUGCCAAUAAUUGUAUCCUCUAAAUAUAUAGGGACAUAUUUUUUUUGUUUUCAUGACAUGUGGCCCUAAAAUUAUUGUUCCUAGCGGGCUCUCCAACCCCUCUCGAUUGAAAACCAAUUGUGUAAAUCUUCAAUCUUGAAUGAUGCACCUAAAACUCAAGUGUCCCAGGCCAAUUAUUGCUCUCAUACCACGUGUUGUAAUAAACAUCCAUCCAUUCUAAAGGAAAGAUAACCAUCGAUAUUAUCUCAAAUUUAACCACUUAAGUUCAUUAUGAUUAACUAUGUAUCUUAUGAACCAAUCCAAUCGUGAGGUUUUAUACCCAAUUAGAUCGACCAAUACAAAGUUCACACGUGGAUUGAAAAGCACUAUCAAUAGGGGAGUGUUCGGCACCCUUUACUGCCGAGCGCAACACAAGAUCCCUUGCAUGCCCUCACUAAGUUGAGCCCAACUAUUUUUUAGCAUUAACAAUAUAUAUAGAUUGAAAAAAUAAAAUAAAAAUCAAUCUAUUAUCAUAUAUUUUAUAAAAUACAUAUUAUUGCUCCAUCCUCCAUACACUUGCAUGCCCUCUUACAAAGUGUGAAGUAGAUUUUUUGUGCUCCAACUCAUUGACUAGGGCUGAAACAUGGUUAGUUAGAUUUAUAAGAUCUUUUGUUUUUUGGGAAUUUUCUGAAGCAAGGAAAAUCAAAUAAAAUUAAUAAAGCAGAAACUGUACCCUUUAAUUAUAUAUGGACAUAUGUUUUUUUGUUUUUUUGCUCUCGACCCCUCUCAAAUUUAAGUGGUCCAUUAUUGUUAACCACAUAUUUUAUGGACCAUCCAGCUUCGGUACAUUUCAAAAAGCUUCGGUACAUUUCUCCCACAUGACACAAUUGUAUAUUCACAAUUACUUCUGGGUACCCCUCAUCAGUCGUCUAUAAAAUGGUGAAGCCAGUUGCUACUGUUACCAUAAGAGCCAGCUCCGACUUUCUUUAAUUUCUUGCUACAUCUGUUGCUAAGUUAAUUUCAGUCCUAAUGGGGUUUCAUCUCCCACUCAUCUUUGCUAUUCUCAGUGUAAGCUCUGCAAUUUGAUUAACUUUUCCAUUCUCUCUCAUUGUACUCUAUAUAUAUAAAUGAAAGUUUUGUGUUCCUAUAAUUCUCUCCGAUUUUAUUUAGUACGUACUUAAGUGUCGUCCACUAAUUAAUUACACUUUGUGAGAUUUGAUUUUAAUUAGAGUUCGAAUUAAUGUUGCAGCUAGCAGCGGUUGCACUGGCAAACAAUGCUGCUCAACCAGCACCUCAACUUUACUGGAACUCCGUCCUGCCAAACACACAGAUGCCAAGAUCUAUCAGUGAACUUCUGCAUCCUGGUUUGUGUUCAGCUCUUUAUAAUCUUAGAUAUCUCUUCUACCUGCCAUUUUACUAAAAUAUGUUCGACCACAUAUUUAUCAGCUAACUACUGUGAUUACAAGAAUGACACUUAUUUUCCAAUAUAAUUUGCAGACUCCACAAAUGAAGAAAAGAGCAAACCUGAAAUUUUCCCAUUGCAGGGCAAUAGAGUUUACACUCAAAGCCAUUAUAAAAAACGUCCUCCUCCUCCAUCUGACGAGGGCAAACCUGAAACUUUCCCAUUGGGCAAUAGCCAUUACACUCAAACCCGUUAUAAAAAACGUCCUCCUCCUCCAUCUGACGAGGGCAAACCUGAAAAUUUCCCAUUGGGCAAUAGCCAUUACACUCAAACCCGUUAUAAAAAACGUCCUCCUCCUCCAUCCGACGAGGGCAAACCUGAAAAUUUCCCAUUGGCCAAUAGCUUUUACACUCAAACCCGUUAUAAAAAACGUCCUCCUCCUCCAUCUGACGAGGGCAAACCUGAAAAUUUCCCAUUGGCCAAUAGCUUUUACACUCAAAGCCAUUAUAAAAAACGUCCUCCUCCUCCAUCUGACGAGGGCAAACCUGAAAAUUUCCCAUUGGCACGUUCUCCUCCAUCUGACAGUCAACUAAAGCAUUACAAAGACUUAGCUAUUUUCUUCUUCGAGAAGGACAUGCGCCCGGGCACAACUAUGAAGUUCCAAUUCCCUAGAAAUUCAAACACGGCUACUUUCCUGCCACGCGAAAGUGCUCAAUCGAUCCCCUUCUCCUCUAAGAAACUACCAGAAAUUUUCAACCAUUUUUCAGUGAAGCCAACAUCUGAGGAAGCCAAAACAAUUAAGCAAACAAUCGAAGAGUGUGAAGCUCCAGGCCUUAAGGGAGAGGAAAAAUAUUGCGCCACAUCUUUAGAAUCAAUGGUUGAUUUUAGCACUUCGAAGCUUGGAACAAGAAACGUUGAAGCAAUCUCAACGGAGGUAUUGGAAGAAGGAGCCACCAAGUACAUGCACAACUAUACAACAAUGCCGGGACUGAAGAAGUUGGAAGGUGACAAAGUCGUUGUGUGUCAUAAGGAGAACUAUCCCUAUGCUGUGUUUCUCUGCCAUGCAAUAAAACAAACAGAAGCUUAUGUUCUCUCCCUGAAAGCCGAUGAUGGGAUGAAGGUGAAAGCAGUAACCAUCUGCCAUCUAGACACAUCAGAAUGGGACCCAGAGCAUUUGUCCUUCCAAAUCCUCAACGUUAAGCCCGGAACCACUCCCAUCUGCCAUUUCCUUACCACUGAUGCUAUUGCCUGGGUUCCAAAACACAAAUCUGCAUGAUCAUCACUUAGCACUGUACGUGUAAUAAGCUUGGUCGGGUUGCACCCUAGGCCUGCAUAAUUAUCUCCCUACUUAUUUCUGCCUCUUCAUCAUGCGGUGUAAGAUAUAUGAUGAGAUGAAGUUUUCUCUUGUAACUAUGUAGACUACUUCAACUUGUACUCAUAAUAAAGCACGCUGUUGGGGGGUUCUACUUAAUUUCGUUCUCUCCAAUGUUUGAGUGUUGAAUUGUUACGUUGGAAUAGGCUGCUAAUGCAUGUAGUUAGAGAAGCCUUCAUUUAUAUCAAAGUCCUCAAACUAUCAAGAAUUAAUGUAUCCAGAAACAUAUACCAAGACGCAAAACAACAUAUUUUCCAUUCUCUGUCUGUAACACCAAAGCAAACUUCCUUUAUCACAUCAUUUAAAGGAUCAAAUUCCAGUACUAAUCUAAUCCAUCAUGUAAAGCAUACAAGUGCCUACCUAAAUUUGUCCAUUGGAUAUAUAUGUCACUUUUUAUUUUUUGAUAGAGAUAUAAAUGUUGAAAAAAUUAGAGUACACAACUCUUAUAGACACUACUACGAUUUACUAUUUGCGCGACGGAAGUUUGCGCGACGAACAUUGUUUCGUCGCGCAAAAAGCACUAUUGCGACGAAAAAAAAAUACCGUAGCGCAAACAACAUAACACAAGCGCGACAAACAGUUUCGUCGCGCAAACAAUCUAUGCGCGACCAAUAUUAAUUUCGUCGCGCAAAGGUAGGGGAAAAAAACCCGGUUUUUUUUUUUUGGCGCCAUAAUCUUGCGCGACAACAACAAUCGUCGCGCAUGACAAUAUUGCGCGACAAUUCAAAGAAUUCGUCAGGUAAAGAUGGACAGAAAAUUGUCUCAUUUUUUUGGCGGUAAAAAACUUUGCGCGACGAAAUUUUUCGUCUCAAAAGACAACUUAGCGCGACGGAAAUAUGUACCGUCGCGUAAAAAAACGAGGGAUACUUAUUUUUGGCGCCAAAAUGCAGGGUGGAUAAAAAAAAUUUUGCGCGACGGAAUUACCUUCGUCGCGUAAAGUGUAAUGCCGGUGCUUUCUUGCGCGACGAAAUAAAUAAUUUGCGCGACGUAAUUUAAACCUUGCGCGACGAAAAGUAUUAUUUGCGCGACGAAAUUUUGUGCGACGAAUAAUAUGUUUCGUCGCACAAAAAAGCAGAUGUCGACAGGUAAUUGCGCGACGGAAAUGUUGUUUUGUGCGAUGGAAAAGUGGGUUUUCGCGACGGCAUUUUGCGCGACGGAUAUUGGUGUUCGUCGCGCAAAGUCCUUCUUCUUCAUAUUAGUAUCUGCCAUUGCAGAGGCAGAAUGCAGAAAUUGCAUUCUGCCUCUCUCUCACUCUCCCUGCCGCUGCUCUGCUGUGAAUUCAAUACGUUCAUUGGGUAUGUAUUUUUUGUCGUUAGUUUAAAUGUAUUAAUGUAAAUUCGUAGUAACGCUAUUAAUUUUGUUAUCGUUAGGGAUAUUUGUGAUUAGUGAUUGGUGGAGAACGAUUGAGAAGGUAUGUUAUUGUAAAAGUUUGUUUGUUAUGUUUGUAAUUUUUUUGUGAAGUUAUAUGUAUAUAAUGUUGUGAAAUUGUGCGUGACAUAGCACAAUGUGUUGUGAUGUACGAAGUUAAUUGAAAUUAACUUCGUACUUUUAUUUUUAUGUUUAGUAACACGUAGUUUCCCGUUCGAGAUUAGUUGGAUUUCGUGCAUGGAUGAGUAAUGCAUGACUGCGGUCCAAUUAAUUCUUGAAUUGUCCCAUUAUUUGGACAGUUUGGUAAUGCAUAGUGUUGUCACAUAAUCUUCGGCUACAGGAUUAGGUUUCGAUUGUGGAGAUUUCGGUGUCAUCUCGGUACGUUCUUCGAGUGGUACGUAGGUAUUUAUACCUAUGCCCACUUCAAGAACUGUGUCGAGAUGCUGCCGAAAUUAAUCCACGUCGAAAUCUAAUCUCAUGUAGCCGUAGGUUACGUGACAGGACUAUGCAUUCCCGAAUGGGAUAGGGCCCUUACCGGAGGCAUAAGGUGACAUUAUAACUUCGUAUGAAGUUGUUGUGAUUGUUGUGUCGUGAUUGUGGUUUCAUGAAUUAUGAGCAGAAGGUGGAUACAUAACCCGAAUAGAUGCGCAGACGAAUACUUGGAUGGAAUCGAGGAUUUUAUUGAGUUUGCACAUAGACACAACCCGGGUGCAAGUAGAAUCCGUUGUCCUUGUAGGAGGUGUAACAACACGUUGUGGGAGACAAUUGAAAAUGUUGGAUUUCAUUUAGUAAGGAAUGGAAUGAUUGAAACAUAUAGCAUUUGGAACCUUCACGGCGAACAUGUAGGCCAUGCUUCGUCUUCAAAUGCCCCAAGAGUGGACAAUGUUGAACCUAUUGUGGAUCCUAAUGAUCAAGUCAUGGGUAUUAUACAGGAUGCUUUUCCAUUCGCAUCGACCAACAUCAAUCAGGAAGGGGAAGAUAACGUGCCUACACCAAUAGACAGUGCGGAGUUUGAACAGUAUGAAAAACUGUUAAAAAAUGCCAACCAAGAGUUAUACCCGGGGUACGAGAGCUUUUCCGUUCUCACUUCUAUUGUGGAGCUAAUGCACGGAAAAAUAAAGUAUCGUAUGUCGAACUUGUGUUUCGAUUACUUUUUGGGGGUUUUCAAGAGAAUGCUUCCGACGGAUAAUUAUUUGCCGAAAGACCAGAAACAUGCACAGAAGGUGUUGCAUGGUCUUGGAUUGGGUUAUGAAAAAAUCCACGCUUGCAAAAACAAUUGCAUGUUAUUCUACAAAGAGCAUGAAACGUUGGAUACAUGCCCUAUAUGCAAUGAGUCGAGGUUCAAAAUGACAUCCCAGAAUAGAACGACUAAGAUACCACAAAAAGUCAUGCGUUAUCUGCCCCUUAAACCUGGGUUGCAGCGAUUGUAUAUGUCGACGCAUACUGCCACAGACAUGAGAUGGCAUAAGGAAAAACGGGUAGACGAUGAUGUGAUGCGGCAUCCUGCAGAUGGGGAGGCAUGGAAAGAGUUCGAUCGAACGUUCCCCGAGUUUGCUGCUGAUCCCCGAAAUGUAAGAUUGGGACUUGCCACUGACGGAUUCAAUCCGUAUGGGGUUCUAAACCAACACCACAGCACUUGGCCGAUUUUCGCAUUCCCAUAUAAUUUGCCGCCUUGGAAAUGCAUGAAAAAAGAAUACAUGAUGAUGACUGUUUUGAUAACUGAGGAUCCUGGCAGGUCAAUUGAUGUGUACUUAAGGCCUCUGGUUGAUGAGCUGAAAGAUUUAUGGACAAACGGUGUUCGCACGUACGAUAAAUCAACUGGGAGGAUGUUCACUUUGCGAGCAGCAAUUAUGUGGACUGUGAAUGAUUUUCCAGCAUAUGCAAUGGUUUCUGGGUGGAGCACAAAAGGUUAUAUGGCAUGUCAUGUAUGCAAGGAAGAUGUAACUUCUGGUUGGCACGCGGGAAAAGUUUGUUACCUUGGUCAUCGGAGAUGGUUGCCAUGGGACCACGAGUGGCGAGAAAAAGAUAAAGAGUUCAACGGGAACACAGAGCGUCGCCUCAGACCUGGAGAAUGGUCCGGUGAUGAGAUCUUGGAACAGCUGAACCGUUUGGAUUUUGGUCCGUUCGGAAAAACAAUUAGUCGGACCAGACCUUCUACACAUUUGAACUGGACGCACAAGCCUAUGUUUUUUGAGCUCCCAUAUUGGUCGAAACUGAAAUUGAGGCACAAUCUAGAUGUGAUGCAUGUUGAGAAAAAUGUAUUCGACACAUUGGUGGGCACGAUUCUAGAUAUCGAGGGGAAGACGAAGGACACGAUCAAAGCUCGUCUUGAUUUGGAAAGAAUGGGCAUACGAAGGGGUUUAUGGAUGAAUAGGGACAGUGAUAAAGCUAGAAGGGAUCUUGCAUUCUUUUCUAUGAAACCGAAUGACAAAAAGGAGUUUCUAAAGUUUGUAUCGUCUGUCAAAUUUCCCGAUGGGUAUGCUUCUAAUAUCGCACGUUGCGUGAAUGUCGAUGGGGGUAAAUUUACUGGACUUAAGAGCCAUGACUGCCAUGUUCCUGUGGGUAUUCGACACCUACUGCCGGAAGAUGUGGUGAAGCCAAUCAUGUUGUUAUCCAGAUUUUUUUCCCAACUGACGGCAAAAACAUUGCGAAGGACAGACAUGUUUCAGUUGCGCCAUGACAUUGUCCAAGUCCUAUGCAAGUUUGAGAUGAUAUUUCCUCCGGCUUUCUUUACAAGUAUGAUGCACGUAAUGGUUCACUUGCCAGAAGAGGCAUUGCUUGCUGGUCCUGUCAACUAUCGCUGGAUGUAUCCAAUAGAAAGGUAUAUAAUCUUUAUCAUUUGUGUAUGCAUCAUUAUCGACACUUUGCUAAUUUGUAUCAUAUCGUUUUAUUUUGGCAGGCUUCUCGGAGAGCUGAAAAAAAGUGUACGCAACAGGGCAAAGCCCGAAGGAUUAAUUAUAGAGGCUUGGGUUCAAUAUGAGUCGCUUACUUUCUGUGGAAUGUAUUUAAAAGAUGUGGAGACGGUUUUCAAUCGUCCUCAACGCAAUAAUGACGGAGGUAUGAGAAAUGAAAAACUUUUUGUUUUUGCCCAAAGCGCAUGACCAUUUGGAGAUCCUGGACGAGGAGAGUCGUUUUCUAGAAAUGACAUGGAGGUAGCGCAUUGGUUCGUACUGAACAAUUGUGAUGAGAUAAUGGCCUACUUAGAUGAGCAUGAACAGAUGAUGAAGCGAGAACAUCCAUCACAUUUGGUUGCCCGGAAACAUCGUGAAUUAUUUCCACAAUGGUUUUUGGAUUCUGUAAGUUAUAACUGUUUUGUAAUUGACAAAUAUAAAUUGUAGUAUUUAAUUUUGUCAGACUAACAUGUAAAUGAUUUUGUAUACUAUUAGGUGAAUAAAUUGAAAUCAUCGAAUUCCCCCACUUACAGUGAUGAGUUAUAUAACUUGGCGUUCGGCCCAAUUCGUGCUGAGUUGUUCUCGGGUUGUAAUGUUAACGGCGUCAAAUUUUUGGGGGCCGCACGAGAUGACAAGUUGUGUAUGCAAAACAGCGGUGUCCAUGUCCCAGGUGGAGGCGAAAGUACGGACAUUGAUUUCUAUGGCAAACUGACAACUGUCGUGCAAUUGCUUUAGAAAGAUCGAUACCAAGUCAUCAUGUUUAAGUGUCGAUGGUUCGAUACCAACCCAAAUAGGGCGGGAAGUGUUAAAAUCGACCAUGGAGUACUGUUUGUGAACAUGGCGUCCCAAAUUGUGUAUCUAGAUGACCCUAAAGCCGGGAGCGGGUGAAAAGUUGUGCAGAAGAUGGAUCAUAGGAACGUGUAUGAUAUACCAGAACUAGACCCAAGUGACAACGACGUCGACAAUGUGGCUGACCAACGUUUAGAAUCUUCAAUGGAAAAUGAUGCGGAAACACUUCGAGAUACAAAUGUUAUACAAGAACCGUUUCAAAUAGAAGGAGUGUCUUCAGUAGAAAUACCGAUUCAGUCAAUUACAAUUGACCUCGGUGAUCUUCCCCGAUACGAUGUUGCAGUGGGUCCUAGCAACGCCGAUGAUGCAGUUAUAGAGGAGGAGGAGGAAGAAGAUUGGGAGACCGAGAGUGAUGAUAGCGAUGAUAACGAAAGUUAUUAUAGUUCAGAUGAUGAAUAAUGAAUUUAUUUGUAAAGUUAUUAUGUUAGUGUAUUCAUUUUGUGUAAUACAAAUCUUUGAAUAUAUGUAGUUGUCCAUAUGUAGUUGUGUAUUCAUUCUCCAUAUUUCAUCACAAACUUCAUUGGAAUGUCAAUACUUUAGUCAAUACUUAUUACGACCCCAUGCUUGUCGAUUGGUUUUUAUUUAUUUAUUUAUUAAUGUCUUUAACUCUUCAAUUAUUAUUUUUUUCUUUUGAGAUAUAGUUAUUUCUUCAUGUUUAAACAAAAAAUAUAAGUUAUUUCUCCAAUAUUAUCUGUGUGCCACUUAUUUUUCUUCACUUUGGUUCAUGAUUAGUGGCAUCAAUCUAGUCAAACCGAUAAAAUCGGUCGAUUCAAAUCUUAAUUAUCAAUUUAGUUUGGUUUUGAUGAAGAAAUACAAAGCCUUUCCAAAAAAUACAGAGCAUAAAAAAUGAUGAAUACAAAACCUUUCCAAAAAAUACAAAGCAUACACAAUUUGAAUUAAAUGAGGAUUUAUGGCGCCAAAUCCUUGCGCAACGAUAAGGAGCCCUUCGUCGCGCAAAUAUAUAUUAGGUAACGUUAUAGUAUAAUAUAUACCCACAUAUAUAUUUAAAAUUGGCGAUCGAAGUAGUUCAUUGUAUUCAUAUGAAGUGUAGGACUGUAGCUGCAAAAAAUCAUCAACAUCGGAGUUAAAAUAACCGUUCAAUCAUCACUUUUUAUUUAGAACCGUCGAAAAGUUUUACCCCGUUACUUAAUCUCUGAAUGUUUUUUUUGUCUGAUUUUUGCUGUCUAUGAUCUCGAAGUAUAACAAAACAAGUUUGACGGCUGGAUGACUGAAGCUAGUUUCGUAGACUGCGUGUGCUAUCAAAAUCAUAUAUUCACCAAAAACUCAAAAAUUUGUUCAUACAUUUGUGAAAAUGUAACUUAAUGUUUAUGUGGUAUCCCCUAGUGUAAAAAUAUGAAAUUGAAGAUCAAAUUCAGUCAUUGUAUUCAUAUAGGGUCAACAAAUGUUGCUGUAAAAAAUGAUCAAAAUCGGAGUUAAAAUAACCGUUAAAUCAUGACUUUUCAUUUAUAACCGUCAAAAUAUUUUGUCCUGUUCCCUGAUAUCUGAAUGUUUGGUCGUUUUGAUUUUUGGCGUAUACGAUCUCCAAGUAUAAACAAAUAAGUUUGCCGGUUGGAUCAUUGAAACUAUUUUAGGGUUUAGGGUUUAGGGCUUAGGGCUUAGGGUUUAGGGUUUACAUUUUAGGGUUUAGGUUUUGCGCGACGAAUAAACAUUCCUUUCGUCGCACAAAGUGAAAGUGACAAAGAUUGCGCGACGGAUAAGUCUUCCAUUCGUCGCGUAAUCUGGGACACACAUUUCACCCCUCCAUACCCUUUGAACACUUAGUGAAAAUUUCAACCGAAUGAAAUUCUUGAACCCGCGCGACGAACAAAGCAAAUACGUCGCGUAAAGUGGACGUGAACAAGAUUGCGCGACGGAUAAAUCUGGUAUUCGUCGCGCAAUCUGGGCCACACUUUCACCCUUCCAUCCCCUUUGAACACUUAGUGAAAAUUUCAACCGAAUGAAAUUUUUGAACUCGCGCGACGAACAAAACAAAUACGUUGCGCAAAGUGGACGUGAACAAGAUUGUGCGACGGAUAAAUCUAAUUUUCGUCGCGCAAUCUGGGCCACGCUUUCACCCUUCCAUCCCCUUUGAACACUUAGUGAAAAUUUCAAGCGAAGCAAAAUCUUCAACUCGCGCGACGAAUAAAAGUAUUCGUCGCGCAAAAGGCACAGGCCUCUGAUUUUUGUUAGCAAACAUUGCGCGACGUUUACUGUCUUCGUCGCGCAAAAGGCACAGACCCUUCAGUUUCAGCCUCCCGCUAAACCCAAAAUUUUCCCAAAAUUUUGGCGGAACGACAGCGUUUUGCGCGACGAACAUAUGACUUUCCGUCGCACAAGGUUAACCUUGCUCGACGUUUACUAUCUUCGUCGCGCAAAAGCACAAACCCUUCAGUUUCAGCCUCCCGCUAAACCCUAAGUCCCAAAAUUUGGGCGGAACGACAUCGUUUUGCGCGACGAAUAUAUGAUUUUCCGUCGCGCAAGGAGAACCUUGCGCAACGUUUACUAUCUUCGUCGCGCAAAAUCACAGUUUCAGCCUCCCGCUAAACCCUAAAUCCCAAAAUUUUGGUGGAACAACAGCGUUUUGCGCGACGAACCAUGUAUUUUUCGUCGCGCAAAAGGCACAGACCCUAAUCCCCAUUCAAAAUUUGGCGUUCUGGGAGACCUUGCGCGACGGAUAUUUCAUCGCGCAAGAUUCAUUAAUACCAUUUUGCACGACGCAUUCUGUUCUUCGUCGCGCAAAGUCGAAUAAAUUUGCAGAAACGGCCCGAUGCCUCCUUCUUCCCCAUUUUCUGGUUUCUCUCCGUUUCUUCCUCUCUCUCCGCCGUCACCUUAGCCCUCUCUCUCUGCCAUCACCUCAGCCACCUCCGCUCGUUCCGUAGCCUCCCUGCCGUCACCGUCGAGCCUGCCGUCGCAAUUUCGUCAGUUUUUCCCGAUUCUUCGCCGGCCGAUUUCUCUCUCCUCCGGCCACCAUUUUCGACGCCUAAGGUAUGAUUUCUCGACUAUUUUUUGUGCUCUAGCUGAUGGUUGGUUAGGAUUUCUUGAAUUUUCGCUAUAGGAAAUAGGAAUUAAAACCCUAGGUUUUGGCCGCUUUGGGAAUUUCAAAUCCGGCCACUUCCGGCCAUUUUUCGGGGUAGGUCCGAGAACAAAAGUGGCUCCAAUUAAUGUUUUCAACCUAGGGUAGGAACCUUGGCCCUUAGUUUUUAGAAUUUUCCGACGAAUGUUAUCGCUUUGGACACCCACGCGCUGCCGGCGCGUGUGGUGGCGCGUGGGAUGUUGUGGCAGUGGGGCAUUGGGUCCCAGAGCAAUCCCCUGUUUGUCACGAGCGCGUAGGUUUGCUCGGAUUUGAAUUUGGUUAUCGUUUGAGUCUUGAUCGGAUUUCGGCUAUUGUGCGAUUUCCAGGUUUGAUAUGUUCGGACCGUUGGAUCGAACUCAAACUCACGUAGUUGUACCUUUGUGUUUCUACGAUCGUUUAGGAUUCGACCGAUCGUUGAUCGGUGUCCCGGAUACUUCGAAAUUCCAAACCCUAGGUGAAGCUAUGCUUUUAAUUAAUUAGUUUAAAUUCUUAAUGAAAUUAUAUGUGCAGAUGUCAGAUUUGAUUAGACGUGGUAGGUCGAUGAUGACUGCACCGAGUUCGGAUCCCCCUGCUCAGUCGGCAUAUGCUGCCACUGCUCCAGCUUUGAUGGAGCACGUGCUGGUUGGUCCCGGGGCGUCCCAGGCGCCUGCGUCAUCUGCGUCAUCCGUCGCGCAGCCAGCUAGUGCUAGGCGGCGGCACCGGCCCGCCGACACGACAUCGACCGACGGUACUGGUGCCUCGGGAUCACAGCCAGAUAUAACUACCAUUUUGUAUUGUUAAUUUUAUAUUGAAAUUUGACAAUGUUGUUUAUUUAACAUUAAUAUCUUUUUUCUUUGCAGCGAAGAAGAACACCUGAGGGCCGUGUCGUCAGCUGAAGACGGCGAAGGUCACCCGGGUGACCAACAGUCGUAUCAGCAUCGGAUACGACGAGCGCCAUCGGGCUGCACCGACGGCGGAGUUGCAUAGCUCCUUGGCCCACGACAUUGGCCACGUCGUGCGGACCCAUUGCCUGAUGCAAUGGAAGUCUUGGAGGGUCAUGCCUGACGAGAUCAAGGUGGAGGUUCGCGGCCAGUUGUCGGUAUGUACCUUACAUUUUCAUUAAUUUUCUUUAAAAUUGUGUAUAUUUCUAUUACUUAACGUAUCUAAUUAAUUGAUUGCAGACGAACUAUAACUUGGAGGAUCUCGACGAAGAGUCGUUGGCGUACGUCAACAGACUCUUCGCUGAGAGGUACAAGCAGUGGAAGAGCGACUUGCACCAUCAUUUUCAGGCCUUUGAUGAUCCGCAAGUCGCUCUUCAGGAGGGUUGCCCGAAGGAGCUUGAGGGGCGGGAGGAUAGUUGGGAGUGGCUCUGCGCUCAUUUUCAAGCGUCCGAAUAUGUGGUAUUUUUUUAAUAAUAUUUGUUUAAUUAUUACUUAUUUCUUAUUAAUGUUUAUUUCAUUUUUUUUAUUUCAUUAUUAUUUAAUUUGUUAUGUUUUAACUAAUACGUUUCAUUUUUUGUAUAACAGAAUAAGGCCCAAGUGAAUAAGGGUAAUAGGAAGAAGAAGACCCUUCUCCACCAUUCCGGCUCCAGGCCCUUUUCGUAUAGGAUGGAUGCCCGGCGACGGGUAAUAAUCACAUAAUUUAUAUUUCAUUUUUAAUGUCAUUUUUAUUAAUUUAUUUUUUUCAUACUAAUAUUUUUCUUCUCUUGUUCAAUUUAGGAGGGGUCCAAGUUCCCAGAGAUCGACGUCUUUGGUGACGUUUAUGUUCGACCCGGGAAUGAGUUGGCCGAGUCCCUUCAUGUAAGUAUUAUUUAAUUUUAAUUCUUAUGUUACGCAUUCAAUUUAUAUGCAUGUUUAAAUUUAUAUUUUAUGUUAUGUUCAACAGACGACGAUGGUGGAGAGGAGCCAGUUGGUUCUUCAGGAGUCCGCCUCCCAGCUUCCUCCCGAGACUCCGAUCGAGUCUGUGGCUCCUCCACAGGAUGCUGGAUUUCAGAUCUUGACGGAGACGUUGGAUCAGACUCUCGGGAGGAGGCCGGGGACAUAUUGUCGAGGGAUGGGGAAUGCCCGGCGGAGGGAACCUAGACCUCGUUCAUCGGCCCAGUCAAACAGUCAGGUGACUGCUUUGACAGCACAGGUGGCCGAGCUUCAGGGUCAGAUGUCGGUGAUUCUACAGUCCCUCGCACAGAGCGGCUUUCCAAUCCCGCAGUUUCGUGCGUCAACCUCCCAGCCCGUCCACCCCGAGUAUGCCCACCAGACCACUGCCCCGGUGGACGCCCAGACCUCCGAGCCGCAUACUGGCGACGACCCGAUUGAUUUUGCUUCAUUAUUUGAUUAGUGUAUUUAUUUUCAUCAUAAACAUUUAUUUUAUUUGUAAUACAUUUAUUUUAUUUUAUAACAAAAUUUUGUUCUAAUUUAUUUUUAUUGCAAUUUCAUUGUUUAAUCAAUAAAAAAACCAAUUUUAUUUAAAAAAAAUAAAAAUAAAUAAAAAACAAAAACAAAAAAAACAAAAAAAAAUUGUAAUAUUAUUUUUGCGCGACGGAAGACAUUUCGUCGCGCAAAACCACAUGUAACAAAAAAAAUUAAAAAAAUCAAUUUUUUAUUACUUUAAUUCUUGCGCGACGAAUACAUACGUCUCGCAAACAUUUUUUGCGCGACGAAAUGUUUCGUCGCGCAACAGCUUUUGCGCGACGACUGAAAUUUUCGUCGCCAAAUAGAUGAGCGACGAAAACUUUCUCAUCGCGCGAAUAGUUCUGCGACGAAUAUAUACGUCUCCCGGACUAGUUUUGCGCGACGAAUUAUUUUCGUCGCGCUAUUCGUUUCGUCGCGCAAAUAUACGUGCGCCGAAUACUUUAUCGUCGCGCAAAUAUUUAUGCGACGAACAGUUGUUUCGUCUCCACACCGUUGGUGCAACGAUGGUUUACCCGUCGCACAAUUAUGCGCGACGAAGUGUUGUACCUCGUCGCGCAAAGGCUUUCUUCACGAUCUUCGCGCGACGGAAGGUGCGCGACGAAUUUUUUGUCGCGCUGAAAUUAGGGCGACUAAAUAAGACUUUGCGCGACGUUUUGUUAUUCGUCGCGCAAAGAGUAAAAUGUAGUAGUGAGACUUGUUGGAGACAAAACAGGUAAACAAAUUACUUGUAUUAGACUCACAAAAUAUUACAACAAGACAACUCUCAAAGAAAAGACAAACUCUCACACUUCUCACAAGGACUACUUAACUUUAUAGCUUAUUGCAUAUAGCAUAUGCAAACACAAUUAGAACAUACCUACGUACACUAUGGGAACACUCGUGUAUAUUUCAACACAAGAAAACAUGUGCACCGUGCACGGUUCACAUGAAGUAAGAAAUGAAGAGGAAAUAAAGAAGAAGAAUACAAAAGAAAAUGGAGAUGAGAAAAAAAAAAAAACCGAAUAAUGAAAAAUGAAUUGACAAUUAUAUAUGGUUGACAUUAGAUCUAAUAUUAUAUGUAACAACUAUUGAUCUAAAAUAAACAUUAAAUCAAACAAUAAUUAAAAGAUUUGACAAUAUAAAAAUUUAUUGAGGACAAAAAAAGGCAAAAACUUAUGAAAAAUGGAAACAAUAAAUAUGAACUGAGUCAUCAACUCACCAUGGUAAGUUUGCUGACGUAUAAAAAUAGUCAAUGGACAUCGAAAAGUAAUUGGCUUACAUCAAAAAUUAAAAUCACGUGGGUUAUUCCUAAGAAACCUUAAUAUUUGCCUUCCAUUUGUUCCAGCAAAAUAAAAGUCAUUGCUACUUAUUGUAACCCCUUUUCCAAGCUUAUUAAUCAAAGUAGACACCUCACUGCUGUCACCUAGCCAAUUUUCAACAAUGUCAUACUUAACAAGCAACUCCACAUCCUUUGAGGUGUUCACAAAACGAUCCAUGAGACUAACAUAAUCACUUAUGUACGUCUCCUCGUAGUGGCAUUGUUCAAAUGCGAUGAGAUUUCUAAUUAAUACCUCUGUAUGAUCGCUUAUUUUCAAUCUUGGAAUUUCAAGAGUCCGGCCAGCAAAUCUAAUAAGGUAUUCAUUGAUCCCUCAUUCAACUUGAACCCUGCCCUGUGUAGCUCUGUGAUGCUGGGUGUGUUUAUAGUUAUGAGUUUCCCGUCAUUAGUUUUUAGGGUUAUUCGUUAUAUGAGUCCCUGAACUUAGACCCGAUUUGCAUUUUAGUCCCUCAAUUUCCAAAAUCGUUCCAGUGGUCCUUCAACUUUAGUUUCGUUAGGACAAAUGGUCCUGCCGUCAAAUGAUUAUAAAGUGGAAAAAACAAGAACAAAAAAGGAAGUGAGUUAAAUUUGCACCUGCUAUGUUCAAACGACAAAGUUCGUUUCCGUUUGGUCGAUUACAAGAGAAGCUCAAUGCAGCUUACUUGGUUCCUCUUGGUAGAUGGAAAUAUAAUUUUUCUCCUAAUAACAAAGGUUUAGUGCAAUCAAUGAUGGGCUGUAUAGAACAACUUUUUUGUUUUAUAUGUUUAUGUGAGACAAGUUUUGCCAGAUUGAAUUAAUGUCUUCUAGCUAUGUACCUUAUCUUUUUGCCGGGCCAUGAGUUGAAUGUAGAGGCAGAGCAUGGCCUUGGGUUUGUAAAAGACAAAAGACUGAACCAGACGUAAUUAUUUAGAUUUUGGAUCCAGUUCCACAUCCCAAAGAGAAAACCACAAGUUUGCAAGCAAGUUUGUCCAUAUUAACACUACGUAGAGUAUAGGCAGUGUGCUACUCAUCUCACUUUCUCAACCUACCCUAUAUUUGUCUAAAAGAGUUUCUAAUUUCGUGUACUGAUUCACUACUACAUUUUACACUUUGUGCGACGAAGAGAAUUUCGUCACGCAAAAUACAUUGGUCGCGCAAAGUUUAAAAAAAAUUUUAAAAAAAUAAAAAAUUCCCGCGUCCAAUUUUUGGUACUUGUCCAAAUUUUUUGAGUUUUGCGCGACGAAUACUAACAUCGCGCAAAUAUUUGCGCGACGAAAUAUUUUUUGUUUUAAAUUUUUUUAAUUUAAAAUAAACUAAUUUAAUAGUUUGCGCUACGAAAUAUUUUGUCGCGCAAGGUUUUUGACUUUUUGUUUUAUUAUUUCUUUAAUAUGAAUUUAUUUAUAUGAAUUUUUUGAAAUUUUUACUUUUUAAAUUUAAUUUAAUUGUAUGAUUUCUUUUUAAAAUUACUUUAAUUUAAAUUGAUAUUAAUUUUUACUUUUUAAAUUUAAUUUAAUUGUAUGAUUUUUUUUAAUUACUUUAAUUUAAAUUGACAUAUUCAAAAUAAAAUUACAUAUGAAAAAUAGUGAUUAAAUUAUCCAAUAAAUAUAUAUAUAUAUAUAAUAUUCAAAAUGUACACAUAAAUUAACAAAGCACAAUAAUAAAAUCCUAAUACAAGCGUAUUGUGGUGGUAGUGUCGGAGGAUAUGUUUUGAUAGCUUCCUAAUCCUCAACUUUAGCCGUCAAAGUCUCGAUGAUUCCCUACAAAAAAAAUAAAUAUGGUCAAAUAACCACAAACAAAAAAAAAAAAAAAAAAAAAGGCAUAAUCUCCCCUAAAAUUGUUAUACCACAAAUCCAACCCAAACUCCAAUCCCUCCCCUUUACUCAACCCCAAAACCCACACAAACUCAAAAUUAACUCCAAAAACACAUAUUAAUGAAAAAAAUUUAAAAUUUGGAGAGAAUAUACCUUUUGGCAAGAUUGAGAGUGAAUGAGAGGGAGAAGUGAGUGUGAGAGAAUUAGAGAAGAUAGUGAUAGAGAGAUGAGAGAGAUGAGAGAGUGAGUGAGAGAGAGUGAGAGAUAGUGAAGAGAGAGAUGAGAGAUUAAGUGAGAGGAGUGAGUGAGAGAAAUGGUGGGAUUUGGGGAGAGGGAAAGAGAAAGGAGAGGUAAGAGUAGAGAAAGGCAUUGAGAAAAUGGUGGAUGAGUUAUUUCGGUUUUAAAAACCGUAUCACUUUGCGUGACGAAAAAUAUUGUUGGUCGCGCAAAGGUUUGCGCGACGAAAAAUAUUGGAAUAUUGAUCGCGCAAACUUUUGAGCGACGAAACAUAUUGGUCGCGCAAAGUCUAAAAAAAUUAUUUAAAAAAAAUAAAAAUCCCCGCGUCCCAUUUUUGGUACCCGCCAAAAUUUUUAAAUUUUUGCGCGACGAAUAUAGGAAUAUUGAUCGCGCAAAGUCUAAAAAAAUUAUUUAAAAAAAUAAAAAUCCCCGCGUCCCAUUUUUGGUACCCGCCAAAAUUUUUAAAUUUUUGCGCGACGAAUAUAGGAAUAUUGGUCGCGCAAAGUCUAAAAAAAUUAUUUAAAAAAAUAAAAAUCCCCGCGUCCCAUUUUUGGUACCCGCCAAAAUUUUUCAAUUUUUGCGCGACGAAAAAUACAUAUUGGUCGCGCAAAGUCUAAAAAAAUUAUUUAAAAAAAUAAAAAUCCCCGCGUCCCAUUUUUGGUACCCGCCAAAAUUUUUAAAUUUUUGCGCGACGAAAAAUACAUACUGGUCGCGCAAAGUCUAAAAAAAUUCCCGCGUCCGAUUUUUGGUACCCGCCCAAAUUUUUGCGAGACGAAAAAUAUAUAUUGGUCGCGCAAAGUUUUGAGCGACAAAAAAUAUUGGUCGCGCAAAGUCUAAAAUUUUUUUAUUUUUUUUUUAAAAUCCAGCGUCCCAUUUUUGGUACCCGUCCAAAUUUUUAGAGUUUUGCGCGACAAACUGUUGGUUGCGCAAACUUUUGAGAGACGAAAAAUUGGUUCGUAACACAAUAUUUAUAAAAAUAAUUGUUAUGAAUAAUAAAAAUAAAAUUAUUUUAUUUUACAAUUUAAAAUAUAAAUAAGGUUAAAGCUGCUUAAGAAAUAUAUAUACUAUUCAAUUUCUUAAGUGUUAUACGUACAAAAUAAAUAAAUUUAAAGGUACUUAAUAAAUAAAUAUAUAUACACACACCAUUCAACGAUCCAACCGUCAGACUUAUUUGUAUAUACUUCAAGAUCGUAUACCCCAAAAAUCACAAAAAACAAACAUUUAGAGAUCUAGUAACGAGACAAAACUUUUCGAUGGUUAUAAAUGAAAAAUUACGAUUUAACGGUUAUUUUAACUCCGAUUUUGAUGAUUUUUUUUUACAGCUACACUCCUUGACCAUAUAUGAAUACAAUGACUGAAUUUGAUCUUCAAUUUAAAAUAUUUACACUAGUGGAUACCACAAAAUCUUAUGUUAUAUCUAACGAACGUAUAAAUAACCUCUUAAUUGUUAGUGAAUAUAUUGUUUUGAUGGCAUAUGCAUUCACCAAAACUAGUUUCAACGAUCCAACCAUCAAACUUGUUUGUUUAUACUUCGAGAUCAUAUACGCCAAAAAUCAGAAAAAAUAAACAUUCAGAGAUCAAGUAAUGGGACAAAAAUUUUCGACGGUUAUAAUGAAAAAUCACGAUUUAACGGUUAUUUUAACUCCGAUUUUGAUGAUUUUUUACAGCUACACUCCUUGACCCUAUAUGAAUACAAUGACUGAAUUUGAUCUUCAAUUUAAAAUAUUUACACUAGUGUAUACCACAAAAUCUUAUGUUAUAUUUAACGAACGUAUAAAUAAACUCUUAAUUGUUAGUGAAUAUAUUGUUUUGAUGGCAUAUGCAUUCACCAAAACUAGUUUCAACGAUCCAACCGUCAAACUUGUUUGUUUAUACUUCGAGAUCAUAUACGCCAAAAAUCGGAAAAAAUAAACAUUCAGAGAUCAAGUAAUGGGACAAAACUUUUCGACGGUUAUAAUGAAAAAUCACGAUUUAACGGUUAUUUUAACUCCGAUUUUGAUGAUUUUUUACAGCUACACUCCUUGAACCUAUAUGAAUACAAUGACUGAAUUUGAUCUUCAAUUUAAAAUAUUUACACUAGUGGAUACCACAAAAUCUUAUGUUAUAUUUAACGAACGUAUAAAUAAACUCUUAAUUGUUAGUGAAUAUAUUGUUUUGAUGGCAUAUGCAUUUACCAAAACUAGUUUCAACGAUCCAACCGUCAACCUUGUUUGUUUAUACUUCGAGAUCAUAUACGCCAAAAAUCGGAAAAAAUAAACAUUCAGAGAUCAAGUAAUGAGACAAAACUUUUCGACGGUUAUAAUGAAAAAUCACGAUUUAACGGUUAUUUUAACUCCGAUUUUGAUGAUUUUUUACAGCUACACUCCUUGACCCUAUAUGAAUACAAUGAACUAAUUCGAUCGUCAAUUUAAAAUAUAUAUUUUCUAACAAAAACCCAAUCUGAACAACAAUAAUAUAUUUUUCUAACAAAAAUCCGAUCCGAUCUAAAAUAAUAAAUUUAAAGCUACUUAAUAAAUAUAUAUACUGUUUAAUUUCUUAAGUGUUAUGCAUACAAAAUAAAAAACAAAAAUAAAUUAGUAUAGGCGACAAAAUGUUUGGAUUACGUCAUGCAAAGAUUUUAAAAUAUAUAUAUAUAUUAUUUUUAUAAGGACUUUGCGCGACGAAGUUCAUUGUUUCGUCGCGCAAAGUCACUUUGAGCGACGAUGUAUUGUUGUCGCGCAAAAGUUUGUCGCGCAAAGUUACUUUGCGCGACGAAUUUUUUUUCAUCGCUCAAAAUUUGGUCGCGCAAGACUUUGAGUGACGAUGUAUUGUCGUCGCGCAAAAGUUUGUCGCGCGAAGUGACUUUGCGCUACGAAUUGUUUUUCGUCACGCAAAAUUUGGUCGCGCAAGACUUUGAGCGACGAAGUUUUGAGUUUCGUCGCGCAAAGUGACUUUGAGCGACGAAUAGUUUUUCGUCGCGCAAAAUUUGGUCGCGCAAGGGGUUUUUUUUUACUAGUAUGAGUUUUAUAUACAAUUUAUAACAAUAUUUUCAGGCAAAAAAAUGUCUUGGCAAGAAAAUGUACAAUUUGUUACGUACUUAACUGGAACGAUUACCUUCAAAUUCCUAUGGCCAAUUACCUUCUUUUUUCUUCCUUUUUUUUUUUUUUUUUUUUUUGGUUGUUGUUGUUCUUUUGAUCAAGUUGCAUAUUCCAAAGAACGAAAACCAGUACAGGCUCUUUUCCAAUGCAAGCUCUUUUCCCAUGUUUCCCUCUGUUUUUCUCCUAUUUUUCUUAUAUGGAAGUGAUUAAAAUACACCUCUAAGCUUGUUUUGCGUUUGGUAACCGACUGUAAAAGCUCAAUGCAGAUAGUUUGAGGUAGAAUUUUCUCCAAUUUUACUAGCACAGUGAUAAGCUAUACUAUAUGUAACAACAAAUUGCUUUAAUAAUGAUAAUGAAAAAAGUGUGAUCCAUCGAAUAUUUGCGGGGUUUUGUUCCAAGUCAACACAUCAAAUUCUUUUACACCAUGAAAUUAAAAAAAAUUUAUUCAACCAUCUCGACCUUAUGCUCGAUCAUUUUGCACAAGCAACCGUCCACGUACCCCAAUAAUUUAAAAGGGCUGAUGAUCUUUAAUUUGGCGAAAGCUUCUAUCUACUUCUACCGCGCUAUAUAUGAGCUAUGCAAUUGUGACGGUGUUACAUGACGUCACAAUGUCGUAGGGAUAAAAAAAUAAUAGUCAUGGUUUCUUAUUAAUGUUAAUACAGGCAUAGCAAAAAGCUUGUAUUUCUAGUGGUUAAGAACAAUUACCCAUGCACUUGAGAUAUUAUGUGCUUAAAUCCCCUCUUCCCCAAUAUUUCUUGUAUAAAAAUAAAAAUAAAAAUAAAAAUAAUAAAGAUAUUGAUAUUGUAUUCUAUAAAGUGUUGGACAUGUUUUAUACCCCUUUACUGCAAAUUACAGUUUGACACAUGUACAAAAAUAAUAGGUAAGUGUUGGACAUCAAGAGUACUUACAUAUAGGUUUAAUAGGUAAGUUUUGAAUAUUUCUGUCUUUAGCUUUAAUUAUUGAAAAUCAACCUAUUAUCAUAUUAAAGACUUAUCCAUGUUCAACGUACAUUCUCUUAUUUUUCUCUCAUUGAAGUAAAUACAAAACUAAGCACAUAGUGGAAAAGUAGGUCACGAUUAGGGGUGGGUUUGGUCUGGGUUGGUUCAGUUUUGGGCUCAACCCGAACACCGAACCGUAGACCUCGAUUUGGCUAUUUUGGAAACCAAAACUAAACCAUAAUUAAUGAAAACCGACCACUUCAAUUACCUUCUGGUCUUCCAACCAGAAGAAAACUCAAAACUUUAACCAUACCAAGUGCAACAGAAUUACACCAGGCUGGAGUCAAGUUUAUGAUGGUUAAAGAUAAAAACUUAUUUGACAUACAAUUUGAGAAUGGAAUCCUCAAAAUUCCACACCUGCGAAUACAGGGUUAAACAGAAAUUUUCUUCCGCAAUUUUAUUGCCUAUGAGCAGUGUGAGCUCCAUGAUCAUUACAUCAACAACUAUGUCUUCGUCAUGGACCGCCUGGUCGACAGUGCCAGGGAUGUGGAAUUGCUUGUGAAGAGUGGAAUUCUUGAAUCCAUGCUACCGGACAGCGAGGCAGCAGGGGAAUUUAUUAAUUCUCUUGACUUGGGGCCUAUUUUAGGCAAGCUUGAAACAAGACUAUUUCAGUUCACCAUGGGCUGGCCUGUCUAUUAUUGUAGCCGCUAUACUAGUUGUGCUCACAUUUAUUCAAACAGUGUGCUCCGUAAUGGCGCUGUAGGUUCUUCAUUUCCUCAAUUUCAUGUUUAGUGGUUGCAGAUUUGUUGCUCAUGUACGUGUUUAUCUAAAGUUAAAUAAGAGUGAUUGACUGAUAGUCUGUUAGUUUGUUUUUCUGGGGUUUUUCCCCUGUUCGUCAAAAAAGAAAAAGAGAAAGAGUGAUUGCUUGUGCCUGUUUGGGCCUAAUUUGACACACCCAAUCCAAAAUCAAAAAGUCCAUGUCAAUUUUGGACAGCCACCAGCAUUCCCUUUGUAAUUAGGCCAAAAACUGCACACCCAACCUAGCACUGGAGCCUAGAACAAACAAGGUAAACUCAGGACCCAAGCAGUUUGAUUUUUUCAUUUAAAUUGGAAUCAAGGGCCCCAAGUCAAAAAAGCCCAAGCCCAAGGCAGAUUUUUUACCAAAAAGACCCAAGGAAGCCCAGUGCAUGCGAAUUGCUUAGCCCACAAUCCCAAAACUCAAAACUAAGUUUGGCAUGAUUAAAUAAAGAUAGAGAGAAGCCCAAAAUUGAAGAAACCCAAAACAGUUUUAUCAAAAUUGUCAGCUCUCUACCCAAGACCUAAAAAGGGUCAAAAAUACCACUAUUGGCAAAAUUGACGCACUCAGCCUUGGAUCACAAAGAAAUCCACGUGACUAUUUGACUUUGAGAAGUCAACAAUUUCAACUAGUCACAAGAGAAGUUGAUUGGAAUUAAUGUAGGCAGGUCAUUACAGAAAAGACUUCUUUGAAACUCUGUAGCCAAAAGAUCAAAAUCCCUUUCUAUAUAAUUCUGCAUCAGAGUAGGUGGUCUUUCCAAGAGAUAAGCAGACUACGUUUUCAAGAGAUAAGUAGAGAAUGAGGGAGUUGUUCAACAAGAAAAGCAAACUAACCAUCAUGAUAGGUUGUGUUCUUUCUCUCUACAAAAAACAAUAGGGAACAAAGAAGAGUUGGUUUUUCUUUCAGAAAAAGGAAGGAAAAGACCUACAUGAAAACUAAUUAUUGAUGGUUCUUCUCUGCCAGAACAGAUAACUUCUCAUUUUCUUUGACAUUUAAAAAUGAAAGGUCUCGCUUUUACAAAAUCUGCCGCCCAUUAUUUAAAGAUUAGAAAACCCACUCCAGCAUUUCCUAUAAAUAUGAGAGGAGGUGAUGUCACAUCACGGGAUUGGCUCUGCCGUAGCACGAUAUUGUCCACUUUGCGCCCCCCUCUCUACCCUCACGGUUUUAUUUUUGGGAACUCACGAGCAACUUCCCAGUGGGUCACUCAUCUUGGGAUUGCUCUAGCCCCCAGCUCGCUUAACUUCGGAGUUCCCAUGACUCCGAAGCCAAUGAGCUCCCAAAAGGCCUCGUGUUAGAUGGAGGCGGGCAUGUACAUAUAAGGCACAUCACCUCCUCUCCGUUGGUCGAUGUGGGAUGUUACAGGUGAACAUAUCAAAGGACAGCCAAAAAAUCAAUCAAAGACAAAAACUCAAAAUGAUCACUUGAUCUCAAAAGCCUUCAAAACACUGAAGCAAGCAAAGCUCAUUGAGCCACAACGAACAAGUCAGCUAGAAUUCAGAAUCUUUAGAGUCAGUUCAGUUUCAGAGAAAUAAUCAAAGAAAGCGAGAUCUCUCUCGUUACAAAUUUGGUUCAGCUUAAAGCCAAAACAAGCAGAGUUCAGGUUCUUACAAAUAUGAAAACCUCAAUAAAUUUAUGGAGAGCCCUGAUCAAGCAAAACAGGUACUACAGUGCAGUUCUAGCUUAGUAAUAAUCAAAUCCACCCACUUCUGCCCCUUCCAGAUUGAGAAGGUCCCAAUUCUGCCCAUUCAAAAAGCCUUCCAAGACUUGAAAUAGAUUAAAGCUCUGCCAAACUCAAAUGUUGGAAUCAAUUCGCAGCUGAAACAUGACAGUUGAAGGUGUUGAUAGUCCAGUCCAGCACAGACAUACCCAGUCUAGCCCAGAUCAGAAGCAUUCACCGAGGCAGAAAUUGAAGUCCAAAGCUCUUUUUGUCUUUUUAGAGUUGGUCUUCCUUUUCUGAGCUUUGUAAAAGGCAAUUCUGCCUAAAACAGUUCACUUUCUUAUCAUUUAUUCUGGCCAGAACUACCAGUUUUGUACUGUGAAAAAUUAUGAAGUCCUCACCAGUCUAAGGCAAGAAAAGAACUUACUUGGGAGAUAUUCCUCACCAAAUUCACAACCGUUUGUUUAGAAAUCAGUAACUUGGUGUAACGACCCGGUCCUAAAUAAAUUGGUAAUUAUUAAUUUAUUCAGAUAAAAGACCAUUUUGCCCAUAGAAUAUUUUAAUAGGUUUACAUGUUGACCCGGGAGGCUUCGGUGAAAUUGUUACAUCUCGGUCCGAAAAAGUGUUAAAAUAAUUAAAGUAGAGUGCUGCUAAAAGAACCCUAAAAUUAACUGAGUACACCCUAUGAUCUAAGUACACCCUAAUAUUUUAAUUAAAAUAUAAAAUUAACUAAGUACACCCUAUAAAACUAUCAAAAAUAACACUGAUACACCCUAAUACUUGUAGCAUUAUUUUAUAGUUGAUUAUUUUAAUAGUGUUUAUAAAUCUUUGACUUUUCAUAUGGAUUUAUGCUUCUACUAAAAUUGUUGCCACUUUUUUUCCAAUUCCAAGUUCUUGCAAUCACCACAUCUUUCGUUAAAAACACAAUAGGACAAGCAAUCUCUUGAUUAGGGUUGAAUAUGGUUAGUAGGGUGUACUUAUUAAUAUUAUAUUUGUUUCACAAUUCCAUAUAUCCUUUUUGGUCAUUUUAUAUUAGGGUAAACCAGUAAUUCAAUAUAUACUUUUAUAGUAGGGUGUACUCAGUUAAUUUUAGGGUUCGUUUAGCAGCACUCUUAAAGUAAGAGAGAAUAAAAUGAAAUAAACAUUAAAAUAAAAUGAUUUGAAUUAAUUAAGGUUUUUGAGAAAUUAAAAUAUUAUUUAAUAUUAUAAGGGGAAAAAGAUCAUUUUAAGUUUGGGAAGGAAUUUGGAAAUUCCAAUUGUACCGUUGUGUAGAGCAUGUCGAAACGAGUCCGUAGACACGUAGUGGACUCGAAUCGUAGUUAUAACGGAGAAAUGGCGAUCAAAAGAAGUUCAGUGGCAUAGCCAUAAAUAUUUCGAAGUUCAGUUUUUUUAAAACCCAAAUUUCUUCUCUCUGGGGAGUGGGAGAGCCAACUUCAAAUGGUGAUUUCUCCCAACUCCGACCACCACACUUCCCUCUUCCUUCAGUUUUGGCAUCAUGAUGGGUUCCAUCCCGGAAUGACACAUUUUCGACGCUAAGGACGUCACAAAUGGUAUUUGAGAUGCUUUGUAAAUUUGUAACCAUGGAAAACACAAUGAACUUUAUGUUCGGAGUUGCAAGAGAACAUUAAGGGGAAUAUGGAGAGUGGGAAAAUAGUAAUAAGUGGAGAUCUGUAUGCUUACUUACUACUGAACUUCCGUCGUGGUGGUUAGUAUGAAAAAGUGUUAGAGAUUAUAGAUUUUAUGGAGGAACAUGGUUGUACACUGAUAAGUAGUCGGUAGGAGUUGAUUUAAGUUCCAAGAGAAAUUCAUUAUGAACUGGGAUGAAUUACUGCAAGAUUCUUGCUGUUUUGAAGUUAUUGAUUUUAGGGGCAUCACCUCUGAAUGAUCAUAAUAACCAUGCGUGGGCUCUGCAUGAGGUUUCUUUGACAUUGUUUGAUUUUGUGUAUUGAUAAUUACACUUAGGGGUGUCACGUUUCUAGAAACGUGUCUAUCCAAAUUGUUGUAUCUCAAUAUCCUAUGGAAGGAAAGCUGAGAAGCUGAAAAUACUGGAUUUAUGGUGGUGAGAUAAAAAUUGUCAGGAACUUUCAAAAGUCAAAUUAUUUCACAAAGGGAAAUACUGGAGAGAAGUAUUAGAGAAUUUUCUUUGGAUAAGUUAUAUAGGAGUGGAGGAGUUGCGAGUUUAACCAAGGAGGGUUGUGACAAUUUAAAUUGAGAAGUAGUGGUGUUGGGUGAAGUAUUAUUUCAUUCGCGUGGGCUUGAAUGCCGCGAUUGACAGGAAUGGAACAUUAGGGUUCUUCUUCCUUGCUCUCUCACGCGAGCUCGCCAUAGAGAGUAUUUCUUGGCGUGGUACUGGCUUCGUCCGACCUCCGAUUACUGUGAUUUUUGAAAGGACCCGGCCCAAAUUUCUCAAAAUCCGAGGCGAAUCCUGUGAAAUUCCCGACAUCACUCCGAUGCCAGGCCCACUUACUAAAGACCGAGACUUUCUGCCGAACUUUCGGCAGAGUCUCCCCUAUAAAUUGGACAUUUUCCAAAACUACCACCUGCAUAAAACACAAUUUAUAUCCCCAACUGGCAGCAUGCACAAGAUAAUUUCAUGCAAAUCACAUAAUCGGCCUGCGGCCUUCAAAUAAUUCAAAACGAAACCACCAAGCACACUAUCAAAUUAAUUCCUACCUUAAACAAGGCAAACAAUAAAUUUAAAUAUGAAUUAUGACUACUAAAUUUCAACAUACGAGGUUUUAACCUCCUAACACAAUCACAUCUAUGUCCGCGGCUGCACCUAAUAACCUUAGGCUGCCUACGUACCUUCACUGAGGGAUCAAGCCACACGUAGUUCUUCCGUAAAACCCAAUUCCACACAUAGGCAAUACCUUUAUUCAUUUCUCUGUAUUUCACAUAAUCUCCCCAUACGCCAGUACUACCAUUGCCACGUAUGGGACUUGUCAACAAGCCGGAUAACCUACACCACGUGCGAUCUCAACAUAAUAUCACAUAAUCUCCUCAUACGCCGGUACAACCAGCGCCACGUAUGGGGCCUGUCAACACGCCGGAUAACCUACGCCACGUGCGACCUCAUCAUACUAUCACAUGAUCUCCCCAUACGCAGGUACAACCAACACCACGUAUGGGGCCUGUCUCAACGCCGGAUAACCUACGCCACGUGAGACCUGAACAUAAUAUCACAUAUCUCCUCAUACGCCGGUACAACCAAUGCCACGUAUGGGGCCUGUCAACACGCCGGAUAACCUACGCCACAUGCGACCUCAAUAUACUAUCACAAUAUCUCCCCAUACGCCGGUGCAACCAACGCCACAUAUAGGGUCUGUCUCAAAUUGGAUAACCUACGCCACGCUAGACCUCAACAUCAUAUCACAAUAUCUCCUCAUACGCCGGUACAACCAACGUCACGUAUGGGGUCUGUCCGCAUGCCGGAUAACCUACGCCAUGUGGGACCUAACUUUCACAGAGUGGUACUUGUAGUGUAACCAAAAUCUGGGGAGGUGCCUAAGGUAGUGCAUAUAGCACUUCAAACUGACAUUCUCUCACUUAUCUAAACUAAUACUAGAGGUCUUCCCAUUUUAAUGGUACCAGUCUAUAGUAGAUUGUAACGUAAUUUAAUCAUAAAAAUAAUAUUAUUUCUAGACCAACGAUUAUUCACAUAAACAUGAAUUUCAUAAUUUCACUAUUUAAAAUAAUAUCUAAAAGUUUCCUAUAAUACAAAUAAACACUCUAAAGAUCCCAACUUAGUCAACACAGCUCAACAAUGCUCAAGACCUGUCAUUAGGGUCAUUAUGAUCCUUCUAGGAAGGUAAAACUACCUCGAAAGACUCAAGGUCAACCAAGGGUCAAACCACCCACAAUUGGUCAAACGGGCCCACGGGGCCCACGACCUCCAAAUUCCAAUCCGAAGGUUCCUAUGGGAUCUACAAGGUAUAGGACACUCGUCUUGCAAGUUAAGCCUAGAUCGGAUGGUCAGAUCGCUCACGAUCGCACAAUCUGAUGGUUAAUAUAAAACAUAAACUUUAAAUUAUUUAAUCGGAACAUCCGGGGCUCCCGAUUCACGAUCUGUUCCUACACGAUCCUAGAAAUACAUAGAUUAACAUAUAUUAAAUUUGAGACCAUCCAACGGUCCUAACCUAUCGAACCCGGAUAACGCGCAAUAGGCGAUAUUCGUUCGAUAGUCAAACGACGUCCGAAUUGAGAUUUACGAAAUCCUACGCACUCGUGACAACCUAAGGAUCUCAUUGAGACAUAUUGCUAUCCCAAAACCGACCGAAAUCCAAUUCGAAAAUCGAGUUACUUACGUUAAGAAUCGACCGAAUCCUACCCAACAGGCAGCUAGAGCAUGAAAAGUAUGUGAGAAACCAUACCUCACUCGUCGAAAUCAGUGGCCAAAGGAGGGAGAUCGACGAUAGAGAAGUUCGGACGAACUGACCGCUUCUUCUCCAUUUUUCAGCGAAACCACGGUAGCUGGUGGCGGGACCUAGCUGGGGUUGGAAGAGGAUGACGCCCCGGUCAUUUUGGUAUCGGCCUCGUGGUCAUCGGUGGCCGGAUGAGAAAACAGCCGGCGAAAAUGUGACCGGCUGCCGUUGCGCACGCGAGAGAGACCACGAGAGAGAGAGAGAGAGAGAGAGAGAGAGAAAUCUGAUUGUGCCACUGAGAUUCUUUUGACCAUAUCUCUCUCGUUACAACUCCGAUUCAAGCCCACCACGUGUCUACGGACUCAUCUCGGUACGACCUAUCCAAAAAUACCAAUCACUACCCCAAAUACUUUUUGGAUCAGAAAGUGACCAAAUUACCCCUACCUCAAUGGUAACUUUGUAAUUUCACUUAAAUAAUUUAAAUAAGGGAUUAAAUUUGGAGUCGGGGUGUUACAAUUUUUGUUGCUAAAUGUUGUCAUCAUUUCUCCUCUACAUCACUCAGUGAUCAUUCACUCCCAUUUCUCUAGUUUACACGGUGAAUUUUAUUUCUAAAAUUUCUUAAAAUUCCGGCCACUGUGAGUUUGACCAGCGACUUGGGUUACUUUUGCCCAUCUUUUUGGAAAUGGAACCGAUUUGAGGAAGAUUAGGAGGAAAGAUACAUAGGCCGCUGAGGCAGAAGUAAAGCCGGAGCUUUACCAUAGACAGAAGUUGUUUUAGAAGUCCUGGAAGAUUGUGAACAGGAAUUGGAAGUUUGCAUGGGGUGAUAGGAUUUUUAGUACUUGUGCAAACAGUGUUAAAAAUCACAUAAAAUACUUGCAAGAAUACAAGGCUAUUGUAGUCUAGAUGCUCAUGCAAGGUCGUUUUCCUCAAGGACUAAUUAGCAAUUUAUGUAAAAAUAAAUUCCAAUUACUACUUAAAAUAAAAAGUCAAGAAAGAUGAUUAUAAAUUUGGUUGAUUCUAAAAAACAAAUAUUAAACAAAAACAAAUACGAUUGAAAGAAAGAGUUUUGAAUAUCAAUUUAUAAAAACACUAGGGUUUCACCAUCACCUAGCAAUCCUAUGAACUUUUACCAAUUACUUAUGAUUUGCACAUGCCACUUUGAAGGUUAGGUUUUCCUAAUGUAUAUUCUACUUAGAACCUCCAACACAGAAUGUAUAUCCAACAUGCAACCCGUCCGGACGUUCGGAUCAAAUCUGAACAUGAAAGACUCAUUAAGUUUUGUGAAAACCCUUUGAAAAACCAUGCAACCCUUAAGACGUGGUGUUCAUCUUAAGUGAAAUUACAAUUAUUAAUCAGAAGAAGCUAGCAUCAAUUUCAGGGAACCUUCCGACCAAAAUUGCAUCCAAUUACUUUUCUAAAGAUCCUAAUGGUGAUCAGGCAUUAAGACAAUUAGAUAGUUUAAAACAGUGAUUAACAAUUCAAAAUACGCAUGCACUCAUCAUAAGCAAUUAAAUAAAAAUCACAUAUUCAUGCUAAGGUUCAAGGCUUCACCCUAGCAAAAGAAAUUUAGUUACGCAUACUCAUAAUUGAAAUCCAAGAAAAUAUCAUUAAGAAGAAAAGAACGAAAACACCUGAAAGUUGUGAAAACCCAAAACCCUAGCAAUUGCUCUCCACAAUGCAAAGUUCAAAAGUGAAAAGGGAGUCCUCCAUUCCUUGUGAGAAAGAGCUUAAAUACCCCUUAAAACCUAGCUGCCAAUGUACAGCUUUUCUAUCCCCACAAGGAAACUAAUUAAAAUAAAAUAAUACUAGGAAAUAAAGUCCAAAUUGGAAUAGGAGAAUCUGCUCAAAAUCUGCCCAGCCACGUUUUGGCCCCAAAUCUCCUCCAAAUCUGGCCCAAGAUAGCUUGUUUUAAAGAUAAAAAAUGUUCUGAACACUUCUUUAGAAGGCCACGAACCCAUCCGAGGUCAUCUUGGGCUCCAAAAACGCAAUAAAAGCCCAACACGUCACUAUUCCAGCACCGCGCACUGCUCCUUUAUUUUGUUGCCAGAAAAUAACCGCUUGGAAGAAAAAUCUGAAAUUUUGAUACGAUCAAGCUAAGUGACUCAAGAACGUCCUCCAACUGGAAUUACUCCAAAAUUCCUCAAUUUGAUUAUGUUUUGCUCCAGAGAGAUUCGAAAGUCCUAUAUUGGAAAUAUAAUUCAAAGUAUCAAAAGUCUUCCAAAAUAAUAACCAAAAUAUACUAAGAAUGAGGUUAAAUAUAUAAUAUAAAAUAUGUCCAUCAAAAUACCCCCAAACUUAGCUUUUGCUUGUCCUCAAGUGAAACAAGACUCAAACAAAAAUAAAAACUUAACAGAUUAGACAUCUGGCUAACACUUAACUAGGACAAAAUUUCCACCUUCAAGUUGCAAUCCAUAGAAAAUUUUAAAAACUAGAACAUCCUUUCAAUAGAUCUAAGUAAUCCCACCACAAAGUCUAAGCUAUUUAGACUCAAUUAGAAAAGAAUUCACAAACUUCUUUCGGUGCAAAGUGAACCAUUAUGGUUAUGGAGACUUGACUAAAACCCUUAACUCUCAUCCCUUUUAUUCAUACUUCACACACUCCACACUUUUUGUUUUUUUUGUUUUUUGUUUUUUGUUUUUUUGUUUUUUUUUCUUUUUGUUUUUAUAGUAACAGUAGUGGUUGUGCAAUGUUGGUUCCCUUAAGCUUUCAAUCCAACCGUGUAGCCAGCUUUAGGUCAAUGUCUCCCAAACCACUCGGGUUUUAGGGCACUAGGUGUAGAACACCCCUAAGGACUUAUUAACUCAAGCUGAAAAGGCUACGAAACCAACUAACCACCCUGCCUCAUGCCAAAACUCUACCUUUUGUCUCGAGAAUCACUGCUGAUUAGGCAGGAUUGACCCGGUUACUAGCAAAGCUUCGGGUGAGGUAAUUAUUACUUUAUAACACAAACUAACUUUAUUUAUAUUGAACAUAAAUUAAAACACAUUUGGACAAAAAGUAAGUAUUCCAAUCUCACUCCCCAAAAACCAUGUUGGUGUGAUGUGCAAAUUUCAAAGUAUAAUUCAUGAAUUAAUGUCUAAGCAACAAUAAAUAGAAAAUACUCUACCGUGGGAUUGAUUUUCACCAUGUCCAUUUGUUCUAACGUUUAAAAUAAUCUAUGGAUAUUGACUGAAAAACGAAAAUUUGUAAACAAGACUCAAAAAAUGAAAAAUAAAAAAAAUUACGUUCCCACCCCCUAACUUAAAUCACACAUUGUCCUCAAGGUGGGGUAAAUAAUCAAAAGAAACAAGAGCAGAAACAAAACGACUAAAACUUAGAAAAUGGAAAUCAAAAAUAAAGAAAAUACUCUAAGAAAAGAAAUUAGGAAGGCAAAGGAUGAGAUCCAGAUGGAUCUGGUAAUCCUAUCCGUAGAGAUGGAAAGAUUCUAUACACGCCAUUGAGACUGGAUUUGGAGAUGAGGAUUUGACCCUACCUUGUUCGACGAAUUCCCUCAAGGGGAAUUAUAGCAAUAAAAUACAUAUGCUUCUACAAACAUUUAAUUGCACUGCUACGACGUGGAAAGAGUGCUUUGGGGUCUCAUCUCAUGUGAACCCGUUCGAGUAGAAAUCUUUCAUUAGAAUCAGAAAUGGGUCAUGGUAAAGAGAGGUAGAUGAUGAUUACAGUUCGGUAAAAAUGAUCAUUUCUGACAUUCCUCUCAAAGAACCGUGUUGGCAAUGUCGUUUAUCGAUUCUAAAGAAAGAAGAAAAAUAUCAACAAGUCAAAGAACGUGGAUUUCUUUUAAGGGGAGAGCUAGAACAAAAUCAAAUCACGAAUGGAAGAGUUUAGCUUUCAGAGGAAGAUUGAGCAUUACAGCAGCUAUUAAAGGAUAUUUUUAGUUGAAGAAUGAGAUUUUUCUUCCUCUGAUUGUUUAGCUAGAGCUUUUGGCUUGACUGCCAACGUGGUUGUGGAGGAAGAAACUUGGGAACCCGAGUAGUAGAUGCGAGCCCACUACCCAUACCCCUUUUGAGUGACAGGUAUGAAAUUUCAAGGAUGAAAUUUUUAUAAGAGGGGUAGAUUGUAACGACCCGGUCCUAAAUAAAUUGGUAAUUAUUAAUUUAUUCAUAUAAAAGACCAUUUUGCCCCCAUAAUAUUUUAAUAGGUUUACAUGUUGACUUGUUGACCGGGGAGGCUUUGGUGAAAUUGUUACAUCCCGGUCUGAAAAAGUGUUAAAAUAAUUAAAGUAAGAGAGAAUAAAUUGAAAUAAACAUUAAAAUAAAAUGAUUUGAAUUAAUUAAGGUGUUUGAGAAAUUAAAAUAUUAUUUAAAAUUAUAAGGGGCAAAAAGAUCAUUUUAAGUUUGGGAAGGAAUUUGAAAAUUUUGAUUGUACCGUUGUGUGGAGCACGUCGAAACGAGUCCGUAGACACAUAGUGGACUCGAAUCGGAGUUGUAACGAAAAAAUGGCGAUCAAAAGAAUUUCAGUGGCAUAACCGUAAAUAUUUUGAAGUUCAGUUUUUUUAAAACCCACAUUUAUUCUCUCUGGGGAGUGGGACGUGCCAACUUCAAAUGGUGAUUUCUCCCAACUCCGGCCACCAAUUCAAGUAAGACCGGCCCCGUUAGAACCACCACACUUCCCUCUUCCAGUCCCAGCCCAUCUCAGUCUCGAUCCGCCGUCGUAGUCGCCGAAAAUCGCCACGAAACAAGGUGGUUUGGAUAGUUUUUGUCGAAAUUUCGUGGAGCUCGUUCUCCCUCCUCCGGCCACCGUUUCAGGCGAGUGAGGUAUCAUUUCUCACCUAUUUUCUAUGAUAUAGCUGAUGGUUGGAUAUGAUUUGAUAAAUUUUGAGCGUUGAUAGUUCGAUUUUCGAAUCAAAGUUUGGCCGAAUUUCGGGAUGAAAUUCCGGCCACUUUCGAUCACUUUUUGGGGUAGGCCCAAGAACAAAAGUGUCUUCAAUUGAUGUCCUGAUCCCAGGGUAAGAGCAUUGGUCGAAAAUUUUGAGAUUUUCCUGCUGGUGGUAUCGCUUUGGGCACCCAUGCGCUGAUGGCGCGUGUGGCAGCGUGUGGGCACUGUAGCAGAGGGCCAUUGUGUCCCAAUGCGACCCCCUUGUUGUCACGAGUGCGUAAGGGUGCUCGGAUUCCAAUUUGGUUGAGGUUUGAACCCCGAAUGGAUUUCGUAUAUUGUACAUUAUCCGGGUUUGAUAGGUUUGAACCGUUGGAUAGUCUUGAAUUUAAUAUAUGUUAGUCUAGACAUCCCUAGGAUCAUAUAGGAUUUCGCGGAUCAUGGAUCGGAGCCCCGGAUGUUCUGAUUUAAUAAAUUAAAGUUUGUGUUUUACAAUAACCGUCCGAUCGUGCGAUCGCGAGCAAUCCGACAGUCCGAUCCGAACCAAACUUGCAGGACGGGUAUCCUAAAUCUUGUAGAACCCAUAGGAGCUUUCGGAUAAGAAUUUGGAGGUCGUGGGCCCGGUUGACCAAGAUUAGGUAGUUUGACCCCUCGGUUGACCAUGAGUCUUCCGAGGUAGUUUCACCCUUCGAGGAGUACUAGAAUGACCUUAUUACAUAGUCUCGACCUUUAAUUGAGCUAUGUUGACUAUGUUGAGAUUUUUAGAGUGUUUAUUAUUAUCGUAUGAAAACUCUUGGAUAUUACUUUUAAUAAUUGAAAUUAUGGAUUUGAUGAGCGUGGGUAAAUUGAUUUGAUGAGUGGUGAAAAGAAGUCGUGGGCUUGGCUAUGACUAUUAGGAAGUGAGGGGACAUUUAUGUUGAAUAUGCAUUAAUUUCAACAAUUGAAAGAACAUGCAUGGAAUGGGUAUAUAUAUAUAUAUAGAUAAAUUGGAUUAAAGAUUGAGAAAUUAAUAAGUUGAGAUAUUAGUAAUAUUUAAUUGAGAAAUGGAUUUUGAGGUGGAAAUUGGAAGGUUGAAUUUGGGGAAUUUUGGAAUUGAGAAUUAUGGGUUAAUACUGAAAGAUGUAGGAUUAUACUAUGUAAGUACCAUCCCCUAGUUACUAGGCUUCCCAUACGUGGAGUUGGAAUUUCUGGCGUGUGGGAAGGAUAUAUGAUUAUUAGAUCUCACAUGCCGUUGGAUUUUCCAGCGUGAGACAGACCCCAUACGUGGGGUUGGAUUUUUCGGCGUAUGGGGAGAUUAUGUGAUGGUUAGGUCACACGUAGGGUGGGAUUUUCCAACGUGUUGACAGACCCCAUAAGUGGCGUUGGAUUUUCCGGUGUAUAGGGAGAUUAUGUGAUGGUUAGGUCACACGUGGCAUAGGAUUUUCCAGCGUGUUGACAGACCCCGUACGUGGCGUUGGAUUUUCAGCGUAUGAGGAGAUUAUGUGAUGGUUAGGUCCCAUGUGGCGUAGGAUUUUCCGGCGUGUUGACAGACUCCAUACGUGACGUUGGAUUUUCCGACGUAUGGGGAGAUUAUCUGAUGGUUAGGUCACACGUGGAGUAGGAUUUUUCAGCGUGUUGACAGACCCCAUACGUGACGUUGGAUUUUCCGGCGUAUGGAGAGAUUAUGUGAUGGUUAGGUCACACGUGGCGUAGAAUUUUCUGGCGUGUUGACAGACCCCAUAUGUGGCGUUGGAUUUUCCGGCAUAUGGGGAGAUAAUGAGAUGGUUAGGUCACACGUGGCAUAGGAUUUUCUGGCUUGUUGACAGACCCCAUAUGUGGCGUUGGAUUUUCGCGCGUAUGGGAAGGAUAUGUGAUUAUUAGGUCUCACAGGUGGCGUUGGAAUUUCCGGCGUAUGAGACACUAACAGUGAGAAGAGAAUGAGAUUAUUUUUCUAUAUCAGAGAAAGGUUAGAGUAUAAAAAGAAAUAUGUUUGGUGUGUGGUAAUUUAAAUUAAAACAGGGAAAGAUAACUUACCUGUACUACUGAAACAGUUGUGUAACAUUUGGAGCAUGAUUAUGGAGUGAAAGAACUACGUGUGGCUUGAUCUCUCAGUAAGGGUACGUAGGCAACCUAGGUGCAGUCGUAGACUAAACGUUAUUUAUGUUGUUUUAUUGAGAUUGGUUCUGACCCUGUCGUUGGUCCUGAAAUUCGGUUGAAAACUAGAUGCGAGUAAAUAAUUGUUCAUACUCCCGUUUCGUUGAGGGAGGAUUGUGUAAAUGUGUUCUGGUCAAGACAGGUAUAAGAACUCGUUUAGGAUUGAUGUACGAUUUGGGCUAAGGCCUUAAACUACUUGUUGUUGUAUUAGGAGAUUAAAACCUCGCAUGUGGGAUAAUUGGGAAAGUUAGAUGAUGUAAAGUGCACUUAGGCAUUCAUAUAUAUGUUUAAAUUUAUUAUUUGUCUUGCUUAACGUAAUUGUUUGACUUAUGGGCUUUAUUGGUGAUUUGCUUCAGAUUAUUUAAAGGCCGAAGGCCGUUUAUGUGAAUUGCAUUUUGAUACAUUGUGCAUGCUACUAGUUGUGGAUAUUAAAUGUGUUUUAUGCAGGUUGAAAUUUUUGGGAUUGUUCAAAUUACAGGGGAGACUGCCAAAAUUUUGAUAGAAAGUCUCGGUCAUUAGUAAGUGGGCCCGGCAUCGAGGUGAUGUCGGAAUUUACACAAGAUUCCUCUCGGGUUUUCAGGAAUUCGGGGCGGAUCCUGUUACUUGGGGUGCAAAUUAUCCAUUUGUUCACCCGUUUUCGUGUUUUACUUCUGAGGUGGAAGGGCGAAGUUUCCCACUGGCUUGGAGACCACUUGUUGGUCGACAAGUCAGCUUUCUUUGGUGUGUGUGAGCGUGCCACUGCUAGCAAUGUAAAUUCUAGCAGACUUAUUUUUUAGAGUGGAUAACUUGCGCCUCAAGUUACUGACUUCUAAAACAAAUGAUUGUGAAUUUGGGUGAGGAAUAUCUCCCAAGUAAGUUCUUUUCUUGCCUCAAACUGGUGAGGACUUUCACAAUUUAUCUCAGUAUCAAAUGGUUGUUCUGGCCAGAAUAGAUAAUAAUAAAGUAGACUGUUUCAGGCAGAACUGCCUUUUACAAAAUUAAGAAGGGAGAAAUCAACUCUAGAAAGGAAAAAAGAUGGCUGGAAUCCCAUUUCUGCCUGGGUAGAAACUUCUGAUCCGGGCUGGACUGGGUAUGUCUAUGCUGGACGGUGCUGUCAACAACUUUAGCUUGCUCGGCUUUAGUUGUAAAUCGAUACCAAAGUUCAAUUUUGGCAGAGCUUCAAUCUACUUCAAGCCUUGGGAGACUUUUGAGUGGGCAGAACUGCAGCUUCUUCAGUUUGAAGGGACAGAAGUGGCUAUUCUCGAGGAUUUAGCAAGCUGGAACUAUGCUAUAAAAUUUGUUGAGGUUUUCAUAUUUGUGAAAACUCAAACUAUGUUUGUCUUGGCUUUUGCUGAACCAAAUUUGUAACGAGAGGGAUCUUGUUUUCAGAAGACUUAUUUUCUAAGUCUGAACUUUGGAAUUCUGAUCUAAAGCUGUUUUCUUGUUUGUUUUUUUUUGAUUGACUGAUGAAUUGAGUGUCCUUUGUUUCUUUGCCUUCUUUCGCUUUUAUAAGAGAUCCUCCUAAGGAGGUCAUUUUUAAUCCUAAACAAUGGGCGGCAAAAAGAUCUCUUAUAAUGUAAAGUAAGAAGGGUUUCUUAUCAAUCAAGGCAGAUAGGUUCUGAGCAGUCACCUCCUAAAAACAGUCCAUUCCCUGGUUUCCUGGGUGGCAGCUUUCUAAUUCAACCAACGCCACCGUCUGUGUGGGCUUUUUAUGGCAGUUUUGGCUCUUUUCUUUUGUAUUUUCUGAGUGGUUCCCUGUUUCCCGUUCUAAUUUAGAAAGCGUGAUUCGUGAAUUCCUUGGGAGAUGGUGUAUUGAUUUGGAGCAAAAUCUUGAACACAGAUGGGUUUUUGAUCUUCAAUUGGCAGUGUUUCAGAGACGUCCCUCUCACAUUUUUAAACUUUAGUUGGAAUUGCUGACUUUUCCAAAGUUGAGGCAAUCACGUGGGUGUGUCUUUGAUCCCUUGGUUUUGAAUCUAUCGAAAAUUACGGGCUGAUCUUUGAAGCCCAUUUCGAAAGUUUCCACAUCUGGGCUUUCUUUGGGCUGAGGCUUUAUUUCCAACAUUCUUGGUGUGAAGCCCAAACUGUCUGGGUCUUAUUUUCGUUUUUCUCAAGUCUCUGGGCUGGGCAGGCAAUUUUAUCAUGGGCCUGUCUUCUGGUCUUGGGCGUGCCGAAUUUGGGCCCAAACAAUGCCCCCUAAGUCUGAAUCGUUUUGGAAUGGUUUCAGACUUAAUGUUUUGCCAUUUAAUUCACGUGCCAGUUUCUUCCGUGUUUUCGCCCACGUCUGCCACGUUUGCCUGCUACGAACUAGAGUUCGUGGGAAAACGGCUAGUUAUUAUCUAGUUACUAGCUAAUAAUCAUCAGGUGCCGUCCCAUCUUCUUCUUCCCACGUUUUCGAGCCCCUCUUUAAAAGAAAUUCAAAUUCAUAGCUUCUGAAAAAAGAAACCCUAAACCUUCCAGCUCUUGUUCCUGCGAGUUCUUUCUUCGAGAUUUCCAAAGCCUUCUUUAGACCUUCCUUUCUUCUGCUUCUUCCCUUGAAUCAGAAAUGUCUUCCCCAAGGUCCCGCGCUCAGUCUUCUUCCGCUUCAGUUCCUCCCGAUUAUAUCACUGGGAGCGGGAUUGAUGCUCACGCGAUAGAAAUCAGGAGCAAGCUUCAUCCCUUUGCCCAGAAGAAUCUGGACGAGAAUGUCCUCCAUUUGUUUGAGAACACCCUGGUGUUAGGGCCUCACUGGUUUGGUCCUGUUCCAGCUGAGAUGGCAGAAUUGCUAAAAAAGGAUGCCGAGGCUCCUUUGUGUUUUGAGAGCUCUUCUGCCCUGGCUUCUUAUUCUUGGGUUAGCAAGAAUUUGAGCCGGUCCUUCCCGUCCAGCGAGGUGAGGAAUAGUCUGGUCAAAUGGGCAGACUGGAUUGAUAGACUUCUCCCGAGAUAUGGGGGUCACUGGAGGAGAGCUGGGAUUUAUGACGCCAUUUUUCUGUCCAAACAAUCGAUUAACAGAGAUGAGAAUCUGCUUGCUGCUGCUUUAUGCUUCUGGAAUUCUGCCAGCAAUACAUUUGACUUCCGCGUGGGUCCUAUGGCGCCAACCUUGCUGGAUAUGGCUCAGAUUUUUGGGUUCAGGCCCCAUGGUAGGCCUGUUGAUGCCAUUGGAGAUUAUCACAGGCGAAGGAAUCAAGAGAAAGUGGCCACCCCUUUUACUAUCCCUCCAGCCGUGAUCAACCAGAACUGCUCUUUCUCCAACUAUCUGAAGAAGUUCAGUGCUGAUAAGGACAAGGAUCAGCAACAUAUGUUGUUCCUUCUGUAUUGGCUGAAUUGGUUCGUUCUCCCCAAUCGGUCUUCUGCAGUUCUGCUAGAGUACAGACACUUGGCAGAAGCACUCCACAAUCACACUGAUGUGGGGCUCGGGCCUACAGUUCUGGCUCACCUUUUCAAGAAUCUGCAUACUUCCACCCUGGAGAACCCAUUGAACCUGUCAGCCCCUGGCGCAUUCUGGAUGAUCCAGAUCUGGCUGCAGGUUUAUUUUCCAGAACUAAGGUUCCCAGACAUAGUUCUGCCUGAAGAUCAAGUCCUGGCUCUUCCUCUGAUGUCGGCAGAAGUGCCCAAGCAUUCUAUUGAGGAGUAUUUGAUGCUCUUCAGGCAUUGUACAAAGAGGUCGGCAGCUCAGUGGCAAGUGGUGAUCAGGAGGACCUAUCCUUGGUUCCAGACCGGAUUUCGGUUGUUUGAGAAGGAGCCAGAAGAUGAAGCUGCCAGAACAGAUUUCAGGAGGAAAUUUCUGAGCAUUACUCUGCCCAGAGAUCUACCCCAUGGUGGGGGCAAACCUCCAAACUAUCAUCUGGGGGCAGAAGUCUACCAUCCCAACUUCUGCGCGAGGCAGCUUGGUUGUCCCCAACUCAUUCCGCUGAAAUCAUAUCGGAGUUGUAACCGGGCCUCUUCUUGGAGGGAUGCAGAUGAUCUGGAGGUGCACAAGGAUGCCCGGUGUGCAGUGAACAAAAUCAACAACAGCACGGAUGCCCUCUAUCCCUCGUGGGAGCUGAAUUCCUGCAGUUCUGCCGACUUUGACGCAUGGUGGAAAGCCAGAUUCCAAAGUCUGCCUGCUUCUGUCACUGCCCUCAAGGUGCUGUUUGAUGGUUGGGAAAACUGGGUCGUUUUUGCGAAUGGGGAUGCCAAGACGCAUAUGAUCCAGACCAUCAAGGAUAUUAACGCGCAAAUUAUAGAAGGUAGAUUUCUGAUUCUGUAUGGGGUUCGUUCUGUCCUGAUGAUUGAUUUCUAAUGUCUAUUCUGCCUGUAUCAGAUCCUUCUUUGACCAGCGUAGGUGGGCAGUCUGUUCAUGCUGGGGAAGUGAUUGGUAAGUCUUUUCUUUUAAUUCUAUUCUGUCUUUUCCUGCUGGAUUGGUCUCUAAUGUCUAAUGCCUUGGUGCAGUCUCUUCCGUUAUUGCUGCCGGGGACUUGGAGCUCCCUUCUGCGGAUGAAGGAGAUGAGGUCCAGACAGAACAAACACCUACCGAGGCCGCUCUUUCUGGCAGAAGAAAAAGGAAAGGACCUGCCCCUCCUUCGGAUAAUCCCACGCGGCCUGGUAUUUCAGGUAAGCUCGUGAUGUUCCAACCAUUCUCUUUAAAUUUAUUAUGUCUUGCCUUCUUUUCCCUAAUACUGCUUUUUGUUCUGUGCAGCUGGAAGUCCUUCCCCUCCUCCUACCAAGUUGAAAAAACUUAAAAAGAGGAGUGAGGAGGAGUAUGUCGCCGCGGAAGAGACGGCAGCAAUUCCCACCACUACCUCCGGGACGGAUGAAGAGCUGCGAGAGGCUUUUGAGGAGGUGGAGCAGGAAAAAGAAUUGGAAGAGCUGGAAGAAACGCCUCAGGAAAAAACGGCAGUGGCGGAAGGAGAGGUAAGUUUUAUUUCUGUGAUUCGCAUCAGUUCCCUUCUCGCCCUGUUUCUUCCGUUCUGACCCUUAUUUUGUAGGAGAAGAUCCCUGCUGAGGUGAUUGCAGAGAGCAUUGCCUUGGCGCAGAAGCAACAAGGGGGUCCAAGGGCUGAGCGGACUAGCUCAGAACUAGCCCUAUUUGAGGAUGCUGAGGCAGAGCAUUCUACUGCCGUUCCAGCGGCUGAGGAUCAGGCGGAACGGUCUGCAUCAGAGCCUGUGGAUCAGGCAGAGCUGUCUGUUGUGGUUCCGGAGGCUGAAGUGGAAACAACCGCCGCUGCCCCUGUGGUUGUGGUAACUUUCUUUCUUUAUCUGUCCACACUCUCCUGCAUUUCUGCCUUGUUCUUUAUUUUUAACUGUUGUAGCCUUUUCAGGUAGAAGUGCCUAAAGCUGUUGGCGUCCUGGCAGCGGUUACCAGUCCCCAGAAGCCUCCCAUUGUUGCUGUAAGUUUUCAUAACUUUUGGGCCUUUAUUUUCCACUUUCUGCCUGGUCUUACCUUAUGCUUUCUUCUUGCAGAUGCCAAUUCAUUCCCUUCCAGGAUCAUCUGCCACGGCUUCUUUUGCUGAUCCAGAACUCGAAGAGUUUGAAGCCAUGGAUCUGGAUGCCCAAUUGGACAGAUUGGAGAAACUCAGCUCUCCUCCAGGCAAGGCAAAAUCUAGGGCAGUGGAGGAGGCCAUGGAGAGGUUGAAAAUCUGGCAGUCUAAUGAGCUGGAGUUUGAUCAAGACAAUGAAGCCUUAAAUCAGCUGAUGAAGGACCUGGACCUGCUUCACAGACAGAACAUGGCUCCAAAACCUAUCCUUGAGAUGGGCCUAAGCUUGGCCAGAGAUGUGCUCAAUCUGCAUGAUCGCUAUGAGGAUCUCAGGCCUACUUUCAAGACUUCUGAAUUCUGCAAGGCCACUCAUGAAGCCAACCUGGCUGAUUUUGCAAAGCAGAAAGCAGAACUGGAUCAGAUGGUGGCCGGAUAUAAGGAAGCCAGGGCCACUGCGGACAAGCUGGAGAAGCCGAUGGAAGAGCUCCAAAAACAACUGGCAGAAUGCAGGGAGGUGCAGAGCAGGCUUGGGGCUGGACUGAGUUCUAAAACUAAGGCCACUUUCCUUGUGCAAAGUAUGGUUGCAGCUUCCAGGACAGCCUUGGAGAUUGCAGAGGCUUCAAUUCACCAGGGGGUGCUGCUCCAGAAAGAGCUUUCUGUCAAGAAAGCGAACCUGCAGGAGACUCUUAGAAAACUAGGAUUUUAGCUUCUUCUUUCCUUUUAUUGUUCGAAUAAUUUGCCGCAAAGGUGGCUAUUUUUAUAUAAGCUUUCAAAGCAUUUUACUGCUUUUCAUUUAUUCUUGAUGCAAUAACUGGAUACGGCUUUGAAAGUAAAAAACAGAACAACUUUAAAGCAAAAAUAAAUCUAAACAAAAUUCUUUUCAAGAAACAAAAAGGUCAAACUUGUUCCUCUUCUAUCCCGGGAUCUGUUUAUACAGCCUGCGAAUCCCACGUGGUUGGAUAGAACUUCUUUAACCAUUUACCAUUGAUUGGGGCAAAAUGAACAACUCCAUCUCGGUCCUGCAACCUGUAUGCCCCCAUUCCGAGGAUUUGGUUAAUUAUAAAAGGGCCUUCCCAUGUAGGUGACCAUUUCCCAUAUCCAGCUAUGUGUGCUCCAAGGGGCAGAAUUGCCUUCCAGACUAUCUCUCCCUCUUCAAAACUCUUGUUUUUGACUCUUUUGUUGUAGGCCCUUGAUACAGCCUGUUUUCCUGCUAAGAGUUUGUUGAGGGUGUCAAUUCUGCUUGCAUCCAAUUCUUCCAAUUCCAGCAACAUGGCUUGAGAGUAAUCCUCCCCAGUGAGACCAUGCUGGUGAGCAAUUCUAAGAGACUGGACCGCUAUCUCCAUGGGAAGAAUUGCAUCGUGGCCGUAGGUUAGAGCAUAGGGGGUCAUGCCAGUUGCUUCUCUCUUUGAAGUUCUGUAUGCCCACAAAGUUUCUGAUAACUUCUCAUGCCAUUACUUUGGAUUCUUCUCUAGCAUCUUUUUGAUGAUAUUGAUAAUCACCUUGUUACUUGAUUCCACCUGUCCAUUAGCUUGAGCAUAGUAAGGAGUAGAUUGAAGCAGUUUGAACUUGAACGUUUCUGCCAUAUCUAGCAUGUCCCUAGAUAUGAAAGAAGAACCCCUAUCGGUUGUGAUUGAUUCUGGAAUGCCAAACCUUUGUAUGAUCUGUUCUUCUAUAAAGGUGAUGAUCUCUUGAGAUGUUGUGGUUUUUACUGGCUUGGCCUCUACCCACUUGGUGAAGUAAUCUGUGGCAACGAUAAUGAAACAGUGCUGCUGGUUGCUGGCUGGAUAGAUUUUGCCAAUGAGAUCCAUUGCCCAUCCCCUGAAAGGCCAUGGUUUUACUACUGGAUUCAUGGGAACCGAAGGAGCCUGCUGGAUUGGGCCGUGCCUUUGACAGGCUUCACAUCCUUUGGAGUAGUUGAUGCAAUCCUUCAUCAUGGUUGGCCAGAAGUAGCCAUACCUUCUGAUUAACCAGCACAUCUUUCUUCCCCCUUGGUGAGCUCCACAGAUCCCCUCAUGGGUUUCUCCCAUGGCUUUCAUAUAUUCUGUCUUCCCGAGGCACCUUAAUAGUACCUCAUCCUUACUUUUUCGGACCAAAUCUUCAUUCCACAUGAGGUAGUUUGUAGCCAUGAUUCUGACUCUUUUCUUAGAGGGCAGAGUGGGAUAUCGUAAGUAAGUCAUGAUAGGCUCCCUCCAAUCAUCUUCAGUGAUCAAGGCAGAAUUGACUUCUAUCUCCAUUCCUCUCGUCAAAACAGAUGGUAGACUUUUCCUUCCUAUCUUGAUGAUCCUUUGGACGCAGUCUUCGGGCAUUUGUAUGCCUGAUGCCACCUGAGCCAGUUCAUUGGCUGCAAAGUUUUCCUCCCUUGGGAUGUUCUCCCAAGUAGCUUCUCUAAAUUCUGUUAGCAGAUUUCUAGCUGCUACUAGAUAUACAGCCAGAGAAGGAUUCAGACACUUAUAUUCUCCAGCAAUCUGUUUUAGGACAAGCAUGGAAUCUCCCAAGAUCUCCACGGACUGGACUCAUAAUUCUACCAACAUCUCGAGCCCUAUAAUCAAAGCCUCAUACUCGGCCAUGUUGUUGGUGCAUUGGAAAUCUAGCUGGAAGGAAUAGCAAUGUCUGACCCCUAAUGGUUCUUCCAGAACAAUCCCUGCUCCUGAAGCCUUGUCUGUCUUUGAUCCAUCAAAAUAUAACUUCCAAGGUGUGAGAUGAAUCGAGUAGAUUGGAUUGUUAAGGCAAACAUGAGCUCUAGUUAGCAGAUCUGCAUUUGCUAUGUCCAAAGAAUCCAUGUUUUCAAUUUCCUCUCCCGAGUGAUCUACCAAGAAGUCUGCCACAGCUUGCCCUUUGACAGCUUUCUGGGGGACAUACCUGAAGGUGAAUUCUGUCAAAGCCAAAGUCCAUUUCCCAAUUCUGCCCCUCAGCAUUGGUCUUGUUAGCAUGUAUUUGAUUAAGUCUGUUUUGGCAAUGAUGUAGAUAGUAUGUGGCAGCAUGUAGUGCCUGAGCUUUACAGCAGUGAAAUAUAAGGCCAGGCAAAGCCUUUCUAUUGCGGAAUACCUUCUUUCCACUUCUGUCAAUGUUCUGCUUAGAUAGUAGGCUGCCUGUUCUUUUCCUUCUUUGUUAUCUUGAACUAUUAGACUUCCAAUGGAUACUUCUGAUGCAGAUACAUAAAGCUUGAGGGGUCUGCCCCUUUUUGGUGGGGACAGAACUGGUGGAUUUGAGAGGUAAUGCUUUAUUUCCUGGAAAGCCUGUUGGUGCUGUUCUUCCCAUUUGAAUGUCUGUUCCUGCUUCAGUCUUAACAGGGAAGAAAAAGGUUGGAUUUUUCCUGCAGAAUUGGAUAUGAAUCUCCUUAGAAAAUUGAUUUUUCCUAAGAGACUUUGAAGUUCCUUCUUGUUCUGAGGUGGUAGAGCUUCUAUGAUGGAUGUUGCUUUAUUUCUGUCAACCUCUAUACCUCUCUGGUGGACCAAGAAUCCUAAGAAAUUCCCUGCUUGGACUCCAAAAACACAUUUUUUGGGGUUCAUUUUCAGUUUGUGCUGCCUCAUUCUUAGGAAUGCCCUUCUCAGGCUUGCUACGUGAUUUCCUUCCUCAGGGGAUUUAAUCACCACGUCAUCUAUGUAUACUUCCAAGGAAUGUCCUAUCAUAUCAUGAAAAAUAGAAUUCAUUGCCUUUGGUAGGUGGCUCCCGCAUUUCUCAAACCGAAAGGCAUUACAGUAUACUCGAAAGCACCUAUAUGUCCUGGACACAUAAAGGCUGUCUUGUGGAUGUCCUGUUCUGCCAUCAUGAUCUGGUUAUAACCUGCAUUGCCGUCCAUGAAAGAUAGCAUCUGGUUAUGAGUGGCUCCAUCCACUAGCAUGUCUGCCAUUGGCAUAGGAUAUUCGUCUUUAGGAGAUGCCUCAUUCAGAUUUCUGUACAAUAUUUGCUAACCAAUCGGAAUAGACGGCUGGCCUGAUGAAUCCUGCCUUGAGCAGCCUUUCUAUCUCUUCUUUGACCUUUAGUUCUGUGUCCAUAGACAUUCUUCUUCUGGCCUGUUUGACUGGAAGGUAGCCAUCUUUAAUUGGCAGCUUGUGCUCCACUCACUGCCUGUCCAAUCCUGGCAUUUCGUGGUAAUGCCAGGCAAAACAAUCUCUGAACUCCUGUAAAAGUGCCAUGAGUUCAGUCUUGAGUGGUUCCUUCAAAAGUGUGCUGAUGAAAGUAGGCCUUGGAUCUUCUUCUGUUCCUAAGUUUAUCUCCUGUAGAGGAUCCUCUACUUCUGGCAGGGAGUCAUCCAGUGCUGCUGGUGCAAAAUCUAAUACUUCCUCCUGUAAAAUUUCCUCCUCUUGCUCUUUUGUGCUUUCAUGGGUGAAUUCUGCCAUAUUGAUGGCUGGAUUCUGUAUGAAAAGCCUCCUUUCUCCCCAGUAUAUCAACAAUCUUUUUGUGAUGGAUCGGAUUGUUGCAGCUCGAUCCUUGUCUAGUUGAUUCGGACUAAACAUCAGAGUUCUGGAAGUUCAGCACAAAAAGGUCUAUUCCAGUCCUCUAGAGAACUGGCUAAACCUUCUUCAAUGAGUCUUUGGGCCGUGACACCAUGUGGACGGCCGUUCUGAUUGACUCCAAGGAAAGUGAAAGGACCGAGGUCAUCAUGAUAAUACCUUGUUUCAAAGCACAUGGCAGAGGGCAGGAAUGGCCGUGGAUCAGCCUCUAUAAUCUCCAUGCAGCCUUCUUCAUUCCAUAGUGCUAACUGCGGGUGGAGGGUGGAAGGAAUACAAAGGCUCUGGUGAAUCCAAUCCCUGCCAAGUAGUGCAUUGUAGGUGGUGGAAGUAGUGUCUAUAACAAAGAAUGCUAUUUUCAACUCUUUGCUUCCGAUUAUGACAUCCACAUCUAAGAUGCCAUGUAUUUUGGUGAUGCAACCAGAAGUUGGUGACGGUCAAUCGUGUUGGAAUCAGAUCUUUCUCUGUCCUGCCCAGCUUGGUCAGCAUUCUGUGGGGUAAUAGAUUAAUGGCUGCACCUCCAUUUACCAUGAUCUUGGAAAUAGGAAUACCCCCAAGAUUUGCCGUUAUAAACAAAGGUCUGAGGUGAAACAAGGUUGCUCUGUAGCUGGUUUAUUGGCUGUUCUGCCUGUCUUGGGGUUUUCUGCUUGUGGUUCUGGUGGCUCCUCUGCUUCUGCCAAUCUACAUUCAAAGCUUUCCUGAGAGAAAACAUCCCCUUCCAGAGUGCUUUCUUGUCCUUCGGCUGCCCUGAAUUUACUUGGUAGGAUGAAUACCAUGUUAAUUCCCAGAUCACCCUGUAGGAGGUCUUCUAAUUCUGCGCCAAAAGCUUCUGUUUCUGGGUCCAAUUCUACACCAAAUUCCAUUAAUUCUUCCCCGUAUUCUUCCGUCCAGUCAUCCUGUUCUGCUACUUCGAGGGGCUCUUUCUGAUCAUCUGCGGAAGGUUCAUAGUCCAAUUGCUCUUCUUCAUAUUCCUCAGUGUAGUCGUCUUCUCCUUGUAACGGGGUAGACCCAGAUUUCUCUGGUGUCUGCGUGGUGUCAGGACGGCUGCUGGACGACGAGGCCACAUGGAUAGGAGACCUGGCUGGGGGUUCUGUUUUCAGCAAUUCCCUUGACUGGCAAGCUUUCUGUUCUGUCUGGGGAAGUGUUUCAGGAUUUUUUCCUUUCCUAGCAGAACUGGGUUGUGAACGUACCUGCGUAUUAUCUUGGCUCUUAAGAUAUGUGCAGUAUUGCCUCUGGAUUCUCCUUUUCUGGGUUCUGGUUAGCUCCAGAGUCGGUCUACCGCUUCUUCCUACGGAAUACCAUCUCCCUUCUAUGAUCGUUGCCAAGGAUCUUUCGUUUCUGGGCAUCUUGACUGGUAUUUCCUUUCUGGGUUGCUCCAUCCUCCUCUCGCUGUAUUGUGUAGGCCUAAGACAGCUCUUCUGCCUUGUUUUGUCUCGGGAUGAGGUUCCAAUUCUGUCAAAGACACUAGGUGUGGGCUGAUUUUGUCUGUCUAGAACCACCUCUAGCUCUGUUUCACAUUUGCACCUACUGCAGAGCACUACCCCAGCCGAGAUGGUCGCUCUUGGUAUUUGACUGGUCUCCCUUAUGAUUCUUCUGCCUCUGCUGCAACCAGCAUCUGUGAUUGGCUCGGUUUUCCUCUGUUCUGGCCAAUUUAAGUUGACCAUAUUGACUUGUGGUUGAGGAAAAGGAUCCGUUGUGACGGAUGGUGGUUUUUCUGCCAGUUUCAACCUUCCUGCCGUUAUCCCUUCUUGUAUUACGUCCCUGAAAACAACACAACUAUUGGUAGAAUGGUUCCAAGAGUUGUGCCACCUGCAGUACUGUCUGCCCUUGAGUUCUUCCGGCUUCGGUAUUCUGUGAGGCGUCUCUAUUGCCUUCUACAGUAGCAUUUCGUGGAACAAGGCAUCAACCUUGGUUAAGUCAAAAGAGUAAACCUUGUUUUACGUUGGUUUGUUUGGAACGAAUCCUCCUGUGAAUGGUGGUGGCUUUUGGUCUUUAGGUGGCUUUGUGAGGGCUUUGCAACUAAUGGGAUGUUUUAGUUUUGCCAUUUCUGCCACUGAAACCUCUUUCUCUUCUGAUUCUUCUGCAUCUUCUUGUGAUUCCACCUCGAUCAGGUGGACUGAAGAAGAAGGGGUUUUAUAGUAUGUACCUUUGGAGGAGUUCCUCCUUUGCUGUUCCUCCCUGAGUAACUCCUCAUAUUUGGAUGCCUUAUCAGCCAGUUCUGCCAGAUCUCCGAACAAUAUCCCGUCGAACCUUUUCCUGAGAGAGAUUUUAAGGGCAACUUGGGCCAUCUGGAUGAAGUGUCUUUCUUCCAUCGGGAUUCGGCACUUCAUUUUGAGCUUUCUGAACCUGGUUAUGAAAUCUUGGGCCGGUUCAUCUUCACUUUGCUUGAGGGCAGCUAGAUCACUGAUGGUGACUUCUGGCUGAAUCCUGUAAUAGUAGUCAUGGAAGACAUUUUCCAUCUGUUCCCAGGUUUGAACAGAGUUAGCUGGCAGGCUGGUGUACCAGGUAAAAGCUUGCCCAAAAAGAGAGUUGCCGAAAAGCCUUAAUUUCAGCAGAGGGUUGCUUUCUAUAGCUAUGCAUUGGACGGAGAACCUGCCUAUAUGUUCAACUGAGGAAGAAUGGGGGUCUUCCCCAUUGAACAAAGUGAAGUUUGGCACUUUGAAACCUGGAGACAACAGUAUUUGAUCGAUAUAGGCUGGGUAUGGCUUUCUGUAAGUAGGCCUUUCCCCUAUUCUAGCCUCGGGUUCCAUGAUUUCUCUGAUCAUUCUUUGCAACGCUCCUAUGUCAUUCAAAGCAUUGACUGGGGGAAGAUUUUGUCCCUGUUCUGGCUGAACGUAAUCAAACCUGGGCUCUGCUCUGUGUGGUCUGGGUGGAACUUCCUCCCUGUGUUCUUCCUGCUCUUCGACUUCUGGAUGAUUCCUCCAGUUUGCCCCCGGUCUAUUCCUGUCAUGAUUAGCAAAAAGGUUGUUCCCUCCUCGGCCUCUCCUCCUUCUUGCAAGUGGAGGGAAUGGAUUAGGGUCCAUCCUUCUGGGUCUAUAUGGCAAUACUGCCGGUGGUUCAGGCAGAAGCGCCAAAGGUUGAUCAUGUGGGAGCACAUGAAGUGGAAUGGGCUGAGGUUCUGGCUGGUUCUGAGCCAGUGCCAGGUUAUCUGGUUGAGCUGGGGCUUCAUGUUUUUGAUUAGGAAGGGCUCCUUCCCUCGGACCAGCCUGAAUUUCUCCGUGGUCUGGCACUCCAGCCAUCUGUGCAACUAGGAAAUUUUCCUGGUAUGGCCAUAUUAGUCCUGGCGGAGGGCCAUAAGGGAGAUCCAACUGCUGGAUUACAGGAUCUGGGUUUGGGUUUCUGGCCAUGGCGGAUUCUCGGUCCUUCCGGAACUGUCUGUUUACCUGCCAUUACAUCAUGGCUGUCAUGUUAUUGAGAGUGUCCUGGCUCCUUCGUACUGUGAUCUCUUGUCGGAGUACUGACUCCUGUAUUUGAUUCAUCCUUUUGGAGCCAGUCCUGGAACGUCUACUUCCUGUACUGCCGUGGGCAGAUUGCCUAGCAUCGCUUUUUUCUGAUUCGAGGCCUUCCCUGAGAACCAUCUUGUUUUUCUCCAUAUCUGGUGUGGGUUCUGACUAGAUCUUCCGGUAUUUGUGAAUCUGUGAAUGAUUCUGUCAGAGUAUAUAUACUGAGAAGUCCCACUGGGUGUGCCAAAUUAUUCACCCGUUUUCGUGUUUUACUCCUGAGGUGGAAGGGCGAAGUUCCCCACUAGCUUGGAGACCACUUGUUGGUCGACAAGUCAGCUUUCUUUGGUGUGUGUGAGCGUGCCACUGCUAGCAAUGUAAAUUCUAGCAGACUUAUUUUUUAGAGUGGAUAACUUGCGCCUCAAGUUACUGACUUCUAAAACAAAUGAUUGUGAAUUUGGGUGAGGAAUAUCUCCCAAGUAAGUUCUUUUCUUGCCUCAGACUGGUGAGGACUUUCACAAUUUAUCUCAGUAUCAAAUGGUUGUUCUGGCCAGAAUAGAUAAUAAUAAAGUAGACUGUUUCAGGCAGAACUGCCUUUUACAAAAUUAAGAAGGGAGAAAUCAACUCUAGAAAGGCAAAAAGAUGGCUGGAAUCCCAUUUCUGCCUGGGUAGAAACUUCUGAUCCGGGCUGGACUGGGUAUGUCUAUGCUGGACGGUGCUGUCAACAACUUUAGCUUGCUCGGCUUUAGUUGUAAAUCGAUACCAAAGUUCAAUUUUGGCAGAGCUUCAAUCUACUUCAAGCCUUGGGAGACUUUUGAGUGGGCAGAACUGCAGCUUCUUCAGUUUGAAGGGACAGAAGUGGCUAUUCUCGAGGAUUUAGCAAGCUGGAACUAUGCUAUAAAAUUUGUUGAGGUUUUCAUAUUUGUGAAAACUCAAACUAUGUUUGUCUUGGCUUUUGCUGAACCAAAUUUGUAACGAGAGGGAUCUUGUUUUCAGAAGACUUAUUUUCUAAGUCUGAACUUUGGAAUUCUGAUCUAAAGCUGUUUUCUUGUUUGUUUUUUUUUUAUUGACUGAUGAAUUGAGUGUCCUUUGUUUCUUUGCCUUCUUUCGCUUUUAUAAGAGAUCCUCCUAAGGAGGUCAUUUUUAAUCCUAAACAAUGGGCGGCAAAAAGAUCUCUUAUAAUGUAAAGUAAGAAGGGUUUCUUAUCAAUCAAGGCAGAUAGGUUCUGAGCAGUCACCUCCUAAAAACAGUCCCUUCCCUGGUUUCCUGGGUGGCAGCUUUCUAAUUCAACCAACGCCACCGUCUGUGUGGGCUUUUUAUGGCGGUUUUGGCUCUUUUCUUUUGUAUUUUCUGAGUGGUUCCCUGUUUCCCGUUCUAAUUUAGAAAGCGUGAUCCGUGAAUUCCUUGGGAGAUGGUGUAUUGAUUUGGAGCAAAAUCUUGAACACAGAUGGGUUUUUGAUCUUCAAUUGGCAGUGUUUCAGAGACGUCCCUCUCACAUUUUUAAACUUUAGUUGGAAUUGCUGACUUUUCCAAAGUUGAGGCAAUCACGUGGGUGUGUCUUUGAUCCCUUGGUUUUGAAUCUUUCAAAAAUUACGGGCUGAUCUUUGAAGCCCAUUUCGAAAGUUUCCACAUCUGGGCUUUCUUUGGGCUGAGGCUUUAUUUCCAACAUUCUUGGUGUGAACUGGACUAAACAGUUAGUCGGACCAGACCGUCUACACAUAUGAACUGGACUCACAAGCCUAUGUUUUUUGAGCUCCCAUAUUGGUCGAAACUCAAAUUGAGGCACAAUCUAGAUGUGAUGCAUGUUGAGAAAAAUGUAUUUAACACAUUGGUGGGCACGAUUCUAGAUAUCGAGGGCAAGACAAAGGACACAAUCAAAGCCCGUCUUGAUUUGGAAAGAAUGGGCAUACAAAGGGGUUUAUGGAUGAACAGGGACAGUGAUAAAGCUAGAAGGGAUCUUGCAUUCUUUUCUAUGAAACCGAAUGAUAAAAAAGAGUUUCUAAAGUUUGUAUCGUCUGUAAAGUUUCCUGAUGGGUAUGCUUCUAAUAUCGCACAUUGCGUGAAUGUUGACGAGGGUAAAUUUACUGGACUGAAGAGCCAUGACUGCCAUGUGUUUAUGCAACGCCUACUUCCUGUGGGUAUUCGACAUCUAUUGCCGGAAGAUGUUGUGAAGCCAAUCAUGUUGUUGUCCAGAUUUUUUUCCCAACUGACGGCAAAAACAUUGCGAAAGACAGACAUAUUUCAGUUGCGCCAUGACAUUGUCCAAGUCCUAUGCAAGUUUGAGAUGAUAUUUCCUCCAGCUUUCUUCACAAGUAUGAUGCACGUGAUGGUUCACUUGCCAGAAGAGGCAUUGCUUGCUAGUCCUGUCAACUAUCGCUGGAUGUAUCCAAUAGAAAGGUAUAUAAUCUUUAUCGUUUGUGUAUGCAUCAUUAUCACAGACUUGCUAAUUUGUAUCAUAUCGUUUUAUUUUGACAGGCUUCUCGGAGAGCUGAAAAAAAGUGUACGCAACAGGGCGAAGCCCGAAGGAUCAAUUAUAGAGGCUUGGGUUCAAUAUGAGUCGCUUACUUUCUGUGGAAUGUAUUUAAAAGAUGUGGAGACGGCUUUCAAUCGUCCUCAACGCAAUAACGACGAAGGUAUGAGAAAGGAAAAACUUUCUGUUUUUGCCCAAAGUGCACGACCCUUUGGAGAUCCUGGACGAGGAGAGUCGUUUUCUAGAAAUGACAUGGAGGUAGCGCAUUGGUUCGUACUGAACAAUUGUGAUGAGAUAAUGGCAUACUUAGAUAAGCAUGAAGAGAUGAUGAAGCGAGAACAUCCAUCACAUUUAGUUGCCCAGAAACACCGUGAAUUGUUUCCACAAUGGUUUUUGGAUUCUGUAAGUUAUAAGUGUUUUGUAUUUGACAAAUAUAAAUUGUAGUAUUUAAUUUUGUCAGACUAACAUGUGAAUGGUUUUGUAUUAUAUUAGGUGAAUAAGUUGAAAUCAUCGAAUUCCCCCACUUACAGUGAUGAGUUAUAUAACUUGGCGUUCGGCCCAAUUCGCGCUGAAUUGUUUCGGGUUGUUAUAUUAAUGGCGUCAAAUUUUUGGGAGCCGCACGAGAUGACAAGUUGUGUAUGCAAAACAGCGGUGUCCAUGUCCCAGGUGGAGGCGAAAGUACGAACAUUGAUUUCUAUGGCAAACUCACAACUGUCAUUCAAUUGCUUUACAAAGAUCGAUACUAAGUGAUCAUGUUUAAGUGUCGAUGGUUUGAUAGCAACCCAAAUAGGCCGGGAAGUGUUAAAAUCAACCAUGGCUUACUAUCUGUGAACAUUAACAGAACUUGGUAUGAUGACGACCCUUACAUUUUGGCAAACAUGGCAACACAAAUUGUGUAUCUAGAUGACCCUAAAGCCGGGAGCAGUUGGAAAGUUGUUCAGAAGAUGGAUCAUAGGAACUUGUAUGCUAUACCAGAACUAGACCCAACUGACAAUGACGUCAACAAUGUGGCUGACCAACGUUUAGAAUCUUCAAUGGAAAAUGAUGCGGAAACACUUCGAGAUACACAUGUUAUACAAGAACCGUUUCAAAUACAAGGAGUGUCUUCAAUCGAAAUACCGAUUCAGUCAAUUACAAUUGACCUCGGGGAUCUUCCAAGAUUCGAUGUUGCAGUGAGCCCGAGCAACGAAGAUGAUGUAGUUAUAGAGGAGGAGGAGGAGGAUUGGGAGACUGAAAGUGAUGAUAGCGAAGAUAACGAAAGUUAUUAUAGUUCAGAUGAUGAAUAAUUAAAUUUUUUAUAUUUUUAUUAUGCUAGUGUACAGACUUUGUGUAAAACAAAAGUUUGAAUAUAUGUAGUUGUGAUAUCCAAACCUUAUAUAUGUGGACAACUGAAACAUUAUUAAAAUAAAUUUAGUUAUAAAACAUCGGUAAAUCAAUAUAUCCAAACCCUUUUAAUAUUCAUUUAAAAUUUUUUUUUUUGACAAAAACGUUUACAAAAUGAAAAUGAUAAAAUAUUUGUUAUAAAACAUUGAUAAAUAAAUAUAUCCAAACCAUUUUCAUACAAAGUUUGAAAAUUAUUGACAACAAACAUUUUUCAAAAAUGAAAAUCCUUGCGCGACGAAGUACACCUCGUCACGCAAAGUUUGCGCGACCCAGUAAACAGUCGUUGUGUAAAGUUAAAACAUUGCGAGACAAAUUAUCAUCCGUCACGCGAUAGAAUUUUGCGCGACGAAUAUUUACUCUCGUCGCGCAAAUGUAUAUUCUUUUAUAAUAUAUUUUAUAUACACAUAUAUAUUCGAAAUUGACGAUCGAGUUAGUUCAUUGUAUUCAUAUAGGGUCAUGGAGUGUAGCUGUAAAAAAUCAUCAAAAUCGGAGUUAAAAUAACUGUUAAAUCAUGACUUUUCAUUUAUAACCGUUCAAAAAUUUUGUCCCGAUACUUGAUCUCUGAAUGUUUUUUUUUUCCGAUUUUUGGGGCCUAAGAUCUCGAAGUAUAAACAAACACGUUUGACGGCUGGAUUAUUGAAACUACUUUCGUAGAAUGCGUAUGCCAUCAAAACUAUAUAUUCACCAACAAUGAAUAGUUUACUUAUACUUUCAUUAAAUAUAACAUAAGAUUAUGUGGUAUCACCCUAGUGUAAACAUCUUAAAUUGAAGAUCAAAUUCAGUAAUUGUAUUCAUAUAGGGUCAAGAAAAGUAGCUAUAAAAAAUCAUCAAAAUCGGAGUUAAAAUAACCGUUAAAUCAUGACUUUUCAUUUAGAUUCGUCGAAAAGUUUUGUACUGUUACUUGAUCUCUUAACGUUUUUUUUGUCAGAUUUUCGGCGUAUACGAUCUCGAAAUAUAAAAAAACAAGUUUGCCGGUUAGAUCAUUAAAACUAGUUUCGGGUUUAGGAUUUCUGCAGUUUAGGGUUUAGGGUUUGCGCGACGAAGCCAUUUCGUUGGUCGCACAAAGCCUGCAAAGAACAGUCUUGCGCUACGAAACUAGGAUUCUUUGUCACGCAAUCUCAACCAGCCCUUUCACCCUCUUCCUCCUUGGACACUUAGCCAAAAAAAGUUGCGAGUUUACAGAAAGCGGCUUUGCGCGACGCUGCCGGUAUUCGUCGCGCAAUAUGUAUGCCAAUAAAACCUAAAUCCCAAAUUUUGGCGAAUUACAACUUUGCGCGACGAAUAUGGGAAGCUUCGCGCAAAGUUUUCAAUCUUUCCCGCUAAACCCUAAGUCCCAAAAUUUUGGCGGAUUGACAACAUUGCGCCACGAAAGAAGGUACUGUGCGUCGCACAAAGUUUUCAAUCUCUCCCGCUAAACCCUAAGUCCCAAAAUUUUGGCGGAUUGACAAUAUUGCGCGACGAAAGAAGGUACUGUGCAUCGCGCAAAGUUUUCAAUCUCUCCCACUAAACCCUAAGUCCCAAAAUUUUGGCGGAUUGACAACAUUGCUCGACGAAAUAUGGUACUGUGCGUCGCGCAAAGUUUUCAAUCUCUACCCAAUAUUUUGCCGGAUUGACAACAUUGUGCGACGAAAGACGAUACUGUGUGUCGCGCAAAAACUACCCUGAUACCAAAUUUUGGGAUUAACAAUAUUGCACGACAGAAGUUAUACUUAUGUCGUCGCGCAAGUGUCAAUUAAAAUAUUUUGCGUGACGCUUUUGUUUGUUCGUUGCGCAAAAUCGAAUAAAAUUGCAGAAACGACGCGAUAGCCUCCUUCUUCCCCAGAUUUGUUUUUCUACCCUAACUCUCUCUCUCUCUCUCCGCCUUCAGCUCAGCCCCCUACCCCAGUGGAUUUUGGACGACGGCGCCACAACAGUGGUACCCCGGAGGUUUCCCGCCGUCACCGUCGAGCCAGCCGCCCUAAUUCCUCGAUUUUCACCGAAUCUGCGCCGCCGUCGUUCUCUCUCCUUCGGCGACCAAAUCCGACACCUGAGGUAUGGUUUCUGUCCUAUUUUUGAUGCUUUAACUGAUGGUUGGGUAGGAUUUGUGUAAUUGUUGCAAUAGGGCAGUGGAUUUGAAACCCUAAAUUUCGACCGAUUUUUGAAUUCCAAUUCCGGCCACUUCUGGCCAUUUUUCAGGGUAGGUCCGAGAACAAAAGUGGCUCCAAUUGAUGUUUUGAACCUAGGGUAGGAACCUUGGCCCUUAGUUUUAAGAAAUUUUCGACGAUUGGUAUCGCUUUGGACACCCACGCUCUGCCAGCGCUUGUGGUGGCGCGUGGGGUACUGUAGCAGUCUUGCAUUGGGUCCCAGUGCAAUCCCAUAUUUGUCACGAGCGCGUAGGUGUUUUCGGAUUGGAAUUUGGUUACCGUUUGAGUCUCGAACGGAUUUUGCCUAUUGUGCGAUUUCCGGGUUUGUUAUGUUCGGACCGUUGGAUCGAACUCAAACUCACGUAUGGUGUACCUUGUAUUUCUUGGAUCGUCUAGGAUUCGACGGAUCGUGGAUCGGAGUCCCGAAUACUCCGAACUCGCAAACCCUAGGUCAAGAAUCUUAAUAAAAUUGUAUGUGCUUUCAAAUAUUCGUAUGUUUUAUUAAUUUGUAUGUGUAUUAAUGAAAUUGUGUAGAUGUCAGACCUGAUUAGACGUCGUAGGGCGGUGACGACUACGCAGAGUUCUGAGCCCCCGGCUCAACUGACAUCUGCUGCCACUGCGCCAGCACUGAUGGACCACUUGGCAGUUGGUCCCGCGGGGUCCCAGGCUCCUGCUUCAUCAGCUUCAUUAGUGGCACAACCUGUUAGCGCCAGGAAGCGUCAUCGGCCUGCCAGCACCACCGACACCACAUCCACUGAUGCGUCGGGGUCACAGCCAGGUAUAGAUUUCCUUAAACUCCAGUUAUUUAUAUUUUUGUUUUUGUUUUUAUUUUUGUUUUUGUUUUUGUUUUUGUUUUUAUUUGUGUGUGUAUUUUAUAGUUAAAUUUGUUAUUUAUUUAACAUUAAUGUCAUCUUUCUUUGCAGCCAAGAAGAACACCCGAGGGCCGUGUCGGUAGUUGAAGACGGCGAAGGUCACUCGGGUGACCAACAGUCGUAUCAACAUCGGAUACGACAAGCGACAUCGGGCUGCACCGACGGCGGAGUUGCAUAGCUCCUUGGCCCACGACAUUGGUGAUGUCAUUCCGAGCCAUUGCCCGAUGAAAUGGAAGUCUUGGAAGGUGAUGCCUGACGAGACCAAGAUGGAGGUUCGCGGCCAGUUGUCAGUAUGUAGGCCUUUUAAUUCUUUUUCUUUCAAAUUUUAUAUUUCUAUUAUUUAAAUGUAUUUAAUUAAUUUAUUGCAGACGAACUACAACUUGGAGGACCUGGACGACGAGUCGUUGGCGUACAUCAACAGACUCUUCUCUGAGAGGUACAAAUAGUGGAAGAGCGACUUGCACCACUAUUUUGAGGCGUUUGAUGAUCCAGAAGUCUCUCUUCAGGAGGGUUGCCCGAAGGAGCUUGAGGGGCGGGAGGAUAGUUGGGCGUGGCUCUGCUCUCAUUUUCAGGCGCCCGCUUUUGUGGUAAUUUGUAAUAUGAAUUUCAAAUUUAUUAUAUUUUUCUUACUAAUGUUUUUUUAAUGUUUUAUAUUUAAUUUCAAUUUCAACUAAUACGUUUUAUUUUUUGUAUAACAGAAUAAAGCCAAAGUCAAUAAGGGCAAUAGGAAGAAGAAGACUCUUCUCCAUCAUUCGGGUUCCAGGCCCUUCUCCUAUAGGAUGGAUGCAUGGCGGCAGGUAAUCAUAAAAAAAAUUUUAUUUAAUUUUUAAUAUUUAAUUAUUCUUAAUUUAUUUUUUUGUACUAAUAUUUUUCUUCUCUUGUUCAAUUUAGGGGGGUCCAAAUUCCCAGAGAUCGACGUCUUUGGCGACGUUUAUGUUCGACCUGGGAAUGAGUUGGGCGAGUCCCUUCAUGUAAGUAUUAUUUAAUUUUAAUUAUUAUGUUACGCAUUCAAGUUUAAAGGUUAUUAUAUGAAUGUUUUAAUUUAUAUUUUAUGUUAUGCUAAACAGAUGACGAUGGUGGAGAGGAGCCAGUUGGUUCUUCAAGAGUCCGCCUCCCAACUUCCUUCCGAUACUCCGAUCGAGUCUGUGGAUCCUCCACAGGAUGCUGGGUUUCAGAUCUUGACGGAGACAUUGGAUCAGACUCUAGGGAGGAGACCGGGGAUAUAUUGUCGAGGGAUGGAGAAUGCCAGGCGGAGGGAAGCCAGACCCCGUUCAUUAGCGCAGUCAAGCAGUCAGGUCACUGCUUUGACAGCACAGGUGGCCACUCUUCAGAGUCAGAUGUCGGACAUUCUGCAGUCCCUCGCACAGUUCGGCAUUCCAGUCCCGCAUUUUGAUGCGCCGACCUCUGAGCCCGUCCAUCCUGAGCAUCCCCACCAGACGACGGCCCUUGUAGACCCCCAGACCUCUGAACCGCAUGUGCCAGACGACAAUGUAGAUUUUGGAACAUUAUGAUUAGUUUUUUUAUUUUCAUAAUUAUUUUUUAAAUAUUUCUCUUGCAGCAUACAUUUAUUUUAUAUAAUAAAUAUGUUCUUUACAAUUCUUUUUUUUAUUGGAAUUUCAUUUUAUUACCCAAAAAAAAAAAACCAAAUUUAUUUUUUUAUAAAAUAAAAUAAAAAGUAAUAUUAAAAUUAAAUAAUAAUUAUAUAUAUUAAUUUUGCGCGACGAAAUCUUUCUCGUCGCGCAAAUUUAUAUAUUACGAAAUAAAAAUGUUUCAUUUUUUUAAAUACAUAUAAUUUAUUCUUGCGCGACGAAUAUUUUCGUCUCUCAAAAAGGAUUUGCGCGACAACAGUUUUUCGUCGCGCAAAAUGUGUUGACACGAAUUGCACGACGAAGAUAUCUUUGUGCCGCAAAUAUCUACGACACGUAUUGCGCGAUGAAAAUGUUCGUCGCGCAAAAAACGUAUGCGCGACAACAAUGUUUCGUCGCGCAAUACGUGUAGACAUGAAUUGCGCGACGAAGAACUCUUGGUGCCGCAAAUGUGUACGAGACGUAUUGUGCGACGAAUAUUAUUCGCCGCGCAUCGUUGUGGCGACGAACCCGCUUUCGUCGCGCAUAAGUUUGUGCGACGAACUAUUGCAUCGUCUCUGAACCUUUUGUGCAACGAAGGGUAACCGUCGCACAAAUUUGCGCGACGAGUGAUACAAUCAGUCGCGCAAAGUCUUUCUUCACCAUCUUUGCACCACAGAUUACGCGCGACGAAUUUUCUGUCGUGCUUGAGUUUGUGCGACCAAAUUUAACUCUGCGCGACGAAAUUGGCUUCGUCGCGCAAAUCGUAAAAUGUAGUAGUGGAAGUUAUCAACAUCUAUAGGAACCCCAAUGAAAAGGCUGUUAACUAAUAAUGAAGUAAACCCCUCAAUGUUUCCGCGUAUCAGAUAUCUCUCAGAAUAUGCGAUUCCAUACUCAAUAAGCAACUCCACAUCCCCUGAGGUUUUCACCAAACCACCCAUUAAGGAAACAUACUGACUCAUGUGUAAUUAUCAUUACUCAUCGGGUAAUGCAAUUGUUCAAAGGCAAGGACAUUUCUCAUUAUUUCUGUAGUGAACCCCAAUGGAAAUGGUGGGAUCUUCAGAACCCCAUUGGUGCUACUGAAUUGUAUGUCAAAUAUGUUUUCACCUUGUCGCGCCUCAAACUUGACUCCAGCGUGCUGUAAUUCUGUCAAGCUGGGUAUGGAUGAUGGGAGUUCCCCUCCAGCUUUUGAUUCCAACGGUUGAUAGAGUUUAAAUAUUUUCCUGUAAAGAUCAACAAUAUGUGCCACUGAUCUAAAAGUCUCCAAAUUGUCUUCCAUUUUGUCAACAGGCAAUAGAUGUUCGAAGAAACUGAAAGAAAGACUAAUUAUUGAAAGCCCCUCAGUAAUGCAGUUAUUGUCAGCAUCAGCAGGGAGUGUAAUUUUCUGUGGGUCGAAAAGAUCCUCGAGAAUGAAGAAUGGCAACUGAUUUUCAAGCAACCACAUAUCUGUCCAUACAUCUUGCAACAUACCUGGUUUGUCAAAUAUGCGGUCAUUUUCAUCCCAAAAUUUGAAGUAGUCCUUCAAUAAGAGCUCAAUAACGAAGGCGGCAUCCACUAGAAUGAUUGUUACAAAUUCAUCACUGCUAAACUUGAUGGGUUCUCCAUAACAACGUCUCAAUCUUGCUUCGUGGUCCUUUAUUUUCUUAAUAUAAUCCUCCAAACUCACAUUGGUCCGACCUAUAAAAUCUUGCAGGUAUCUCUGUUUGUGCUCUUCCUAUACGACAUUCAAGCCUUCCUUUCCAUGGUGAAGUGGGCCUAUAGAGACCACCUGAGGUGUGCAGAGCUUUUCAUUCACACUUCGUAGUCGUUGAGGAACUCUGUAGAUACAGCACUUGGAGGAUGGGGGAGACAAGCUAUUGAACCCUUUUCUCAUCGAAUUUGCUAAUGAAAUGUAUGGGUUUUCUAUGUCAUUUUGAGCAGAUUGAUGGCUUCCUGCCAUUUUCCAGCUCCUGACUAUAUGUGGUGUUCCGAUUGUAACAGAUUACAAUAAUGAUGAGUAUGGAUAACUGAAUUACUGAUAAAACAAUCAAGAAACAUUUCGUUAUUUUCCAUUCCCAAUAACGAAAUCAAAAUGUUCAAGGAAAUAUAAUCAGGAUAUUGCAAUUAUAUAGCCAUUCAUAAGCUGCCUGGCAUGGAAUAAGAGGUGGAAACCAAAUCUACUUAUUGGCCAAAGUUCGAAUUCACUAUAUAUAGAUAUAUAUUUUGCCAAAAUCUAAAACUGACCAACCUUAGAUACAAAAACACGGUACAGCCCGGUUAAAGUAAUUCCAAGUGCGAAGAAAGAAAGGAAUUGAGCGUUUGUACCUCUACAGCUAGCCAAAUUUUCUAUUGAUUCUUUAAAUUUUAGAGAGCAAUUACUCUUAAUUUGGUAGGUGUAGGACUGUGCAACUUCAAGCUUUAAUGAAAGAAGCCAAGUUUAUUCUAAGGGGACAAGUCAGAGACAACGAAAUUUUGCUCAGCUUCAUUUUCAAAUUUGCUGCUUAAGAAGGAAAUUUAAUAUGUUUGUUUCACAAAUUGUAUUGUCAUCAAUGAAACUCGUGCACACCCAACGAAAUUUGCAUGGCUUAUUUUCAAAGGAGUACUGCUAUUUCCAUCCUCUGUCCUAUUUUUCCACUCACCUUAUCUUCAAAAUUUUAAAGACAAAAAUAAACCCCUUUGUAAAAUGCUUAAAAAGAAAUUUAAUAUGUUUGUUUCAAAAAUUGAUAUUGUCAUCAAUGGUUAAAGAAUUGCUGGUGACAACAUAUACUUCUUUUCUACUGUAUUAAUUUCUUUCUUUAUUUUUUCUUCAGUAUAGUUCUGCCUUUCUUUUACAUGUUUAUGCGCAUAUUUGACACGUUCAAGUAUACUUAUAUAACAAAUGCAAUGAGUUUGUAGUCACAAAAAUCAAGGAUUGAAAACAAAAAGUAAUAUUAUGUGCAAGAGAAACUUACCUGCAGAAACUGAAGAACUCCUCUAGUUUCUUCUCUGUCGCUAUGUACUCCCGCGUUCAAGUUAUUAUUCUUACAAUGUACAUACACUAUUAUAUAAUGGCGAGAAGGCUCUGAUUAACCUCCUUUUUGCUUCAUUGGAUGGGGCAAGAAUGGAAUUGUCACCGUGGGUGUGGAGGUGAUCUACCAUUUGAGCAAGAAAUUCCCACAUAUUCUUUAACUAUUUUUCAAGCAUGCAUAUUCCUCCCUAUCAAUCUUUGGUCUCUUCUUUUACUAUUUUUCAAGCAUGCAUACUUUGAUUUUAAAUCAUCUUUUCCGCACUAAUUUGCUUCAAUCAAGAAACAGUUAAUAUAUUUUGUAUCAUCAUUAGAGAACACUUGAAACUGCAUAAGUUAAUUUUGAAGAUGAUGGCAGAACCAAAAUGUGUAUAGCUUAUAACUAUAAUUUCUUGAUUACAACAAGAGGUUUCAAGUUUUCAACAACACAAAUAUGAAUCUCCCAAGCAAAGAUAAACAAUAAAGCAAGCAUACGGAUUGUCAAAUUGCCUUCAAUCACUCUAAAAUACUUCAUACCGUCCGACACUGGCUUCAAUUACUCUACAAUACUUCAAUUCAUAUAUUGUCCUAUUUUCACAUGUACAUCCUGCUUUUACUUAAGGGUUAAUUGUUGAUUUACCCCUUGAACUUGUACUCUACUUUCAAUUUGCACCCUCAACUUUUUUUUUUGAAAAUUAGGUGCAUGAACUAAUUUUUAUUGCCAAUUCCCCCUACCAACAUGUCAUCUAAUAGUCUGUCAAAUCAUUAAAAAAUAUAAUAUUUUUGGAAAAAAUUAAAGAAAAAAAAAUUCCUAAGGACCCACAGACCCAGAACCCACCCUCCGUUGCCCCCGCUUGCUGUUUUCUUCUCCUCCCAGUCCCCCAUGACCACCACCCUCCACUGCCACACCAAUCCCCUACCCAACAGACCCCUCACCCCUUCUUUUUUUUCACCCCCGAACCCAGCAUGAGUUAUUGGUUAAUACCAUUUUCUUAAUUGCCAAAUAAAAAAAAAAAACAGAGUUAACCCUCUGUUAAGCUAGCUGACUAGUGGGGCGAAAUGGAGGAAAAUCAAUAUGGAGACAGCGGAUCCGGUCCCGUGUAAGUGUAUCUGAUGGAAUAAAAGAAUGAUAUUAUUGGUGGUGGGUACGGUUAUGUGGAAGUAAUAAUGGGUAAGAGAAGAAACUUGUUCUCUUGUGAUAAUCAAAAGACAGAAAGUAGUGGGAAAAGACAGAAAGUAGUGGGACACUAUUUUAGAUAUGAUAAUGUUCCUUCCUUGAUUGAUGCAAAUGAAGAGAAAAGGGUGGCUUUAUAUAAUAGCCACUACCGACCUAACACAUUAAAAACACAACUAACACCAAACAUAGUUAAUUCAACUAACUUCUACCACACCAUUAAUUUAACACACAACUACUAACAAACUGCCAACUAUUUCAAAGUUACCAGCCGACUAUUAAUGAAGUCUAGAUUACUUUAACAUCCUCCCUUAAGCUAGACUUCAUUUACGCCAAUUAAUUUUCUCAUCUUGAUGAGCGGCUCUUUCUUCAACGGUUUGGUGAACAAAUCUGCCAGCUGAUCUUGGGACUUGCAAUACAGAACCUCAACUUCUUUAUCUUUGAUUAGCUCUCUGAUGAAAUGGAACUUGAUCUUGAUGUAACACCCCGACCCCAAAUUUUCCCAAAUUUUACCCUUAUUUAAUUAUUUAAUUAUUUAAGGGUAUUUUAGUCAUAUUUUUAACCGGAGAGAGUUUGGGACCGUGACUAGUAUUUUUGGAUAGGUCGAGCUGAGACGAGUUCAUAGACACGUAGUGGGCUCGAAUCGGAGUUGUAACGAGAGAGAUAUGGUCAAAAGAAGCCCAGUGGCACAAUCGUAAAUAUUUCGAAAUGGGAUUUUUUAUAAAAACUCAAAUUUUUCUCUCUCUCUCUCUCUCUCUCUCUCUCUCUCUCUCUCUCUCUCGCGACUCCUCUCUCUCUCUCCCGUCGGCCUCUCCUCUCUCUCUCUUCGUAACUCCGGCCACCGGCCGCGGCUGCGGACGGGGCCGGUGUCAAAAGAACCGGCUCGACCUCGGCAUCACGACCCAGCCCAUCCCCGCCAUCGGCCGCCGCUCCAGCCGCCGGAAAAUGGCGAUUUUCGCCCAGAUGUCGCCGGAACUUCAACGCCGUCGAUCUCCCUCCUCCGGCCACCAAUUCCGUCGACCCAGGUAUGGAUUUUGAACCUCUCGAGCUGCUCUAGCUGAUGGUUGGGUAGGAUUAGAUCGAUUCUUAGCGUAGAUCACUCGAUUUUCGAAUUGAAAAUCGGCCGAAACUUCGGCCGCCGUGAUCGGCCAUUUCCGGCCACUUUUUGGGGUAGGUCCAAGAACAAAAGUGGCUCCAAAUAGGGUGUUAUACCUAGGGUAGGAGUUUGGAGCCGUGGUUUUGAGAUUUUCCGGCGGAGCGUUAUCGCUUUGGGCACCCACGCGCUGCUGGCGCGUGCGGCGGAGCGUGGGCACUGUAUAAAAAGUAGCGAUGUAUUCCGAUGAGAUCCUUAGGUUGUCACGAGUGCGUAGGAUUUUGCGGAUCUCAAUUCGGACGUCGUUUGACUAUCGAACGAAUAAUCGCAUAGUGUGCGUUAUCCGGGUUCGAUAGGUUGGGACCGUUGGAUGGUCCCAAAUUUAAUAUAUGUUAAUCUAGGUAUUUCUAGGAUCGUGUAGGAAUUCACGGAUCGUGAAUCGGAACUCCGGAUGUUCCGAAUAAUAAUUUUAAGUUUAUAUUUUAUAUUAACCAUCAGAUCGUGCGAUCGUGAGCAAUCCGACCGUCCGAUCUGAACCAAACUUGCAGGACAAGUGUCCUACACCUGGUAGAACCCAUAGGGACUUCCGGAUCGGAAAUUGGAGGUCGUGGGUUCUGCAGGUCCGUUUGACCAGGGUUAGAGUAGUUUGACUCUUGGUUGACCGUGAGUCUCCCGGAGUAAUCUCACCCUUCCAGGGGGAAUUAUCGGGAGCUAGACUAUUGUGGAGGGUUACACAAUAUUAGAAUUAUUUAUAUAAAUUAUGUGGUUGUACAAGGGUACAACAGAGUCUAGAAUGUCAGUUUGGAGUGCUAUACGCACUACUCUAGGUACCUCCUCGGACUUUGGAAUUUCUACAAGUACCACCAAGUGAAAGUUAGGUCCCACGUGGCGUAGGUUAUCCGGCGUGUCGACAGACCCCAUACGUGGCGUUGGUUGUACCGGCGUAUGGGGAGAUUUGUGAUAUGAUAUUGAGGUCCCGCGUGGCGUAGGUUAUCCGGCGUUGGGACAGGCCCCAUACGUGGCGUUGGUUGUACCGGCGUAUGGGGAGAUAUUAUGAUAGUAUGGCAUGGUCGCACGUGGCGUAGGUUAUCCGGCGUGUCGACAGACCCCAUACGUGGCGUUGGUUGUACCGGCGUAUGGGGAGAUUUGUGAUAUGAUAUUGAGGUCCUGCGUGGCGUAGGUUAUCCUGCGUUGGGAUAGGCCCCAUACGUGGCGUUAGUUGUACCGGCGUAUGGGGAGAUAUUAUGAUAGUAUGGCAUGGUCGCACGUGGCGUAGGUUAUCCGGCGUGUUGACAGGCCCCAUACGUGGCGUUGGUUGUACCAGCGUAUGGGGAGAAUAUGUGAAAUACAGAGAAAUGAAAUAAGGUAUUGCCCAAGUGUGGAAUUGGGUUUUAGGGAAGAACUACUUAUGGCUUGAUCCCUCAAGGAGGGUACGUAGGCAGCCUAAGGUUAUUAGGUGCAGCCGCAGACUAAAUAUUAGUCAUAAAUUGUAAUUGAACUGUUUGGUAGUCGUUUGAGGAAGUAUUGAAAGGCCGAAGGCCAUUUGUGUGAAUUGCAUGAAAUUAUAUUGUGCAUGCUGCCAGUUGGGAAUAUUAAAUGCGUUUUUAUGCAGGUAUAAAUUUUGGGAAUGUCCAAUUUACAGGGGAGACUCUGCCAAAAUUUCGGCAGGAAGUCUCGGUUUUUAGUAAGUGGGCCUGGCAUCGGGGUGAUGUCAGGAAUUCCAAAGGGUUCGUCUCGGGUUUUGAGAAAAUUCGGGGCGGGUCCUUUCACUUGAUAUGCUUACUCUUGCUGUGAAACAUUGGAUUUUUGGAAAGACAAAUAGCUGAUUUGUUGUUGCAGAACAGCUUUGUAGGUCCUUCUUGAACUUGACCCAUCUCUUCUAAAAUACUUUUCAGCCACCUAGCUUGACAACCUGCUGAUGCAAGAGCAACAUACUCAGAUUCUGUAGUUGAAAGUGCCACUAUAGAUUGCUUUUUGGAGGACCAUGAAAUCGCACUUGAGCCAAUGCUAAAGACAUAACCAGAUGUGCUUUUGCAAGUAUCAACAUCUCCACCCAAGUCACUGUCACUGUAGCCAGUCAAAUUUAGAUUCUGAAUAGGAUAAUAAUGCAAACCAUAAUUGAUAGUUCCAACCACAUAUCUUAGGAUUCUCUUUCCAAGCUCCCAAUGAACAUCUUUUGGUGACUCCACUAAACGGCUGAGGAAGCUUACUGCAUAUGUAAGAUCUGGCCUUGUUGUAGUUAAAUACAAGAGGCCACCCACUAGACUUCGAAACAAAGUUUGAUUUACCAUUGUGCUUCCAUCAUUCUUACCUAUCUUAACACCAACCUCCAUUGGAGUAGCAAUUGACUUUGCAUUUUCCAACCUGAACCUUUUCAACAAUUCCUUUGCGUAUUUCUUUUGAGAAAUAUAGAUACCAUUCUCAUUUUGUUUGACUUCAAUUCCAAGAAAGAAAUGAAGCAAACCAAGGUCUGUCAUUUCAAAUCUUUGUGACAUAAUCAUCUUGAAAUUAUCACACAUUUGAGCAUUACUUCCAGUAAAUAUUAAGUCAUCCACAUAUAAGCAGACAAUCAAAAUCUCACCUUGAGAGUUCUUCUUGGUGUAAAGAGUAUGCUCAUAUGGGCAUUUGUGAAACCCAUACUCUUGGAAGAAUGCAUCAAUCCGACUGUACCAAGCUCUUGGAGCUUGUUUCAAACCAUAUAAAGCCUUCUUCAAUCUACACACUUUUGUUUCUUCAUUUCCCUGCACAUAACCUGGAGGUUGAGCAACAUACACUUCUUCUUCCAAAAAACCUUGCAAGAAUGCUGGUUUAACUUCCAUUUGAAAGACUUUCCAACAAUUUUGGGCAGCAAGAGCUAACACCAUUCGGAUGGUGUCAAAGCGUGCAACUGGAGCAAAAACUUCAUUGUAAUCAAUUCCAUAAUUUUGCUUGUAGCCUUUAGCUACCAAGCGAGCUUUGUAUUUCUCAACUUCUCCUUGAGCAUUCAGCUUGGUCUUAUACACCCAUUUUACUCCUAUAGGCUUCUUUCCUUGAGGAAGAUCAACCAGCUCCCAUGUGUCAUUUUUCUUAAUGGAAUCAAUUUCUUGAUCCAUAGCCUUCACCCAAUUUUCAUCCUUUGAAGCCUCUUCAAACAUAAUUGGGUCUGCAUCUACAAAUAGAGCAAAAUUUGUGCCACCAUUAGUGAUCAAAACAUAAUCACUAGAUGGGUACCUUGUGGAUGGUUGAUGAGCUCUUGUUGAUCUCCUUUGUCCUCUGCAAAUUUCUUCUUCCUCACUGCUAUCACUAGAAGAAGUUGAUGAUGACCCUUGUGAUGAAGAUUCCUAUGAUGAUAGAGUUGUUGGUGGAGUUAAAUCUGGAUUUUCAAGGCCAAUGUCCAACAGUAUUGGACUUUGAUUUUCAGCUUCACUCCAAUUCCAUGCUUCUUCUUCAUUGAACUUGACAUCACGACUAACAAUAAUCUUGUUAGUCAAUGGAUUAAACAACUUAUAUGCCUUGGCCUUUUCACUAUACCCAACAAGAAUGCACUUUUCUGAUUUGUCAUCCAAUUUUCUCCUUGUUUUAUCAGGAAUAUGAGAAUAAGCAAUGCUGCCAAAUAUCCUUAAGUGACUAAUACAUGGCUUGAGGCCACUCUAAGCUUCUUGAGGAGUCUUGCCUUCCACACUAUUGGACGAUGCACGGUUCAAGAGAUAUACAGCACAUGCCACUGCUUCUGCCCAAAAACGAUUAGGCAUUGCUUUUGCCUUCAACAUGCUUCUUGCCAAUUCCAUAACGGUCCUAUUUUUUCUCUCGGCCACACCAUUUUGCUGUGGGGUGUACCGAGCUGUGAACUGAUGCUUAAUCCCAUUUUCUUUUAGAAAAUUUUCGAACACAUUGGAUGAGAAUUCUCCACCUUGAUCAGACCGCAAGGUUUUCAAUGCAAAUCCACUUUGCUUCUCAGCCAAAGCUUUGAAAACUUUAAAGUAAUCAAACACCUCUGAUUUAUAUUUGAGAAAAUAGACCCAUGUCUUUCUGCUAUAAUCAUCAAUGAAUGUAAGAAAGUAGCGGUUACCUCCUGUUGAUGUUGUGUUCAUGGGCCCGCAUACAUCUGAGUGCACCAGCUCAAGAGGAUGGGAUGCUCUCCAAGAAUUUCCUGUAAGAAACGAAUUUCUCUGAUGUUUUCCCAGCACACAUGCUUCACAAACUUGUGUUUGAUGCUGUAUCGUUGGUAGGCCUCGUACCAUAUGUUGUUUCCCCAUCAAUGAUAGUGUAUUGAAACUCAAAUGCCCAUAGCGUAGAAGCCACAACCAUGAGGAAUCCUUGAUAAGUGCACUUAAGCAAGCAAAAGAUUCAUACUUUAUGUUCAGAGAAAACAUAUUGUCUCCUGACAUCUGCACCUUUGUAAUUAGAGAGUUGUACUUGUCUCUAAUUACACACUGGUCUUCCCUGAACUGAAUAUUAUGGCCUUUAUGAAGAAGUUGCCCCACACUAAGGAGAUUGUAAUUUAAAUCUGGAACAUAUAACACAUCAGAGAUUCUUUUUUGUUCUCCAGACUUGGAUAGAAAAAGAAUAUCUCCACAUCCUUUGGCCACUAGCUUUCCACCAUCACCAAUCCUUACUUCUGAGUUGUUGGUAUGCUUGAAAUUGACAAAGGCACUUUUGUUGCCUGUCAUGUGAUUACUACAUCCGCUAUCAAGAUACCAUUUUUCUGCACACACGUUUCCUUCCCUGGCAGCUGCAUAUGCAAGUAGAACCACAUUAUCAUUUUCCCUUUCAGAAGCUUUUUCAUGCACAAAGCUUGAUUCGGCUCCUCCAUUUGUUUUGUUUUUGCAUGUUGACUUGAUGUGCCCAUAUUGCUUGCAAUUGUAGCACUGAAUAUUAGAAAGAGAGGAACCUUGUUCUCUUCCUCUUCCUCUUGAAUAACCACCAUAAUCUCCUCUUCCUCUUGGAUAACCAUAAUCUCCUCUUCUUCUUGAAUAACCAUAAUCUCGUGCAGAGCCUUCAUCAUUAGUUUUUUUUAGGUCAUUUGCAUAGCCACGUCCUUGAUUAUUUCUUCCUCGUCCACGAGUAAAGCCGCCUCUUCCUCUUCUAGAACUUCCUCUGAAUGAGACUUGAGAUUGAAAAGCUUGCUCAACAGGGCCAGAGUCAAACUGCUUCAGUCGUAACUCAUGGGAUUGAAGAGAACCCAUUAAACUGUCAAGAGACAAAGUAGACAGAUCUUUGGAUUCUUCAAUUGCCACCACAAUAUAUUCAAACUUUCGGGGACAUACUUCGAAGAAUUUUUUCAGCAACUCUCUGAUCUUCAAUUUUUUCUCCAUUAAUUCUCAGUUGGUUGACUAGAGAAAUGACACGAUUGAAAUAGUCUUCAACAGAUUCUGACUCCUUCAUACGUAACAUAUCAAACUCACCUCUUAGAGUUUGCAGUCUUGCCAUCUUCACUUUAUCUUCUCCUUUAUAUGAUGCAAAGAGAGUGUCCCACGCCUGUUUUGAUGUAAUGCAUGAUGAGAUUCUUUCAAAGAUAGCUUCAUCCACUGCUUGAAAGAUAAAGAAUAAAGCUUUUUUGUCCUUCUUACGUGUCUCCUUCAGCUCUGUGAGUUGUUGUUGAGUGAGGACUGCUUGAUCAUUUGGCUCCACAAAGCCAUUUUCAACCACCUCCCACAAAUCUUGAGCAGCAUACAACACCUUCAUUUGGAUGCUCCAUUGACUAUAAUUCUUCCCUGUAAACUUUGGAAGCUGGGGCUGUAACAAGUUGUUGUUUGAAGCCAUAUGAUUCUGAGUUUCCAGCUCUGAUACCACUUUGAUGGAAUAAAAGAAUGAUAUUAUUGGUGGUGGGUACGGUUAUGUGGAAGUAAUAAUGGGUAAGAGAAGAAACUUGUUCUCUUGUGAUAAUCAAAAGACAGAAAGUAGUGGGACACUAUUUUAGAUAUGAUAAUGUUCCUUCCUUGAUUGAUGCAAAUGAAGAGAAAAGGGUGGCUUUAUAUAAUAGCCACUACCGACCUAACACAUUAAAAACACAACUAACACCAAACAUAGUUAAUUCAACUAACUUCUACCACACCAUUAAUUUAACACACAACUACUAACAAACUGCCAACUAUUUCAAAGUUACCAGCUGACUAUUAAUGAAGUCUAGAUUACUUUAACAGUAUCGAAUCUAGCUUUAAUAUGUAUUGGGUCCUCUGGACAAGAAUUCUAUCCUUUUCGUCCUAACUAAUAUGUAGGGGAAAAACAAUACAUCAAUUAUCCUUUUCGUCCUAACUAAUAUGUAGGGGAAAAACAAUACAUCAAUUAUGAAUUUUUUUUAUCUGGGUUCGAAAUUAAAUAUGAAUGGAGUUUUGGAGGCUUAAAAGUUAUAAGCUCAAGAAAGGAAGGAAACUAUAUGUACAUUUGGGUCGGAGGCAAAGGUCCAGUCAUCUACCGUCCAGGAUAUACAGUAUCAAAAAAGGCUUAAGAAUUGUAAUAAGGUGACAUACGCCCACAUACGGCCAACGCUAGCAUAUUUCGUAAGUGUAUUAUAUGUCUUCUAAGUAUAUCAUAGUUAUGUGUCAAUUUUAGAUCCAAUUGCACACCCAAAAUACAGAAACAAAAUCAUUGAGAAUACACUUUUUUUCACUUAUAUUUUGAAUAUGCAUUGCCUGUAUUUCAUGUGUAUGAUAUAGGGGCUUCACUUAUAGUUUUUGCACAAAACCUCCCUUGAUGAAGGAUGUCUUAGAUUAAUGACAUCAAUGAUUUGUUACAUUUGGAGUACCCAACAUAACAGCUCUCUGAUUAACAAUAAAGUUAUAAAAUUUCAACAGUUUCAUACCUAACAAGCAUAGAGAAACAAAUAAAACAACCACAUUGCUUCGAUCACUGUACAUGCACACAGCUCACUUUCACUAACUACAGAGGCUAUAUUUUCUACAUAUACACUAACUUUUUCUUUCUCCAGCUCUCUUACACCACCAGGCUGGUGACAAACCCAGCUCGCGUCAUGUGGAGGACCAAAAGGAAAUGACAAGGAGAAAACGGCUAAGGAGAGACUUACUCUCAACACUUAGAAGGCAGAGCAGAGAUAACAGAGCACACUGCUUGUAUAAAAGUGAGUAUGAGGAGAAAAAUAGCGGUAGCAAUUGAAAUAGUUGCCCAAGGUGUGUUGCAAUAGUUUUGUCUCAAGUUUGCCUGCCAUUUGUGCCAAGACGUUCUGCAGUACUUGUUGAGGUCUGCACAAAGAAUAGCAAAAUAGAAGUCAUUAGAGUCCACAAUGACCCCAUCUGCAAGGUUGUUGAUCAGAGUAGACCCUCCACUACUGUCACCGAGCAUAUUUUCGACGAUUCCUUGCUUAACAACCAACUCCACAUCCGUUGCGGUGUUCACAAAGCGAUCCACGAUGACAACAUAAUUGUUUAUGUAAUUCUCCAUGCAAUGGCAUUGUUCAAAGGCAAGGAGGUUUCUGAUUGUAAGCUCUGUCUCAUCACUUAUUGCUAAUUUUGGAAUUUCUAGAAUCCCAUUAGCGAAUUGUAUGUCGAAUAAGUUUUUGGGUGAUCCCACCUUAAACUUGACUCCUGCUCUGUGUAACUCUGUGAUGCUGGAUGUGUUUAAGAGUUUCAAGUCGCCCCUUAGCAGGUGGUUUCAAUGGUAGAGGUAGAUACAAAUUUCUACAAAAAUCUACAAAGUGUUCUACUUUAGAAGUACAUAAUUUCUCCAUAUUGCCAUCCGUUCCCUCUAUGUGCAUUAGAGUUUUGAAGAAAUUGUGGCAAAGGUUAAGCAUCGAAAGCCUCUCAAUAUUGUUAUUGUUAGAAGAGACUUUGAUUUUUUCGGGGUCAAAAAGUUCCUCAAGAAUGAAGAAUGGCAGCUGAUUUUCAAACAACCGCAUGUCAGGCCAUACGUCUGGCAACAGCCAUGGUUUGUUAAAUAUGCGGUCAAUUUCAUCCUGCAAUUCAUCGAAACGAUACCUCAACAAGACCUCAAUGAUGAAGGCGGCAUCCACUAGAAUGAUUCUCACAAAUUCAUCACUGCUAACCUGAAUGGUUUCUGCAUAACAACUGCGCAGUUUUGCUUCUUGGUCUUUUACUUUCUGUACAUAAUCGGCUAGGCUUACCCUGGUCCGACGUAUAUAAUCUUGUAAGUACCUCUUUUUGUGAUCUUCCAUGGCUUUUAGGCCUUCCUCGCCAUGAUGAAGUGGGCCUAUAGAGACUACCUGAGGUGUGUAGGCCUUUUCACUCACACGCCGUAGUCGUUCAGGAACUCUAUAAAUGCAACACAAGGAGGAGAGGGAAGACAAGCCAUCCAACUCCUCACUCAUUGAAGUUACUAAUGGAAUGCAAGGGUUUUCAAUAUCAUGUGGAGCUUGAUCGCUUCCUUCCAUUUUCCGCUGAUGUGUUUGUUGUUGUCAAUCAUAAUGGAUGAUAAUGAAAUGAUAGUCACUGACACAACAAUAAACAAAUUUUUCAAGAUGGCUGAGAAAAUUAAUACAAACAUUGCAAUUAUAAGACCAAACACACAAAGACUUUUGAUCCUUGUAACUCUUACAUACCACACUAGUGCCUUAAGAAUUCGAUUUGAAUGCACCAAAUUCAUUCAAAACUCUUCUGGUCAACUCUGUUUCUUGUAAUUAUUCUUGGAAGAUUCUAAUACAUUUUUGAUUGAAAAAUUCCUACUAAUCAUGUGAAUCAGUACCAAAGUUUAUUUCAAAUUAACAUACAAACCCCACUUUUUUUUUCCUACAUAUAUACUUCUUUAUUUCCCCUCAACUUAUUGGAGCUUCUAAUAAAGCAAAUUCUUUCUGUGAUGAUAUCAGAUAGUAGAUUAUGCUUCCAGUCAAAACAUAGACAAACCAAAAUCCCAUUAGAAGAGAAGAAAAUAAUAUACGACAUUCACAUAACCUUCUGCUCAAUUCCAAUUUCCAACUACAAUGAAACAUAAGACACUUAAAAGCUUCAAGAAAUUGGAUGUGCAAGCAAACAUAGCGAAAUUAUGAAAGACAGAGAAAGGUGUUGGGCAUUGAAAACAUACCUGAUACGUAUUGAAACACAAUUUUUUUUUGCCUUUGGUAGAUGGAGUAGCUAGAAAAGCUCAAUGCACUUGCUCUUCUGCUACAUUUCAAUAUAAGAACAUUGUUUGGAAGUCCGGUCAAUUCCUCAAAGCUUCCUUGCCUUUGUUUUGACAUGCCGAUGCCCGUCUUGGGGAAGUUUGAAUAAUCCAUUGCAGGCCCCAUGAUAGGAUUUUUAGUACUUGUGCAAACAGUGUUAAAAAUCACAUAAAAUACUUGCAAGAAUACAAGGCUAUUGUAGUAUAGAUGCUCAUGCAAGGUCGUUUUCCUCAAGGACUAAUUAGCAAUUUAUGUAAAAACAAAUUCCAAUUACUACUUAAAAUAAAAAGUCAAGAAAGAUGAUUAUAAAUUUGGUGGAUUCUAAAAAACAAAUAUUAAACAAAAACAAAUACGAUUGAAAGAAAGAGUUUUGAAUAUCAAUUUAUAAAAACACUAGGGUUUCACCAUCACCUAGCAAUCCUAUGAACUUUUACCAAUUACUUAUGAUUUGCACAUGCCACUUUGAAGGUUAGGUUUUCCUAAUGUAUAUUCUACUUGGAACCUCCAACACAGAACGUAUAUCCAACAUGCAACCCGUCCGGACGUUCGGAUCAAAUCUGAACAUGAAAGACUCAUUAAGUUUUGUGAAAACCCUUUGAAAAACCAUGCAACCCUUAAGACGUGGUGUUCAUCUUAAGUGAAAUUACAAUUAUUAAUCACAAGAAGCUAGCAUAAAUUUCAGGGAACCUUCCGACCAAAAUUGCAUCCAAUUACUUUUCUAAAGAUCCUAAUGGUGAUCAGGCAUUAAGACAAUUAGAUAGUUUAAAAUAGUGAUUAACAAUUCAAAAUACGCAUGCACUCAUCAUAAGCAAUUAAAUAAAAAUCACAUAUUCAUGCUAAGGUUCAAGGCUUCACCCUAGCAAAAGAAAUUUAGUUACGCAUACUCAUAAUUGAAAUCCAAGAAAAUAUCAUUAAGAAGAAAAGAACGAAAACACCUGAAAGUUGUGAAAACCCAAAACCCUAGCAAUUGCUCUCUACAAUGCAAAGUUCAAAAAUAAUUAAGAAGUCCUAAAUUCCUUGUGAGAAAGAGCUUAAAUAUCCCUUAAAACCUAGCUGCCAAUGUACAGCUUUUCUAUCCCUACAAGGAAACUAAUUAAAGUAAAAUAAUACUAGGAAAUAAAGUCCAAAUUGGAAUAGGAGAAUUUGCCCAAAAUCAGCCCAGCCACGUUUUGGCCCCAAAUCUCCUCCAAAUCUGGCCCAAGAUAGCUUUUUUUAAAGACACUACUACAAAAAGUGAAAAAGACGACCAGAAAACAACGACGGUCUAAGUGAAAACCGUCGUGGUUUUUAAAAAGACGACGGUUCUAAAAACACCGUCGUGUAAUACCACCUUAGACAACUAAAAAAUGGAGAUUCAAAUGGCUGUUCAAAAACAACGACGUACCUAAUUAAACAACCGACGUCUAUUUGAAACAGAUUUCCGCAGUGUAAAAUCAAAGCAAACAAAGAACGGCAGAAGUUAUGAAUAGACCGACGUAGAAAGUAAAGACGACGAUUUCAAUAAAAGCCGCCGUUUUUACUCAUAAAAUAACACGACGAGGUUUUCGUAUAAGACGCCGUAUAAUUACAAACAAAUCCACGGCUUUAAAAUACAAAAUAAUCUUAACAGAUGACACAGAUUUGCAAUCAGAGAGACAAUUUUUUGGAAGUUGAUCAACGUCGUUGAAAAUUUGCAAUCAGAGAGACAAUUUUCAACGACGGUUAUAUUAUACCUAACGACGUUUAAAAACAAAUCAACGUCGCUCAACAAAUAUAUUACGUCGUCUUAGUCUUACUUAAGACGACGAAAAACGACGACAGUAGUAAAAAAACAGUCGUUGUUUUUAUAUUCUUAUUUUAUUUAAAUCUGUCGUGUUAGUUAAAAACGACGGCAUAACAAAAAACCGUCGUUUUGUUUCAAACUGAAUUAAUUUAAAAUUUCUUCAGGAAAGCAAAAUCUAUUUAUAAUUUCCUCGGGUUAGUAAUAUUGUGUCGUGUUAGUUUACAAAUUCUAGAACAUUAAUUUCCCUCAUUUUAAAUUUUCUCGGGAAAGAAAAAUCUAUUUAUCACGCUUUGUAAUUGAAAACUAAAACUGAAAGAAUUCUGGAAAAAAAACUCUAUUUAUAAUUUAAAAAUAAAAUGCACGUCGGUUGUAGUACACUUAACGACGUUUAACAAAAUAAUCUACGUCGGUAAUUAUAAAUCUACCGCCAUCUUACCCUAAUAUAGACGACGAGAAAAGACGACGGUAGAACAGAAAACCGCCGUUGUUUCAGUUUCUUUAACAGUUUGGUCCUUUAUCUUUCUGCAGGACUUGUAUAGUUCAAAGCAUUGACAAUGUCUUCAUCAUAUCUCCCAGCAACUACUGAUUCGAUUGCUCAUGCUUUAGAGGCCAUCUGAAGCCAUUUCUAUUCUUUAUCGCAUUCUUGAAACCCAUCUUCUUCUUCUGAAGCUCUACGGAUAAAGGAANNNNNNNNNNNNNNNNNNNNNNNNNNNNNNNNNNNNNNNNNNNNNNNNNNNNNNNNNNNNNNNNNNNNNNNNNNNNNNNNNNNNNNNNNNNNNNNNNNNNNNNNNNNNNNNNNNNNNNNNNNNNNNNNNNNNNNNNNNNNNNNNNNNNNNNNNNNNNNNUUUUUUUUGGGGUUGGUUUUUUAUAGUAACCAGUUAUAACAGUAGUGGUUGUGCAAUGUUUGGUUCCCUUAAGCUUCGAUCCAACCGUGUAGCCAGCUUUAGGUCAAUGUCUCCCAAACCACUCGGGUUUUAGGGCACUAGGUGUAGAACACCCCUAAGGACUUAUUAACUCAAGCUGAAAAGGCUACGAAACCAACUAACCACCCUGCCUCAUGCCAAAACUCUACCUUUUGUCUCGAAAAUCACUGCUGAUUAGGCAGGACUGGCCCGGUUACUAGCAAAGCUUCGGGUGAGGCAAUUAUUACUUUAUAACACAUACUAACUUUAUUUAAAUUGAACAGAAAUUAAAACACACUUGGACAAAAAGUAAGUAUUCCAAUCUCACUCCCCAAAAACCAUAUUGGUGUGAUGUGCAAAUUUCAAAGUAUAAUUCAUGAAUUAGUGUCUAAGCAACAAUAAAUAGAAAAGACUCUACUGUGGGAUUGAUUUUCACUAUGUCCAUUUAUUCUAACGUUUAAAAUAAUCUAUGGAUAUUGACUGAAAAACGAAAAUUUUAAACAAGACUUAAAAAAAACUAAAAAUCUAAAAUUUACUUUCCCACCCCCUAACUUAAAUCACACAUUGUCCUCAAGGUGUGGUAAAUAAUCAAAAGAAACAAGAGCAGAAACAAAACGACUAAAUCCUAGAAAAUGAAAAUCAAAAAUAAAGAAAAUACUCUAAGAAAAGAAACUAGGAAGGAAAAAUAGAAGAAUAAUAAAAUAAAAUAAAAUAAGAAAGAAAAGGAGAAAAACAACAAUAGAAAAGAAAUAGGAAAGAAAAUACCCAAAAAUGAGACACCUUGGGGAUUCAAAGGCAGGACCAGGCGGAGUGUUGCGAAAAAGCGCUGACCAACUCAACCACGUCCACACUGGCAUCAAAUAGGAGCGACAGCUACAAUAUAACCUGCUGUAGCUGCUGCAUCUGUCAUUUGAAAAAUAUUGGAUUCCCUUCUCCUACCCCGAGCUCAGAGCCGAAAGGCUCUCUUCUGUCCAUUCCCAUUUUGCAGAAGAAAAAAGAAUAUUGCUGGAUAAACCAAAGCCUCCGCUGUGUCCAGAGAAUCAGAAAAGGUCUCUGAUUUCUCUCUUCUCAAGGCCAUCCAUCUCCGCCUUCACUCUUCUUCAUUCUCUCCAACACUCACGAUCCUUUCCUCUCUUUCAACCCAAUUACACCAGCGUUUUCAUCUGCGUGAGGAGGCCACAUUUGCAGCAAACACAACCAGUGAGGUUGAAUUAUCUGAUGCACCUGAAUUUUUGGAUGGUUUUGGAGUCCCUAGAUUCCUCAAAUUCAGAUCUGUCUCCAUCCAUGUCACCAGAUGCUAACUUGUUCCAAGAUGAAAACAAGCUGAAGCCGAACAAGAGUCUAUUCUCCACCAGUAAGGACCCCAGAUCUGUGCAUCCCGUAGGUAAACUUUCGAACCCCAGAACUGGUUUUUUUUUUUUUUUUUUUCCGUUUUUUUUUUGUUUUGAAAAUAAAAGAAGUAAAGAGUUUAGAAAAAUUGGGUUGCCUCCCAAUAAGCGCGCUAUUUUAAGUCUGUAGCUAGACUUUGCAGAAGCCUGGUGGUCAAAUCACUGGUUCCUUCAGAGUCAAAGACUCGGCUGCAAUGUCAAAGGGUGUCUCCACGUAGGGUUUUAGCCUAUGACCAUUCACCUUGAACGUGUUGCCUUUAUCUUCAUUAGUGAUUUGAACUGCUCCAUGAGGAAAAACUUGAGUCACUAGGUAGGGUCCAGUCCAGCGAGAUUUUAAUUUCCCUGGAAACAACUUGAGCCUUGAACUAAAUAACAGAACCUUUUGCCCUGGCUGAAAUUCCUUCCGUAAAAUUUGACUGUCAUGAAAUGCCUUAGUUCUUUCCUUGUAGAUGCGAGAACUAUCAUAAGCACCUUGACGAAUUUCCUCUAGCUCAUUUAACUGCAAUUUCCGCUUUUCCCCAGCUGAGUCAUAUGCAAAAUUUAACUCUUUAAUGGCCCAGUAAGCUUUAUGCUCCAGCUCCAUAGGUAGAUGACAGGCUUUCCCAUAAACAAGUCGGAAUGGUGACAUCCCAAUAGGAGUUUUAUAAGCUGUCCUGUAUGCCCACAAAGCAUCAUUUAGUUUGAAACUCCAAUCCUUGCGUGUAGAGCUCACUGUUUUCUCCAAAAUACGCUUUAUUUCUCUGUUUGAAACUUCAACUUGACCAGAUGUCUGUGGGUGGUAUGGUGUAGCCACGCGAUGAUUAAUCCCGUAUUUUGCCAGUAGGUUAGCAAAUGGUUUAUUAAUAAAAUGCUUCCCCCCAUCACUAAGAAUAACACGCGGUAUUCCAAAACGUGGAAAUAUAACCCCCUGGAGGAACUUCAGGACCACUGAUCCUUGAUUAGUUGGUGCUGCAAUGGCCUCGACCCAUUUUGAAACAUAUUCCACAGCCACUAAAAUAUAUUGGUGCCCAUUAGAAGAUGGGAAUGGCCCCAUGAAAUCAAUACCCCAAACAUCAAAUAGUUCAACAAUUAGGAUACUUUGUUGGGGCAUUUCAUUCCUUCUGGAUUGAUUGCCGACCCUUUGACACCGAUCACAUGCCUUGCACCAAUUCUGUGAAUCUCUAAAAAGUGUUGGCCAAAAUAACCCACUCUGUAGGAUUUUCUCUGCUGUCCUUUUCUGCGCAAAAUGUCCUCCUCAAGCAUAGUGAUGAGCAAACUUUAAAACACUUUCUUGUUCAGCCUCCGGAAUACACCUGCGAAUAAUCUGGUCUGCACAAUACUUGUAUAAGUACGGUUCAUCCCAGAAAUAGUGCUUUACAUCAGAUAAAAACUUCUUUUUCUGCUGGUAGGAAAAAUCUGGAUGCACCACACCCUUAGCCAAAUAAUUGACAAUAUCUGCAAACCAAGGUGUGUCAAUUUUGACAGCAAAUAGCUGUUCAUCUGGGAAACUUUCACUCAAUGGUAGAGAAUCUGCCUCUGUAGCUGCUGGAAUAAUUAAUCUAGAUAAAUGAUCAGCCACAACAUUCUCACUGCCCUUCUUGUCUUUAAUCUCUAAGUCAAAUUCUUGAAGUAAGAGAACCCAACGAAUCAAUCUAGGCUUUGCAUCCUUCUUAGACAACAAGUAUUUUAGUGCAGCAUGAUCUGUAUAGACAAUUAUUUUAGCCCCAACCAAAUAAGACCGAAAUUUCUCUAGUGCGAACACAACUGCCAACAAUUCCUUCUCUGUAGUUGCAUAGUUAAGCUGUGCAUCAUUUAGAGUACGACUUGCAUAAUAGAUGACAUGGGGAAGCUUAUCUUUUCGCUGCCCUAAAACUGCCCCGACAGCAUAAUCUGACGCAUCACACAUUAGUUCAAAUGGUAAAUCCCAAUUUGGUGCAGCAAUGAUGGGUGCCGAAGUUAGGAGUGCUUUCAACUUGUUGAAUGCUUCUAAACAGGCCUUAUCAAAAUUAAAUGGUGCAUCCUUAGCCAAUAAAGUGCACAAAGGUCGACUAAUCUUGGAGAAAUCCUUGAUGAACCGACGAUAAAAACCUGCGUGUCCUAAGAAGGACCUCACACCUUUUACUGAUGUAGGAGGUGGCAGCUUUGCAAUAACUUCAAUCUUUGCCUUGUCAACCUCGAUGCCUUUGCUAGAAAUUGAAUGACCCAAGACAAUUCCCUGUUCAACCAUGAAAUGCCACUUUUCCCAGUUUAGCACUAAAUUUGUCGCUUGACAUCUCUGAAGAACUAAUGAUAAAUUCUGUAAGCAUUGAUCAUAUGAAUCCCCAAAAACAGAAAAAUCAUCCAUAAAAACUUCCACAAUAUUUUCGACCAAGCCAGAAAAAAUACUCAUCAUACAACGUUGAAACGUAGCAGGUGCAUCGCAUAAUCCGAAUGGCAUCCUCCGAUAAGCGUAAGUACCAAAUGGACAAGUGAAAGUAGUCUUCUCUUGAUCCUCUGGUGCUAUUGGAAUCUGAUUAUACCCAGAAUACCCAUCAAGAAAACAGUAAAAAGCCCGCCCAACCAACCUUUCUAACAUCUGGUCAAUAAAAGGCAAUGGAAAAUGGUCUUUUCUCGUCCCUGUGUUAAGCUUCCGAUAAUCUACACACAUUCUCCAACCCGUAGUCAAUCGUGUAGGAACUAACUCAUUAUUAUCAUUUUUCACCACUGUAAUACCGGUCCGUUUAGGCACAACUUGAGUCGGGCUAACCCAUUUACUGUCAGAAAUAGGAUAAAUCAUACCUGCAUCAAGUAAUUUCAUAACCUCUGUUCUAACCACCUCUUUCAUAAUUGGGUUAAGGCGGCGUUGAGCAUCAACUGUUAGCUUUACGUCGUCUUCCAUUAAUAUUCUGUGCAUACAUAGUGCUGGGCUGAUUCCCUUGAUAUCCGCAAUUGUCCAUCCCAAUGCAUCUUGAUAUUUUCUCAAUACACGAAGCAAUUUAUCCUCCUCUGUCGGUGUUAAAUCUGCUGCAAUUAUAACUGGCAACGUCUCUGCAGCUCCUAAAUAUGCAUAUUUAAGAUGUUGUGGUAAAGGCUUCAGCUCCAAUUUUGGCGGCUGCUGUCUGGAUGGUUUAAGGGGCUGUUUGGGCUCCCCUAAACUCUCAUACACAUUCCUAAAUUUUGGCAACACUGUGGGCAGACUGUUCAAUGCGUGUAUGUACUCAUGAACACCUUCAUCUUCAAAAUCUGUCUCAAAUGCCCCCUGUAAAACAUGCAACAACUGAUCUGUUUUUGAAUUAGCAUAAAAUCUGUCCUGCACCAUACUGUCUACCAUGUCAAUACGCAUACAAUCUAGCUGUUCAGCAGGACGUUUUGUUGCCGCAAACAAAUUAAACACCACAGAUUGGUCCUGAACCCGUAAAGUCAAUGUUCCAGCUUCCACAUCAAUUAAGGUCCUAGCUGUUGCCAUAAACGGCCUCCCCAAAAUAAUAGGUGUUUGAAGGUCUUCAUCCAUGUCUAAAACCACAAAAUCUGCCGGUAGAUAAAGAUUAUCAACCUUAAUAAUUAGAUCUUCAAUAACACCUCUUGGAUAAGUGAUUGAACGGUCAGCUAGUUGAAGUAUAAUUGAUAUAGGCUUUAAAUCUCCUUGCCCCAAUCGCUGAAAAACAGAAAAAGGCAUCAAAUUAAUACUUGCACCCAAAUCAAUUAAAGCACUCUUAAAAUUAGAAUUUCCAAUAGUGCAAGAAAUAUUAAAACUCCCUGGAUCUUUUUUCUUAGGUGGUAGUUUGUGUAGCAAAACUGCAUUGCACUGUUCUGUCAAAAUAACUUUUUCCAAAUCUGAAAGCUUCUUUUUGCUGCUGCAAACUUCCUUCAAAAAUUUGGCAUAUGAUGGAAUUUUCUUGAUUGCAUCCAGUAAGGGAAUGUUGAUUUGAACCUUGGAUAAUGUCUGCAUAAAGUCCUUGAGUUGCUGAUCUUUUACUUUUGGCUUCAAACGUUCUGGAUAUGGAAUUGGGGCCUCAUAAACACGCUCAGGUACUUGUUUUGGAACAGUUUCUAGAUCUGCCAUAUUAUGUUUUUCUACAGGUUUGGCAGGUUCUGCUGCUGCAAAAUUUUCUGUAUGAUCCUCCACUGCAUGCUGCUCCUUUUCAAUGUUAUUUUCACGAUUGUCAUAGCUUUUUCCACAUCGUAAAGUCCGAACAACUUUGCAAUCUUCACGUCCAUUUGGAUUAGGAAUUGUUUGACUAGGAAAUUUGCCCUUUUAUCUGUCUGAAAUCUGUGUAGCUAGUUGUCCAAAUUGUUGCUCCAAACUUUUAAUAGAUGCUUCAACAUUUUGAAAUCUUUGAUUGUUGCCCUCGAUGAAUGAUUGAGUUGUUGCUGCCAGUUUAGCAAGUUGAUCUUCCAUAGAUGGUUUGGAGGGAACAAAAGGUUUUUGUGCAUGCUGGAAUGGUUUGGCAUUAGUCUGAUUGUCACCCCAUUUGAAAUUAGGGUGAUCCCUCCAUCCAGGAUUGUAAUGAGUUGCAUAUGCAUCAUUCCUAGGCCUUUGAUAGCUGUUCAUCAUAUUGACAUGUUGUUCAACAAGCUCUGGGUAAGAGUCUCUAUGUGGGCAGCCCAUUAUGUCAUGUGUAGCCAUACUGCAUAUAGUGCAAACUGUUGAUGUAGGUGGCUGCUGUGUAGAACUUGCUAUAUGUUGUAGAAGCAUAUCAAACUUUGCAUCAAUUUUCUUAUCCAUUUUUUCCAUUUGUGCAGACAUGUUGGGAGAACCUACUGAUAACUCAAAAAUGCCCCUUUUCUGUGAAUGUUCUGCUGCCCAUUGCUGAGAUUCUGUAGCCAUCAUAUCAAACAGUUCAAAUGCCUCUCUUGCAGAUUUAUUUGAUAAUGAUCCUCCAGCUGAUGCAUUCACAUGGCUCUUAGAUGUAGGAUUAAGCCCAUCAAAGAAAAUAUUCAUUUGUGUAUCUGAAUCAAUUUUAACAUGUGGACACUUUAUGUACAUCUUUGUAUAUCUCUCCCACGCUUCAUGAAACUCUUCAUUAGGCUUCUGUGUGAAUGUCAAAAUCUCCCUCUUGUAAUUCAAUGUCUUGGAUGCUGGAUAAUAUUUGUUCAGGAAUUUUGUGUGUAACUGCUGCCAAGUAGUAAUGCUAUUAGCUGGUAGAGUGAAUAACCAAGUUUCUGCCUUGUCCUUCAAAGUGAAAGGGAAAAGACGUAACUUAAUAGCCUCAGCAGAAAAACCCCUAAUCAAAAUAUUCUUGCAACCCACAAUAAAUUUUGCAAUAUGUAUGUUUGCAUCUUCAUUAGGCAAUCCCCGAAAAGUAGGUAGAAUUUCAAGCAUAUGGUGCCUGAUCUCGAACGAAUCACCCUCUUCUUGUUCAGGAUACACAAUGCAAUUGGGAACAUCAGUGGCACGGGCUUCCAAUGACUCCCUGAGUGGUCUACCUGCCGCAGGUAAUUCUAACGCCAUGUUACUCUCGUUUGCAAACAGAUCCUGCAGAAAAGUGCCCUGCAGUGAACAGUCCCAAGCCCAAGUAACUUCUCUCCGCUGUCUAUGCAGUGUGCGCUCUGGUUCUGGAUCAAAUUGUACAAUCUGUGUAGUUCCUGAUCUGGUCUGGACCAUGCAGUCUGCAAAAUCUGCAACAGAAACAAAAUUGUUCAAUUUCAAUUUUUUUUUUUGGACGAAAAUUAAAAAUAAAAUAAAAUGAAAUAAAUCAGAAAAAGGUUAAACAAAAAUUGUCUAAAAUAGUCCCCAGCAACGGCGCCAAUUUCUUGAUAGGAUUUUUAGUACUUGUGCAAACAGUGUUAAAAAUCACAUAAAAUACUUGCAAGAAUACAAGGCUAUUGUAGUAUAGAUGCUCAUGCAAGGUCGUUUUCCUCAAGGACUAAUUAGCAAUUUAUGUAAAAACAAAUUUCAAUUACUACUUAAAAUAAAAAGUCAAGAAAGAUGAUUAUAAAUUUGGUGGAUUCUAAAAAACAAAUAUUAAACAAAAACAAAUACGAUUGAAAGAAAGAGUUUUGAAUAUCAAUUUAUAAAACCACUAGGGUUUCACCAUCACCUAGCAAUCCUAUGAACUUUUACCAAUUACUUAUGAUUUGCACAUGCCACUUUGAAGGUUAGGUUUUCCUAUUGUAUAUUCUACUUGGAACCUCCAACACAGAACGUAUAUCCAACAUGCAACCCGUCCGGACGUUCGGAUCAAAUCUGAACAUGAAAGACUCAUUAAGUUUUGUGAAAACCCUUUGAAAAACCAUGCAACCCUUAAGACGUGGUGUUCAUCUUAAGUGAAAUUACAAUUAUUAAUCACAAGAAGCUAGCAUAAAUUUCAGGGAACCUUCCGACCAAAAUUGCAUCCAAUUACUUUUCUAAAGAUCCUAAUGGUGAUCAGGCAUUAAGACAAUUAGAUAGUUUAAAAUAGUGAUUAACAAUUCAAAAUACGCAUGCACUCAUCAUAAGCAAUUAAAUAAAAAUCACAUAUUCAUGCUAAGGUUCAAGGCUUCACCCUAGCAAAAGAAAUUUAGUUACGCAUACUCAUAAUUGAAAUCCAAGAAAAUAUCAUUAAGAAGAAAAGAACGAAAACACCUGAAAGUUGUGAAAACCCAAAACCCUAGCAAUUGCUCUCUACAAUGCAAAGUUCAAAAAUAAUUAAGAAGUCCUAAAUUCCUUGUGAGAAAGAGCUUAAAUAUCCCUUAAAACCUAGCUGCCAAUGUACAGCUUUUCUAUCCCUACAAGGAAACUAAUUAAAGUAAAAUAAUACUAGGAAAUAAAGUCCAAAUUGGAAUAGGAGAAUUUGCCCAAAAUCAGCCCAGCCACGUUUUGGCCCCAAAUCUCCUCCAAAUCUGGCCCAAGAUAGCUUUUUUUAAAGACACUACUACAAAAAGUGAAAAAGACGACCAGAAAACAACGACGGUCUAAGUGAAAACCGUCGUGGUUUUUAAAAAGACGACGGUUCUAAAAACACCGUCGUGUAAUACCACCUUAGACAACUAAAAAAUGGAGAUUCAAAUGGCUGUUCAAAAACAACGACGUACCUAAUUAAACAACCGACGUCUAUUUGAAACAGAUUUCCGCAGUGUAAAAUCAAAGCAAACAAAGAACGGCAGAAGUUAUGAAUAGACCGACGUAGAAAGUAAAGACGACGAUUUCAAUAAAAGCCGCCGUUUUUACUCAUAAAAUAACACGACGAGGUUUUCGUAUAAGACGCCGUAUAAUUACAAACAAAUCCACGGCUUUAAAAUACAAAAAUAAUCUUAACAGAUGACACAGAUUUGCAAUCAGAAGAGACAAUUUUUGAAGUUGAUCAACGUCGUUGAAAAUUGCAAUCAGAAGAGACAUUUUCAACGACGGNNNNNNNNNNNNNNNNNNNNNNNNNNNNNNNNNNNNNNNNNNNNNNNNNNNNNNNNNNNNNNNNNNNNNNNNNNNNNNNNNNNNNNNNNNNNNNNNNNNNGGAAGUUGAUCAACGUCGUUGAAAAUUUGCAAUCAGAGAGACAAUUUUCAACGACGGUUAUAUUAUACCUAACGACGUUUAAAAACAAAUCAACGUCGCUCAACAAAUAUAUUACGUCGUCUUAGUCUUACUUAAGACGACGAAAAACGACGACAGUAGUAAAAAAACAGUCGUUGUUUUUAUAUUCUUAUUUUAUUUAAAUCUGUCGUGUUAGUUAAAAACGACGGCAUAACAAAAAACCGUCGUUUUGUUUCAAACUGAAUUAAUUUAAAAUUUCUUCAGGAAAGCAAAAUCUAUUUAUAAUUUCCUCGGGUUAGUAAUAUUGUGUCGUGUUAGUUUACAAAUUCUAGAACAUUAAUUUCCCUCAUUUUAAAUUUUCUCGGGAAAGAAAAAUCUAUUUAUCACGCUUUGUAAUUGAAAACUAAAACUGAAAGAAUUCUGGAAAAAAAACUCUAUUUAUAAUUUAAAAAUAAAAUGCACGUCGGUUGUAGUACACUUAACGACGUUUAACAAAAUAAUCUACGUCGGUAAUUAUAAAUCUACCGCCAUCUUACCCUAAUAUAGACGACGAGAAAAGACGACGGUAGAACAGAAAACCGCCGUUGUUUCAGUUUCUUUAACAGUUUGGUCCUUUAUCUUUCUGCAGGACUUGUAUAGUUCAAAGCAUUGACAAUGUCUUCAUCAUAUCUCCCAGCAACUACUGAUUCGAUUGCUCAUGCUUUAGAGGCCAUCUGAAGCCAUUUCUAUUCUUUAUCGCAUUCUUGAAACCCAUCUUCUUCUUCUGAAGCUCUACGGAUAAAGGAAGAGGCUAUCACAAAUCUGACGGAUCUUCUUAGUCAAAAAAAUCAAGCAGAGGAUCAGGCACAUCUGAUCUUCAGAUUUCCCUGAGAAGCGAACUUUCCUUCGACAGCGAGUGGAGGCCAGGCUUGCAUCUCUUUUGAUGGAAAGCAAGGAGUAUUCAGAAGCACUAAGUGUCCUAUCAGGCUUGAUCAAGGAAGUGAGAAGGCUAGUUGACAAGCUUCUUCUUGUCAACUAGCCUAAAUGUAAGCUCAAUUUCUCUUUGAGAAAGACCUCCAAAUUAUUGUCUUUGAGAUGUGAGAGACAGUGUCUCUGAGAGAGGAAGAACUUGGAACCCUAAAUGUAAACCGCGAAAAUGAAUGAAAGCGACAAAUUUAUAGAAUAAAUUUUUAAAACCAACGGCGGUACUUACCAAGAAACCGCCGUUUCAAUUGUAAAAUCAACGUCGGUAUUACUGACGUAUAUUACAGAACUCCACGUCGGUACAUUAAUAAUCACGACGUCUUAAAUAAUCUACCAUGACGCGAGUUAUUACUUAUGUACUUUAAUUUUUGAGUUUACUACGACGGUACCUACAACACUACUGUCGUAUUUAUUUACCACGUCCGAAGUUAAAUUUACCGACGUAUUUUGUACUUUAUACGUCGUAGUUAUAUGUAACCGCCGUAUUAUUUUUUUGAAAUGGUUUUAUAUGUAAGCAACUUUUCGUCUACUUGACUUACACAUUAGUUGUUUUUAUAUUCUUAUUUUAUUUAAAUCUGUCAUCCAAAAAAGAAACUUUACAUAUUGCAGAAUAUUAAUUUCCUUCGUUUUAAAUUUCCUCCGGAAAAAAAACUCUAUUUAUAACGCACUGUAAUUGAAAAAUAAACUGAAAGGUCACGGGAAAAAAAAUUCUAUUCAUAAUUUAAAAAUUAAAAUCCACGUCGGUUAUAUUAAACCUAACGACGUUAAAUGAAAUGAUUCCACGUCGAACGAAAAAUAUUUCGUCGUGUUAGUUAAAAACGACGUAGUUAAAUGUAACCGCCGUAUUAUUUUUUUGAAAUGGUUUUAUAUGUAAGCAACUUUUGGACUUACACAUGCACUGUUUCCAAACCCGAUUAAAAAUUUCAAUCUCCAGAGAAACCUUUUCGUCUUUUUUCCUUGUCAGAGCAUUAUCAGAGUUUCUCAUCGUCUUCCUCUCGUCUUCUUCGUCGUCCUUGAACUUAAACAUCGAUCAUCUUCCUCUUGCUUUCAUUGCACGCAAAAGGUAAGCUUUCAUUUUCACUAUUUUGGUUACUGUUUUGCAUGCUCAUACGUUUUUUGUUUGAAAAAUCUUUUUACCUUUUUUCUGGCCAAAAUCAUUUUACUUCUUUCCAAGUUUGAUAAAAUAUACAGACAAAAAGGGAAAGUUUCCAACUUUGAAGACAACUACCUCAACUAAAUGAGACGACGGUAGACCACGACGGUUCGUCAGUUGUUCUAGCGUCGUCUGAAAAUUGACAAAGUUGUUUUUAAAAUAAUAGUCUUUUUUUAUAUGCUUGUUUAAUUGCAGGUUUGAUUUCUCUGAACAAUGGUUUUUGUUUUUCCCUUAUUUGAUAAAAUAUAAAGAAAAAGAAACUAGGGUUGGUAUCUAAUAUAGACGACAAAAUAUCUUAUUGUUUUACGUCGUGUGAAUGUUAAUACCACGACGGUGUAUUACUAUUAACGUCGUAUGAACAUAAAUACCACGACGUUAUAUAAAUAAUAGUUUACCACGACGGUGUAUUACUAUUGACGUCGUGUGAACAUAUAUACCACGACGUUAUAUAAAUAAUGGUUUUAAACAUUUAUUACGUCUGAGAUUAUUUCAUUGCGUCGUCUAAAAUCAUAUCAUACGUCGUAUUUUUUUAAUACCGUCGUUUGUGUUCUUAAUGUUUUCCUGAAAUAUUUUCACUUGCAGUUUUGUCUGUUAAAAUGGUUUCUCAACAACAAACUAAGGAUUCUGGCUCCAAGAAGCUUGGAAUGGUAGCUCCUCAAGACAAGUCUUCGAAGGAGAUGAAGUCUUCGAAGAAGAUGAAGUUUGCUUCAUCAUCUGCUGAGACAGAACCAACCAGCCAGACAACAAUCUCUGAUGAUUCAAAGACUGGUCGAGGCAUGAGCACAAUGCCUCGUGUUGUGAAGAGAAAGCUUCAGAAACUGAGGCCAAUUGUUGAGUACAAUAAAAGGGGGAAAGGUGUUGGCCAAGCACAUAUUGAGAUGCAGUCGUAUAUUGGUGUGUUGGCACGCUCCAGGAUCCCACUUGUGGACAAGAAAUGGUCCCAAAUCCCCAAGGAUAUAAAGGAGCAGAUUUGGGAAGCAGUUGACAUGGCUUUUGUCGUAGGCCAAGGGGGCAAGACCUCUGUUUUAGCUUCUGCUUCCAAGAAAUGGAAGGAUUUCAAGUCUACACUAACGAGGCAUUAUAUCCUUCCAUACACCAAUGACAGGGAGAAAUUAAGCCAACCCCCUGAAACAUAUAAAUUCAUAGAGAAAGCACAAUGGGAUGCCUUUGUAGCUUCAAGGCUAUCCAAAGAUUUUGAGUCUGUGCAUUCUCAACAUGCACAGAUUAGGGAGAAACUCGAGUACAAUCAUCGAUUGUCUCGAAAAGGAUAUGCUGGAUUGGAGGAUCAAUUGGAGGAAACCAUGCCUGGGGUAGAAAUUGAUCGAUCUACCUUAUGGAAGAGAGCUAGACAGGACAAACAUGGUAACAUCCCUGAUCCAAAGGUGGCAGAGAAAGCAAAAUUAAUUGUAAGCCUACUAUCACUCUGUUUUAAAUUUUUAUUAAACUGUGAAUUAUUCUUAUUACGUCGUAUGUUAUAUUUUUCGUCGUGUGAAUGAUAUUACCACGUCGAAAAGUUUUUAAAAACGUCGUUAAAGGUCUAAAUAGGAAUCACUACUAAUUUUCUGUAAUUAUAGCAUAAGACGUCGGUGGUUCAUUUUCGCGUCGUUUGAAUGAUAUUACCACGUCGAAACUUUUUUAAAAACGUCAUUAACGGUCUAAAUAGGAAUCACUACUCUGUUUUCUUUAAUUAUAGCAUAAGACGUCGGUUGUUUAUUCAUUUCGUCGUUUUAAAUAAAUAACCACGUCGGUAUAACUACCGUCGUGAUAAGUUAUAAUAACGUCGGUUUAUACGUUAUUGCGUCGUGUGAAAUUAUAUAAUACGUCGUUUGUACAUAAAUAACCGUCGUGUGUUUUUUUGUUUAUCUUUGUUUUAGGAUGAAUUGCAGAAACAAGUCUCGGAAGGCAAAGUCAGAGUAGAUGGCAGCAAUGAUGUGCUGACCAUGGCUUUGGGCCCCGAGCAUCCAGGCAGAGUGAGGGGAGUUGGUGCUGGUGUUUCCCCAAGGCAAUAUUUCAAUUUGCCCAAACCACAGAGGGUGAGCUUUGACGACCAUUUGAAGGACAGUUUAAGAGUUCUCCUUCAAGAAGAGACUAAAAAGAUGGAGGCUAAGGCAAGGGAAGAGGCCUUAAGAAUGGAGGCUAGGACAAAACAAUUGGUAGAGGCUGAGAGGGAGCAUUUCCUGAGUCAGCUUUCCCAAUUAAUUCCCAAUUUUGAUCCAAGCAUGCUUAAACCAAGAAUUAGCCAAAGCCCCAAAAAUCCAAUGUCUGACAAAGCUAGCUGCUCUGGAGGUGAUGUGAGAUCCCUACAUUUGGAGGAUGAUACUGCCAAAAUGGGGAAACAUCAGCCAGAUGAAGAGAAGGAAGAAGAAAAAAGAGAUGAAGAGAAGGAAGAAGAAAAGGAGAAAGAAGAUGAAGAAAAGCAUGACGACAAGGUAUGUUCACAUAACUUUGCCUUUUUUAUUUGUUUUUCAAAAUUUCAGACGUCGAUAUUUUUAUUUAAUCCGUCGUUUGUUUAAAACUUAGACGGCGGACUUUUUUUAAGACGUAAUAAAAUAUUUAAACGACGGUUUUUGCACCGUCGUUUAAAUGGUUUCAGACGACGCUUUAUUCAUAAAAUCGUCGUCUUUAUUGAAUUACCACGACAGUUUUUUCACCGUCGUUUAAAUACUUUUAAGACGACGUUUUAUUCCUUAAACCGUCGUCUUUGUUGAAUUACCACGUCAUUUUUUUUAUUUCUUUAAACAGGUUAUUGAAGUUGGUGCUUAUUCAAAUAUGGAGGCGCCAUCUUCUUUAAAAACCCUUUGUCGUUUUGUGGAAACGACACUCCUGCCUGAGGAUAAGACACUCCAAUUUACAAUUGAUAAGGAGGUGUUUGGUGGUGAGCGCGAUACCUUCCUCCUGCCUGAAGAUAUUACACAAUUUGCAGGCAUGGAAGAAAUUGGAGCUACUGUAUUGGCUGUAUAUAUGAGGUUUGUACUUCUAAAAUAAUACCUCGUUGGUUUAUAUAUUGCGUCGUCUUAACUAACUAACCACGUCGUCUUAACUAACUACCGUCGUGAUAAAUAUAUUAUAACGUCCUCAUCUAUUUCAGUACGUCGUGUGAAAUAUUAUAAUACGUCGUUUUUUUAUACAUAACCGUCGUGUUUGUUUGUGCUGACUUGUUUAUAUUAUUUUAUGUAUUUAGGUACUUACACGAUGUUUUGAAACAAGCCAAUAUGUGCAGCAUGGUUGGCUUUAUCGACCCUGCUACAGUUAGUGCCAACUCUGGCACAAUAACUGAAAGAUCACGACUGGUAGCAGCUCGACUUCAGAAGACAGACGGUGAACAGAUUUUCAUGAUGCCUUACAAUCCAGGGUUAGUCUCCUUAGGAUUUUGUUUUUAUGAUUUUCAAUAAAUGACAGCUUAUAAACUAACCACGUCGGUGUUUUAUUUUAUUUAGUCGUUUGAAACUACUAACCACGUCGGUAUUUAUUUAUCGUCGUGAUAAAUAUAUAAUGUCGUCGUUAUCUACUUUAUUUCGUCGUGUGAAAUACUAUAAUACGUCGUUUUUGUAAAUAACCGUCGUUUUUAUAUUCAUUUUGUGCAGCCGUCAUUGGAUCUUGCUGAUUGUAAGAGCAAAGAAGGAGACCGUCUAUUUUCUGGAUCCUCUGCCAGGUCAUCGUGUGGUCGACGAAGAGGCGAAAAACAUCGUGAACAGUGCUUUAAAAAUAUAUAAUACCCACAUAGCCCGAGCACGACGUAAAAAUGUAAUUUGGAAAACUCUCUCAGGCACACCAAAGCAACCCAGCAAUGUCGAAUGCGGGUACUAUGUGAUGCGCUUCAUGAGGGACAUCAUCAUGGAUCCUUCCUUGGGGUUUGAGAAUAAGGUAAGAAGAAAUUACCUUCAUACAUUUCACGUCGUUUUUUGUAUUAUCAACGACGGUCAUGUAAAAUUAACGUCGUUGAAUGGAUAUACUACGUCGGUUAUGAAAAAUAUCGUCGUCUGUGAUUGAAUUUCUUUUUAUUUAUAAACCCUAAUAGUCAUUGUUUAUGCAGUAUGCCAAGGGAAACCAGGAAGCUUCAUACCCCCAAGAAGCCAUUGAUGAAGUCCGGAAUGAAUGGGCAGAGUUUGUUUUCCAAAUUAUUAAACAGGGCAAUUAUUGAACACUUGAUAUUUAUGUAUAAUGUACAAAUUUUCUCUAUAAUAUGUAAUGUAAAAAUUUGUUGAGGUUUUCUUAAAUUAAAAAAAAAACAAACAUACAAAUUGCUUAACCGACGUGUAAUACUUUUCCAACGACCUAAUAAAGUCAAAAACCGUCGUAUUUUGUUGUUUCGUGUUUUAAACAAAUACGACGUAAAAAUAUAGUUAGACGACGUUCUUUGAACAAUUGAGUCGUUUAUGGUUUACAACAUCUUCAAUUUCUUAAGGGUUCAGGGUAUCAUCGACGACGUUUAUGUAACGACAGCGGUUAAGUCGUGGAAUAUAUAUUUUACGUCGUAUAGUUAAAUAGCCGCCAUGGUUUCUCAUUUUAACGACGUCAUUUUAACGACUUAGUAGUCUAUUACAAUUUACAACGUCUACAAUUUAUUAACACCGACGUGGUUUGUUGUUGUGGUAAGAAUAUUUUAUUAUUUUUAUAUCAAAAUAUUCAAAAUAAAUUUAAAAUAAAUCAGAAAAUUGAAAAGUCAUCUCCUAUGAAGUCAUUGAUAUAUUUUCUUCCACAUAAACCUUGAAAAAAUUCAUUUUGAAUAACAAAAAUUUAAAAUGACCAUCCAAAACAAAAUUGUUUUGAUGAGUCAUAAAAUCACUUCUAGUUUUAUGGUUUAGGGUUUAGAGUCUAGGGUUUAGAGAUUAGGGUUGUUAUUUGUUGGGGUUUAUUUUUAAAGUAUAAUUUUUGGGUAGUCUAGGGUAUAUGUUAGGCUUUAAAACCAUAAAACCUUUUAUAAACUUAAUUUUUUAAAUUGUAUAAUUUAGUUUUAUGGGUUUAGGGUAUUAAUUUUUAACGACGGUGGUUGCGUCGUGGAAUACAUAUUUUACGUCGUACAGAAAAACAUACGACAUGGUUUACGCUUUAAACGACGUCAUUUUAAUAUGUAAGUCGGUUUAUAUAAUUUACAACGUCUUUAAUUUCUUAACACCGACGUGGUUUUUCAGUCGUCGUUAUAUAAAAAAUUCAAAAUAAAUUUAAAAUUAAUCCGAAAAAUGAAGCUUCAAAAUGAACGGCCUUACGUUCUUAAUCCGAAAAAUGAAGUUUCCGUCGUGGAAUAUUAAAUUUACGUCGGUACUUGUAGAACUUUCGCCUUGGUUUUUCUUUCGACGUUUUAAAACGCGCGAGCUCUAAAAAUUUUCGCGUGACCUAAAUUUUUUUAGAUUUGGCUCUUAUUCUUAUACUUCGAACCCUGAAACCUAAAAUUUUCAGAUUUCGCUCUCUCACUUCUGCUCUAAUUAAAAGUUGCACUCUCCAGGCUUCGUCGAAUCUGUGAGCUCGUCCAACCUGUAAGUACAAACCCUAUCUUCCCCUUGUAAAUUCAUUGAAUGAUAUUAGGUUGUUUUGUUAAAGGGUUUUAUGUGUAUGCUUUGCGAUCUGUUAAUAAUGUGCUUAUAGGUAUGGGUUCAUAGAUUUUCUGUUUAAUGGGUUCAUGGAUUACAUUAUCUGUUAUGUUGAAUUGGGAAUGGAUUUAAUUUUGUCGUAUCUUUUAAUCACCCUAUGUUAUGUUGAAUUGGGAAUGGAUUUAUUGUUUUCAUGCUUGGUUUCAUGUAUAUGUUGGUUUCUUGCUUGGUUUCAUAUAUAUGUUGUGUUCUUAAUGGGUUUUGUGUUCUUGAAAAUAAACUGAGACACGACAAAUUUUAAGGCAUACGACGACGAUUACACGACGGUUUUUUUAAACUACCGUCGUUGUAUUACUUAUACAAGACGGUUUUUUCAUAAACCGUCGUUUGUAUUACUUAUAAUAGACGACGUCUGUUGAAAAUCCGUCGUCUAUAUAUGCCAAAUACGUCUGUUUUUGUUUAAAACCCGUCAUCUCUGUUGUGUAUUACUUGCGAUUAGAUCAUUGUAUAAUCUGCUAUAGUGAUGGUCAUUGCCUGUAUUUUCACUUUAUUAUAGAUAAUAGGUUAUAGUGUCGGAGAUGGAUAAGUCAUGGAUGCACUCGGAUAGAAGAUCGAAGGCAUAUGAAUUUGGGGUGGAAGCAUUUUUGAACUUUGCUUGAGAAGUACUUUCCCCCUUCAUUCUUUGAUAUCAUGGUUCAUCUAGUAGUACAUCUUGUCAGAGAAGUUCGUCUAUGUGGGCCAGUAUAUUUUAGGUGGAUGUAUCCGUUUGAAAGAUAUAUGAAAGUGCUGAAGGGGUAUGUUCAGAAUCGUACUCGUCCCGAAGGUUGCAUUGCUGAGCGGUAUAUAGCUUAAGAAGCGGUAGAGUUUUGUACUCAGCAUUUAUCUGAUGUUAGUACAGUUGGAGUGCCUUCAAGCCAAAAGAUGGGACUUUCAAAGCCAUUAUCAGGUUGCACAGUGAGCGUAGUUGAUCAGGACCUGUUGAAUCAAGCACAUCUAUAUGUCUUGGAGAAUACGGAGGAAGUCCUACCUUAUAUCGAGUACGUAUGAGCUUUAUUCUUUAAGUUUCCAUUUUAAAUUAUUUCUUAUGUUUAUCUUCUAUAUUUGGGACCGUAAUGCUUGAAUUUUUCGUGUCAUGUAGGCAACAUAUGAUCCACAUCAAGAUUGCUUAUCCAAAAUUUAGAAAGAGAACAAAGUGGCUGCAGGAUAAGCACAAUAGCACUUUCAUUCAAUGGCUACGCUUCAAGGUAUAUGUUGUUGAAUAACAUAUUUCUCUUUUAAUUUUCUUCUUAUUUAUAUGUUAGAUUGAAUUAAGAUAUGAUUAAUUUGCAGGUUCAAAGUGAACUUGAGGAAGACAAUCAUGGCGUAUCAGAAAAUUUAAGGUGGCUAGCAGCUGGUCCAAACAUGUCAGUGCCAUUAUAUAGGAGCUAUCUUAUUAAAGGUAUUAAAUUCAAUAUCAAGGCACAAGAUGAUGUGCGGACAACUCAAAAUAGUGGAGUUUAUUUACUUGCACAUACCAUGCAAGUUGCUAGUGCCAAGGAUAAAAACCCAAUUCUCUCAAACAUGGGUUUCUAUGGUGUCAUUCAAGAAAUUUGGGACCUUGACUACCAAAAGUUUACAAUCCCAGUCUUUAGGUGUGAUUGGAUAGAUAGUUCUGGUCUUGUAGUCGACGAACUUGGAUUUACCCUUGUAGAUUUGAGUAAAAUUGGACAUAGGAAUGACCAAUUUGUUUUGGCUUCUCAAGUCAAACAAAUAUUUUUUGUUGACGACCCGAUGCAUCGUGGUUGGUCGGUAGUGUUAUCAAUGCCUAAUAGAGAAUAUAAUGAUGUUAUUGGUGAUGAAGUCUUAGGUGAUGUGAUAAUUGAGUGUGAGCCAUUUACUAGAGGGAUGCCAAAUGUUGACACAUUUGAUGAACUGGUGGGUGAGUUAGGCGGUCAAAAUAUUCGAGAUGGGUGUGAAGAUAUAUGGAUUGAAUGAUGCUUAUGUAAUUGGCAGUGUAUGACAUUAAUUUUGUAAUAUAUUGUAAUGUGAUUUCUUCACUUUCUACGUUCAAAUAAAACACGACGUUAUUGUGAACCAGUUAUUCAGCAUAUUUACCGACGUCUUAAAGCAACGUAACAAUGAAGAACCACGACGCUAUUGUGAAGCAAUUAUUCAGGAUAUCACGUCGGGGAAGGAUUAAGAACCGCCAUGUAAUUCAAAAUAACACGACUCCAAUCCCAUAAUACCGACGUCUAAAAAACGAGAUAUAUAAUCUGAACGUUAAAAAAUACGACGUCAUCAUACAUUUUCCACAUCGCAAGUUCUUUUAUAAACGAAGAGGAACGAAAUGAAUUCCGACGGAAAUUCAUUAUAACCGCCGUCUAAUAACAAUUAAACGACGUUAUUUGUAAUACGGCUCUCAUCAUAAUCAACGCCGUCUAUAUGUUCUGUAAUACGGCUCUCAUUUAUUUGGAACCGACGUUGUUUAGAAGUUCAACGUCGUCUAUAUUAUUAAGUGCGUCGUGAGUAAUGAUGAUAGAUAUAAAUACAACGUCGACUAUAUAAAUGCCACUGACGUUGUUUCGCAUUUCAACGUCAACUGUAUAAAUACAUACGUCGUAAAUAAUGACACUGACAACUAUUUCCACGUCAUCUUUUUUAGAAAAAUCGAAGUGGAAAAUUUAUUUCACGACGGUUGUUUGUAAAUAAGAGACGUAGUAUAUUUCAAUAACGUCGUCUUCUCAUGUAUUUAAAGACGUCAUAUUUUUUCUUGUCGUGUAAAUUAUAUUUAACGGCGUAGUAUUUUAGUUGUCGUCGUUGUAUGUAUAUCUUGCGGCCUUGUUCUUUUAACAUGUGUCAUAUUUUUCCUUUUUAACGACGGUGAUUUGUUUGAGUUGGUCGUCUAUUCUCAUCCUCGACUAUUUUCUAGAACUUUAGCAGACUAAACACGUCUGUUUUUAUUGUUUUCCGACGUUGUUUUAUUUAACAACGUCUAAUAUUUAUCGUCGUUGUUUGUUUCUGAAAAUAUGACGUAUAAAUUUUGUAAUACGACUCUCAUAUAUUUGUAACCGACGUUGUUUCGUUUUUCAACGUCUACUCUAUAAAUACAUACGUCGUAAAUAAUGACACUGACAACUAUUUUCACGUCAUCUUUUAUCGAAAAAUCGAAGUGGAAAAUUAAUUUUACGACGGCUGUUUUUAUAUAUGCGACGUAGUAGGUAUCAAUAACGUCGUCUUCUAAUGUAUUUAAAGACGUCAAAUUUUUUAUUGUCGUGAAAAUGAUAUUUAACGGCGUCGUAUUUUUAUUUUCGUCGUUGUAUGUCUAUCUUGCGGCCUUGUUCUCUUAAUAUGUGUCAUAUUUUUCCUUUUUAACGACGGUUUUUUUAGAGAGUUGGUCGUCUAUUCUCAUCCUCGACUGCUUUUUUAGAUCUUUUUGCAGUACAAAGACGUCGUUUUGUAUUUGUUGAUGACGUUGUAUAUUUUAACAACGACGGUGAUUUUGCGUCGUGGUUUAUGAGGGAAAAGAUGACGGUGGAUUCCACGACCAUUGAAAAACCGAAUACACGACGGUGAUUUACCGUCGUCUUUUUGCUUUUUUGUAGUAGUGAGAUAAAAAUGUUCUGAACACUUCUCUAGAAGGCCACGAACCCAUCCGAGGUCAUCUUGGGCUCCAAAAACACAAUAAAAGCCCAACACGUCACUAUUCCAGCACCGCGCACUGCUCAUUUAUUUUAUUGCCAGAAAAUAACCGCUUGGAAGAAAAAUCUGAAAUUUUGAUACGAUCAAGCUAAGUGACUCAAGAACGUCCUCCAACUGGAAUUACUCCAAAAUUCCUCAAUUUGAUUAUGUUUUGCUCCAGAGAGAGUCGAAAGUCCUAUAUUGGAAAUAUAAUUCAAAGUAUCAAAAUUCUUCCAAAAUAUUAACCAAAAUAUACUAAGAAUGAGGUUAAAUAUAUAAUAUAAAAUAUGUCCAUCACCCCACAACAACUAAAGAACCAACAUUUUGUAGAAGGUUUUGUCUAUACCUUUGACUGUAAGUAAAUCUCUUGUAUCUGCUCCUGUGGUUCGGUGAAGUUUCUUUGUGUCCUUUCUGCGGAGUCUCCCAUGCUUGUUCCAUGAAAAUGUUCUAGGAGAAAAUACGGUUGUUUCUUACUAGAUUCAAAUGAUUAAGAAAAAUAAAAACGCAAGAAAAAAGGUAUUUUCUUGAUGGACUUGGUGAUGAAAAAUAUCACUCUCUUUAUAUGUCGUCUUCCUUGGACUUUGAGACCUUGGGUUUCGAUUCUUCUUGAGGAUUGCAUAGGGUUUCUAGGCCCAAGAAUACUUUGAGUUAGUUUUUGCGUUUUGGGCUUUGAGACUUUGAGACUAUAAUGAGUGGAAAGUUAUAAGGGGUAAGUUAUAAGGGGGUCACUUUAUAGCCAUCAGAUUAAUCCAAGGGCUGGGGAGAAUUGAGAUAAAGUUUCACAAUUGGGUAGGUGAGGAACCCAAACCCGAAUUGAAUAUCCAGCACGUCCAAAAAGAAGAAGAAGAGGGAAACACGUCCGAAAAAGAAGAAGAAGAGGCAAGUUCGAAGUUUGAACAGAAAGAACUCAUCUCUCUAAAACACAGAGGUCUGAGAUACCCAAUGAAGGCAACGGCUAACGACAGUUGAAGGCAACAAUUCGCCACUCCGUUCUCCAGACCCCGAAAAAGUAUUUAUUUGGAGUAGAAGGGGCAAAGGUGUGGAUUCCAAAUCAGUGAAGGGGCGAAGCAGUGGAAGGGGAAGGGGAGAAGCUGUAUUCGUUGGAAGUGUAGGUUCCAUUUGUGGAGCAAAGAAAUAGAAAGACCCCACACAGACACCUUGCAAUAACCAGCAUUUGGUGAGUAAUUUAUGGAAUUUGAGUUUAGGGUUAGAGUAAUGGUUUUCCCCAAUUUGUACCAUAAAUUUUGUUGGAUUUGGCAUCUCUUCGUUGUGCUUCAGUUGCAUGUUAAUUUUUGCUUAGGUAUAUGUUAAAAAAGGAAUGAAAAUUAAGUCAAUAACAAGUGAAUAACAUGUCAAUAAUGAUAUGAAUAAGAUAAUGGUGUUGAAUUGGAGGAGGCCCUCAAAACCUUCCACAUUUGAAGCAGUGCAUAGUGCAGAUUAAGAAGAGGCGCUAGAAUAUAUAUAUAUAUUUUAUGAAGUAAAUAUGAUUUCCUUUGUUACUAAAUUUGCCUGAGAAACAUUUGAACAGAUAAUAAUAAACUCAUGAAUAGAACUGCAAAGCAUUUGAUGAGCAAUGUAAGGAAUUUAAGUUUAGGGUUAGAGUAAUGGCAUCUCUUAUUUGUGCUUCAAUUGCAUGUUAAUUUUUGCUUGGGUAUAUGUUAAAAAAUGAAUGAAAAUAAAGUCAAUCACAUGUCAAUAACAUCUCAAUAACAUGUCAAUAACAUGUCAGUAAUGAUAUGAAUAAGAUAAUUGUGUUAAAUUGGAGGAGGCGCUCAAAACCUUCACAUUUGAAGCAGUGCAGAGUGAAGAGUACCUCUCUGGCACUAGAAUUUAUAUAUUUUGUGAAAUAAAUAUUAUUUCAUUUGUUACUAAAUUUGCCUAUGAGAAAUGAGAACAGAUAAUAAUAAACUCAUGAAUAAAAGUGCAAAGCAUUUGAAAUGAAGGUUGAUCUAUGACGAUUGUGGGUGACUGAAGAAAAAGGUAGAAAGAAAGAAGGAUGUGGCAAUUGCUUAGCAAGCAGAUAGCAGAGUACAUGCUUUGCUUUGCUUCCUUCCACUAUAUUUCUUAUUUAUUUAUUUUGGGUUGUGUAUGAGAUGACAAUAAUUGUCAUGUGUGUGAAGUGCAGAACUUGCCUACAUUGCACUCACACGAGUAUGGAUGCAUAAAUAAAACACGUGAAAUUGUUUGUAAUUCACAUAAUCAUUGCAUUAACAGGUAUUUGCACAAAAAUUGUCAUAUUGCUUUGAUGAUGUUAAAGGCUGUGAUGAGUAAUCCCUAUGCUCAUGUACUUUGUAAAAGUUGUAAUGUGCCUGGUUGACUAGUUGUGAUUGUGCAAAUACGUGGUAGUAUAUAUGUUCACGUUAUUUCACAUUGUAUUUGAGGAAAUGGGAUCCAACGUGGAGCUGGUAUGGCCAGAGGCAGAGGUAUAUUCGUCACGGGUGAACAACUGCUCACAUGCAAAUUCAUCUCUAGCUGCAAUUCGAGCGAAGUUGAGUGCGGAACAAUUAGAACAAUUCAAGACAUCAUGCUUUGGCCAUCUUCUGAAUAUAGAUAAGAUUCAGUUUAGCGGGCAGAUUGUGCAUGGGGUUGUGUUGCGUAGAGUAGCGGGGCAGGGUGUGAAAGACUUGGAUGGACUGAGUUUCUUAUUAGGGUGUGACGUUGCUCAGUUCACUCGUCAGGAUUUCUGUUUGAUCACAGGGCUUCGUUUUGGGGAAGUGCCUGAAGUUUCCAGUGGAGAGAGUGAUGAAAUCAGACUUCAGAAAAGAUAUUUUAUAGACGAAGGAAUUACAUGCAAUGCUUUAGAAGAAGCAUUUGUGAGGUGCACAGAGGAAGAUGACAUCUACAAGCAAGCUCUUGUUUACUUUGCUGAGUUAGUGGUUUUGGGAAGGGACAAACAUUUGAACAUCAAUCUAAAUUACCUGACCCUUGUAGAGGACUUGGAUGCGUUCAACAGGUAUCCGUGGGGUUCGGUGUCCUUUGACAAAACCCAAGACAGUCUAUUUUCUGCACCAACAAAGUAUGUGAAAAGCUUGGAAAAUGAAGAGGGAAGAGGGAAGGGGAAAAGUAAGGUAACGGGAACAAGCCGGAGAAAUGAGAAGGGCAAGAAGGAUAAGCAUGGUGAAGCGCAAAUGAGUGGCUGGAGUUUUAAAGGUUUCACGUAUGCUUUCCAGGUACAUGGUAAUAAUGUUCAUGUCAGUUAUGUUUUGUUUUUCUUUAAAACAUAAAUAAUGACUUUUGUCCUGUGAAUUGUGUAGAUUUGGGUAUAUGAAUUAAUUCCUAGAAUGGCGGACCUGAAUUACUGCAAGGUUGUUGAUCCGACCGUUGUCCCGCGUAUUUUGCGAUGGAGAACUACUACGUCUGUUCCAGAGAUGAGAAAGUUGAACAAUUAUUUUUUCCAGAGCAAAGAGGUUUGGUUUGCAGCCCUUGGAACUAUUGAUAAGAUUGAAUGAAAUUAUGAAGUAGAAUGAUUUGAUAUGACUCUUGUCUGUAUUCUGAAACAGUCAGUUCAGUUGCGGGCGCUAUGUCCGAGUGAAGAGGAAAUGAGACAGCCAUAUUGGAGUUGGCCACAGGAUCGCCCUGCUGUUGUCUCAGCAGAGUCAAUUCCUUCUUCAUGUGGUGAUCUUGAUGAGUUGAACAAGGUGGUAAGUUGGUUGAGGUCCGAGUUGUUUCAAGUAAAGCGGGAAAAAGACGUCCUUCACUUAAAGGUCAUACGGAUGGAAAAACUGUUGGACCAAUGUUUAGGUCCUCAGUUUGAGCAGGAAGUAAGGAGGGACCUAGCUUUACUGAAACAGAGGACGAAUCGUUGUGUCAUCUCACAUCUAUUUAAGGGAUAUGGGGAAAUGGAUGACAUUCAAUGGGAUGAAGGGCCAAGUAACAGAAAUGAGGGAGAGGAAAAGGAAGAUGAAGGGAUUGAAGGGGGUGAAGGGCCAAAUAAUAGAAAUGAGGGAGCACAUAAGGAAAAGGAGGGGAUUGACGGAGAGGAAAAGGAAGAGGAGGGGAUUGAAGGGGGUGAAGUGCAAGGAAAACCAAGUGAGGUAGAGGAAGGGCAAAGGAAAAGAAGUGAAGGAGAGCAAGUGCAAGUAAAAAGUAGCAAAGGAGAGGAAGCCCAGAGACAGAGCAGUGAGGGAGAGGAAGUGAAAAGAAAAAGCAGUAAGGGAGAGAAACUGCAAAGGAAAAAAAGGGAGGGCAAGGAAGUGAAAACACAAACAAGUGAGGAAAAGGAAGUGCAAAGAAACCAAUGUGAGAAAGAAGAUAAUGAAGUUAUGUUGCUUGGGGGUGACAUUGGCGAGAGCACGGAGGGGACACUGCUUGAGUUUACUGUCGGGGACAUUGAUUUGGAUGAACCUACAGCUGUGCUAUCUCAGUUGAACGUGUGGUUGAAUGAUAAAGGUAAAGCUCUGGCACAAGGGGUCCAAUUACGGAAAAGGAAGAGGAUCAUUCCUUUGUGGAAGAUCAUUGAAGGCAGUGAAUUGGUUCCAAAAAUUGGGGCACAGACAACCGGACUGAAGAUGUUAGACCCAAUGAAGGCGAUUUCGCAUGAUGAUCUGGUGAAAUUGCUGAAACUUUGUUGGGAAUGGCGCCAGGACCCAAAGUAAGUCCCUUGCAAUUAUAAGAUACAAGCAUGACUGUAUAUAAUUUUUUAUAUACAGUGUUCUAAAACUGUUUUAUAUUCAUAGUUUGGUGAUGCAAUUUGGCAACGUGGAAGCUGAGAUUGAAUUCUUCGCUUCCCUCGUGAAAGCUGAUGGUUGGCUGAAAGGAGAUGUAAGUGUAAUUGAUUAUGCAUUUGUUUUAAUGUACAUACAUUAUGAGAUUGACAAGAAAAACAUGUUGCAGCACAUUGAUUUGGGGUUGUAUCUCAUCCGGAAGCGACAACAACAGUUGGAGACAGAUUCGGUAGAAGUAGCGGACUGGACAACGACCGAUGUUUUUUUUAUGGUAUGUCAUCGGCCUUGACCAAGUGCCGUUAAUAAUUACACAUUUUCCAUACACACACUAGUGGAGGUGUUUAACCAUUGAUUGUUUUGUAUUUCACAGAAUCACAUUCGUACUUGCUUUGCGGAUAAUAAAAGAAAAAAACAGCAGCUUGGGUGGAAAAUCAGGAAAAGUUUACUAACCGUUGUAAAUGGGAAGGUUCCUCCGUGUGGGUUGGAUUGGCAGACCGUCUAUAAGGUGUAUACCCCAUUUAUGUUGACGAAGUACAAGCAUUGGGUGGCUGUAAUGAUUGAUCUGGUAUUGUGUGAAAUCAAAGUGUACGAUUCAAAGGUUUCACUAAUUCCAGAUGACAUCGUAAAGGAAGAACUCGGCCCGCUAUCAAUUACGCUUCCAAAUCUUCUCAACACCAUCGACUUUUAUGAAAAAGGUGUUUAUGCAAACAAUUGCAGCCAAGAUUAGUGGUGUCCGUGGCCAAUAGAGCGUGUGGAUGUUCCACAACAGUCUAAUGAGUAAGCACAACUUGCAAUUUAAUUUUAUUACUUUCAAUUGUCAAUUACGUUAGAAUGUCAUUAGUUGAAUUGAUCGAGUUCUUGUUUUGCUUCAGAGGCGAUUGUGGCAUGUUUGUGUUAAAGUACAUUGAGCUUUUCAGCGCUGAGCUUCCGUUAGCUACUUGCACCUCGCACAACAUGCCUUUUUUUCGGUUGAAAUUGGCUGCGGAGAUAACAAGGGGAGAUGCUUACUUCCCAUGAUAUUGGUUGAAGAUGACAAAUGGUACAUGAGAAGGUUUUGGGAAUGUCCAUUCUCAAACUAAUGUAAAUACACAAUAGAGAAGUACGGGUCCUUAUCGAAUUCUACCGCUAACUCCUUCAUGACAUUUACAUGUUUGUUAACCAAACUGCAUUGAAUUGGAAUUUUAAGACUGCAUAUGUGAAUUGGGAUUUGAAGAUGGCUUUUUAAGUGUAUUACAUCAUUGCAAAGUGAUAUGUCAUUGUUGAUGCAAGCCACCAUUAAUCGCAAUGUGUUGCAUCAUAAUAGGUGUCUAAACAUGCGAAAGGUUUUCCGCAGCUCAGUAGCAUAAAAGUAGAAACAAAGACAAUAUACACAAAAUGAACAACAAUUCACAAAUGCACCGACAAGCAAUACACACACAACAGACAAACAAUAUACACAAACUUGGCCUGCCAUAUACAGAGAAUAGACAUGCAAUAUACACACAGUAGACAUGCAAUAUACACACAAUAGACAUGCAAUAUACACACAAUACUCCCUUAACACACACAAUAGACAUGCCCUUGCCCACAAUAAUGAUGCAAUAUACUUCAGUCCCCAAGUACACCAACCAUAGGGAAGUCGUAUUGAAUAGGAUAUUAAACUUAACAGUUGUUCUUCCUACUAAAAGAAAGAAUAAGGUUCGUUUCCCCCCUUCAUUCUUACUUGAGUGAUACUUGUGGCCCCAAUAAACAUCCAAUUUUGGGGCAAUGAUAUUCCAUAUACAUGCAGCAAACUAUCAAUAAACCUUCAAUAAACCUUCAAUAAACAUUCAAUAUCGUUUCUAUAACAUGCGAAAUACAUGCAGUUACCAAAUAUUACAAAAUGGGUUUAGGGUCUCAUUGGUGGUGCGUGCAACAUGUCUUGUGCGGGAGAACUUUCACAAUCUUUUAAACCGUGCAGUUAAAUGAUCAUUAAAAGAACAAAUAAAAUGACAAUUGAUACAACUAAUAAAACUAAUACCAAGUCCUUAAUGGACUUCAGCAUGUUCAGCACUCUAGCAUCAUACGUGUCAUCUUGAUGUUCUGCUUCAGCGGAGGUUACAUCAACCCAUUCGAAUCCAUUGCAACUGGUGGCUCCCUAAUUGCAGGCAUCAUAUAUGGAAUAUAAUUCUGUCAGAGUUAGACAUAGGUUUUUUUUCACCCACAUACAUAUUCUUUAAAUUAAAACUUACAUAGGAGGUUAGACACUUCCAGAAUGGCUUCCCUCGAUUUUUGUCAGAUUUUGAAACCCGAAGCACCAUUGUAGCUCCACAAUACUGACACCUCUUUGUUUGAGCGGGAGAUGAAGAUGAAGACAUGUUUAAUCUUCUCAGUUGUACCUCUUCUCACUCAGAUCUUCUCACUGAAACCUCUUCGGACUCAUACCUUCUCACUCAUAGUUGUCAUUCAUACCACUUCACUCAUAACCCUAAACUUGUCACUCAGCUCUCUCUCAUCUCUGCCCAAAUCGAGUUAUAUUUCUUUUUUUUGGGAUCAUUUGGUGGGUUGGUCACGAUGUCGACACCUGUACCGUCAGCAUUGUGACAUCUUUUAGCCCGAAAAGCAAUAUAAACUACUUCACUACCAAAUAUAUUUUCUGAAUAAUGACGGGACACUGCUUCAAUUUUAUUAAUUUAUUUAUAUUUCAUUAAGGCAACUAGUUGGAUAAGAAUCCGUCAUUAUUGGUUCCAUUUUAAUAACAUUACUAGGGGUAAUUGGGUGUGGGAAAAUGAAAAAGUAUAUGAUGGGACCUUCUGUCACUAGUCAGUAAUCCAUCACAUUUGUAUCAAUGAAUUUGAUAGUGGGAUAAACCCAAAAAUGGCUAUGCAAAUAGCCAUUUAAUUAACUUUUUGACUGUCUGACUCUGUAUGCACCGUUAUGACGUUUUCCCUUCUUUUGUCUUAAGUUUUAAUUCACUGGGGUUCAGUUUCUUUCAAAAGGGUCAACUUGGAAAAACCCCAACUGGAAACACCUUUUCAAAACACUAUAAACAGAGGCUAAAACAAAACGUGUACCCCAAAUAUUAUCAUUUAUCCCCUCUGCCACUCCUCAAAUCGUUCCAUUCCAAAAACUUUUCAAUGAAUUCGAAACACUUCACUACAGUCGGAGGAAAGAGAAGGAAGCAUGUCCAUUUCGAUAUGCCCGAAGCCUUCAUCCCGGAGUCCGCUUGGUUUCAAGUCAUGUUAUACGUGGCAACCGAAUCAUCGGAAGAUCUCUUCCGUAUGGCAUCUGUGUGACGAUUGUUCCGAACUUUGGCAAACAGUUCACAAGUGUGGAACACCAUUUCAAUGGCAAAGUACCCAGACCAUCCUAUAUGGUACCGUGCCAGACCUGCGGUCCAGCAUUUCUUGCAACAAUGCAGGGCUUGCGAUAACCCUGAGUCCAUAUUUAGAGAAGCAUUCGAAGGUUUUUUCAGGCACGGUAAGGUGGAAGCGUUGUAUGGGAUGCGCAUUGCAGCCACGGCAGGCCAUAUGGAAGCGGCAUAUGUAGUUGGACUACUUGGUAUGUCCGGAAUUGGUCAGUCAAAAGAGGAUGCAUUACAAUUCUUGUGUUCUUUGAAUCAACGUAACAACAUUGAUAUGAAAGGAACCAGGGAUGCUUUGACAGGAAGAUUUCACGGAGCAUUUGUUGCAAGACAUAUCGUAGAUAUGUUUGACUAUGGGAAGAUUAAGUUCAAUCGGUGCAGCGCUUGUAACAACAAUGAAUGGUAUUUUGUUAUUCCAGGCUGGCCUAGUGAAGACAAGAUAAAUCCUGCGUUGUGGACUUGUUGCAAUCGAUGCAAAUGGCACCGUGAGAGUAUUUUUUGGUGCAAACUGAUGCGUGAGUAUGUUGUGCGAGGGAAUCACGUAUUUUUGCAUUAGUUUUAGUACGAAUUUACGGUUUUGAUGCAUUGUGGACUUGCUUCUCUUCACUUCUAGGUUGGCUGGCUACGUUAUACCUAUCUCAGUUUAAAUGUUGUUCAAAUGUUGGUAUUUUGUCAUAAACCGUUUUAUAUAUAAAUGUAUAAUAUUUAUUAUAUAGCGGAAUUAUUACUUACAUCAUAGACGGCUAGGAAUGACAUUUUACUGACACAGAUAUUUUGCUCACCGACCCCAAUCUUCAUAUUUGAUAAACGAAAAGUUAUGCAUGGAGUAAAUAGGUGUCUUUUCACCAGUGCUUGGGAAUGACAUUUUCCCACUUAGCAUAUCCGAAAGGAUUUGGUUACACGUUUCUUAACCUAGGGGGUUGAACAGUGAAUGACGUAGACUAUUUUUUGUGUGUGGAAGGAGUACAAUGGAUGACUUGUAUAUUUCCAUAUUAUGUUUCAAAACAUCCCUUCAACCUAAAAAAUAAAAAAAUUAACAAAUUGAAGAACAGAGAAACCGAUGAGCACUACAAAUGGCCUAUUCGCACGGAAAAUAAAAUUGUUUUCAACAAGUUGGACUAAAUAUAAUUAACAAAUGGACAGCCUAAAAAGUAAUAUCAUAAUAAUUAUAAUAAUUGUGGAUAAAUAAUAAUAAAAUACUAAUGUAACAUAACCAUUAAACAGGGAAUGCAGUAGGAAGAUGAAAUCGCAAUAAGUUCGUAGAAAUUUUGGGAUCGUUUUUCUAAUUUUUGUGUAUUUAGUUAUGAAUUUUCCAAGAAAAAAGGUAAUAAAAUAAUAAUUUAGGGUAAAAUGGGAGGAUGUGGCCAUGUUCGGUAACGUACACUUGUGCAAGUAGUCAAAAGUGACGGGCUGAGAUCGCGCCAGGUGUCAUAUUCUUGUUAAUUUUGGAUUCUUUUGUUAAAAAAUCUUUGAAACUAGGUAAUAAAUAGUAGGAAAAUCGUAAAAAUGGCCCAAAAAUUACUCCGGCCUCCUUUUGACGUCCUAAAACUAGGAGAACCUAUAAAUCAUUCGUCUCGCAAUGAAAUAAUCCAAAUUGUGUUACAUAACUCACUUUCCUCUUAACCCUAAGUAUUGAUGUUUGUUAACUUCAACUUGAAUAACCUACUUCAACAAGCAUCUCCCGUUAAUAUUGGGAAUUAAUUUUACAAAUGCGUAACAAUGAAUCGGAGAAUUCAGCAACGGAGAUGGAGUGUCAAUGAGUUCGUAGCAAUUUUCGGAUAAUUUUUUUAUUUUGUGUGUAAUUAGUUCUGAUUUUUGUAAGGAAAAGUAAUAAAAUAAUAAUUUAGGGUAAAAUGGGAGGGUGUGGCCAUGUUGACUGACGUACACUUGUGCAAGUAGUCAUCAGUGACGGGCUGAGAUCGCGCCAGGUGUCCUUUUGCUAUUAUUUUGGCUUUUUUAGUGCAACAAUCUGUGGACAUAGGUAAUAAAUUCUACGAAAAUCCAAAAAAUGCCCGGAAAAUGAGAAAAUGAAAAUUAUUUGUACAUAACUCACUUUCCUCUUAACCCAAAUUCACGUUAACACGUAUAUUUCGGAUAAUAUUCGAAAUAUAAUUUCUAAUAAUACAAUAUUUAGUUUCACUAUAUACAAUAAUAUGUUUUUUUUAUAAUAAUGUACAUAAAUAAUAAUUGCACAUGCUUUGAAGCCAUCAUUGCAACUACGCCUAGAGCUUUGAAGACGUCAGUUCGUAUUCAAUAAGUUGUCCACAUGCAACUGCACCUAGAGUUUUCAACACGUCAGAGGUAUUCAAUAAGUUGUCCACAUGCAACUGCACCUAGAGUUAUUAACACGUCACAGGUAUUCAAUAAGUUGUCCAUAUGACGCCGCAUUGGGAAUCAGUAAUAUAUUUUCAAUCAUGUCAAAUCACAUAAAUAAUGCCAUACUUUUUCUCAAUAACCUCACACAAGUGAAGCAAUUUUAAAACCCUUAGUGAAUAUUUAUCCUAGUCUAUAUGAGUGAUUAUAUAAUCAGUUGCAUAAUAUUUUUUUCACAGUAUAUGUUAACUUUGAGAGGGAUUCCACAAACAUAAAAUAUAAAGAAAGCAAGAAAUAGUAGGAAAUGAACCAGUACAAAAAACAAUAUAUAAAGUGUACAUAAUAAUUCCAUAACCUUGUCACAAACGCACUCACAAAAGCUUUUCCAUAAACCUUGUCCUAACAUAUAAUAAAUAAAGGCAACAUUGCAUAUGAUGCAACCAUGUCCAAAUCUGAUAAGUGAUCAAAAACAAAUGGACAUGGCAGCAACAUAUGAUUGAAGUAGAUGGGCUCUUUGCAUCUUCUGUUUUCGUAAUUAAAGACAUCAAAAUAUUAAGGUUUAAAUCUUCCAUAGUAGUUAGCAUCAAAAUAGCUUUGAAGCAGAGUGUAACGAAAAUUCCAAUUCCACUUAUUUGCCUCUGCUCAAACACGAGAACCAAAAUGGUUACUUCCCUUGCUGAGUAUAUUUGGUGACGUCGGAAACGGUAAUAGAUGACCAAUCAAACCCGGGUACGACGAGUUUUGCAUAGGAUCGGAAGUAGUCGAAUCCAGCUUGCAUCACACGCUUCUUUGACUCCACUACAUUAGAUGAGUUCUUGUAUUUUUGAACAGCUACACUCUGAAGUCGUUUGUGUCUACGCUUCAUGCGCUGCAACUUCGCCCUAUCCAGAUUGGCCUGCCUUUUGUCAUCUUCAAUUUGGCCUUCCACAAAUUCCAAACGUGCCCUUGCCCUUUGGAUUUCAUCACCAAGUUGAAGAUGCCUCUCCUUCCAAAAAGCAACAACUCUUUCAGACUCAAAACUUCCAACAAAAUGGUCAUUCUGUCUAGCAAUGUGACAUUGCUUGUCUGGUGACUCACUUGCGUGUCGAAGCCGGUCUUUGUUUGGAGGGGUGUUUAUUAUACUCACAUCAAACUUGGUUGUGCUUAUGCUCAUUCUUUGGGGGGAAUGAGUUUGUUUGCUUGAGAGAGUAUCGGUAGAUGGAGACAGAUUCGGUGGAGGAGUGAGUUUUGUGUGGAAGGAGAUUUUAUAUGAAAGGGGUGAUAGUAAUACCAAGAAAAGGGUUCCCGCCAAAAAAUAUUUGGUUGACAAAGUAGAAAUUAUUUUUUUAGUCUGAUACAAUCUAAGUUUAAUCCUAACUAGUUUGGUUGAGUUAACUAAGUAGAUGUCACUUCCAUUGACUUUCUUUCAACAACUAUCAGUGGUGUAAGGAGAGUGUGAGGUUGACAUGCUUGAAAAGCAAAAGCUGACACCUAUUUUUAAAAAAUUCCCGCCAAAAAGUACAUAUGUUGACUACACACAAGCUUUGGUAUGUUGGUCUAUAAACCUAUGUUCCCUUUCUCAAACGAAAUUGCAUAUGCAAUCCUCAUCCUCCCAAAACAAAGAGGAUUAUUCAAGCAUGUCAACCUCUUCAGGCGCCAACAACACAAUCGAACAUGACAAAUUGGAGUCACAGGUUCUAUUUCCACAUUGUACUCGCCGACCCCUUCCUUUUUCAACAUCAUUUGGGAGUGAGGGGGACUCCGAUGAUCCAUUAGAGGCAAUACAUGCAGUCAGUGGCAAGCUGGAUUAUAAUUCCAGACUGAUCAAUUCAUGGCACGAGAAAUGUGUUGAAGACGAGGCAAUUUUGGCUGAUCUUAACAUUAGGGUGAGCAAAGCGUUAUCCCAAAAGAACAAGUACUUGAAGCUGAGUCAUAGCAGGAAGCUGAAAGCUGAGGAGUUGGAUACAGUAAUGAAUGAUGAAAUGAAAGGUUGUUUGAUGAACCAUAUGCGAUGCGAACAGCACCAUACUGAACUGGAGUUGGCAUUCAACGAAGGAUUCGACAAAUUCCGAGCAUUUGCGGCAACUACUCAUACAAGUUAUGAUUGGAACUAUGUGUCCCCUGAUGCUGUGAGAGAGAUACUAGACGAUGGGGGUGACAUGAAUGAGCAUAAGCACGUCAAAGCUGCUCGGAAGAAGCCGACCGAUACGACUAAGUGAUUGCGGCUACCGCUGUUCAGUUAGUUGAGGGUGACCGUGGUAUUGCACAUAUACUCCCUUAAUGUCAUUAUCUAACUUAAAAUAACACAAAUAUCAGUUUCAUUUGCUUGAUAUAUAAUUAUUGGGACUAUGUAUUGCAAGUCAUCAUGUGUUAUAAUGUCUAACAUUAUAUUUUGCAAAUAUGGAAAUAUUAUUCAAGAAGCAGUCAAUAUCACAGAAAGCCGGGAAUCAGUAAAUGCUCCUUAUCAUGUCCAUUUACAUUAAAGAGCUGGAGUACUAAUGUGUUCAAAAAAAACUGACACGUGAGUCAUAAGUAACAUAACAUGUGCUAUACAUUGUUUACUGAAUGGUUUAUGGUUUAUUUGUAUAUAAUAAAAUUUCAAAUAUUGCUGAAGAUUUAUUUCGUGUAUAUCACUAGGGAUAUGAGUGGCCAUAAGCAUGUGAGACCUGCUAAGAAGAAGCUGACGAGUACGACCCAGUGAUUGGCUACCGUUGUUCAGUUGGUUGGGGAGAUCGUGGUAUUGCUAUGAGGAAGCACACAAUAUGUUUUGCAAUCAAAUGUUCUUUUGUGUGUGGAAUUAUGAGUAUUUAUGUAAGUUAGUGUACCCUUUAAUAUUUUUCACCUAAGUAUCGAAAUGCAGUUUUUGAAUGUUAUGUUUUUUUUUACCCGCUGCUUUCUAUUUGCUCUGUUCCAACAAAGUGCUUCAAGUAUCCUUCACUUACAAAAGUGUACAAAAUCGUGCCCCUAAUAACCAGUCGGAAAAAGUGGCUACUGCUGGAAAUGAUUACUGGUAAUGGAAACAACAGCUGGCUGCUGUAAUUGCUGCAUUACCGUGAGGAUUUGAAAAAUGAAUCUCUGUUAAAACAAAUUUCACCCUAAACUGCCCAUUUUACAUGGUAAAAGUCAUUGCUUCUUCAAAUCUUUUGCAGCUACACGAUGCGUGGUCAGAAUCUUUGACAUAUACGACUUCUGCCACUCUUGUUUCCCAAUUUUUUCUUUCGCUCACGUUGAACACAACUUUACAAGCAUCCUCUGUUUUGAGCUCUAGGAAACAUGCUGUACUUUGUAUUAGUUCUUGCUCAAACUUUUGAAACAUUGUCCUUGUGUACAAGGUAGCCAUUUGUUUGUUCAUUGGCAUCGGUAGAAGACAUUGAGCCACUUCAAAUGCAUCUGCGUGAUCAGCAACUAACUCUUUUUCACGUUGAUGAGAAAGUGCCCUCUCAAAUCGUAUUAUGAAAUCCAUCAACGAAUUUCUCCUUGAUAUGUAUUGCUUGAAAAAACCAUGAGAACCUUCCGCUCUUUGGCUGCUUGACAUUCCAGCGGCAAAAAAUUGUCGUGCGUAGGCUGGAACCCAAGAUUCCCUUAAAUCAAACAUUGAACUUAGCCAUGGAUGGUCAGUCAAACCAGCCUUUGUAACCACAAUAUUCCAUUUUGCAUCAAACUCAUCCUUAUUGUCAGUAUCCCAUAUGGCUUUCUGAAAUUCAGGCCAAUACUCCUUAUAAGCGUCACGUGGUAACUUAACAGAGAACUUUGAUGUGAUGUGCUAUAUGCAAAGUCGAUGAAAUGUACUCGGGAAGGCUAUUGAAAUCGCUAUGGCCAUUGCCGCAUCUUGAUCUGUAAUGAUCGUUUUAGGUUCCCCACCUGGCAUGGCUUUCUUAAACUCCUCAAACAUCCAAACAAACGACUCAGUCGUUUCCUUGCUCAAAAAUGUGCAUGCUAACACAAUUGUCUGACCAUGGUUAUUAACUCCCAACAUUGGUGCAAAUGUCAAGUCGUAUCGAUUCGUGUUGAAUGUGGUAUCAAAUACAACAACAUCUCCAUAAAACCCAUACGCCCGUCUAGAAGUUGCAUCUGCCCAAAAACAUCGACUAAACCUAUCAUGCCCAUCUCCCUCAAUCUUGAAAUAAAAAGCCUCAUUUUUUUUCUGUUCAGCCAUAAAAUACUCGGUCACUAGUUCAACAUCGUGGUUCCUCAGCUUCCCAAUCACACUACAUUCAAGAUUGUAGAUAUCUUUUUUGAUAAAACCGAUUUUAUCCAUUCCUCCGGAUUGCACCUCGAAAAUACUUACCUUCUGAUGAAUGGGAAUAUUAACUGAACCCAACUGUUUUGUGAGUACUUUUGUAGAAUCUGAAAUAUGACGGUGUGAUCUCAAUAAAUGCAUUCUUUCUAAGGGUGUCAUCUUAUGAUUGUGUCCCUCUGCAAAAAGAGAAAUGUUAUACUUGUUGCUCCCAUUUGUCUUCACAACCACAAUCUUUGCUUUGCAAUUGCAUCUACUUAUUCCCCGUUGUCUUUUUCUCUCCCGAGUUUCAUCCUUCCUGUAUGCACCUUGUUUGCAACAUACAAAUUCUUUCCUCAAAAUCUCUUUCUUAUUUUUCCCCCAAAAGCUAGAAUGAAGUCGAAUACCAAAGCCAGCCAAGAAUGCAUAUCUAUUAUAGAAAUUGUAAACGAGGUCAAGCGAGUCAAACUUCAUCCCAACUGCUGGUGUUUCCUCAUUUCUUACUUCAGGAAUAUAAACCCUCCCAUUAGCUGUUGCACAUUCAUCACUCUCUGAGCCCCCAGACAUUUUAUCUACGUAUAUUAUUGAUCCACUUCUAUAUUACUGCAUAGCAAUUAUUCAUUCAUUAAUCAGUCAUUACUGCAUCACAACAUAUCAAUGCAUUCCACUUACACAAAACAUUGCCCAAAUUGACACAAAAUACGCAUAGCCUAACUUCCGAUUACACAAAACACAAGCAAAAUUUCAUAAAAGUUACGUCAUCUCUUGUGAAAUAAUCUGGUCAAAAUAACAUUAGAACCAACAUGUUCAACUAAGAACACAAAUGUAAUUCAAACCACCAAUUACAGAACUUCACCCAAUAUCCUCUCCAACUGCUUACUCCUAAUGUCAUUAAGCCUAAGUUUAGGUUCUUUUACCUACAUUUCAUAAUUUUUCACCCCGACCAACAACAAUGAACUAAGUAUAUUGAAUAUUCACAAGGAAAUGACACAUUAUUGAUGCCACAAAUGACGAAUUUCCCACCCUCACAAAAAAUAAACCUAACCCAAUAAAAUCAAUCCAGCAAGUGAACUUACCUCUCAAAAUCAAUCGAGAGCUCUGAAGUCAGUCAGCUUGAAAGAAUGUGGUGGACAUUAGAGAAGACUCUUUGGUAUUUGAGACUCCAUCUCUAUCAAAAUCGAGGAACAACUGCUGCUGCGGCUUCUAGCUACAAAAACAGAUAUGCUACUUUGCUUUCAUCUAGAAUCUUGUCAGCUGAAUGAAAAAGAGAAGGGGUUUUCACUUGAGCCAUAGAAUCAAAACAGGGCAACAGCUAGGUAAGAGCCAUUCUUCGUAAUACCCAGGAUACCAUAGAUCGCAGGCCUCCCAACGAGCUAAUGACAGUGGAGUGACUAUAAGGUUUGGGAGAUUUGGAUCCUUCUAAUUGUGGGUUUGCUUUACAUUCAAAAAGAAAGGAUUGUGUUCUUCAGUUUUUCACAGAGAGGGAAAGAGGGGAACAACUGAAGUUGGGUUUCUAACGGGUUAGAUUUCAACCCGAUUCUACAUGCACCCUCUUUUAAAAACUCACCGUUGGAUGAAAUCCAACGGCUCUUACAUACCCCUCAAAAACACCCCUUAUAACUUCCCACUCACUAUAGAAGCUCCCCCAACUAAAUCCCAAAAGGGAAACAGAUUUGAACAACAUACAAAUUUGAAGGACACACAAAUAUGAAUCUCAGCACCGGUGAGAAAUUAAUUUUAGUUGAGGUUGGUAGGUAGGCAUUGGAAGUUUUUAUUGUUUUUGCUCCAAGUCCCUCCUCCACUCACUAAUACAGAUUACUCGCAAAUGAACUAAAGUCUGCAGGGAUAUAUGGACUCCCCUGUCCAUACGAAUGUUGGAAGAAAUGUGUGUUAAAUUUUAGAGAGACGGGUCUGUGACCCACCACUAGCAACGUUGAUAUUGUCUCCAACUUAACUACAUGUUUAGUAGAUGUGGGGUUUUAUACAAAAAGUAUUGAUGUUAUUGGGAAUGGAACCACUUAUUAUAAGUUAAAAUUUAUUUAGUCAAGUUUCCUAUGUGGGACUUUCUAUUCUUCAACAAGCCCCUUCAUGUGGGACCACCACAUAGUGGGCCACACGUAGAGCCAAGUCCACAUCGGAGUCAAUCAUUCAAGCCCAAUACCUAAACACCACGUAUUGUGUGAGGGGUAGGGGUAAACAUUCAAGCCCAACAUAUGAACACUGUAACAUCCCAACUCCAAAUUUAAUCCCUUAUUUAAAUUAUUUAAGUGAAAUUACAAAUUUACCCUUGGGGUAGGGAUAUUUUGGUCAUUUUCUUACCCGAAAAGAGUUUGGGGCAGUGACUAGUAUUUUUUGGUAGAUCGUACUGAGAUGAGUCUGUAGACAUGUAGUGGGCUCGAUUCGGAGUUGAAACGAAGAAGUUACGAGCAAAACAUCACCAAUGGCAAAACCGUAAAUAUUUCAAAAUGAAUUUUUAAUAAAAAAAACCUGAAAAACCCUCUCUCUCUCUCUCUCUCUCUCUCUCUCUCUCUCUCUCUCCUGCGCACAGCCCCUUUCCCCCCUUCGUUUUUUCUUUCCGUGGCUUCCAAGAGCCACCAUCGCCACCACGAAUCACCACCGGCCAUGAGGCCGGACUCGUUCGAACUGCCGCCGCAUCCUCUUCCUGUUCCGGUCGCUCCCAGUCGCUGCCAUCCGCUGUGCUGGCCGGAAAUCGAAGAAAACCAGCCGAUUUUUGUCAAACUUUCGGCCGCUCGUUCUCCCACUUCCGGCCACCAUUUUGGCCAUCCAGGUAUAGAUUUUGAACCUCUCGAGCUGUUCUUGCUGCCUGUUGUGUUAGAUUUGGGAGAUUUCCGCGUUUUGAAGGUCGAUUAAACGAUGGAAGUUUGGCUGGUUUUUGGCCUCCGAUUCCGGCCACUUUCGGUCACUUUUUGGGGUAGGUCCAAGAACAAAAGUGGUUCCAAAUAGGGUGUUAUACCUAGGGUAGGAGUCUUGAGCCGUGGUUUUGAGAUUUCUCGGUGAUGCGUAAUCGCUUUGGACACCCAUACGCUACCGGCGCGUGUGGUGGCGCGUGGGCACUGUAGAAAUGGGGUAUUGUGUCCCGAUGCGAUCCCCUUGUUGUCACGAGUGUGUAGUGUGCUCGGAUUCCAAUUUGGUUGACAUUCGAACCCCGAACGAAUUUCUCCUAUUGCACGUUAUCCGCGUUUGAUAGGUUUGAACCGUUGGAUAGUCUUGAAUUUAAUAUAUUUAAUCUAAGCAUUUCUAGGAUCGUGUAGGAAUUCACGGAUCAUGAAUCGGAACCCCGGAUGUUCCGAUUUAAUAAUUUAAAGUUUAUGUUUAUAUUAACUGUCAGAUCGUGCAAUCGUGAGCGAUCCGACCUUCCGAUCCGGACCAAACGUGCAGGACGUAUAUCCUAAACCUUGUGGAACCUAUAGGAACUUUCGAAUCAGAAUUUAGAGGUCGUGGGCCUAGUGGCCCCGUUUGACCAAGUGUGGAUAGUUUGACCCUUGGUUGACCUUGAGUCUUCCAAGGUAGUUUUCCUUCCUAGAAGGAUUAUAAUGACCCUAAUGACAGGUCUUGAGCGUUGUUGAGCCAUGUUGACUAGGUUAAGAUUUUUAGAGUGUUUAUUAUUGUCGUAGGAAACUCUUGGACAUUAUUUUAAUAAUUGGAAUUAUAAAAGUGAGUUUUGGGUUCGGCUAUGACUUUAGUGAAUGGACUUUAUUUUUAAAUGAAUAGCAUGGCUUUGUGAUGGAAUUUUUAGGCAUGUGAAUUUAAUGGUUUAUUGAAAUUCAUUUUUAUAAUUAAUAGUUAAUUUAGCAGUUUUGGUAAAGUAUUAGUGAUGUGUGGGGUACUUGGGAUUUUGUUGAGGUUUAUACAAUAUUAGAGAUUAACUUAUAUAUUUAAAUAUAGGUAUGAAUGUAUGAAAAGAGUUUAGAAUGUCAGUUUGAAGUACUAUACGCACUACCCUAGGUACCUCAUCGGAUUUUGAUUACACUAUAAGUACCACCCUGUGAUUGUCAGGUCACCCAUGGCGUAGGAUUUUCCGGCGGAAUGACAGACCCCAUACGUGACGUUGGAAUUUCCGGCGUAUGGGGAGAUGAUAUUAUGAUUGUUAAGUCACACGUGGCAUAGGUUAUCCGGAGUGCUGACAGACCCCAUAUGUGGCGUUGGAAUUUCCGGCAUAUGAGGAGAUUAUGUGAUUGUUAAGUCCCACGUGGCGUAGGUUAUCCGGCGGGAUGAUAGACCCCAUACGUGGGGUUGGAAUUUUCGGUGUAUGGGGAGAUGAUAUAAUGGUUAGGUCACAUGUGGCGUAGGAUUUUCCGGCUUGAUGACAGACCCCAUACGUGGCAUUGGAAUUUCUGGCAUAUGGGAGAUUAUGUGGUUAUUAGAGAGAUGAAUUAAGAUUAUUAUACUGAGUUGGGAACGAAUGAUGUUUGAAAAAGAUUUUGUUUGGGAUUUCUGCAAUUGAUUGCAUGUUGAUGGACUUGGAAAUUUUGUAUGAAAGAACUACGUGUGGCUUGAUCCCUUAGUAAGGGUACAUAUGCAGCUUAGGGUAGUGCCUAGGUGCAGCCGUGUGCUAAACUUUACUCAUGUUGUGUGAUGGAGAUUCGUUCGGACCUUGUUGUUAGUCCUGAAUUUUAGGUGAAAAUGAGAUGCAGUCUUGUUAGGAGGUUUAAAUUUUCUACGUUUAAUAUUUGGGAAUUUAGAUGAUGGAAAUCGCAUUUGGCGUUCAUAAAUGUGUUUGAGUUUAUAUUUGCAUUGUUUAGAGUUAGUUGGUGGUUUCGUUUCGAAUUAUUUGAAGGCCGAAGGCUGAUUAUGUGAUUUAUAUGAAAUUAUCUUGUGCAUACUGCCAGUUGUGAAUAUCAAAUGUGUUUUAUGCACGUUGAAAUUUUUAGGAUUGUUCAACUUACAGGGGAGACUGCCGAAAUUUCGGCAUAAAAUCUCGUGCCCUUAUUCCUUAUUGGGAAAAAUGAUUUAGUUUUAGAAGUGGGUUCGACAUCGGGGUGAUGUCGGGAAUUUUCACAGGAUUCAUCUCGGGUUUCGGGAAAUUCGGGUCGGGUCCUGUCAAACACCACGUAUUAGGUAAGGGUAAAGGCUCAAUUCAGGCCCAGUCAAUCAACCCAUUAUGAUAUCAUGUUAAAUUUCAGAUAGACGGGCCUGUGGCCCACCACUAGUAACAUUGAUAUUGUCCCCAACUUAACUACAUGUUUAGUAGGUGUGGAGUUCUAUACAAAAGAUCUCGAUGUUUUUAGGAGUGAAACCACUUAUUAUAAGUUGUAAUUUAUUUAGUCAAGUUUCCAGUCAACCUGACUUUGAUACCAUGUUAAGAUUUUAAAGGGACGAACUCUUGGCCCACCAUUAGCAAUAUCGACAUUGUCCCCAACUUAACCACCUGUUUAACAAGUGUGGGGUUUUAUCCUAAAGAACUCGAUCUUAUUAAGAGUGGAGCCAUUUAUUAUAUGAAACUUUCUAUUUUGUUAACUCUGUGUAUUCUUCAUCAAUGUGAACACCCCUAAACCAAUCAUACCUGAUACGGAUUGAAACACAAGUUUGUUUUUUGCCUUUGGUAGAUGAGUAGCUAGAAAAGCUCAAUGCACUUGCUCUUCUUCUGCUACAUUUCAAUAUAAGAACAAGGUUUGGAAGCCAGGUCAACUCCUCAUAGUUUCCUUGCCUUUGCUUUGACAUGUCUAUGCACUUCUUGGGGAAGUUUGAAUAAUCAAUUGCAGGCCCCACGACAACUAAGGAACCAACAUUUUGUAGAAGGUUUUGUCUACACCUUUUGACUAUAAGUAAAAUCUUUUGUAUCUGCUCUUAUGUUUCGGUGAAGUUUCUAUGUGUCCUUUGUUGAACGAAAAAAUGAGGUUGUUUCUUACUAGAUUCAAAUACUUAAAAGAAAAAAAGAAAUUAUUGUUUCUUAAUUGAUUUUAUGGUGAACAAUAUCAAACUCUCCUCUUAUACGUCUUCUUCGUUGGACUUGGGGUUGUUUUCCUUAUAUGUCCCUUAUAUAUAUAGGGCCUUUGGUUGAGCCCACAAAUACCUUCAGUUAGUUUUUGGGUUUAGGGGCCUACAGAACCUGCACUAAACAAUAAAAGAAAAUACCUAAUUAGUUUAGUACGAAUUCUAUAAUGAAGGCUUUAUUAGGUAAGAUUUUAUUUCUUAAUCGUUAGAUCAAAUUUGACAGGACCCGUUCCUGAAUUUCUCGGAAAUCAGAGCGAACCCCGUCCUUGUUUCGACAUCACCCCGAUGCAGGGUCCACUUACUAAAAACCGAGACUUUCUACCAAAAUUUUGAUAGAAUCUCCCUUGUAAAUUGAGCAAACCCAACAAAAAUUUCAGCCUGCAACAUACAUAAAAAUAAUCCCAACCAGCAGCAUGCUUACAACAUACAACAAAACGUACUAAAUGGCCUCCGGCCUCACAAGUAAAAUUUAACAUGGGUAAUCUACUGAUGUAAACGAUUCGGCCUUCGAACACUGCUUGCAACCUUCCUGAAGCGACUACUGGCUAAGGGGCGCAAAACAGAAAACAUGUGAGUGGACAAAAACAAGAUUCAAUUAAAACAACAUAGUAACCCCACCGUGUAAAAAUAAUGCUCAAGACAUGUAGGUUUACAAUUCAUAAUUAAAUAUUCAAAAACAAAUUUCAUUUAAAAUUCUUUAAAACCACAAAUCACUCCAUCCAUAAAACCUCAUGCCCACAAUUUUACUGCUCCUACCAACCCACUGUAUAGACUCUAAUUUCUUCACAAUCACAACUAUAUAUAAAUAUAUAAAUUGUAUCAUACAACAUACUCCUCACACUACUUAGGUACAGGGGAAACAAUCCAACCGGAGGAUCGUUUAACUAGCCCGCAGGAUUUUCAGGUGCUAUCCUGAGUCUAGGAAUGAGUGGUCCAACCAGGGGACGAAACUCUAUAGCUCACACACCGGAACAUCCAACGCCACGUGUAGCUCCAAUACUAAGUCCUACAGGCACAGACUGGAUCACCACACACCGGAACAUCCAAUGCCAUAUGUGAUAAUCCCAAGCAAUAUACAGAGUCUUCCCAUACGUCGGAACAUCCAACGCCGCGUAUGGAAAGUGUUCACACGCCGGAACAUCCAACGCCACGUGUGGGAAGCCUAUUAACUGGGGAAAGUACUUACAUAGUGUAAUCAUACAAUUUCUCUCAACAACUCCUCAUACUCAAGUUCUUCCACAAACUCACCUCAACAAUCCCAAGUACCCCACCUAUAGACAAUAUAUAUAUAACUUCCCCAAAAUCUAUACAAAACAUACUCUCGAUAUCCAAAUAUGCCAAACUCACAAUAUAUUGCCAAAGUGCAAUACAAACAUCAAAAUCAACACAUGAAUAUAAUAUAUAUUCAAUAUACCAUUUAAAACAUUAUGCGUAAAUCUUUCAUCAAUAAAACCAUGCGUAUGAUUGAAAACAAAGUCCACUCACAAGUAUUCCUACGCUGCUUGACCACGAGAGAGUCCUGCCUGCUGAGUACGUGCAGUAGGAGCACCUAUUUUGAGAUACAAACCUUUAAUUAAUAUAAAAUUACUUCAAAACGGAAAACACAAAUUAAAUACUUAAAUCCCCAAGUUCCCAGUACAUGUACGUUGAACGAGGUAUCCUAAGGUCUAGUUACAAGUUUGGGAAUCGCUCACGAUUGGACGGUUAUCGCUAACCCACAAAUUUUGAAUUAUUGAAUCGGAACAUUCGGGGCUCCGAUUCACGAUCCGUGAAGUCCUACGUGAUCCUAGGAAUACCUAAAACAACAUAUUUUAAUUGGAAAACGCACAAUAUGCGAAAAUCCGUUCGAUAGUCAAACGAUGUCCGAAUUGAGAUUCGCAAAAUGCUACGCACUCGUGACAACCUGAGGAUCUCAUCAGGACAAAGUGCAACUUCACCACCCUCACCCACGCGCCGGCAGCGCGUGGGUGUGUAGAGUAAAUUCCGGCGAUGGAAAAACUCCACACCUACUUGAGGUCAGGAUCUCAUCACUCAACUACAGGGAGGUUCAAUUAGGACGGCAACUGGCCGGAAUUUCACUUUGAAAUCCAGCCAAAACUUAGGUUUUCUAAUCGGUUCCUAGACAACAAAUCGAUCUAAACCUAUGCAACAGUCAGCUAGACUAAGGAAAAAGAGGAAGAAACCUCACAUUUUUCACUGGAAUCGGAAGGGAGAGGCGACGGGGCGACGUCGGGAAGACUCGGGUUUGAACCAGUCGAUGCCGUUGACGAUUCUCGCAUUUUUCGGGGGGACUUUGGGUGGUUCGGGUUAGUGGCUUCACGACGAGUCGAACGGGACCGGUCUCGGGGGCUGGGGUGGUCGGGUGUGGUGGCGGUGUGGUGGUUUUCGUCUCGGUGAACAGUAACAGGGGAGGGUUUCGCACGCGCAGAGAGGGACUCGGGAGAGAGAGAGAGAGAGAGAGAGAGAGAGAGAGAGAGAGGAGAGAAAAGAAAAAUUAGAUUUUUACUCUCCUCUUUUCAAAAUAUUUACAAGUUUGCCACUAAUGAUGUUUUGAUCGCCAUUUUCUUGUUACAACUCCGAUUCAAGCCUACCGCAUGUCUAGGAAUUCAUCUCAGUACCACCUACCCAAAAUUACCAGUCAUGGUCCCAAACUCUUCCCGUAACAGAAAAUGACUAAAAUACCCCUACCCCAAGGGUAAAUUCAUAAUUUCACUUAAAUAAAUUAAAAAUAGGAAUCAAAUUUGGAGUCGGGGUGUUACAAAAUUGGUUAGUACGAUCCAACGGUUAAUAGAUAAAACUUUACAUAAAAGUCAUAUAUAAGGCCCUCACUAUAGAAUGACUCGUUAGUUUAGUCUCUUGUUACAUAUCAACUGUUAGAGAUAUUUUUUUAAUAAGGAUCUACCAUACCACAUAGUUGGAUAAGACAUUAUACACAACUUUUGUAAGAGCAUCUCCAGCGAGCCAGGCCAGCCCAAGCAGCAAGGGGCCUUAAGCCCGGUAAGCAGCUCCAGCGCUCAAGAUUCAGCCCAGGCAAGGUGUGGAACCCACAAGGAGAUCUGGCCCGUCACCUUGCCUUUGGGUUUCAGUCAGGCUGAUGUCAACGAAAGAAUUUCAAAAAAAUUUUGCCGUUGCAAUGCACGCGCCAACGAUAAAUUUUCUUUGGAUUUCUUGCGUUGAUCCACAGCUACCAAAAACCAACGGCUACAAGCCACGUGGCUUCUCCAAGAGCCUCUGAUCCAAAAAUCUUGUCAAAUCUAACGGCUGUCCAUUUUUUGGCUAAAAAAAUAUCAAAAAAUUAUGGAAACAUUUUCUAUAAAUACCUACAAAUAUUAUUCACUUCCCACACCAAACCUUCAUACAAAUUCAUAUCCUUUCAAUAUUUUUCACUUUCCACACAAGAUUUUCUACUACUAAAUUUCAUUUGUGUAAAAAUACAAGUGGCCUCUUCUAUCAAAGCCGGAGGCGCGUGGACAACCGUGGAAGAUAUUUUGUUGUGUGAGUGUUGGGUCAAAGUUGGUCAUUGCCCGAUCACCGGCAAUGAGAUGAAGUCCUCUCGUAGGAGUUUCUGACAUCGCAGCGAAAGUAAGAUGUGAUAUGAGAAUGUAAGGAAUUUGAUGAGAGGAAUGGGAUUUGAGGAGUUUGAUGUAGGAAUUGAUGUUGAAUUGGAUUUGGGAGGUAUGUAUAUAUGAUUUGAGAGUAUGUGUUUAGGGAUUUUGAUAGGAGGAUUUGAGGAAUUUAGAUUUGAGGGAUUUGGAUUUGGGGAAUUUAAAUAUGAGGAAUUGAUUUAGGGUUUGGGUUUGAAUAUGAGAAAUUUGAUAUGAGAGUUUAGAGACAACUGAUGAUUGAUUGCUCUAAUACCAUGCUAAAAUAUAAAUAUGGUUUGAAUACUUUAGGUUGAGUUUUAUUCUUUUCCAUAAGGAGGUAUAUAUAGCAGUUUACAUGAGUGUUUUACAAGGAAAUAGAUACAGUAAUCAAUUAGGAUAAUAUCUCCUAAUUAUACAAUAAUUUGUCAACUAUAUAGAAUAGGAAAGUAAAUUCCUUAAUUAAUCAAGAAAAUAAAUCUCAUUGAUUAAUUAAGAGACUAACGUCAACAUUUAUAAGCCAUGGAAGAGCAGAAAAAGAGGUACUUAGGAGAUUUUAUACGUCGGACUAAGGUAAGCUUAAAGGACUAUAUCAAAAAAAUAAGGGACCAAGAAGCAAGACUGAGAAGUUGUUAUGCAAACCCAUUAAGUUUAGCAGUGAUGAAUUUGUAAAAAUCAUUCUAGUGGAUGCUGCCUUCACUAUUGAGUUCUUAUUGAGGUUCUAUCUGAAAGGAUGUAGACAUGAAGGAGACCGCUUAUUAAACAAAUCAGCUCCCAUUCUUUAUUCUUGAGGAUCUUUAUCACACAUACAUAAUAACCGACUCUUUUAGGAAUUAUUACAGUACUCAUGAUCAUGAGAGGCUUUCAAUAAUUAAUAUUUCUAAGAAUUUCGUCACAGCUGGAAUAUUGAAUUUGGAGGGGAAGGGAGACAAAUGGAACAGAAUAUCAUCUUCUUCUAGUGUUGGAAAUUUUAUAUUAUUUAAUAAUAUUUAAUUUCUAUUGUGAAUGAAAAAUAAGUUUCUUUAAGAAACGUGUGUCUUAGGCCAGUUUUUCUAACUGGUCGGCUUCCUUAGAUUUGUGCCUAUUGCUUUUCAAAGUAUAAUGAUGCAAUGGUUGUAUCUCGUUCAGGCAAAUGGAAGGUAUAUAGCAAUUUAUAGAACAAUACAGUAAUCCAGAAGAAAUAUUAUGAAAUGAAAAGAAUAAAAAGUAAAAAAAGAGAAGGAAAGGAAUUCCCACCUGCAAUGUAUAUGUAUGAAAGGAAGGACCAAGUUUGUUUUAAAAUGGUAAGAACAAGUUGAUUUAUAAUUGGGUUCAGAUCAACUCAUGGAUUUCUUGCCUUUUCUAUUCUCCUUCCUUGGACAUGAACUGUUUAAUCUUGGCUCUUCCCCAUCAUGUUGGGCCUAUCUUCUUCUUGAGGAUUGUAUAGGCCCAGGAAAUGCUUCAAGAUAGUUUUUGUGUUUUGGGCAUUGGGACCUAACUUCACAAAAAGAAAACAGAUUUGGCCAAAAAACAAAUUUGAAGGACAUUGAAAUUGUACCUGUAGGAUAGGUUAAAACACUGUAAGGGAGGUAAAUAGUACGUUUACAUAGUUUAAGUGUAAUAAAGGAAUAAAAACAUGCCCAGAGGAUUGAUAAGUGAUAUCAAUUCUUGAAUAUAGAGAACGUAAAAUAAAGGAACACGUAUAAAAUUAUUUUAUGUGGUAAAACCCCAUCUCUAGGGAAAAUCCACGGGACUUCUUAGUCCAAAACAAAUCUAUUAUAGAACGAUGAUUACAAGAAGUACUCACACACUUAUCCUAGACACAUUCUAGAUAAUGUUUACUGACCUCUUCGUAACUCAACUUCUGUCACAGGAUGAUCUUUCGACACUUCUUAUGUUGAACGCAAUACUAGUCACGAUUUCUUUCAAGCUCAUUGGAGAAAAACCGCCACAACAGUCUCGGUGCCCUCAAUCUUAUGAGUCACUGAACAUGCAAAUGAAUACAAUAUGAAUGAUAAAAGUGUUUGAUAAAUCACCAAGUUAUGGAACACUUGAUGAUUUAUUUCAAGUAAAAAUUCAGCUUUCCAAAGUUUAUGAAUUGAAAAUAUGAUCGUUAAAGCUCUCUAAACAAAAAAAACGAAGGUCUUAUUUUAUAGACUUUUUCUUUACAAGAAAGAAAACACGUUGAAAACCAAAUCUCCAAUUUCAAGGCUUGACAGAAAAUCACAAAAGUAUCUUUCCUAUUCUAGAGAUUGGUCACAUGAAGUCCAACCAAUAGGAAAUGAGAUAUUUAAGAAAGGAAGAUUUUGAUCAAUAUCAAUAUCAAAUGAAUUCUUAUAUGCCUAGUCAACUAUUAAGGGUAUCUUAACUACUUGAUAUUAUGAUAUGAUUGAAACAUGAUUUCCACGUUAGAAAAUUAAGGGGAUUUUAAAACAUGAAAGUAAUAGGAGAAUCAAAUUGAUUUGGACCAAAAUUGCCUAAAAAGAAAACACUCCUAAAUAAACUUCAAUUCACUUUUAAAAACAGUAAAACUUGAUUGAAUCGUUCUUUAAAACAAUUCCCUAAUAUACAUGCAUGAUAGUGACAUCACUUACCUCUGAAUCAGAUGCCUUUUACGAGUCAAGCCACAAGUUUGUGUUUUGGGGAUUGCUGAGCUGCAUCAAUCCUGCCAAUGUCAAUUCUGCCCCUAGGCUCUCUCAAAGCACGUUUACAAUCUAUGCUAAUAUAUACUAGAGUUUAUGCUAGUAUCUAGAAAAUGCCAACACUAAUUUCGUAACACGUAGAAAUUGUUAGAGAUUGGAAGUUUUUUUCAUUUUUUUCUUCCAGACUCUCCACCACUCACUAAUACAGUUUACUCAUGUGAUGAAUUUACAAAACCUAUUUCUCUACUCUCACAAAGACUAUACUUAGGGGGGGUGUAUUCAAUUAGGAGUCUAGAGCGUUUAAAAAGAUUUUGUUUAAGUGCCAGCUUUCAUAGAACUUGAUGGAACUUUAUAAUUCGUAUAGAACUUGAUAGACUUUCAGAAGACUUCUGUAUAAUUUGUUAAUAAAACUUUCUUAAGCUUUCAUAGAACUUGAUAGGCUUUUAUUCCAGAAUUAUGUAGACAGUAUAUUUCAUUUUAUCCCCAUCCUUGUCAUUUAAAGAAAGAAACUUGAAUGUUUUCAAUCAAAUUUGUUUUUGUUACCAAAGCAAAAACAAAAAGUACUUGUUUGCGAAGGAAGAACAUAUGCACAGUUCAAAAUGAAAAGAAUAAGAAGCAAAGUACCUAUUGGACCAAUGAAUGCUGUGUCAACUAGAGAAGCAAUUGGAUCGGCUGUCAAAGCCAAUGCUACAGGCAAUGCAUCGAUGGUCCAAAUUGCAAUAAAAAAUAUUUUGUAUAAUGGUUCUUGCAGACAAAGACCACAUAAAUUCUGGACUGGUCCAGCUUGAAUAAUAAGGUUAGAUUAGCCGAUGGAUGAGAGUAAAAGCAAAGAAAGUUGAUGAAUUCAUCACCAAUUAUUUAAUAACUGUAACAUCCCACAUUGACCAACGGAGAGGGGGUGAUGUGCCUUAUAUGUACAUGCCCACUUCCAUCUAGCAUGAGUCCUUUUGAGAGCUCACUGGCUUCGGAGUCAUGGGAACUCUGAAGUUAAGCGAGUUGGGGCUAAAGCAAUCCCAGGAUGGGUGACCCACUGGGAAGUUGCUCAUGAGCUUUAGAAACAAAAAUCAUGAGGGCAUAAAGGGAGGCCCAAAUUGGAUAAUAUCGUGCUACGGCGGAGCCGAUCCCAGGAUGUGACAAUAACCAAUAGAGUAUUUAAACAUAAACAACAAUGUUUGAUAAACAAAACAAAUAGUCCAAAUAUUAUCCAAAAAACAAUUCUAAAACCAAUCAUUCCAAACAAACUAGUCAUUCCCAAAAACUCUCAAAAAACCCACUCAUUCCAAAUUAUAGGAUAUCCAAUUUGAGCGCUCCUCAGGAGACAUUUUCAAAAAUGCAUCCUUUUUUGUGUUACUAUGCAACAAAGAGAGCGCUUUAUAAUGAGCACGUUCAUCCAAAUUUGAGGUCUCCUUAAUGGCAUCCCACAUAUAACUCUGCUGCUCUCGCUCUUUUCCCCUUUUUGCCAAUAGGUUAUGGACCUCCCGGAAGUCGGUGACAAUUGAAUCAAUGCUAAGGCUAAUUCUUCCCAUAGCUUGUUGGGUGGUCACAUUUGAGAUGGCAUUCCCUUCCAAAUCUAUUCUAGUUCGUUUCCUCUAGUAACAAGCAUAAAUCCUAGUAACAAGCAUAAACCCUAAUCCCAACCUAUAACCUAAUAACAAGAAAAACACGAUGAAAAAAAAAUCAUGGAAAAAGAAAACCCAACGAGGUAUUGAUCAAAAAAAAAAAUAGGGAGCAUACCUUCACAGAUGGAGGAAGGAAGCUGUUUGUCUUCACAGAGAGAAAAGCUAGGGAAAGAGAAAAACGUCUGAUGAAAUACUUUGGGGGGAGGUUGGAUUUCUUUUGGUCUUUGAUAUUUAUAACUCUCCCCUUAAAACCUACAAAAAUUUAUCACUUAAUGAAAUCCUUCCAAAUAUAUGACCUUUCGAAUACACCUAGAUUUGAUUCAACUUUUUUAUAAUCCUAAUUGAAUACACCCAUAUUUGAGUGGACUUUUUAAAAGUUCAUAUAAGUCCGAAUUGAAUACACCCAGACUUGUAAAACCUCUUUUAAAGUUUGUAUAAAUCCAAAUUGAAUACACCCGGAUUUUUAAAAUAUUUUUUAAACGCUUUAUAAUCCUAAUUGGUACAUCCCCCUUAUUCUCAAAAGACUAUAUCACUUUACCUCUAUCUCUGUGAAAUGUAAAAAGUUGAAACUUUAAUGUCAAACCUCGACAAAAGAUGAACUUCCAUCAGUUGCGUUGAAUUUGGAUUUGUUGAACUAAAGUGGUUUUACUUUCUCUGUCAGUGUUUGAUGACUUAAUUUGGUAUUUACUUCUUUUUUUCCUUGGAAAUGUGUUCCACCAACGUGAGGAAGAAAAAUGUGCACAAAUUAAUAUAUUUAAUAAAAGCCCAAGAUUUCGGAAGCACAUAAUUUCUACAAAAAUCUAGAAAGUGUUCUACUUUACAAACUUCUUAUGUCUAUCAAUUUCUACUAAAAUUAAUUUCUCUGUGGUGCUCAGAUUCAUCAUAUGUGUGUCCUUAAUUUUAUUGGAAAUUAGAAGUUUCCAUAAUUUUUAUUUUUUGGGAAUUUUCUGAACCAAGAAAAAUCAAGUAAAAUUAAUAAAGCUUAAAUUGGAAAGGGAAAAUAUCUAGAGGACGCAUUGUAGGAUUUCUCAUGCCGAUAAUUGUACCCUCUAAAUAUAUAGGGACAUAUUUUUUUUGUUUUCAUGACAUGUGGUCCUAAAAUUAUUGUUCCUAGCGGGCUCUCCACCCCCUCUCAAAUUUACGUGGUCCAUUAUGAUUAACCAUAUAUUUUAUUGACCAUCCAGCUGUGAGGUUUUAUCCCAAAAACCUUAGGUACAUUUCUCAAUUAUGUCUGAUACAUCACAUCAUGCCACAAUUGUAUAUUCACAAUUAUGUCUGAUACAUCACAUCAUGCCACUUGCCUCAAAUGAAUUUAAGUGAGUGUGGCAGUGGGAAGUAAUUACUUCUAGGUGCCCCUCAUCAUUCGUCUAUAAAAUGGUGAAGCCAGUGGCUAUAAGAGCCAGCUCCAACUUUCUUUUAUUCGUCUAUAAAAUGGUGAAGCCAGUUGCCAAGUUAAUUUCAGUCCUAAUGGGGUUUCAUCUCCCACUCAUCUUUGCUAUUCUCAGUGUAAGCUCUGCAAUUUGAUUAACUUUUCCAUUCUCUCUCAUUGUACUCUAUAUAAACGAAAGUUUUGUGUUCCUAUAAUUCUCUUUGAUUUUAUUUAGUACGUACUUAAGUGUCGUCCACUAAUUAAUUACAGUUUGUGAGAUUUGAUUUUAAUUAGAGUUCGAAUUAAUGUUGCAGCUAGCAGUGGUUGCACUGGCAAACCAUGCUGCUCAACCAGCACCUCAACUUUACUGGAACUCCGUCCUGCCAAACACACAAAUGCCAAGAUCUAUCAGUGAACUUCUGCAUCCUGGUUUGUGUUGAGCUCUUUAGAAUCUUAGAUAUCUCUUCUACCUGCCAUUUUACUAAAAUAUGUUCGACCACAUAUUUAUCAGUUAACUACUGUCAUUACAUGAGUGACACUUAUUCACAAAUCGGCUGAUCACUUAUUUUCCAUUUUACAUGAGUGAUAUAUAAUUUGCAGACUCCACAAAUGAAGAAAAUAUCGUGAAUGCUGUUGGGAAUGGAAAGCGCAAACCUGAAAUUUUCCCAUUGAGAAAUAUAAAUUACGUUCAAAGCCAUUAUGGAGUGUUAAAUAGAAAUUACGUUCAAAGCCAUUAUAAAAAACGUCCUCCUCCACCUGAAAAUAUCCCAUUUGCAAAUCGAAAAAAGUACGCACUAGGUUCUCCUCCAUCUGACAAUCAACUACUCCAUUAUAAAGAGUUAGCUAUUUUCUUCUUCGAGAAGGACAUGCGCCCUGGCGCAACAAUGAAGUUCCAAUUCCCUAGAAAUUCAAACACGGCUACUUUCCUGCCACGCGAAAGUGCUCAAUCGAUCCCCUUCUCCUCUAACAAACUACCAGAAAUUUUCAACCAUUUUUCAGUGAAGCCAACAUCUGUGGAAGCCAAAACAAUUAAGCAAACAAUCGAAGAGUGUGAAGCUCCAGGCACUAAGGGAGAGGAAAAAUAUUGCGCCACAUCUUUAGAAUCAAUGGUUGAUUUUAGCACUUCGAAGCUUGGAACAAGAAACGUUGAAGCAGUCUCGACGGAGGUAUUGGAAAAAGGAGCCACCAUGUCCAUGCACAACUAUACAACAAUGCCGGGACUGAAGAAGUUGGCAGGUGACAAAGUCGUUGUGUGUCAUAAGGAGAACUAUCCCUAUGCUGUGUUUUUCUGCCAUGCAAUAAAACAAACAGCAGCUUAUGUUCUCUCCCUGAAAGGCGAUGAUGGGGAGAAGGUUAAAGCAGUAACCAUCUGCCAUCUAGACACAUCAGAAUGGAACCCAGAGCAUUUGUCCUUCCAAAUCCUCAACGUUAAGCCCGGAACCGUUCCCAUCUGCCAUUUCAUUUCCACUGAUGCUAUUGCCUGGGUUCCAAAACACAAAUUUGCAUGAUCAUCACUUAGCACUGUGGUGUAAGAUAUAUGAUGAGAUAAAGUUUUUGGUAUUAGUGGUCGGGUUGCCUGAAAAACACAGAUUACAGAAACUGCUUGAAAUUAACCCGAUCAUGUUUUCUCUUGUAAGACUUCAACUUGUACUCCUAAAGCAAGUUAUAUUUAUGAAGAGAUAUUAAUCUAUAUAUAUUUUAUGUAUAUAUAUAUAUAUAUAUAUAUGCUUUGGCUUUGUGGUUCUACCCAGUGUUUGAGUGUUGAAUUGUUACGUUGGAAUAGGCUGAUAAUGCGUGUAGUUAGAGAAGCCUUCAUUUAUAUCAAAGUCCUCAAACUAUCAAGAACUAAUGUAUCCAGAAACAUAUACCAAGACGCAAAACAACAUAUUUUCCAUGCUCUGUCUGUAACGCCAAAGCAAACUUCCUUUAUCACAUCAUUUAAAGGAUCAAAUUCCAGUACUAAUCUAAUCCAUCAUGUAAAGCAUACAAGUGCCUCCCUAAAUUUGUCCAUUGGAUAUAAAUGUUGAGAAAAUUAGAGUACACAACUCUAAUAUGAUAGUUGUACACAACUCUAAUAUCAUAAAGCAAACAAAAUUUCUAAGUUAGUUUGCUUUAUGAUAGUUGUUUUUUGAAGGGGUCCUUAGAUCCUAUCUCAAAAAGUUUGGCUUUUAUUAGGUUUAACUCUGGUUUUUAUCUCUACCCACUAACUUUUAUCUCUCAUUUUUAUUACCCAUUUUACCCUUUAAAAUAAAUAGGGCAAUAAACUAAAAAUUCUGAUUUAAUGCAUGUUUUACUCAUAAGAGAACUAAAAACUAAAAAUUCUAUACUCUAACACAAAAAAUGAAAACUAAAAACUAAAAUUGAAAUGGUUUCAAGCAAUUGCAUGUCAGGCGCUAUAUAUAAUGUAUUAGCCAUGGUUUGUUUAAUACGCGGUCAUUCGUCAUUUUCCCAUUCAAAAUAUUGAAAUUACGAACUACAUACCAUGAAAGAUAAGAAACUAAAAGCUUCAAGCAAAUAGAAAUGUGCUACAAACAUAGUAAUGAAGAUGUGGAAGCAUUAUCUCAGACGAAUGAUUCUGAAGUGGAAAAAACAAGAACAAAAAAGGAAGUGAGUUAAAUUUGCACCUGCUAUGUUCAAACGACAAAGUUGGUUUCCCUUUGGUCGAUUACAAGAGAAGCUCAAUGCAGCUUACUUGGUUCCUCUGGUAGAUGAAAAUAUAAUUUUUCUCCUAAUAAUAAGGGUAUAGUGCAAUCAAUGAUGGGCUGUAUAGAACAACUUUUUUGUUUUAUGUGUUUAUGUGAGACAUGUUUUGCCAGAUUGAAUUAAUGUCUUCUAGCCAUGUACCUUAUCUUUUUGCCGGGCCAUGAGUUGAAUGUAGAGGCAAAGUAUGGACUUGGGGUCAAGUUUGACUUGUAAAAUAAUUAGGAAUUGAAUGGCUCCUACGUUCAAUUAUUUUAAUUUUUUUUCCCGAGCCAUUCAAUUCCUAAUUAUUUAGAUUUUCGAUUUAGUGAGCAUCCACAAUCAUGCUCUCUAUUUUUAAGUUAAAUUUUAGUUAAAAACAUAUAAAAGUUAUUUAGGAGCUCUCUAUAAAAUUUAAACUUCAAUCGUUUUCUAUAGUUUAGGGAGUCAUAAAUGUCAUAACUCUUUUUUGAUUGGUCCAUCUCUAUUAAAAAAUAAAAUAAAAAAUAGUUAGCAUGAAAUAAAGGUUUGAAAUACUCAUUAAAUAAAGCAGCAUUAAAUUAUAGGGAGCCACUAAGAGUCCUUUCUCUCUCCUCAAGUUUAGGAGCUCCUAGAGGUCUCCCUAUUUUAAGAGGUGGAUAGGGAGUAUGGUUGGAAUUGUAUUUUUACAAUUCCUCCCUAAAAAUUUUCUAUGGAUAGGUGGUUUUAAGGAACCCAUUGUGGAUGCUCUGAUCUCAAAGAAAGAAAACCUCGAGUUUGCAAGCAAGUUUUCUACGUAUGUAUAUAUGAAAAACUGACAUUUAUGAAAAUAAUAAAUCCAUAUUUUUAUGUAAGCCAACUUUCUAAAUCCAUGUACUAUAUUUAUUAGGGAAAUAUUGGAGAAACUGAUUAUUUUGAAAAAUUAAAUGUGAAAAACUGAACAAAAAUUUGACAGGUUACAUAUUUCAACUCAUUCAGCAGCUUAGGUUGUGAAGACCUCAGAAGAGGCUAUGCAAUGAGCCUAGCUAGUGCACUGUUGAUCACUUCAGUGUUUACCGAUCUGUAAUUUUUCCAGAUUGGUUAUAUUUUCCUUUACAUAUUCUUAUAUUUUUCCCAGUUGGGGAGACUUAUAAAUAAACCCAAAAUGGGUACAAUAUCUAUACAGAAGGACAAAAUUAAAGUGUUUGGACAAUAAUCCCCUAUUCAUUUUGGGAUUGCCUAAGGAAUUCUUUUUCUGAUUUUCAAUGAUGCAAAGGACUGUUGUUUGAUGCUUGCCGUAUGGAGCUAAGAAAACUUGCUUUGAUAGUUUUGGACAGAUGCAAGCUACUGUUGUUGGUAGGGGUGGGCACGGUCCGGAUUGGUUCGGUUUUACUCUCAAACCACAGCUGAACCAAUAAGAAAAUAACGGUUCGGUUUGGUUCGGAUUAGCCUAAAAUCAUAAUGGAAACCGAACCAAUCCAAACCACUUGUAAUCGGUUUGGUUCGGAUUGGUUCGGCCGGUUUGUGCCUAACACAAAACCAUGCAUUUUUCAACCUGCUCUUACAUUAUAAUGCUAACAUUUUGCCAUUAUAUCAUUCCAUUCCAUUCCAUCAAAGGCUAAUACAACAUCAUUCCAUUUAUUCAAAGGUUGUCCAAUGUCUAGCAUGCAUCUAAGUUCACAAUUUCCAUCAAAACAAACAUAUACAUAAUUUGCAUUAACCAAGUAGCAUUACAUUUACUCAUUGCAUUCAUCACAAUUCAUAAGAGAUGAGAACGAAUCAAUUUUACUUUAACAUAUUAAACAAAUGCAUUCUUUGUAAUAGUUAAACAUUCUCACAUCAUGAAUAUCGGCAAGCUUAUAAAGCUGCUGCACCAACUUGCUAAUUGAUUCGUCUGUACCAGGAACAACAGUAGUAAUGCGAGAGAACCCCUCAACUUCUGCAUGGCCAACAGCUAAACUCUGGAAACGAGAAACCAGCUCAAUUAUAACAAAUGCCUAAAACUUCUACCUUAACAGAAGACAAAGGAGGAAAUAACAGCAGAAGGAAACCAAAUUUCUCAAUUUAAUAACUGAUAUUUCCAAAGGAUUCUUAAGUCUAAAAUUCGACCAAGACUUGAUUAACUAUUCCAAUGUCUAGCAUGCAUCUAAGUUUAUAACUUUGUUCCUUCUUUAACAAAAAGAACAAGGAGAAAAAGCUAAUAAUAAGGUAUCCUUCUUUAACAGGCAUCAAGCAUAUCACAUAAGCAACAUUUUAUAUACAUUAUUCUAUGAACAAAACUAAAUCAAAGCAAGGUAUGCUACAGUCUUUUUGUACAAUAAAAUAGAUUAACAUAUUUUAUAACCAUAAAAAUGAAAAAUUAGGCCUCAUAGAAAAUACCAUUUUAUUUUUCAACUCUCUAACUUUUUAUAUAACCAGUUAUUGGAGACAAUACAAAAAAUAAAGUAGUAGACAGAACUAGCAUAUUUUACAAACCCAGCUGAUGAUGACGAUCCACCACCAACAAUAUUCCCAUAAUCAAUCCUUGCAUAACCUGAUGGUCGAUGAUGGAACUUGGGUUUUGUAGAGAUGGAUUUCGCUGAGGACAAAUGGGUGGGUUUCGCCGAGUUCGAAUCAUGUUGGCUUGAGUUAGCGUCGAGGGAGAGGGAGAGGGAGAUGUAGCAGAGAGACAAAGAGAGAGGGAGAGGUAGCAGAGAGAGAUGGAGAAAUAAUGAGAGGGAGUUGCGGCUAGGGUUAAGAGACGAAGGAAGGGAGAUAGGAGAGAGGCUCUUCUGAGGGAGAGAGAAUGGUUAGAUAACUUAGAUGUGUCCGUGAGUUGUAGUUUUGGAGUCCAAUCAAGUGUUGCAGGGUACAUGGUACACUCUUAAAUAACCACUCAAACCUUGCCACAUGUAAACUAAAUUAAAUAAAUAAUAAAUUGAUUUAUAAUCGGUCCGGUUCGGUUUAGGACAGUUUUUAAAACUCUCAAACCACAGCUGAACCAAACCAAACCGGUUCGGUUCGAUUUUUCAAAAUGUUGACUUUUUCUUUGGUCAAAACCAAACCAAACCAAUCCAAUAUAAUCGGUUCGGCUGGAUUGACCUGAUCGGCCAGAUUGAUGCCCACCCCUAGUUGUUGGGAUGAUCUUUUCACGUGAAAUGAGGAUGACGAUACUUCUACACUACACAAUCCAACGAAUUCACAUUUCUAUUUCAGAUACAUGUAUAAACAGACAAGGCUUUAAAAUAUGGGAUGCUGCACUGUUGUUGCUGCUGCUGACACUGUUACUGUGUUGCUGCUACUGUUACUGCGCUGCUACUGGAAGAAGGACAAGGACUUCACAUGUUGCUUUCGUCCUUUGUGGAGGAGAGAGACCUAGGACUUGCAUGUCUUAGAUAUUUAAGAUAAGGGGCUUUCGUGCCAUUUUGAAAAUACUUUGGGUGUUUUUGAAAGCUGCUUGUUUCUUUUGGGUUUCUCACUAAAUUUCGCUAUUAGAAGGGAAAAUAAUAAUAAUAAAAAUACAGCUCUUAUUAGCAACAGGGUUACAAAUUCUUCUACAACACACCAACUGUUGUAAAAGUUUGAAGGUGGAGCCCACAGAGGAAGUUUCCUUGCAUCUUCCAGGAACUUUCCCUUCCCUGUAUUUAUCAAUUCAGGAAGUUUCCUUGCAUCUUCCAGGAACUUUCCCUUCCCUGUAUUUAUCAAUUGAGGAAGUUUCCUUGCAUCUUCCAGGAACUUUCCUUCCAUGUAUUUAUCAAUUCAGGAAGUUUCCUUGCAUCUUCCAGGAACCUUCCCUUCCCUGUAUUUUACCAAAACCUUAGCCUAUAAAUAGGCUUGCUCAUUCACUUGUAAUACACACCAAAAUGAAGAGAAGAAUGAGUGAGGAAAGAAAGAAAGGAAGAGAAGGAAGAAAGAGGGUGAGUAAGUAGAGAGAAAAAUAGAGUGGAGAGAAAUUAGUGAGCCACAUAUAUUGUAAACACUAAAGUUGUAGCCCUAUUAUUUUACAUAGUGGAAAAGUUACUACUGCUGCUCUCCGGGGACGUAGGCAUAGCCGAACCUCGUUAAAUACUGUGUCUCAUUUACUUUACGUGCAGCUCAAUAUUCAUACAUAUUCCAGGUUAUUUUUAUAACACGUUAUCAGCACGAGAAGCUCUCAGGUAUAAUUUUUGUGCUGCACUAUUAUCUAUACUACUAACCACUAACAAAAAUGGACCCUUGGUAAUACUAAACAUAUUAUCAGUGGGAGACCGUUACUAAUACUAACUUUUUCUUAUUUUAUUCGGUGGUGGUUUUAACCCCACAUUUAUUUACUGUAUGGUGUAGGUUUAUUACCCAUACAUGCACCUUUACUUUAUCGCAAAUUUAUUUUACCGCAUAUUUAUUUUAUUUACUGUAUGGUGUAGGUUUAUUACCCAUACAACAGUAUUUAUUUAAAAGGGUGGUGCGAGUUUAUCGUCCACGCCUUUGCUUUUAUUUAAAUGUAUGGAGCAGAAUUAGUGCCCAUACAAGCACAAUUUACUUUACCGCACAUUUAAUUUUAUUUAAAGUAUGGUGCGGGAUUAACGUCCAUACAGCAAGCAAUUUAAUUUAUGAAUUUAAUUUACCGCACAUUUACAUUUAUUUAAAAGGGUGGUGCGGGUUUAUCGUCCACGCCUUUACUUUUAUUUAAAUGUAUGGAGCAGAAUUAAUGCCCAUACAAGCACCUUAACUUUAUGAAUUUAAUUUACUGCACAUUUACAUUUAUUUAAAGUGUGGUGCGGGUUUAUCGUCCAUACCAGUAAUUUAUUUAUCAGCAAUUUAUUUUAUGGAUUAAUUGUUUAUUUAUCAGCAAUUUAUUUUAUGGAUUAAUUGUGCUGUAUGAUGAGUUUUUCCAGUAUGCAGAUCAGGACCAGAAGUUCCUUGAUCCUCAUCAUACAAUUACAUCAGGACUUGAAGAUCCUUGAUGAUGAUAUUAAAAUGAGAGCUGGCAGUCUCACCGGUACUGUAUUUGUAAACAUGUGAUUGGACUUAAAGGUCCUUGAUCCCUGACAUGUAAAUAAGGACCUAGAGUUCCUUAAUGAUGUAACAGUACCGUAUUGGUUCAUAGUGCCGUACACAUUGAUGAUAACUGUACUGGCAGAUGAAUAGAUACGUAUUCAUGACUUGAUGAAUAGUACUAUUCACAUGAAUAGUGACGUAUGCAUAAAUAUUAACCAUUUUGGGUAAACCGUCACUAUAUACAAAAGGGAACCUGCAGUUCCUUAAACUCAUGGAUGAGCAAUUAAAUGAGAUGCCAGAAGUUCCUCAAAAUAUGGACAAUUAUGUAAGGGCUUGAAGUCCCGAAAUAUGUACAGAAAAUUGUAAAAAUGUCCAUACCAUGAGAAUAUGUGGCUUUGGCCUGAAGUUCCAAAUUUAACAGUGUUGAGAACCUGAAGUUCCAACAAUUAAAUGGACAACCCUUGAGGUAUUAUUGCAAAUUGUGGUAUGCCACAUAUUUCUUUGGCAUAAGAAGAUGAUGAAUUUAAUAAAGUUCGAUUUUGUUAUAAUCGACACCUCAAGGAAGAAAUAUAUUUUGUGAAUUCCGGUUGUUAAGAAUACACCGCGAAAUGGAUAAUAUUAAUAUAAACCUCAAAUAAUGAAUUGAGACUCCCCACAUAUUUUGUUAUAUCUGGGCCGGAAGCCCAUGGAUCCAAAUAUAUGAGAGAUCCUAAACUUGAAGUUGUGGGUAUAUAGUAGUUAAUGCUCUUCACUACUAUAUUGCGAUAUUAUCAUGGCUUUUACUCAAUUCAUAUUUCAUGUCCAUUUGAAAAGGGCAAAUAAAUUCUGAGUUUGUGCCCAGGCCAUAAGUUCCGGGCUACCAUACGUUGAAAUAUGAAAUUUGGGAGAGUCGAUGUGGUUAUUUGAACCUAUAAGGCACAAGGUUCCAAAUCGUCAUUUUGAAAAGACGUAAAAACCAAAGGUGCAAGUUUAAGAAUGUGCGCAAUUAUUAUUACAGGAACAUACAACAGAUAGAUUUUUUCCACUUGCAAUGAAGGUGCAGGCCCUGUAAAAUCUAUAAAAUUACAUUAUGUUCUGGAAGCCUCUGAAGGAAGAGGACGGCGCCUCUUAAGCUUAGCCAUGAGCUUCUCAUGGUCUCCCAAAAUUCUUUCAUUGGAGACCUGCAGCAUGUCUAGCCUUCUCAGUGUAUCAACAGAGUACGAACUCACCAGUUUCAACAAGGAAUUAUUCUCUCCUUUAAGUUUCUCAACCUCCUGUUGAGACUCAUGAAGCAUUCUUUGGAGAGACGAAUUUUCAGUUGUUAAAUUCUCAACCUCGUUUGCUCUGGCACGCAAACGAUCAGCCAUGUUAGAAACAGAAACAGCACUCUGAAUGCUAAAAGCCAUUGAGUCAUCAAUAGCCUCUUCCUCUGAUCUCCCCGUCAACAACAUUUCAUCCAUUGGAGUAAUGAAAUUCCUAGCUACUAUGACAGCAGUAGCAUCAUUCAUCAUCACAGAAUCAUUAACUGUGAGAUGACGAUUUUUGGAUACAAAGGAUGGACGCCAAACUUGGGCGUCACUGGUAGUUGUGGGAGUAUCAUUUAAAUUGAAAUAAUUUGGGCAGGAAGAAGAGGAAGCCAUUUUUAAGAAGGUUUCGAAGAAAGCCUUAGGAAAACUAAAGUUUCAUAAAAUGAAGGAAGUUAAGUUGAAACGCAAUUGCUCCAAUCAAGUUUUGCAAAGGCAAUAUCUAUAGACGAAAAUAUGGCAAUAUCUUCAGGAUUCCAAUAUCUUCUCGAAUCCCCAUAUUAUCUUUUUCUUUCCCAGAGUCCAAAACUUCACGUGGCCUCUAAUAAUGCCUGUCGGCACUUUCGGCGUUUUUCAAAGUAUUAUUUUCAAAGCCGAUCUUGCUUUACGGAUUUCACGGAACUACUUUUUCAAAAGUAUCCCGAGAAUCUCGCAAUUUUCCUAUGGUUAAUUUGAAAUUCACCGGUUCUACCUAUUUAUUGUAUUUAUGUAUAAAUGUGUUACUAACGAAAUUUUCUUUGCAAAAGACAUCCAGUUUUCUCCAUACCUAGUGAUGCGAUAUCUACUUAUUUUUCUUAUCAGUGAGCACUUAAUAUGCCUGAGAAGCAAGACUAUCUCUGAUCAUACAUUCAGGAAGCAAGACUAUCCCUGAUCAUGUUUCCGCUACAUUAGGGAACUGUGAAGGUGACCUUAUGCUCCAAUCUCCUGAGGUCUUUCUAGACUAGGAGAAAUGAGAGCUUGUUGUUUGCUCCCACCAGCUUCCUUCCUUGAUUGCUUACCUUACCUUGCAAUCAAUAUCACAAUCUUUUUGCAUUUUUUCUCUUUUUAUAACUCUCUGUUCAUAAGAGAUUUUAUUUCUUUAGAAUGAACAUCUGAAGAAUGAAUCCAUGAAGUAAUCCUAACUAUGAGGGUUAUUUGUUUUGACAGAGGCAAAAGAGUUGUGAUUUUUGCUCUUGCAGGAUAUAACUAGAUCAUCAAGCGCUACAUUAUAUUUACUGGGCUGAUAUGAGCUUGAAUGAUACUUGAGAAAAGUUUCUCCCACCUAAGGAUGUAAGCAAUACUUGUGUUAUUUUAUGCUUAUAUACCUAUUUGAUAUUUUAUCUUGAAAGGUAACUAAAUGGGGAGAUAAGUCCGUUCCAAAAGAAUGACUUGUAUGUAUCCAUGAAUUAUUAAUGCAAAUUUUACAGAUUGCAAGUUGGAUACAUUGAUAAUACACUGCACAGAUUAAAGUCCCAUAAGAACAGAAUAUGGGUAUAGCAGUGAUCAAUAUGAUGCACGCCUAUUGCGUAGCAAAUGAUAUGGAUUGAAGUCCCGAAAGGACAAUCCUUUGACAUUUCAAUAUUGAUAUUAUGCACGCCUAAUGCGUAGCAAAUUAUAUGGGUUAAAGUCCCAUAAUAUGGGUUAAAGUCCCAUAAAUUAAUUGACAUGUAUGUAUUAAUCUGUGGCAUGCCUGCAGCAUGACAGAUAUAUGGGUUCUAAAUGUUCCAACUCCCUAAAUGGAGAUUAUCCACGCCCUACUAUAAAAUAACGCUCCAUUGGAGGUUAUAAUCCACAUUCUCACAUAAUAAAAGCCCCCUGCAGUGGCUUGGGUACCCAAAAGCAAAGAAAUGCUUAUAAUUGAUGCAUGCGCAUGCACAUGAGAAUGGUGGGAUCAUGAAUUGAUGAAUGACAAUUUUUGAUCAUGAAUUGAUGAAUGACAAUUUUUGGUUUUAGAGUAGCUACUCAAAUCAUCAAUGGGCUGUGUUGAUUGGAACCACGUUCAAUUAUUAAAUGUCGACAAUAUCAUUGGCCAAAAUGGAACGAGGUAAUUCCAUUAUAAAUGAGAAUGAACGUGAAAGAACAAACCCACAAUACGAACCCCAAAAUUUGUUAAUACUAAAAGUUAUACUUGGGUGUUCGGAAUAAAAGGAAAUAUAUCUACUUUGUAUGACACACUGUUUCUGGCAGAAACAAGGAAUGUUGGGUUUUCUCCAUAUUUACAGAUUCAAUUGUGCCCCCCUUAUUACACAAUUACGGAGACCAACAUAUUAUCUUUAAGGGUUAUUAAUGCACAGAGCAUAUCGCCAGAAGCGAUUUCCUAAAGAUGUAUAAAUAGCUGGGUAAAAGCUAUAUAAUGUGUCAUAAAGUUUAAUCCCUUUUAACCAAAAUCUGUUGAGAGGAUUGAUAUUGCAUAGAGCAAGUCCCUAAAGAACAUGUGCUUGAAGCACAAAAUUUGUACUCAAUAUUAAUAUGCAUAAAUUACCUCAGUGAGUACAUUGAUUAUAAUGUGAUUGCAACACAUUAAAGCUUCUGCAGAAUUCAUGAAAUAUUUGUCUCGAUCGAGCAUUAUGCCAACGAGAUUCUUGCUUAUACUAAGAAAGUAUUAAAGUAUUUUUAUGAGGAUUAUCCGUUGGACACUUUAAUGAUUUUCCGGAAGUAUAUUGGACCGGACAUCAUAUUUUCCAGAUAGGGCUCAACUCCAUCACCAUCAUUUUGGGAUGAUGUGAGGUAUAUUUGAUGCUAUCUAAGCAUAACACCAUAUAGGGGCAUAUUUUUUUAGUGAACUUAUAAAUAGCCCAAGUGUUCUAAGAUAUGCGGACUCAGGAAAUCUCUAUGGUCGCUUACUGGAAAAAGCUAGUCAUGAAGUUUUCAGGGGGAGAUAUUCAUCAGGGAGAGCAUGGUAUUAAUAAAGACCUUCAUACACUAUUGACUCACAGCAGCAGUGUCAACUAUGAUAUUCAGACAGAUGAUCAACAGUAUGGCUUAAAGAUAUUUUGCCAAGCAUCAGGGGGAGCGUGCUGUCAAUACAGACCCUUACCCACUGUACUCUUUUUCCUUCGUCCAGGUUUUUAUCCCACUGGGUUUUUCCUGGCAAGGUUUUAACGAGGCAGUGUCGCACGCGCGUCAAUAUACACAGAAUUUUAUGUUACACGUGAUUAUGUACUCUUUUUCCCUUCGACCAGUUUUUGUCCCACUGGGUUUUUACUGGCAAGGUUUUUAACGAGGCAUAUUCCAUAUCAUUUGUGGUCUCCAAGGGGGAGUGUUGUAAAAGUUUUAAGGUGGAGCCCACAGAGGAAGUUUCCUUGCAUCUUCCAGGAACUUUCCCUUCCCUGUAUUUAUCAAUUGAGGAAGUUUCCUUGCAUCUUCCAGGAACUUUCCUUCCGUGUAUUUAUCAAUUCAGGAAGUUUCCUUGCAUCUUCCAGGAACCUUCCCUUCCCUGUAUUUUACCAAAACCUUAGCCUAUAAAUAGGCUUGCUCAUUCACUUGUAAUACACACCAAAAUGAAGAGAAGAAUGAGUGAGGAAAGAAAGAAAGGAAGAGAAGGAAGAAAGAGGGUGAGUAAGUAGAGAGAAAAAUAGAGUGGAGAGAAAUUUCUCCAAGAGAGAAAAAUUAGUGAGCCACAUAUAUUGUAAACACUAAAGUUGUAGCCCUAUUAUUUUACAUAGUGGAAAAGUUACUACUGCUGCUCUCCGGGGACGUAGGCAUAGCCGAACCUCGUUAAAUACUGUGUCUCAUUUACUUUACGUGCAGCUCAAUAUUCAUACAUAUUCCAGGUUAUUUUUAUAACACCAACAUCAAUCUAGCCCUGAUCCACUCUUUUACAUACUUGAAAACAAAACAAAACACGAAAAACAAAAAACAACAGGGAGAAAAUGGCUCCGGAGAGACUUACUGCUAAUACUUGAUCAAUAACAGAGAUAAUAGAGCACACUGUUUGUAUGGCAGUGAGUAUCAGAAGAAUAAUAGCUGCCCAAGGUGUGUUGAAAUACUUUUGUCUCAAAUUUGCCUUCCAUAUGUUCGUGGUCUUCUCGCAAUACUCGUUUAGUUUGCCAGCAAGAUCACCAAAAUAGUAGUUUCCCUGGUUAAUCAUAAUGGAAACCUUACUGUUGUCACCUAGCGUGUUUACAACAAUUCCAUUGUCAACAAGCAACUCUACAUCCUUUGGGGUGUUUACAAAUUUAUCCAGGAUGAAAACAUAAUCGCUUAAUUAUUUAUUAACGCAAUGGCAUUGUUCAAAGGCAAUGAGAUUUCUAAGUGUAAGCUCUGUGUAAUCAUGUAUUUCAAUUUUUGGAAUUUCCAAGGUGUUUUUCAAGAACUGUAUAUCGAAUAAGUUCUUGCUUGAUUCAACGUUAAACUUAACUCCGGCCUGGUGUAGUUUUGUCAUGCCGGGUGUACUUUGGAGCCCUACAUUUUCUUUUAGGGUUGGAUCUGGCAGAUGUAAAGUUCUAAUAAAAUCAACAAAUUGUACAGGUUUUUUAGGAUCAGGAGGCAUAAAAGACUUACGGAAGGCUGGUGAGUUCUCCAAGUUUUCUAAACGCAGUGCCUGUUGGAAGAACCUGUAAGAGAGUUCAAUUAUUGAAGGCUCCCCAGUCUGGGCACCUGUAAGAUUGUAAAGAUCCUCGAGAAUGAAAAAUGGCAGCUGAUUUUCUAGCAUAAGCAUGUCAGGCAAUAUAUUUUGUAGCACCCAUGGUUUUUUAAAUAUCCAAGCAUUAUCAUCCGGCAAUUUUUCUUCCUGAAAUUUUUCUUCGGAUUUAUUCCUCAACAAUAGCUCAAUGACAAAGGCGGCAUCAACUAGAAUGAUAUUCACAAAAGCGGCAAUGUUAAACUUCUUAGUGUCUUCAUAAUAAUGACGGAGUUCAACUUCUCUCUCCUUUAGGUACCUGAGUUUGUGAUCUUCCAUGGCUUCUAAGUUUUUGCUGCCAUGGUGAAGUGGGCCUAUUGAGACUACUUGUGGUGUGUAGGCCUUUUGUUUUACGUUCCGUAGUCGCUCAGGCACCCUGUAGAUACUGCAGGCAGGGGACAGGGCACGGAAGUUUGUCAACUGAUUUUCCAUGGAAGUUGCUUGGUUUUCUAUGUCAAAAGAAGCUUCAUUGCUGCUUUCUUCCACUUUCUUCCUCCGCAUUAUGUGUUGUUCUGAUUGUAAGUGACGAGGAUGGUGAUGAUUCUAGACACCAUAAUCAACAAAUGUUUCAAUCAUAAUUGACAUUUCAAGAUGCUCCGACAAAAAAUUAGAAAACAUUCAUCACAAAAUGCGAACUCAUACAACAGAUGGGUUGAGAAGAUCCACACAUUGCAAUCAUACAAUCCAAUUGAACAGGGAUUACUCCCUAUUCUCCUCUCUCUCUAAAAAAGAUUUUCAUAUCGAUAACAUCUUAUUGCAAGGGACUUGUACAUCAAGUGGUGAAGAACAGAAAUUCAUAUUCUUUCAAUCAACAAAUUUCGAAGAAGUUUGUUUGUUUUAUUUUUGGGGGAAAAAAAUCUGAGCAUAUAUAGAUGCAUAUUAUACGUAGACCUAAGGUGAAAACAUACCAGAUUUUUACUCCAUUUUUCAUGAGGUUUAAGUUCUUGAUGUAUAUAUUUAUCUCAAGUGUAACAUCCCACAUUGAUCAACGGAGAGGGGGUGAUGUGCCUUAUAUGUACAUGCCAGCCUUCAUCUAGCACGAGGCUUUUUGGGAGCUUAUUGGCUUUGGAGUCAUAGGAACUCUGAAGUUAAGCGAGUUGGAGCUAGAGCAAUCCCAGGAUGGGUGACUCACUGGGAAGUUGCUUGUGAGUUCCCAGAAACAAAACCGUGAGGGCAGAGAGGAGGGCCCAAAGCGACCAAUAUCAUGCUACGGCGGAGCCGAUUCUGGGAUGUGAUAAUUUGGCAUCAGAGCUACUCUGCCGUGUGGUGUGAGUGUGCCGACGAGGACGCCGAACCCUUGAGGGGGGUGGAUUGUAACAUCCCACAUUGACCAACGAAGAAUGGGUGAUGUGCUUUAUAUGUAUAUGCUUGCCUAUAUCUAGCACGAGGCCUUUUGGCAGCUUACUGGCUUCCGAGUCAUAGGAACUCCGAAGUUAAGUGAGUUGGUGCUAGAGCAAUCCUAGAAUGGAUGACCUACUGGGAAGUUGCUCAUGAAUUCCCAGAAAAAAAAAGCUGUGAGGGCAGAUAGGGGGGCCCAAAACGGGCAAUAUCGUGCUACGGCAGAGCCGAUCUUGGGAUGUGACAUCAAGAAUUUAUAUCCUCCCUUUUCAGAUCUCAUGUUCCAGUCAAUACAUAACGAAACAUAAGAAACUAAAGUCUUGUUUAUACCCAUCCUCCCACCCACCCACGGCCAUCCACCCCUACCCCCUAUCUCCAUUAAAUCUACAAGUAGCUCAUCAAUUUCUCCACCAUCCCAAGUUCAAUAUACCACCCAACAACCAUCUUACCCAUCUUCUCAUUGAUCUUCCACCCAACAUCCAACACUAUCUUCAUAAACUCUUUAGCUUAAUCUCUCUGUUGCUUUUGUUUUUUGUUUUUUAGAAAUUAAAUUUUUUAGUUUAUUUUUUUGUUGGUACAAAUUCAAUGAUAAAGAACAUCGAACUCGUCGCAACAUCCUGUUCUAGAUCCAAGCUCUACCACCAUCACAACCCUCUCUUGACCUCCGACCAACCUUAACACCCAACUUCAAAUCUAGGUUGUUUGAAACCCAGCCCCCAACAACCCCCCCAAGUCAUCCCAUUGCAACUGACUUGUAGAUGAAGUAGUAAAGAACAAAAAGUCAUAUUCUUCCAAUCAAAACGUAUCAAGUCAAACAAAAUUUCUAGUUAGUUUGCUUUAUGAUAGUUGUUUUUUGAAGGGGUCCUUAGAUCCAAUCUCAAAAAGUUUGACUUUUAUUAUGUUUAACUCUAGUUUUUUGCAAUUUUUUUUUAUCUCUACCCACUAACUUUUAUCUCUCAUUUUUAUUACCCAUUUUACCCUUUAAAAUAAAUAUAGUAAUAAACUAAAAAUUCUGAUUUAAUGCAUGUUUUGCUCAUAAGAGAACUAAAACCUAAAAAUUCUAUACUCUUACACAAAAAAUAAAAAAUAAAAACUAAAAUUAAAAUGGUUAUCAAACAGACCCUUAUAUUACAAAAAACCUUAACUGACCACCUUAUAUGGCAACUGAUNNNNNNNNNNNNNNNNNNNNNNNNNNNNNNNNNNNNNNNNNNNNNNNNNNNNNNNNNNNNNNNNNNNNNNNNNNNNNNNNNNNNNNNNNNNNNNNNNNNNUAGCAUUCUAAAAAAAGUGGCCUCAUGGCAGCAUUCAUUAAUUGACAUGGCAUGACACAUCAGUUGCCACAUAAGGUGGUCAGUUAAGGUGGUCAAUGUUGUGUGUCCAAAUAGCAUUACUAAAAAAAAAUCAAAUAUUGAACUCAUCAUAAGAGAACACAGAAAAACCUCACUGCUUGCAACUCUUACACCACCACUACACGAACAGAACAACUGCUAAUUAAAAUGAGUCACAUGUCACAUGUCACAUGUGGUACUUAACUCUAAAAACUUAUUUAGAUUAUAUAUCCAUAUUUAUAUAUCCUACUCCUCGAUCAAAACAACCAUGAAACAUAAGUGACUUAAACCUCUAGGCAAAUGGACGGUAUAUAGCAAUUUAUAGAACAAUACAGUAAUCCAGAAGAAAUAUUAUGAAAUAAAAAAAAUAAAAAGUAAAAAAAGAGAAGGAAAGGAAUUCCCACCUGAUAUGUAUAUCUAUGAAAGGAAGGACCAAGUUUGUUUUGCCUUUGGUUAAUGACUAGAAAAGCUCACUUGUAUAUUGCUUUCUCCGGCCGUAGAUGCAAGAGAAAUUUUCUCUUAAUAAUAGCACAAUGAUCGGGUAAUCGUAAGAACAAGUUGAUUUAAAAUUCAGGUCAACUCAUAGAUUUCUUGCCUUUUCUAUUCUCCUUCCUUGGACACGAGCUGUUUAAUCUUGGAAUCUUCCCCCAUCAUGUUGGGCCAGUCUUCUUCUUGAGGAUUGUAUAGGCCCAGGAAAUGCUUGGAGGUAGUUUUUGUGUAUUGGGCCUUGAGACCCAACUUCACAAAAAGAAAACAGAUUUGACCAAAAAAACAAAUUUGAAGGACAUUGAAAUUGUACCUGUAUGAUAGGUUAAAACACUGUAAGGGAGGUAAAUAGUACGUUUACAGAGUUUAAGUGUAAUAAAGGAAUAAAAACAUGCCCAGAGCACUACUACAAUUUUUCCCUGUCCUGGCAACCCUUUGUGAUCGGUAAAAACACCAUUAUUGACGGAACUUCGUCAGUAAUUGCUUCUUGACGACUGCAGCGACGAAAAUGAGUAUAGUCAGUAAAAGUCCCGUCAGUGUUACUAUUACUGACCAACUUUUGCAACUUAUUCGUCAGUAGAGGUGUGUCUCUGACACAAGUCAUGAAGUGACUCUAAAUUAUUACUGACAAAACAAAUAGCCACUAUUAAACAAGCUUUUGUCAGGAUUAUUAUUUUAGGAUGGAGUACUAGUGGCAAAGAUUUGUCAAUAUUGUUUUCAACAAAAAAAAAAAUUCAGUCAAUUUGCUUCUGAGCUGAUGCGCCUUUAGAUAUCCUUUUCUGAAAUGUCUUUUGUUUUCUAAUAUAAUGGAUGUUUUUCUUUAAUAAAAAUUUAAUGGAUUCUGAAAAUGUAAUAACAAUUAUAAAUACUCAUAGAUUGAACCAUUCAACCCCCAUCCUUAUAAAUAUAAACUACCAAUGUCGAUUACAAUAGCCAAAUAUUACAAAGUCUGCCUACAUCAGUAGAGUUCAAAAACUUUAGGUGCCCUUACUAUACAAAAGUAUGCAAUUCCAAAUAUUCAACAAAUACACUACAAAAGCAUGCAUACCCCAAUAGGGUCCAAAAUACAACGUCAGCAACUAUAUAUACCAAAAAUGCAUAACACUAAGUAACUGCAUCUAUUCAAGUCCAUGAGUACCUUGAUCUGAUUCUAAAAAGUCUGUCUCACUUGGGUAUGCAUCCCCCCUCAGCAAUCCAGUUAACCCACCAAUAGGAGUAACUGACCUGGCUUGAUAAGGCAUUUGAUGGAACAUCUGCGGCGAGUAAUAUGACAUAUGGAAUGGGUUUGGCAGCUGCUGGUACAAUGGGUGAUGCGAAGCUGACGAGCACGAUAACAUCUGCCUCAUUUCCUCAAUCUCUUGCUGGUUAUGCUUCAGCAACUCUUGCGUCGCCUUCAAUUCAGAACGCCAAUGAUCCUGGUCAUGUUUGUACCUUUCUUGUAACUCUACAUACUGUGACUCAAGGUGAACAUAGUCGUGCCCUCGCAAUCUCUUGGAUGACCCUGCUUUCGUUUGAAUCCAAGGCACCUGAUGGGGUUUCACCCCAAGUCCUUCACCACGAACACUAUUAUUUGUCUCAGGACCCAUUGCCUCAACAUAAGCCCUUCUUCGUGUCUCUAAAUUAUCAGGACAUUCAUCUUCAACCAAUUCCUUCAACUUUUCCUGCAUUUCAGCCUAACAAAAACAAAAUAUAUAUCCUUCUCCAUCAAAUUGUGGUCAUCAUAGAACUAGCCCAAUAAACUCUACAAUGAUGAAUUGCAUUAUGUAAUAAAAAUUUAGGCCAAUUAGUCUUCUGGACCUCUACUGUUUUGUUUUUCAUAUGCUUAAACAAAUAAAAGAACAUAAAGAAUAGUGAACAAGAAAAAAAAACUACCUCCAAACAACUUUCCAUAUGCUUAAAAAAAAAAAAAAAAAAAAGUCAACCAAAACAAAAUAAGAGAAACAUCCUGGACUAUGGCUAACAAUUCCUCAUGAAAAUGAACUUAUAUAUAAUUAUUCCAAUAUAUAGUCCAUAUGCUUACAUAUUUCUGCUCAGCCACCAAGUUAACCCAUGAUCGAUCUUCGUCACGCCGUGUAUGCUUAUCUUGGAAAAACCAAAUAGGAUCGGGGUCUUCACCAUGUUUCUUAUUCUUAGCAUGCAAUCAAUAAAAUAAAAUAAGAUAAUCAAUUAGCUAACACGACCUCAUAUGCUCAAUAUUUGAAUAUAGUAAAGAGUAAACAUUCAAGUGCAUCAUCAAAACUGACAUAUUGUGCUUUGCUGCGAGCAUAAGACUUUGUUCUAGAUGUGUGAUUCAAUGUUUGUUUACUCCGAUUUUCAACAUUUCUUUUAGCUUGCUCCUUUUAUUAGCAAAAACAAAACAUACUUAAUCAUUGCACAGAUUAUAUAUACUGAGUGUUGUGUAAUAAUACGUACUGCAAUCUCAUCUUUUUCCCAAUGUUCAACCAACACCCUCCAUUGAUCUGGGUCUACACGAGAAUCCCCACAUUGCCACCGUCUUUUACUUCCUGUGAAAGGCUUAUAAUAAGCUUUCUUCAAAUCACUCUUGAAACUUCUCCACAAUUUUUCAAUAUUCUUCAUUGUUACAUCCUUGAAGACAUGAAUCAUAGGUUGUUGUUCAGGACGAAAUUCAAUGGUGCCCUGCAUCCACAAUAAGGUAGUCUUACAUCAAGUUGAAAUAUACCUAUUAAACUCAAUUUCAUGCAAUAAGUAUUCAAUAAUUUUAGGAAAACCAAACCCGUAGAGUGUCCCAGACAUCAAGUUUGCAAGAGUCUGGUACUUUUUCCCAUUUUAAAUACUUGAUCGGAAUUAGAUUGGCAUCCCGCGCCAAAAUACCCAUGUAUCUAGAAAAAUGGGGACUAUUGUCACUAAUAACUCUGCCAAAUGGAGAUAAAUCAACUGACUCUUUUUUGUUAUUUAGAAACCAGUUGCAUUUCCCUUGACCUCGACCUUGCUUCGCCUCCUUGCCUACAUGAAAAGUUAAUUUUAACUGAUCAAUACAACAAGAAAAUAAUAAGAAACUGUAAGGUAAUAAGUUUCUCACACAUUAUUCAAAUGAAAAAUUAGCAUAGCUAUUUGGAGAUGAUGUGAUCGUGAAACAUCCCAUAUUCAAUACAUUUGUAUAUGAUUAAAACAUACCAAUUUAUUAAAAGAAAAAGGAAAAGAAAACCAACAUACCAGUAGCACUUAUAGAACCAUCUCCCUCUAGACUAUCCCUAAAGUCAGCGUUGGGCCCUUCUUGUGAACUAUCUUGAGAACUGCUCAUCUAAAAAAUUUGAUAUGCAUAACAGUGAAGGGGUAACAAAUUAAUCAGACAUCAUUGGUAAAAGAAACUAUUACUUCAACAUUCUAAUACAAAACAAUCUACUAAAGAAAUUCUUGUACAAUAUUCUUAAAAUUACGUAGUCCAUUUAAGCUGACAGCUCAUCAAAAUACAUGAAAAAUUCAAUACUCCAUGUCAUCAUAAAGCUCAUCCUCGUUUUCAGUAGAGAGAUCGUCUGAAGACUGUUCAUCUUCUUCAUCCUCAUUUCCGGGCUCAUGCUCAUCUACCAUCUCAUCCAUAUCAACCCUAAUAUGAAAUUCCUCAUUGUCUAGCAGCUGAUCAUCAAGAUUCGGAAUGGCAUAAUUAUCAGUAGCACUUAAAAGGGUUAUCUAUAGUUGGAGCUAGAUCACUAUCUUCUAGCACAUCAAAAAAAUCUCUUGGUUGAGUUUGGGUUGGCACAUGCCAAUGACUGUCUUCUGGAUCUACAACAUAAAACACUUGUGUAGCUUGAGAAGCCAAUAUGAAAGUGUGUCUUUCGUUUGUCGCAACCGAUUGAAACUAACCAAAGGGAAACCAUACCCAUCAAACCUCAUCCCCCUAUCACUAGCAGUAUCAACCCAAUCACAGUUAAAUAAUGUAAUUUUCCGACCAUUAUCAUUCUGUUCUAUUUGACCCCCGUAAUUAAGUUCAUAAAUCUCUUUAAGAACACCAUAAUAAUCAACAUUGCCAAUUACUGGAUUGCGAUCUCUUGCGCUUGAGUAACUAGAUGUCUCUGCACAUUGAAAUACACCACUAUUCUGAUUCUUCUUUUUAUCGUCUACUGAUUUAAUCCGGAACCUACACCCAUGAAUUAUGUGAUUCUUAUACUUGUUCACAAAUCUACUAGGACCAAUUGAUAGCCAACGCAAGUCCUCAGAUAUUGACAGAUCAUGGGCUGUGUACAAUUUAGUAACCUAUAAUUUAAAACAACAACUAAAGUAAAUAACUUUAAUUAAAAAUAUGGUGCAGCAACAUAAAAUGAAUCAUAUUACAACUAAACAUACUUACAUGAUCCUUGAACCAAGUUGGAAAUAUCUUAUUUCUCAUCCCCUCAAUUUCCUGUAUGGUCUUCCGUCGAUUACUUUGUCUCAAUUCUUGGAAGCAUUUUCUGUUUUACAAUAUAAUAUAAUGACUUGUUAGUUAUUAAUUCAUAAUUGAGGAUUGAAAAAAAAAAAUAUCAACAACUUGCUUGUUUUUAUUCAUAAAUAUCUUACUCUAAAAAAGGGGAAACUUCAUCGCAAUUGAACAAGACCACUCUGCGACAUUGGUCCCAAACAUCUUUGUCAAGAUAUAUUUGUUCAGCUGAACCCUUAGAAUGACAUGAAGAGUCAAAAACUUUUAGCUCCCCAAUGACACCACGACCAAUACCAUCAGCAUUUCGACCCUUUCGAUUCCUUCGAGUCUCAACGUUGCUAAGAUACAUGGUACACAUAGCUAAUCCCUCGUCGACAAGAUAUCCUUGUUCCAUACUUCCUUCAGGAUAACUCUUAUUCUGAACAUAUUUCUUUAAUGUUUGUAGGUAUCUAAAGAUAUGGCAAAAUUGAACAUGUUAAUUUACAAUUAAAAUGGAAAACUAGAAAUAAUAAAUAAGAUUUGAACUAAUUACCUUUCAAUGGGAUACAUCCACCGGUAUGGGGCAGGCCCUGCGAUUGCAGCCUCAUCUGCCAAAUGCAUGAUUAAGUGUACCAUCACAACAAAGAAGGAAGGAGGGAAUAUCUUUUCCAUCUGGCAUAAUGUCACUGCAAUCCGAGGUUUUAAAGCCAUGUAUGACGCUUCAUAUUCCUUCUUACUACAUAACCGUCUAAAAAUUGCACUUAGCUCAAGCAAAACAAUGGUAACAGCUUUUGGUAAUACUCGUCGUAUUGCAAGGGGCAGCAGCUGUUGCAUUAUAAUAUGAUAGUCAUGACUUUUCAAUCCGUGUAUUUUUCUCUCAUUCACAUUAACACAUCUAGACAGAUUUGCAGAAUACCCAUCAGGAACUCUCACAUUUGCCAAGACUUCGCAAAACAUUGUUUUUUCCCUUUUCCUCAUGUCAAAAAGUGCUGGAUCAAAAACUUCCUUACCUUUCCCAUUUAUAUAAGGGUGCUGUUUUCUCCUUAUAUUCAAAAUUUGAAGGUCCUUACGAGCUUUUAUUCCAUCCUUUGUCUUCCCAGGAAUAUUUAACAGUGUACCUAAAAUGUUUUCACAAACAUUCUUUUCAAUAUGCAUUAGAUCAAGGUUAUGCCGUAUCAAAAGAUAUUGCCAAUAUGGUAACUCAAAGAAUAUGCUUUUCUUCUUCCACUGAACUUUGUUACUAUUUAUAUUCGUUGUGGGAUAGGUAUUUGUAUUCCUAAUGGGACAAGAACAUUUUUUGGGUUUUCCUUGCCCAACAAAAACAGCUGACUUCUUUUUGGGUUUUCGAAAUGUGAAUGUCAAACUUGACAAUUUUUCUAAACACUGUGAACCUGUCAAGGGAAUAGGUGGAAGAGCAUGUUCUUCCUUACCGUUAAAGGCUGCUUUAUCUCUUCGAAACCUAUGUUGUAUAGGUAGAAAUCUCCGAUGACCCAUAUAACACAUCUUACUACUAUUUGCCAAAUGCAUUGAGACUGUAUCAUCCAUGCAAUGCGGACACGCUUUCUUCCCCUUCGUGCUCCAUCCUGAAAGAAUUGCAUAUGCGGGAAAGUCAUUAAUCGUCCAUAACAAUGCAGCCUUCAUUGUAAAAGUUUGGUUGGCAAACACAUCAAACGUCUUAAUACCAACCUCCCACAACUCUUUCAACUCAUCGAUUAAAGGCUUCAAAUACACGUCAAUAUUAUUGCCAGGCCCAUCAGGACCAGGAAUUAUUAACGAUAACAAUAAAUUUGGUUGCUUCAUACACAUCCAUGGAGGCAAAUUAUAAACUGACAGUACAACAGGCCAUGUACUAUGGGGUUUGUUCAUAUUUGAAAAGGGAUUAAACCCAUCACUUGCAAGCCCCAAUCGCACGUUGCGUAUCUCCGAAGAAAAUUCAGGGUAUAAGGAAUCUAAAUGCUUCCAUGCACGAGAAUCUGAUGGGUGCCUCAUGAAUCCAUCUUUAGGACAUUCGGUUGCAUGCCAUCUCAUAUCUUCAGCGGUAUGCUUCGACAUAAACAAUCUUUGCAACCUUGGUUUUAAUGGAAAAUACCGAAGAACCUUGGUUGGAACCUUAGCUGAUGUGUUCUUACUCAAAGAACCUCCCACAAUAUUGACUUUGUACCUUGAGGCACCACAAAGUGCACACUCAGUCAAGUCUGAUGUAUCUUUCCAAAACAGCAUACAAUCAUUGGGGCAAACAUCAAUCCUCUUGACUGUAAGUCCCAACUCCCUAAUGAUUUUUUUAGCAUCAUAAUUAUUUUUUGGUAAACAAUUCCCCUCUGGCAACAAUUGUUUAACCAAUUGUAACAGCAUUGUAAAGACAUUAUCGCUUCCCUAAACAUUUAAUCUGGAACAGUCUUACAACAGAAUACAAUUUCUUAUAUUUACACCUAGGGUACAACUCCAUAUCUGCUUCUUCAAGUAACUUAUAAAAUAUUUCAGCCUCAGGUGUUUGGCCAUCAAAGAUAGGUGGCUCUGUCGAAGUCCCAACAGUUUCUCCAAUUAUUGGUUGCACAAAGGCUUCAUUGAGAAAAUCAUGAAUGUCAUCUAUACAAACUUCUUCAUUAUGAACUGAUUCUAUAUCCUCUUGGAAUGGUAAAUUUGUCAUGGGCUCCCCAUGAUGCCUCCAAGGGCCAUUCAUAUAUGUGGGAUCCAUUCCUUUUUCUAUAAGAUGAAGCUGGAUGAUGUUUCUUUCAUAGUGAUAACGGUUACAACAUUUUUUGCAAGGACAUAUGACCCUCUCUCCAAAACCCACUUUGGCAAAGACGUCAUCUAAAAACAUUCUCAUUCCGUCUGCGUAUUCCUUACAAUUUCUCCUUAAAUGUACCCAACUUUUAUCCAUAGUUCACCUAUAUUGAGUGCAAGGCACCAAAUACAAUUAUUCAGCACAGAUCAUCCCUCAUACUUAUUGUCUAUAAAUUCCUAUCAGGUGGGUCAAUUUAUUAUCCAUUAGAUGACCCUCAUGACCAUCUACAUCAAUUCACAAGAAAAACCAAAUUAAAAUAACAAAAACCUGAGUCUAAAGAAUAUAUUAACUAAGAAAUUGCACAUUCAUUCAACUGAAGAAAAGAACUAUAACACCAAACAACUAGACCCACUUAAUAGCUAAAGAAACUCACGUCAUAACAACAAAGUAUACAUAUUAAACAACAUAUCAACUCAUAGAUAAAAGCCCGAUAAUCUCAAUACUAUGAACAAUCUUAUUCAAAAAUAAUAAGAUAACAGCAACAUAAUAGAAAAAAGUAAAGGGAAACACACCUGGAUUCUAAGUUUCCAACAACAAUUCAACACUCCUGCAGUAGAUUAAUACAUACAUACCCACAUAUCAAACUUCACCAACAAAUAAUAAAAAAUUAAAACAAGAGCUUUGAAAAAUCAAAGGAUUCGUGUCACAUCCCGGAAUCGGCUCCGCCGUAGCACGAUAUUGUCCGCUUUGGGCCCCCCUCUCUGCCCGCACGGUUUUGUUUCUAGGAGCUCACGAGCAACUUCCCAGUAGGUCACCCAUCCUGGGAUUGCUCUAGCCCCCAACUCGCUUAACUUCGGAGUUCCUACGACUCCGAAGCCAGUGAGCUCCCAAAAGGCCUCGUGCUAGAUGGAUGCGGGCAUGCACAUAUAAGGCACAUCACCCCCUCUCCGUUGGUUGAUGUGGAAUCUUACAAUCCACCCCCCUUAAGGACCCGACGUCCUCGUCGGCACACUCGCACCACACGGCAGAGUGGCUCUGAUACCAAAUUGUCACAUCCCGGAAUCGGCUCCGCCGUAGCACGAUAUUGUCCGUUUUGGGCCCCCCUCUCUGCCCGCACGGUUUUGUUUCUAGGAGCUCACGAGCAACUUCCCAGUAGGUCACCCAUCCUGGGAUUGCUCUAGCCCCCAACUCGCUUAACUUCGGAGUUCCUACGACUCCGAAGCCAGUGAGCUCACCCCCUCUCCAUUGGUUGAUGUGGGAUCUUACAAUUCGUUUAUAUCUUGGAAUAAAAUCAGUAUUCUAAUUUUUAUAUCUAAUUGGAAGGAUUCAUGGGUCAUUACCUACACUAAAAUACUUGAAAAAAUAAAAUAAACAAACAAAAUAAGAACAAAAAUUUCACCAGAACAGAGGCACAAAAAUCUCACCAAAACAGAGGGCCUCUUUAAUGAAGGACAACCAAGUCAGCCCCAAUUGAAAAGAGCAAAGAACCCCCAGAUUUAAUCUCUCUCUCAAUCUGAAUCAGCAACCCCAAUUGAGAAAAGCAAGGAAAACCCCCCAAAUUUAAUCUCUCUCUCUCAAUCUGAAUUAGCAACCCCAAUUGAGAAGAGCAAGGAAAACCCCCCAAAUUUAAUCUCUAUCUCUCUCAAUCUGAAUGAGCAGACACGAAAAUCACUACCACACAUGACUCCAACUCCAUUAGCUAUGAGGAAGAAUACAAUUCAUUCUUCAAUGAAAAGAAGAGGGAAGAGAUGGCCGGUUUGGAGGAAGUAGAAAAGCUCAAGUAAACAAUUGAAGUUUUUUAUAUAUCAAUAGGAAAAUUUUGAAGUUAAAAAUUAUAUUUAAGAAUAGUAUUGGCAAUCGAACUCGUCAGAAAAAAAGUUGGCUUCCUGGUGUCUGAAAAUUUAGGCGCUUAUGUUUUCACUUCCCGCGUUAAAAGAGACUGGCGCAGUGUCUCGUCAGUAAAGGUAGUAAUGACAAAAGACUUUGUCAGUAUUAUUUACUAGUGAAAAAUCACUUUAUUUUGCUAGUAUUUGGUCUCAGUACUGACUAAGCUGCUCUUUCAUCAGUAUUAGUCCGUCAGUAUAAGCUAAAAUUGUAGUAGUGAGAGGAUUGAUAAGUGAUAUUAAUUCUUGAAUAUACAGAAUGUAAAAUAAAGGAACACGUAAAAAAUUAUUUUAUGUGGUAAAACUCCAUCUCUGGGGAAAAUCCACGGGACUUCUUAGUCCAAAACAAAUCCAUUAUAGAAUGAUGAUUACAAGAAGUACUCACACACUUAUCCUAGACACAUUCUAGAUAAUGUUUACUGACCUCUUCGUAACUCAACUUCUGUCUCGAGAUGAUCUUUCAACACUCCUUAUGUUGAACGCAAUAUUGGUCACGAUUUCUUCAAGCUCGUCAGAGUUCUUCCAACUCUCCUAAUAUUGAAUCCGAUACUAGUCACGAUUGAUUCAAGCUCAUCGUAGAAAAACCGUCACAAUGGUCUUGGUGCCCUCAACCGUAUGAGUCAUUAAACAUGCAAAUGAAUACAUAUAUGAAUGAUAAAAGUGUUUGAUAAAUCACUGAGUUAUGGAACACUUGAUGAUUUAUCUCAAAUAAAAACUCAGCUUUAAUGCUUUCUAAACAAAGAAGACGAAGGUCUUACUUUAUAGACUUUUUCUUUACAAGAAAGAAAAUAAGUUGGAAACCAAAUCUCCAAUUUCCAAGGCAAAAUCACAAAAGUAUCUUUCCUAUUCUAGAGAUUGGUCACAUGUAGUCCAACCAAUAGGAAAUGAGAUAUUUAAGAAAGGAAGAUUUUGAUCAAUAUCAAUAUCAAAUGAAUUCUUAUACGCCUAGUCAACUAUUAAGGGUAUCUUGACUCCUUGAUAUUUUGAUAUGAUUGAAACAUGAUUUCCAAGUUAGAAAAUUAAGGGGUUGUUAAAACAUGAAAGUAAUAGGAGAAACAAAUUUAUUUGAACCAAAAUUGCCCAAAAAGAAAACACUCCUAAAUAAACUUCAAUUCACUUUAGUAAAACAUGAUUGAAUCGUUCGUUAAAACAAUUCCCUAAUAUACAUGCAUGAUAAUGACAUCACUUACCCCUGAAUCAAAUUUGUUAAUGUAUGCAUUUUGAGUUUUUUUUUCUUUUGGCUUCCCUUGACAAUUUUGUAAUAGGAAAAUCAUUGUAGUUUCUCAAGCUCUAAGUUUAGAUUAAGAAUUACUUCUCUAGGUGUUCUUAUCUGCCUACAUUCUGAUGGAAAACAAUGCGUUUGACAAAGGUAAAUUCUGCAUUACACUACAUUGCAUUCACUAAAUUUCUUAAGAUUAUGACUAGUCAUCUUUCUUUCGUAUGACUAGUCAUCUUGCAUUCGUAUGACUAGUCAUCUUUCCUUCGUAUGACUAGUCAUCCUUUGUUUCAAUUAGGAUUUCCAGCUCACUGUUUCCAGCUGGGGCUUAAGCAUUUUUUUGUCCUUUUCUACGAAUUUCUCAGCUUCCAUGUGUCUAUUCUGACCUAGGAAUUUUUGGUAAAAGCCAUAGAAUUCCUCAUUUGGCAGCCGUCACUUUUGGGGACAAGUUGUGGAAAGUUUCAUAGCAAACUUUCGCUUCUUCUUCCUCAAGAGUAACCUUCAUAUUUUUCAUCUUUGAGUUCUCUAAAUUGUUUCUUUUUGAAAACUGCAUUUGAAAUAUGAAAACUUCAUCUUGCUAGAUCAAACACUCUAUCAUAUACAUCUAGGUCAGAUUCAAGAUUGAUUUCUUCAAGAGUAUGGUUUCUUGAAGAAAUUGGUCAUUUUCUCCAUGAAUCCAAAUUUCAUUUCUGUCUGAGUUAGAGCUUGCAAGCUGGUGCCAUGGGAUGAAUGAGCUGAAGAAGGAGCUGCCAUUGCCAUGAAGAACUGAGCUUCAAGCUUUGCUAAGUUGGAGAAGAAGAUUGCACAAAGGAGAUAUAGCAUCUUCCUAAAUAGACCUAGGAAUUUCUUGAGCUUGCUAGUGUUCUUUGUAAGAAUCUUUUUGCUUAGUGGAUUGCCUGGUCGGUUGAUGACCCCCAGUUUUUCCCAAUGGUGGGUUUCUGGGUGAACAAUAUCUGGUUUCCAUCUCUGUAGAUUUUUUGGGUUUGUGUUCUUGAUAGUUGACUAGUCAUCUGAAUUUGUGUGGUUGACUAGUCAUCUUUUUCUGCUGUUUGGUGUUUUCUUGAUUAUGUUGUCUUCACACACUUUUACCAUAGUUGUUGCUAGCACAAGGGAUGCCUAGAUUGAUGGGUCCUUCUGAGUGCCUAGGUUGUCACUAGUAAUUCUCUAGGCCUGCAGGUACAUCUUGGUAUGCUUUGUGUAUGUUAUUGUUUGGUUUAAUUCAUAUCUAACAGUUGACUAGUCAUAAGAGUAUUUGGUCAAGGUCUAGAGUGUGUGAAGUUUGUUGCGUUCUUGAUUGAAUAUCUUUUAAAUUUACCCUUCGUCACCUAAUUACCAAUUUGCAGACUCCACAAAUGAAGAAAAGAGCACAAAUAUCGUGAAUGCUAUUGGGAAUGGAAAGGGCAAACCUGUUCAAAAAGGGUAUGGAGGGGGCGUUAGACUUUACGUUCAAAAAGGGUAUGGAAAACGUCCUCCUCCAUCUGACAGUCAACUACUCCAUUAUAAAGACAUAGCUAUUUUCUUCUUCGAGAAAGACAUGCGCCCUGGCUCAACAAUGAAGUUCCAAUUCCCUAGAAAUUCAAACACGGCUACUUUCCUGCCACGCGAAAGUGCUCAAUCGAUCCCCUUCUCCUUUAACAAACUACCAGAAAUUUUCAACCAUUUUUCAGUGAAGCCAACAUCUGUGGAAGCCAAAACAAUUAAGCAAACAAUCGAAGAGUGUGAAGCUCCAGGCAUUAAGGGAGAUGAAAAAUAUUGCGCCACAUCUUUAGAAUCAAUGGUUGAUUUUAGCACUUCGAAGCUUGGAACAAGAAACGUUGAAGCAGUCUCGACGGAGGUAUUGGAAAAAGGAGCCACCAUGUCCAUGCACAACUAUACAACAAUGCCGGGACUGAAGAAGUUGGCAGGUGACAAAGUCGUUGUGUGUCAUAAGGAGAACUAUCCCUAUGCUAUGCUAUGUUUUUCUGCCAUGCAAUAAAACAAACAGCAGCUUAUGUUCUCUCCCUGAAAGCCGAUGAUGGGGAGAAGGUUAAAGCUGUAACCAUCUGCCAUCUAGACACAUCAGAAUGGAACCCAGAGCAUUUGUCCUUCCAAAUCCUCAACGUUAAGCCCGGAACCGUUCCUAUCUGCCAUUUCAUUUCCACUGAUGCUAUUGCCUGGGUUCCAAAACACAAAUCUGCAUGAUCAUCACUUAGCACUGUACGUAUAAUAAGCUUGGUUGGGUUGCACCCCUGUAUAAUUAUCUCCCUACUUAUUUCUGCCUCUUCAUCAUGUGGUGUAAGAUAUAUGAUGAAAU
rnacentral:lncRNA from 1 species